rnacentral:lncRNA from 1 species
GAUUACACAUAAAAUGCUGAUGCAUAAAACAUAUGUAUUGGUCCAAACUCUAAUGUGUACAAUAUGUUGGUGGUUGUAGGGUUCUGGGAGAUGUGUUCAUGGGAGUGUACCACACCGUGUUUGAUUAUGGUAAUCUCCGGAUGGGUUUCGCAAAGCUGCUUAGACAAGACUGUUUAUUUCGUCUACUGUUUGACGGUCCUAAGCGAAGAAGCUAUGAAGACAUGUAGUAGCUUGUAAAUUAGGAUUUUUAAUGAUGCUUGGCUGGCUUAUUUAGGGUGGUUGUGCUUUAAUAUUGGAUUUUUAUAUGUAAUGUAAAUAUCUAUGCGGAUAUGCUACCUUGUUCUAGAGUUUCAAGGAAACUGCAGUAUCUACUUUGGUCAAAAAUGGUGCCACUAUCUAUUACUCAUCCUUCGGUUUCAAUUAUUUAGUCACGUGUUCGCGAAAGAAUAGUUUUUUAUUGUGAUGUUUAUGUUUUUUCUGAAUUUUAUUUUUAUAAAUUUAAAAUUUGAAUUUGAAUGAUAACAUGAAUAUAUUAAAGAGAGGGACGAUAUUGAAAAGAGAAAUUAAAAGGUGCUUUUAAAAGGUAACAAAUAUUUCGGGAUAUUUCAAAAUAAAGGCGGGGGGUAACAUUUUAACAUGAGUUGUUGCUCUCCAGUUUCUACUGCUGUGGUCCAAUCAUACAGGCCACAUCAAUCAGAGGCCCGCGAUAUCCGGUCUUAUUCAAGACAGACAACUAUGAGUAUGUGAAAUUUGCUCUUGCAGGCCCACUGGUGAGAUGUAUAGCGUGUGUGCGUCGAACAGGGCCUGAUGUGCAGUUUCGUCUGAGAAAACAUACAAAUGAAACUCAUGUUAUAAGUGUUAUUUUGGCCCAAGGCAUGUCUGGAACUCCUUGUUGCGAUAACCAUGAAAUGUGUGGAAUUUUUUUUUUUCUUCUUCUUUUUUCGACAGUCAGGCAUUAGUUUACAAACUUAUUUCGAUAUUAGUUUACUAACUUAUUUUAAAGGGAGAGUUCAACUGAGCCAUUGAGGGAUCGAUGGAAACUGAACCACCGUGAAUAGAUGGAUACAUGGUAUGAAAUGUGUGGGAUAUAGUAGCUCUCAAUUCCUUCGAACUUGCAAAACACCGAAAUUUUCUACCAUGGGAAAUCCGUGGCAUGUGAUUUACCCUGAGACCUGUAUGCACCAUCGCGUGUAUGGACAAGUCUCUAUGUAUACUAACAGUCUAUAUGUUAUUACUGUUAGAUUUAUUAUACAUGUGUAAAAAUUAAAUUUUACAUAAUUAUCAUUUAUUCAAUACCGAGUGAUUAAUCCUGAAUAUAUAUGCAUACCACCUGUACAAAACUUGACCAUAGUAAACUUAUUACACCUGCUAUUUGCAUCAAGUGUAGACAUUUGAGGUAACAGAUCAUAAAUUUCCAAAUUUAAGUUUCAAUCAUCAAAAGCUUAAAACACUAUUCAAAGACACUUUUAAAAAUUUGAUAACCAGACAAUGCCAUUUAAAACAAUGUCAUGCAGUGCAAAAUUAAAUGUCCGGAUAUCCAUAUAUAACACAUUUUACAACAAGAGUCAAUAAUAGCACAAAUCACAAUUACAGAGGACCAGGAAAUACAGAACGGUACUCGAUCAAGGAAACUCAUCUACCACAAUUUCCUCCUCCAAAAUACACACGUUUCCUCUACUCCUCAUCACUGUUAUUGCUGAAAACUGAAGCAACUGGUACUUUUGGCUUUUUCGUGGCGCUUUUAACCAAGUUCUGCUUCAAACAAAAACAACAUAUAAAGGAUAAGCAGAAUCCAUAAAUAAUCAGCACGUUUAAAACAUAAAUAAAAUGCCUGGAUAUGAGGAUGGGGAAGCAUAAUUUGACAAUUUCAGCCAAAAAAAAAAAGCAGCAGUUUAGGCAUUUCUGCCUACUCAAGAUUCUAGUUAGAAAUCUCGUUUCCAGAGCAACGAAUUGUCCUUCAAAUAAAACUAGCAUAUCAGUGAAAAGUACAAAAAUGGCUUCUAACCUCCAAUCAAUUUGCUAAUCAAUCAUUACAAGUAGUUGAUUAUCAAUCUCUAUCUUUCAUCAAUCUGCGUGAGCAGUUUCGAGAAAAUCCUUUGCAAAAGAUGAUAUUACUUAAAUUCUUCUAUCAAAUUUUAUCUCUUUUCUUCUUCAUUCCCACAAAGGAUUAUCAAAACCGAUAAAAUGAAUUUUAAGGGGUAAUAAAUGACGGUGACAAAAUGUAGAGAGACACUAGAAUGAAAUUGCAUAAUUGGGUAUCACCAUUUGUUCAUGUUUUAAAAGCUAACUUUAUCUCUCUUCUAAAACAUCAGUCGUUUCUGCACAACCAGAACUAAGAUCUUUGAAAACUCUGUCGACUCUCUCUUCUUUUUUUGUUUGGGGGGGGGGGGGGAUUGAAACAAAGGGUGAGAAGGUUGGUUUAUCACGUCAAUCUGGUAUAUCAUUACAUUUCUGACAAGUGGGACUAAUGUUAAACCAAUAUCACAUUGUAGUUAAGAAAAGGGGGAAAAAGGUUGACAUUCAACUCUCAUAGUACCUUCGAGGUGCUGACUUUUGCAGCAAAUCCAAACUUCAAAGCCUUCCUCUGGUCCUGAUCAGCAAGUGCAGUAGCACUAUUCACUGCAGCAGAGACUGGGAUGCUACCAGAUUCCUCAUGCUUCUGCUGCUGCUUCUGUGCAUCAGCCCUGGGGUGGUAUUAGAUAGAGUUAGCCAUCAACAGGUAUCACCGAUUAACCUCUUCUCCUCACCCAAAAAUAACAAAAGAGAAUCCCUCAAGAGAAAAAAGGUAGAUCAACGAAACUACAUCUGUGCAAAACUUUGCGAUUUCUCUCUCUUGACGUUGUUGUUCUCUUUUCUGCCUGUCAUCACGACUGCUACUUCCAUGCAUUUCCCUCAUCUCUUUGAACCUCUGGAUUUGACACAAAAAAGAAGAAGAUGAGAUUCAGACAGGCAAGAAGAGUGCAAUAAGAACAACAAACCCAAUGAACAAGUAGUAGUGAAUCAGCUGAAGAAAGACUACAACCUUUCUGUGGUUGUGGUCAUAUGAGCUUAGAUGUGCUUCAAAUUCCAUUGCCAAUUUAUAUUGCUUGUUGCAGAGAUCACAAAAGAACACCUUGCGAAUUUCUUUCACUUCAGUUUGAAUUUUCUGCUCACGUUCUGCUAUAACCUGGAUUUUCAAUGUGCAGGAAGCAGGCAGUAGAAGCCACCAGGUAAUAAAAACUGCACGAAAUUCUCAAGACCUUCCAAAGUUGAUGUUCGCAUAUGAUAUACCAUUCCCGUCAAAAGACACACAUAUAUGCUAUAUGCUGCCUUCUGUUAUUAGAUGUAUGUUUCAGAGAAAUAAAGCAUCAACUCGAAUUAUCUCUUAUUGAAAAUAUUUACCACUACUGACAACUUUAAUGGCAUACCUCCCGUUUCUUAACAAGUUCAUCAGUCUCCUCAACCUCAACAUCCAACUUUCUUCGCUGGAUGUUUUCCUCUGCUGUAAAAUAAUCAUCUUCUUCUUGUUUUCCAAUCCCUAAUUUUGGGUCUCUUAUACCAGAUUUUAUGGGCUCAAUUAUGCCUGCUUAUACAGAAGACGUGAACAUGAUAUUAGGUAACAGGAUAGCAAUAAUGGUAAAUAUGACACUCCAGAAAGCCAUGAAACAAGAAGCAGAGAAGGUUCCAGAUGAGCUUCCACAGUUUGCAAACCCUUAAGAGAGAACCAAAUAACAAUUUCAUUUAAGCAGGAUUCAAACGCCUAAUGCAAAAAUGGGACCCAGCUAGUCAUCAGCAUUGCUAAUAAUGACAACAUAUAGUCUGUUACAAGAUUGCAAAUACCUGCUGUCAAGAUACCCAAAACCAACAUCAUCUCUACAAAAUAUCCUUUAAAGAGAAAAAUUUUACAAAAUUGAUGUUAAAAAUAAAAGAAGGCAAAAUGGUGAUUGUUGUAAAUAUGAUGAGUUGACUUGCACACAACCAACCUAUCCUGAGCUAAAAGGAUAUGCUAGAAUUAAGUCCUAGAUUUAAUAGAGUUAGCACUUGAAACGUGACACAAUAUAUAACAAAUUCCACAAUUCGUAACAUUACAAUGGAAGUUCAAUAUAUACUGUUUCAAACAAAAUCACCCAGUUCUUUUGACGUUAGCUGCAAUCUCUACAACAAAAAAGCCAGCUCCUCAGAUUUCUAAUAAAGAACUGCACAUGCUGAUCUAACAGAACUCAUAUUCCAAAGAAAAGCUGAUUUCCACACAAAGGUAAUAGGAUAAUAACCUGAAACACUUAGAUUUAUGUUGUGCAACAUGUAUAAACAGGCAUUCUACCACAAGCUAUACCUUGCUCAUCCUUUCCAAGUCCCUUCCCUUUCCAUCCCAUCUUCUGGAGAAGCCUGAAUCCAACAUUAGAUGAUGUCAACUGAGUGUCUAAAGAUGCUUGUUCCACACCAUCUAGAUCCACAUUCUCUGUCGGUCUAUGAUCAAUUGGAAGACGAAAAUCAUCUGCAAGAUCCUCAAGAACAGAAGCCUGAUGUGCUGCCAGACAAAAAUAAGCAUGUAAUUAAACUGAAGAUCAUCUUGACAUUGAUUAUCCCAAAAUUAGACAAAUUUUAAAAUACAAGGUUAAAACCAUAAAAUGCAACAAAGGGAUUAGGAAAACUAUCCAUUCUCAGACAAAUACAGAAUAGCAAAAGGUAUACUAGUAGAUGAAAUUUGCAUAUGCAAGAUGAAAAAUCUCAACCUUGCAAUAAAAAAGCAUUUACUGAACUCGAUCAUGAGCAUAAAAAUAUUUUUGACAAAAAGAACCUGAAAACCCCAUAGACCCUAGAAAUAACUUGACGAUAAAUUAUGCAAAACCAUAAAAUGUUAUCAUGAAAUUGGGAUGGCGUUUUUGGGUCUUGAAUGGUGUAAGUUUAUUGUAUUAGUUCGUGUGCACGAACACAGUGUUGGAUAAUUGUUACAUGUUGUGGUUGAACAGGUACAUAGAAAUAAUAGAGUUCAAAUGUUUUGUACUGAGUUGUGCGUCUCAUAGUUGCUAAUGAAAAUGUUAUUUUGAAAUUGGGAUGGCGUUUUUGGGUCUUGAAUAGUGUAAGUUUAUUGUAUUAGUUCGUGUGCACGAACACAGUGUUGGAUAAUUGUUACAUGUUGUGGUUGAACAGGUACAUAGAAAUAAUAGAGUUCAAAUGUUUUGUACUGAGUUGUGCGUCUCAUAGUUGCUAAUGAAAAUGUUAUUUUGAAAUUGGGAUGGCGUUUUUGGGUCUUGAAUAGUGUAAGUUUAUUGUAUUAGUUCGUGUGCACGAACACGGUGUUGGAUAAUUGUUACAUGUUGUGGUUGAACAGGUACAUAGAAAUAAUAGAGUUCAAAUGUUUUGUACUGAGUUGUGCGUCUCAUACUUGCUAAUGAAAAUGUUAUUUUGAAAUUGAGAUGUCGUAUUUGUGUCUUGAUUGGUGUAAGUUUAUUGUAUUAGGGCGUGUGCAUUAACACAGUGUUGGAUAAUUGUUACAUGUUGUGGUUUAACAGGUACAGAGAAAUAACAGAGUUUUAAUGUUUUGUACUCAGUUGUGCUUCUCAUAUUUUCUUUUACAUUGAUGUUACAGGUUAUUGGUUUACUUGCAUAAAGAGAGACAAGUUUCUAGGUUGGAAGUGAAUGAGUACGAGAGUAGGUUAUAAGUUGGCAAUAUGAGACAGACGGAAUAACAAAUCAUGAGGUUUAGCAUAGUUAGUGUGGAAUAACGGUUAAGAAUCUUACUAGUUAUUGUAGGUGCACAUCAUGUUGGAUAGUCAUUACACGCAGUCAUUUAAUAGUGACACUAGGAGAAGUGCACUGUAAAAUUGGAUGAACAAUGACGUAAAAUUGUUUAACGGGUUUGUUGCUUCAUUCAUAUUGUUGAAGAGGGUGAUAAAUAAAGGAGAAUGUGAUUGAAUUGAACUUGAUAGGCAGGGGAAUAGAUUAUGAAAUGACUAAAUGAGGGAUAAUUAACCAGAAAAUUUGGUAUUGAGACAAACAAAUUGUGAAAAGGAAGAUUACUUGUACAAUAAUUGUUGUGGUUGGACAUCAUCUUUGAUAGUUGUUACACGUAAUAGAUCAGAAGUUACAAUAAUAGAACUGGUCUAUAGAAUUUCAUGAAGAUACUAUAAAUUUGGAUGGCCCCUUAUUCUACUGCAUUGGUAUUGUACAGUAGCAUAAUAAAUAGAAGAAGAAAUUGAUGGAUGAAGUACAAUCUGAUAGGUAGAACAACAGAUUAUGUAGAUUAGUGGCAGUUGGAAUAAAUAACAAACUGUGAAGAAUGAGUUACUGAGUGUGAGAAAAAAUGUUACAGGUUGUACUAUAACUAGCGUGACUAAUAUUUGAUGCUCAUAUAUUAUGUUUAGCAGUACUUCAUGAUAUGUUCUGACUGUGGUUGGAAAAAAAAUUUUGGAACUGAAGUGCAAUAUGUUUGUUAAAAACAUUAGUUUACAAUGGCAAGAACGCGAGCAGGAAGCACACUUCAGGAAGCAGACAGAGAAGAACUCGCCGAAACAAGUGGUGGUACAGAACACGGUGCAGCACCCACUUCAUCGAAUAGGUAAGUGGCCAGUGCUUGCGUAAGGUCUUGGCCGGUUAGACUUGGCAUCAUUAUUCAGCAUUACAAUGUUGACUGUUCAGGGGAAGGAUGAGAAGGAAAAGAAGUAGUAAAAGGAAUGAUCGUUUAGGUGGGGAGGAAGAACUGAUUACAGCGGGAACAAGCGAGGUCGCAGAACCAGUCCCACCAUUGAAUCCAUGGAUGAAGUUCAGGUAAGAUUAUUGAAUAUGAGGGAAAAAUAAUGGUACUAAAUAGCACAUAUAACUUUGGAGUUUUGAAUGUGGACAGGAAAGAGUAUCAACACACGGUUUCGGCGAAGGGUGUUAAGCUGACUGAGGUAUGCUGUCCUAGCAAAAUAAACUGAAGAAUCAUUGAACCGAUGGGGUGCCUAAGGGAAAAAUAGUGAAACGAGCAAUUAUUUUGUGUUUAGUCUAACGUAUUUUUUGAUUUUAUUUAUUCAAUGCAGUACAAUGACAUUGUCCGGGCAGCAUAUAAUAAGUUGAGUGAGGAAGAAAUGAGGAAGCGAAAGGAGGAAUAUUUGAAAGAGAAAGAAGAGUAUGAGAAAGAAAUGGAACGUCUAGGAAAGCCGAUAUUGCGAAAAACACGGGUUCAAAUCAAGGUAAAUACACGGCAUGAUUCAUCAAACAUUUAAUGAAACUUAUAUUAGUCUAAUGCAUAUAUCUAAAAAAUGGUGUAGAAUCAGAAGUACACUAUCCGAUGCUCGCCAAAGCAGAUGUCAAGUUUAGUUUCACGAAUCGAUGAAACUAAGAAGCAGCAGAUUAGAGACAUAGGAUUUGGAGGGCUGCUAGACAUACAGUGUCACUGGAUUCCUAGUGGCAUAGCUACCUGGCUUGUUGACAACUUUAAUCCGACAUUGAGCAGUUUAAAUGUUGGUGGAGAUGGUGUGCUACCUUUAACGUCAAAGGAUAUCAAUUUAAUCCUGGGGAUCCCGAACGAAGGUCCCAUUCCAGUUGAAGACACCGAUACAACCGAGGUUGGGGGAAGUGGACCAAGUCGUAGGACAUACAAAUGGAAUGAGCUCCCAAAUGAGUUGGUAGCCAUGAAUGCAGGGGAAGAAUUCUUAAGACUAUUCGUGGCAUUUUGUUGUGGAUGUCUACUGGCUCCAACCACUAGAGCCGAGCACAAAAUAAAGGUUUGGAACUGUACGCAAUUGGUUGAUAGGGUAGCCAGAUUGAACUGGGCUGAGUAUGUGAGGAUCGUACUAUGCAAUAAGGUGCUAGAGGUGCAAAAGAAAAGUGAAAAGCAGCACCAAUACGUUGGCGGUUGUAUCUUCGUUCUGCUGGUAAGAUUAGAUAGUUGUAGUCAUGACGAAAAUAUGCUCUAAUUGUUACACAGUGCACCAGAGAGUCAAUUAGUUUUGCGAGCCUUCAUAACUACUGUCUGUAUUUCCACAUUUUAUCAAAUUCAGUGCGAUGGAUUGAUUAGAUUAUGCUCAAAUGAAUGCGUCUACGAUGAUGUUUUAACAGUGUGGUCAAGUUUAUCUACAGUUGAAUUAAUUACUGUAUUGUAUUGCAGAUUCAUUAUCUUGAUCGGGUACAAAUACUGAAGCAUAAAGUGUCGAGGACUACUCCGCGAGCUAAGGCAUGGACAGAUGCUCUGAUCUCUGAAAGGGAUGCACUUGAGAUUAAAAAUCUUGGAGCUUAUGGAAAAGGAAAACUGGUAAAAUGUUAUAUAUUAUUGAUCUCAUUUCAUAUAAAAGGUAGUGGUCUAUGUAUUGCGUGGCUUUUCUAUUGAAAUGGUUGGUUUAAUUUGUUGUUAAAGAUUGGACAACAUGAUCCGGAAGAUAAUGAAUAUGAUGGGCAGAGUACUGAACUACCCCCUGAUUUGGUAGGAAUGCUGAUGAACAGCGGGCACGCCGAUAUCGGUGUAAGUGGGUCUGUUCCAUGAUUUAAUGAAAUUUGUUGUUUGAUUAGACGUAAUUACUGCAUAUUGUAAGCAACGUUAUUGGUUAUUGAUAGGCCUAUCAACUUCAUUCAUGUUGUAGUAUUGGGAAGAUAUGUGAUACCAAUCCCAAUAUUACAUCCCUCUCGAGAGAGUUAUUAAAAAUUAAGUCACAUGAAUGGAAAUACAGAAAUAUAGUGAUCUCUUGGCCAAUCAUGUUAUAAAUGUAUGAAGUUUCAAUGAUCCCGGGUGAUCAUUUUAUUUUUUAGUAUAUAAGUUACAGUUAUAGAACCUAUGGCCGCAAUUCAAAUGUUAAAUUAAGAACCUUUGCGUAAAUGUACUAUUGUAUAUGCCUGUAUUGUAUGAAAUUGUUGAGAGCAUGUGGCUCAUUUAUGGAUUGAUAAUUUCAUCAUCUAACUGCAGGCUGAGCUAAAUGAGCUGUAUAACAUUGCUGUUAGUAGCCAACGAAGGAUAUUGAAGAUUGCAGAAAUCCUCUCCUCUCAGCCGAGAGCAAAAGCUUCCACUUCUGGGACUGAAGCAUUGGACAAAGGAAAAAAACCUGUACAGGAGGACUAUACAAUGCACAAGAGUCCUGAUACCGAAGAAGAGCCGGAAUUUCAAUCUGCCGAAGAAGGGGCAGACGACGAGGAUGAUGAUGCUGAAGAAAUUGAUGCGGAAGGGUCUGAUGAAGACGAGCAUAAUGCAGCGCAGGCCGAGAAAGACGAUGCCAAUACGAGGACAAAUAUUGAAGGUAUCCAAGAUCCAGAGCUGAAUGAAGAUGUAAUGGACAUGGAGAAUCCAAUUCCUACCUCUUCAGUCGUACCCGAUAACAGCAGUCGCGGAUUGGAACAAGGAACCACCAUGACAACAACUGCGCAAGGAAGCAUUAUACAGCUUCAAGAGCAAGAGCAGGAGCAAUACAGGUCAAACGUCAUAGAACCUGCCGAAGAGGGUCAAUGUACGGUGCAACCACCUUUGCACGCCAGUGCAUCGACGUCACAUCUGCUUGAGCAAGAAAUGCCACGAAAGUUGCGAUCAUAUGGUCGAAAGCGGAAAGGUUGGUAUACUGUUAUUAUUCAUAAGGUUGUAAUUCAUGUACUAUGACUGUAACAUCUAUUAUCAUAUACGGUAACUUUGUUUAUACCAUCAUGAUGCUACGUACACGGGUCUGAACUCUGGCUUGUCAUCAUCGAAAACUUGUUAAGCAUACUGUCAUACCCUGUCCGAUAUGAAACACAUAUGAAGUUGAUGUAACAAACGUAAUUAGGCAUAUUAUGAAAGUAUGACUUUAUUAAUGUUAAGAAGUUAGUGUGUUUCGAAAAAUGUUAGUUACAUUGCAGUGGAAAAAUGUUACAAAAUAGUUAUUGAAAAGUUACAGUGUGUUUAAAAAUUGUUACCAAAAAAUGUGGAAACUUAUAGAUUAAAAGUUAGUAUGUUUGAAGAAUGUUUACAGUGUGCUUGAAGUUUGUCACGAAAUAGUAACCUGAAAGUUACAGUUUGCUCUAUUGAAUACACAACUCCAUAUUCGCGGAUCGUUAGUCACGGAAUUUAUUUUACAUUAUUGUACAAUAGUUACCGGAAAGCUAUUUCAUAAUUAAUGCAGGUGAUGUAAUUGAAGAAUUUUAGUUACGAAGUGUUUGUAACUUGUUACAUGAGUGAUGAUUUAGAUGAAAGUUGAAUGUUAUUGGAGACUGUUAGUCAUUAUAAUUAAUAGAUAAGUUACAGUUUCCAAAAUUCAAACAUAACUCCAUAUUAAAUGAUUGCUGUUUAAAUGUGUGUUUGUAGGUUGAUACUCACUUAUUUAUUGGUCAAAGUGCAUUUGAAAACUCUUAGAAACGGUUAGUUUAGCAUACUGUUAUGGUGUGAUUGAAGUCUGUUACAAAUUAGUUAUUGAGAAGUUAGUGUGUUUGAAAAUUUAUCACAACUGUUUGAAAAGUGUUAGUUACAGUGUGUUUGAAGAGUUGUACAAAUAGUUCUUAUGACAGUUACAUUGCAUUUAGUGAAUUAUCGAUUGGUGUUUGAUGACUGCUAAUUGCAUUGUGUCUGAAGAAUGAAGCAAAAUACCUUAUAAUUUGUUAGACGACAACAAAUGAAUGUCAUAUGAAAUGCAUGUUAUUUGUCUUUUGUAGGAGGCCUUGACGUUGAGGUGAAGCACAAGUCUACACGUGCAACAAAGAAGAGCACUGUUCUGCGGUCAGCAGAGUUCAUUCUACCAGCACCUGUGACAGUUAGCCUAUACGAAAAAAAUGUUGCUGCAUAUGCAUGGGAUCGGGACCAAAAUCCCAAGUAAGAUUCUUGACAAAACUAUUAAUUCGAUCUUGUGAUCCAUUCACUACAAUAAGUACGCGUGUGGUUCAUAAGAAGAUGGCAUAGAAAAAUAGAUUGAAUAUGGAUGAGAUUGGAGUUCAUAUACAUUAGUCAGAUUUUCGUGUUUUGGAGUAGGAGUAAUAAUUAUUAGUAAAUCGUUUAAUUGUGUCCUGGAUGUGAUAGGGACAUACUUGUUCAAAUGUAUCAAUUUUCGCUGACUCGGCUUGACUUGAAGACUAUGGAAAAUGGCAUGCAUGUGUCUAAUCGGGUCAGUAGUUCAUUACUUUUAGUCAAAAAGUUUGAUUAUGUAUCUAUUGAUUGGAAUAGUCAUACGUAAACUCACCCAAGCAACACUCAAUUAUAUGUUUUGAUCACCAUUUGCCAUUGAUUAGGUGAUUGAUAUGUUUGCCCGUCUCAUGAAUUGGGGUGGAAGAACUGCCAAAAUUAGGAAGCUUGAACGCUACAUCGUAGAACCUGUUGCAGUUGUGAGUUUGAAAUUUGGAUUGCAUCCUACAGUUGUGUUAAAGAUGCUCAUCAUCAUAUCUGAAUUGGUAUUACGAUCCAACACACCAUUAUUAAUGUCUUCUAUGCACCUUUCACUCGGCUAUGUUAUUGGUUGCAGGAAGGAAUUUUAAAAAUGGGAAAAUUCGACAAGCUCUCUGAUGCCAGCUUAUCUGCUAAGCUUCUAAAGCUCUUCAAGGUUCGCAAUAACAAUACGGGGGUUGAUCCUGCAAAUUGUGAUUGGGUAUGCAAUUAUCAGUUUUAAUCCAAAACUUCUUAUGUGACUGUUAAACAUUCAAAACAUAGUCAUACUCGGUUAUGUAGAAUGACCUGUCUGACCUUUUUCAUACCUCAUUUGGCGCAGAUACUUGUGCCAGUAUGCAUAGAGGGGUCUUGGUUUGUCUACAGCUUCGGUGUCUCAGAGAAAGAAGUGCACGUGCUAGACCCUGAUAGCAGUCAAGCAAAGAGCAAAGACAUUAGUGUACUGAAUCGACUGGUAUGUUGGACAAAUUGCUAAAUGCAUUACACGACAUGACAGUGACACAUUAGUGGAUUGUAAUCAGUUUUACAUAAUCUUUGGUGAUAUAGAAACGUUCACUGGGUUUGGUUGUGGCGGCAAAGUUUGGCAAGGAAAUUGACUUCUCCAGUUUCGGAUUUUCUGUUGCCGAUGUCCCUCAUCACUCACCCAACAAAGUGUAAAUAGUUUGACUUCUCCUGUCAUUAUUGUUAGAGCGUGUACUAAGUUUUUUGUCCAACAUAUAUACCAUAACUGACUAAUGAGAAGACAACGUGACCAGGUGUGACAGUGGUGUUUUCGUUAUGACAUUCCUAGAGCAUUGGAGCGGAAGGUUGGCUGUUCGGCUUACACAGGUAUUACAAUUGAUAUUCCUUUUCUCCCUACAAUCCAUCUGAAAUUGAUUUAAUGCUUGUUACCUCGGCACUCAACUAUGCUAAUUCCUACCUCUUGUGCUGAUAGGAAAAUGUUGGCAAGUAUCGAGUGCUGUACACAGCUCGAUUGUGUAACUCAGCGGCGAACUCAAAGUUUCCGGACAGCUUCGCAAACCUGCAAGUACCUAAACGGGCGCAGUUGAAUGUUGGUAAUGCCUGAUUUAUAAGUAUUCAUGACUGGGAGAGAAAGAAAUUCACAAAAUUGCAUUUGACGUGCUUUUGUAUAUUAUUACAUGUGUAUUACAGCUUUUGGAUUGCUGUAACUAAUUUUAUUAUGGAGUCUACUCAGAAGGACCUUUCUUUUGAGACAGUAGUUUUGUUUUUCUGGAGACAUUAGCAUCAAUACUGAUUAGCAAUUUUUAUCGUGGUGCUGUUUAUUUAUCAUUUGUGGCCAUAAAUUCUGAAUUUAAUUCAGAUUUUCUAUUGACACUAGAAUAAUGUCAGUAAUAACAUUAACGGAGCAUUAAUUGGUUCAAUUGUGUCGUGAAUCUAUGGUUCAAAGAUGCUCGUCGUGACUCUGUGCCAACUAUACUAGAACCUACAUUGAACAAUGUGUAACUAUAGAACAAGCGCCCAAUUAGUUUGUUGCAAAAUUAGUUAUUGAAAAGUUACAGUUUGAAAAUUAAUACAAAACUUUCAUAUAUAACUGCUGGUAGUUACAAAGUGUUUGUAGGUUGUUAGUCAAGAAUUAUUGGGAAGUUACAGUGUUUUGUAUGACUGCAACAAAAUAGUUAUUUGGGAAGUUACAGUUUGAAAAUUAAUACAAAACUUCAUAUUUGAAAACUGUUAGUUACGAUGUGUUUGUACGUUGUUACAAAAUAGUUUUGGGAAAGUUAUAGUGUGUUCGUAGAAUGUUACAGAAUAGUUAGUUGGGAAGUUGCAGUUUGAAAAUUAAUAUAAAACUCCAUAUUUGAAAACUGUUAAUUACAAAGUGUUUGUAGGUUGUUACAAAAUAGUUUUUUAAAAGUUACAGUGUGCUCGCUAAGUAUUACAAAAUAGUUAGUUGGAAAGUUGCAAUUUGAAAAUUAAUACAAAAGUCCAUAUUUGAAGUCUGUUGGUUACGAAGUGUUUGUAAAUUAUUACAAAAUAGUUAUUGGGAAGUUACAGUAUGUUCGAAAACCGUUACAAAACAGUUACUCGCAAGGGGAUAGUUUGAAAAUUUUUACAAAACUCCAUAUUUGAAAAUUGACAUUUUUUACGAAGUAUUUGUAGGUUGUUACAAAAUAGUUAUUGGGAAGUUGAAUGUUAAUAAAGACUAUUACAAAAUGCUUCAAUGGGAAGUUAGAGUGUGAAAAUUAAUACAAAACUCCAUGUUUGAUGAUUGCAUGCUAUAGUGUGCUUAUAGGUUGUGUCAGUGUAGUUAUUGUGACAAAUGACGAAUGACAUUCAAAUAAAAUAGUUUAUUUGAACACACUCGAAAAUGGCAUGCAUGUGUCGAAUCGGGUCAGUAGUUUAUUACAUUUAUUCAAAAAAUUUGAUUAUCAAUUUAUUUAUUGGAUUAGUGAUACGUAAACCCAAUUGUAACAGUCAAUUACAUGUUUUGAGUUUUGUGUAUGUCUUAAAAAAACAUGUUACUUAUUCUAUACUUACUAAUUGUCCAGAAUUUAGUUACUAGCUUAUAUCGUUUCUUGCCGGACUCGGGGCAGGGACGGUUGCAGGUGCAACCGUCCCUGACAAAUUUCCUCUUCAUCAACAGCGCGUAACUUCUUUUGUUCACCGUGUAACUUUUUUUCCACUGGUUGUAUUUUCACAACAGAUAGUGGUGGGCCCCACACUUGACGCGGAAAUCGAGUUACCACUUGUUAUCUGAGCCGCACAUUUUUUUGAGGUCCAAUCUGGACCAUGAACCGUGCAUGUGUCGGUCAUACUGAUGGGUACUAUCACAUUGUGGGUCAUUGAAUGACCAACGCCAUUCAGUUUUACACAUCUGACUCUGGGCCAAAAAACUGACAUUCAUUGUGAGAUUUUGUGCACAAUAUUUUGCGUAUUACUGUGUAUGCACAAUGUCGAAAUUAAGGUCACUAAUGUGUAACUCAGUAUUCACAUCGGUACCCUUAAUGUUGCAAUACAGGUCUUACCAUGAUAAAAAUUGCCCAAUUGGUAUUUUAUUUUCUGAUGCUGAUUAGUGACACGACGUAACACUUAUUAUUUUAUGUAUCGAUACUAAAAAUAUAGUUCAACAAAUUUUGUCCAUACGAUUGACAAACUGUUCAUAUAUUGUUACAAUUCGUAAGUUAUUAUUUACCUCUUUGUUCGUUCUGAGUUACAACAUACAUAAAAUUUCUGGUCGAAUUUGAAAUCUCCUAUAGAGCAUUGGAGCAGAAGGAGGUACGAACCGGUCAUAGAGGUAGUAAAUUUGGGUCAUACACCGACCAAGGUCAUAGAGUGUUACACAUCUGACUCUUGGCCAAGAAACUGUUGCAUAAUUUGGGCUGUCAUACCUCCCUGUGACAGUGUAACUGUGCAUGCACACAGUGAAAUGUACAUGAAUCUAAGGUGUAACUCUGUAUCCACGUGACUCUUAAAAGUUGGUGGACAGGACCAAAAUAUGAUAAAAGCUGCAAACAUGUGUUGAAAUCUGUAAACGAUUGGCAACAGCACGUAACACGUAUAUUCACUGUCGGUACAACAAAUCUGGCCUGGAAACGUAACAAAACUUAUCCGACAUGGUUCAGGCACUGCAUGUGGGUCUACAGUCUCUUCUCCCGUGAUGUACUAGUUGCCCUCAUAUGCGUUCGUGAAGAUCUCAUUAUUUUAAUGAGAUGUUCGAGAAAGUCUCGCUACGCAAUGUUUUGGGGUUCGAAACGAUCAUCGUAACUAUUCUCAAUAGAUACUUAAUAAAGUGUCUAAGAAAUUUAAUGUGUCAGUGGGAGGAAUUAUCGUUUCUACCAAGGGCAAUAGCACAAACAAGAGAAGAGAAAAGAUUCAUCGAAUAUUAACUAGUUGUAUUAUUACUAGUUGUAAUAUCGGGGAAUAUUUAGUUGGAAUAUUAUUCAGUUUUAAAUAGAGCAAACGAAAAGCUGCUGAUUGCAAAUUCAUUAGUUAUAAUAAAUUGUAACAUACAGCUAACUGGUUGUAACGCAAUCCGUACAUAGUGAAACGUACAGGUCACUGAUGUGUAACUGUUUAUCCACAUGACCCUUAAUAUUGGUGUACAGGUCAUUUCAUAACAAAAGCUGCAAAAUAUGUUUUAUUGUGUGAACAGAUUUGACACAAUUCAAUGGCAUGCAUCGAACUCUACAGCUUCCACUGCCACGACAAAAUUGUUUGGUCUGGAAUGCGUUGUCCAGUGAUAUUUUACUACAUUGUGAGGGUCCUGCGGACUAUAAAAGGGCGCGGUUGCAGUAGUAUAUCCCUCAACAACAAAGAUUUUUCCGUCAACCUUUCACUACUACACAAACAUUUUUCAUUUUCAAUAACUUCACACUUCCUAUUUCAUUCUACCGUCUGGGUGGCAAUGAACCCGUGCAUGAAAUUUAUUAUUAGUAUUCUUCAACCCUCCUCUAACCUCAAUUGCAGUGUCAUCAAUAGAGGGUUCACACUGAAAUCAAGCUCUUGGGUGCCAAAUAGCAGCCAGUAGGUUGCAUGAUGUUCGAGAAGAUCUCGCUAAUUUAAUGAGAUGUUCGAGAAGGCCUCGCUACAUCAAUUAUUUUGGGGUUCGAAUCGACCAUCUCUAUGUUCUCAAUAGACACUUAAUAAAGUGUCUAAGAAAUUGUAUGUGUUAGAGGGCCGGACUUAUUGUUUGUGCCAAGCGCAAUUGCGCAAACGAGAGAAGAGGAAAGGUUCAUCGGAUAUUAACUAGUUGUAGUAUCACUAGUUGUAAUAUCAGGGAAUUUCUAGUUGUAAUAUCAGUAGAUUUAACUAGAUAAGACGAAAAACUGCCGUUUGCAUAUUCAUUAGUUGUAAUCAAUUGUAACAUAUACAUAACUGGUUGUAACUCAACAUGUACAUGGCGUAAUCAAAAUUUGUUGCAUUUUAAAUAUUAGUUACCCUACUUUCAAAUUACUUGUCCCAACGAAGUAUCAUGUUCUUCUGCGAAACUGUUACUUAUUAUGUGGUCAUGUGGAACCAAGCCAAGCCGCCAAUAUCAAGUUCAUUUCUGUACUGAAUGAGUAAUACAUAUUGAAGUGCCUGUAAUACUAUCUGUAAUACUUAUCGUUAAUACAAUUGUAAACAAAUUGUCUAAAUUUUAACAUAUAGGCAAAUGACAAGGUGCCUGUACAAGAACAUCAAUAAGAGGUAACAUCUUAUUAACGUCCUGUAAUUUACGUAAAUACUGGUGGUAACUUCUUGUUACACAGGAAAAGUAAGGUGACUGAUGAAUAAUUGGGUAUUCACCUGACCCAAUUGUUCUUGGAGUACAGGUCAUGGUCGAAUCAAAUUCAACAAUUAUUUCAUCCACACACUAUACAUUUGACUACACGUUGAGUCUAUUGUCUCGUUAAUAGGUGGUGUCAUGCCUUCAUCUACUCACCCAGGAGUACCAUCCCGUGGAGAACAACAUGAAAUGACAUAGCAAGCAGUUGGUCAAGUUGUCGGAAGAAACCAUUUACUAUGCAUGGUCUUAAAUAGGUGCUCUGUUUAAAAUUUCUACCUCUUUUUUUCUAUCACCUAAUUCUUUAUCAGUAGAUCCUUCCUUUCAUCCAACCAAAAAACAGUAGGUAUUAGCAUAGUCAUGCAAUCCACAAACGAAGGGUCUCAUACAAGCUCACCAUCAAAUGUUCGGCAAAAAAGACGGAAAGUAUCAUUGGAUCCAACAAAUGCCAUAAGCAAGUAUGAAACACCAGAUGGGAGGAUUUUAUAUGGUACCAAACGCGAGUUCAGGAACGCUCCACUUAACACCAACAAUUCUCUGGGACUAGCUGGUCACAUUUUUCAAAAUACCGUCAACGAUCAUCUACCGCAUGGCUAUUUCGUUAUGGACCAUGAACCCAUAUGGGAGCCUGUUCGUGAGCGAAGAAUGGAAUUAGAGGUAUUUUGUCGCUGGCAUUGCAUCCGCAUCCCGAGAACAAGGUCAGCGGAUCUUGUUAUAGGACCACAAGCCAAUGAUGCAAGCGUAUUACACAGACUACAGCGAGAAGUUAUGCAGACGGAGCGUAGGCUUCACAGGUUCCACGAGAUCCAGGCCGCAAAAAAACAUGGUAUUGGAAAACAAUUUAAUGUUCAGCACAUUUUAGCAGAUCCCAUGCUUAUAUCCGAUCCGGACCUAUCUGACUUUAUUGAAUCAAGCGACGAUGACUUUCAAAGGUACAUACCCCAUUGUCUAAUGCAUGACGGCGUUCCCAGGUGUUGUAUGGGAUACAACUGAUAACAAGAGAUGUAGUUCAAUGUUUGUUAGGGUAGCGGUAAAACUAUACUCAUUAUAAUCUCUACUCAAACAAAUUGCUUACCAUAUUUGGAUAUUAAUCAUGAUUGUUAAACAGUCGUAAUUAGUUGUAACGUAACAGUAACAGAUCCCUAACUGGUUGUAACCCAUUGUGUACUGUUCGUUCUUCCUUUUUGUUGCAUUGUAAUCCACUUGUCUAAAUUUGAAAAGAGUGAAACAUCAAUGGUGCCUGUAUAACCUCGUCAAUAAGUUGUAACAGCUUACUAACUGCUUGUAACGUACAUAUGCAGCAUUCUCAAGUUGGGAUAACCACUUAAUGUCUCGUUCAAAAUGUACAGUUACACAUCAUUCAUCAACCUCAUUUUGGGGGGAGGCGACGUCAACGCGUAGUUGCAAUCCCUGUGUGUUAUUUCUUCCCUGAAAUGCGUAACGAUGGCAAAUCAGCAAAUAUUAUUAAUAAAACAUAUGAUUAAUGAUAUACGAUGUCCAAGUCUCCAAUUAAUAACAUUACAUAAAUAUGUGCUGUAACGAUAAAAAUUUGUCACCUGAGGUGAUGGUGCAAAUGCAUGAUAUGCAUCAACAUCACAGUGUGUUGAAAUUGCCCCACGCUCCUCCUACAUUAUAUAAUAUAAGUAAUCGACUGUCAACAAAUCAUUACCAGUGCCUAUAUUGCUCACUUAUAAAGUUAAAUUGGACUAGACAUUAUAACAAAAAUGAUAUAUCAGACCAUUAAGACAUCUCUGACGGAGUUAUGCUUGGAAAAAAUAGAAAAUCUGGGAUGCAUCCAUUCUGUAGGGACACUUGCAGGAGGCCCCUGAUUAGCGAAACGGUGGACCUUGAAAUAAUAAAAAAUAAUACGUUAUUAAAGCGAGCAUACAUUAAUUACAUAAUUUGCAUGAUUUGACAGCCUUCGGGAGCUCACCGUUACAAUUAAAGAAAAAAAGGUAGCUCUAUUACAUGAACAAGAAGGUUUUAUUUUAACUACUAAAUGUAUGCAUACCGUUUGAUUUUCAUCGAUAUCGGGAGCAACAGCAUUUGGAGGGCCAUUCACUGUCUGACUCAUUGAAUGCGUCUACAAGUUUCGUAUGGGCAAAAUCAUUGUAUAACACAAAUAAAAUACGUAUAUCAGGAGGGAUGACGGCCGUAACAACAUUAUCACAUAAUGUAACAUCAAUGUAACUAUUUAGGCUGUUAGAAACAUCCAGAUAAAAGCAAGAGUCAUGUCCCUUUUAUACUAACCGAAACAGAGUCAGUAGAUGAACGGCAUCCCAUAAACAUGUAUUCCUCAAAUGAAACCGAUGUCGGCUCCGAUUCUGAGACCUACAGUAUUGACACGGUAAUAAUAUUAUUUCAUAAUGAAUGUUACCUAAACUUUAGUUAAUAGUAUAACAAUAACUUAAUUUUAGCAUAAAUGUUUCCCAAGUACCAAAUUUUGAUCCAUACCGUAGUCUGUGUAGUCCUUGAUAAUCUAGAUUUUCUUUUUACUCUGUCAAAUUUAUCGACCCAACUUCGCAUCACUCUACUUUUCUUCCCACAGCCUCGUUUUUUAAUGCCUCUUGCGACUACUGCCUCCCCCAUUUCAUUUACAAUUUCAAUUUUAUCUCGUUCCUCCAUAUUCAGAUUUUUUUGAUUUUGCAAAGGUUGCUCUUCACUUUCUGAGAGGAGGAGCUCAACUCUCUUUGACAAAUCGGAUAUGACAGUGAUUGCUACUUUGCUGGUGUCCUCCGACAUUGCUGCUCGAGUUGCGACCUUAAUCAUGGCUGGAGCGAGCUCCCGAUAACGAGUUGAAAUCAUGACUUUAGAAUCAGUCACAACUUCCUGUCCUCGCCGAUCAAAACAGUCUCCAGCCCGAGCUCUUUUUGUCCAUCGCCUCUUAAUGUAUUCAAGAGGAAUUAUUUUUAUGCCCACGGUAUCAAACACCUUCAACGCGUGCCCACAUAAAAUGCCUUCAUUCUCGUAUUUUUUGCAACUGCAACGUACACUUAGAUCAUUCCGAUUGAAUACUACUGUUCUUUCAGGUCCUCCAUCAUACCUCAUGACCGUAAACUCCACAAACAUCGCUGCAUCUUGUUGUCUCAAUAUAACCAUAGCUGUUGACUCACCAUAUUCAUUUUGGAAUGCAACAAAUACGGUUGGUGAAUACGUCUCUGAUGCAUGCACAAGCAUAGGUGUUUGUCUUAACCCUACCAUGGGGAGCUUUUGCCUCAUUUCAUAUUCUGCGAUCAGUUCAUUAUAUCUCUUUUCAUCAACCACCCGAUUGAAAUGUCUAAAGAACUGCACAAGGUCAUGAUCCAGUUUCAAAUGAUUUUUAAUUGCUGCAUUUAGGCUUUCGCUGAGUUGGGUGCUUCGCAUUCCCGCGGUCCAUCUUUCUUUCAUCAUGCACCUUGCCCAUUUAUCACGAAUUUUGUACAACCCUGAGAGCCAUUCAUUAUUUUCAAGAUUGUGUUUCUUCACCAUCGCCUCCACACCCUAUUGAAUUGUUCCACUUCUUCAAACUCAUACAUGCAGGCACCAAACAUGUAUGGAAGAUCACUAUUUUCCUUGUAGUGAUUGCCAAGAUGUUUCAUAAAAUUACGCCUUAUGUGAAACGUACAUAGACCGUGAAAUGUUUCAGGCAUGACAAUUGAAAGAGCGGCUGCCAUGGCGUGAUCUUGGUCGGUUAGUAUGGUACUUGGAUGUUUUCCGCACAUUGCUUCUAAAAAUGUACCAAACACCCAUUUGAAAGAAUCUAUCGUCUCAUCAUACAUAAGGGCAGCACCGAAUAUCACAAUUUGCCUAUGCUGGUUAAAACCCACAAAUACUCCAAGUGGCCGGUAUUCUUUAUUUGUUUUGUAGGUUGUGUCGAAUGUGACUACGUCUCCAAAAAAGUUGUAGUCAAUUAACAUUCCUGCAUCAGCCCAAAAGAUAUUCGUUAUCUGCUCUUCACAGUCCAGCUGUACGGCAUGAAAAAAGGAUGGAUUCUCGAGUGUUUGCUCUUGAAAAUAAUUCAGCAUGCUACCUGCUUCUCCAUAUUUCAAGCUCCUUUCCCGUCUCGUUCGAAGAUAUCGUUUAAGAUCAUCCCGAGUAUAUCCCACAUUACCCAUUCCACCUGCUUCCGUUCCCAUAAGCUCAUGGCUCUGUUUCAAUGAAAGCCCAGCAUCCUCGCUUAUUUCAGCUUGGAAUCCUUGAGCCACACUCACUUUUCUUUGUGAUGGCAUCAUGUGAGCACAUUGAGCAAUGUGCAACUCAUGAUUAUGCUCUAAGACAAGGUCAUGCACACGGUACUUCAUUGUCCCUCUAAACAACACGAUAACCAUCUUAGCUCCACACCCUGUUUUCAUCGGCGCUCGUGUCCUCUUUGGCAUCACAUCACCUUCGUACUUGCGUUUCACACCUUCCUUGCAGCAACUAUAUCUCCUAGACGUGGUCACGCCGUCUUUAUCUUUAUUCAGAUAGUUUUUACGUACACUGAAACCCAUUUUAAAGGCAUACUUGUUGUAAAACUUGUACGCAUCCUCUUCACUGUUGAACUCCAUUCCUAAUUCAGGGGUCCCAUUUUCUGCCAAUUUGCUGUAAUCCAUUACUUCUACUCCUGCCAAUUAUGCAUCAAACACCCUAAUUUGCAACAUUUCAUGAAUAGUAUGUACAUAAACGACAAUAUAAAUGUAUAUUACCAUUUAUAAUGUGUUAUGAAUCACACAUUACUCGUAUACCAAAUCCUAUUAUUACGCUUAUCAAUAUGAUUAAUGAUUCACAUCACCUUACUUUUACUCUAAGACAACGACAUUAUCUAUGUACAAAUACAACUCCAUGUACACUAACUUAUACGGACUGUAAUGUAUUGGUCACACGAUGUAAGUCUAUUUUAACUGUAUGUACAUCCACGCUGGUGAUUAUAUUUUGAUUCUAGAUUCUUUAACUUACUGGACCUUAUGUCAUUCGUUAAUGACAACCGCAUAAACCAACUCCACAUUUUCUACUUUUUCUACAUUUUGAGGGCCAAACAAGUACUUUCUACUCAUUGUAAUAUAUUUCUUACAUCAUGUAAUUGACUUACAACACAAGGUUCACCCAUUUAUUAUUCACAUAUGUGUCUUUUCCUCUGUUUCACCUCAUUCAACUCUGCGCCUCUAUUUUAUGCACACUGUAUGGUUAGGAGAGGGGCAAACUAAUAUUGCUCCAUGAGCAUGGACCAAUUACUAGAUGCACAAUAAUUCAUAUCAAUUGUAAUACGGUGGCUAUAACAUGUAACUAAUUUACAACAAGAUGUAUAUUCAUUCACUUGUUAAAUGUGACUUUGUUUCUCUCAUCUUUCCCUAAUUCUAGUCGAUGGUUUACUUGAAUACAUAACCCUACUUUCUACUCAUUGUAAUAUAUUUCUUACAUCAUGUAAUUGACUUACAACACAAGGUUCACCCAUUUAUUAUUCACAUAUGUGUCUUUUCCUCUGCUUCACCUCAUUCAACUCUACGCCUCCAUUUUAUACACACUAUAUGGUCAGGAGAGGGGCAAACUAAUAUUGCUCCAUGAGCAUGGACCAAUUACUAGAUGCACAAUGAUUCAUAUCAAUUGUAAUACGGUGGCUAUAACAUGUAACUAAUUUACAACAGGAUGUAUAUUCAUUCACUUGUUAAAUGUGACUUUAUUUCUCUCAUCUUUCCCUAAUUCCAGUCGACGGUUUACUUGAAUACAUAACCCUAGGUCUUCCAAAAACUACUAUCCCAUUAUAGUCCAUCACUGAAAAGCUGAAUGCUCACACACACACAGAUACGGUACACACAUACAAAUACAGUACAACUUCACUAUUCUUCUAUCAUUUUCAUAUUAUGUCUUCAGUGACUCUAAUUUCAGCCUUCCUUUAACAGAUGUGCAUUUGGGUGAUAAAUUAUUGGUCACAAUUACUGACAUGGUUCAGUCAUGUUACCUUGGUCUGCUAAUACGCUUCACGUUUCACCGAAGUCGGAGACGUAGCUGCUUCUGCUAUUAAGUUGAAGGACAAAAUCUGGUUUCGUGAGAUGCUGAAUUUCCUCUAUUUGCUUCUACCUUACCGCCGCUCUUGCACGCAUUCAGAAUACAUACAACACUCUUAUACCCAAUUGGAGACCACAACUGCUUCUGCUAUUCAGUUUUACGGAUAAACUUUGGCUUCAUCUCUGUUUGCUUCUUCCAUGCCGCCUGCCUCUCCACCCACUUUUCUGUCAAUUGCUACCUUCAUCAGAGUAGACUACACCCACUUCACCUAGAAACACCUAGUAGGUUGAAUCCCACCUGAACUUCAGCUUUCUGCUUUCAGUGAGUGGUUGGUCAGAGUAGAUUACCUUCACAAGCACAUGAAAACGCUUCCCUCAGUUUUGUUUUCUGCGGCUAAUUCAAAAUUUCAACUUGAAUUUCAAAAACCAAUUCUCUUCCGUUUGCUCCGUCUGCUCCCGUUUAGAAGUCAACAUUUUUUUAUUUGGAACGGCAUCGUUUUUGUGCCCUGCUUCAGCCUUGCUGACUUGGCUCAUUUGUCUCCUCACGUUUUUUAUUGUGAGGAGACCGUUCAGGAGCGGUCGUCUGAGGACCGCUCCUGCCCCGUAUCCUCGCCACCAUAUUUGUACGGUAGCGUAUGCGGUGGAAAAAGAAGGCACCUGGCCGAAAUUGUUCACUCCAAUCUCCAUACAGAAGUUAACUAAUAAAAAAUGGAAAGAUUUUAGUUUGUAAUAAUUAAGAUGCAGAAGGGAAAUAAAAAUGACUAGAGAAAGGGCACUCAAUGGUCAAUAUACAAUACACACAAAAUAGCAAAAUUUGCAACAUAUCUGGUAAGCUAUGGAUGAAAUGCCCAGAUAUUUGGACAGUUUAUGCAAUGCUCUUGCCUUCUUAUGCAGUAACAUGGGCCGAGGAGCGUACAAUGCAGAAUGAAAAUGACCAUAGAAUCUGAUCAAUCCUUGACAACAUUGUUGAUUAUCUCUUUUGGAAGUUUAACUUUGCAAUAAAAUAUGAAAACAUACAGGCCAAAACAGUUGGGUACAGAAUUGAGAUAACAGCCACGACAGGUAGUUGAUCGUGAUGAAAUCCAAAGUAAUCCCUCAGAAACUUGGCUACAGUCGUAGUUUGUCCAAAAACCUGAAUCGGCUCGUGAAUAUCUCCAUACUGCGACGUAAGCAUUCCAUUCAGUGUCCAAGAUGUAGGAGAUAAAUAGUAUAGCCAUACCCACCACUUUGGGAUUUGCUGCGAAUGGAAACAACAUACUGGGUAAGAAUUGUGGCAGAAGAAGUUAGAAGUUUACUUCAAAAUGGAAUAAUCUGUUAAAAGUUAAAUUAAAUCGCUUACCGGUCGAGGAAUCAGAAAUCCAGCAAAAAGGUAGAAGAUAUUGUAAAAAGCUGAUUGUAGAACUGCAGCCAAUGGAUAGCUUGGUGUUAUCGAGACAAUUGUCAUGCCGACACAAUUGUAGCACAACAAGGUACAGAACAUGGAGUACAUGUACCAGAAAACCUUGUAAGCUGACCAAUAAUACCCAAUCAUUGGAUAUGUGAUUACCGUAAACGCCAAUACUUGGAUAAAGACAUAAGGGAUCUCAAUUAUGACCUACAAAAGCCAAUGAAAUCAUAAAAAAUCAUCAACUAUUGCUGACAGAAUCCUAUUGUGGUUGUAGCAUAUUCUUGGAGGUAAAGGGGCUAGGAGGAGCCUAUGCUCUAUAUAUGGACAUGUCACUCAUGGCUAGCUUCAGAUUGCACAUUCUUGCUGAUGAACAAGAAAUAGAGGAGUUGUAGUUCUUUGCUGCAUAUCGAGAGGAGAAAAGCCAGUAUUCAGGAAGGUAGUAUUGAAUUUAUACAUUCACUUAUUCCUGCAUUUGAGUCAUCAUGAAUAAAUGGGCUCUAGCUAUAAAAGAAUUUGAAAAGCAAUUGUACUAGGACAUGAUUAAGGAAAAUCAGGCCUCUAAAUGUGAGUUCACCAUACUAAAACUGUUCAUAUUCAAGAUGUGGAAACCUAAAAAGACUCUAAAUAUCAACAUCAGUGAUAUACAGUACCAUCGAAUAAAGUACAUGACUCUUAAAGUUGUACCUGAGCGAGUGUAUAAGCCCAAGUAGCAUACAUUCCUGCAAAUCUUUCUCUGUAUAAAACAGUUCGCUCAGUGCUGACAUAUGGCAAAAUUGUAGAUGAAUUAAAUACACCACAAAAGAACAUUGCGGAGAACAUCGAAGCAAGCAUGUUGAAUAAGCUCUGCUGAUCUUUCCUGCAAAAUAAAGGAAAAUCAGAGUCAGCCACUUGAUCCUCAAUAUAUCAAAAGAUUUCAGAUCCCAGAAGUUCAAAAGAAAUACUAUUCUCUUCUAAAGAAAAUGACAAGCACAAACUGUGACUCAUUCAAGAAUAAAAGCUGGUCCACUUUGCUAAGUGUAUCAGAAAUUCACGCAUUUACAUAGGCCAAAAUCAUAUAAUCAUGCUACUCUGUUAUUCGCUAUAGAAGCAAGAAAGUAGUAGCACAUUAGAUCUAGGACACAAUGAAGGAACUAACUGCUGGCUGUAGUUUCUCAAAUAGAAACCACAGCUUAGCAUUUUCUUCUGAAAAAUCUCUGCAUUAAAAUACUUACAUCUUUUUCCCUUGCUUCCAAAAUAAUGCCCCGAAAAUCAGAGAUGUAAUAAACAUGAAUAAGAAGCGCGUCCAGUUGUAAGAAGGACUUCUCCAGUAAGACCAGUGUUGUUUCCAGAGACAAGUUUUGAACUGAAUCCAACCAUUUUGUGCAAAGUGCGUUGGGAAAUCCAAAGCUUUAUGACCAAUAGGUGGCGUGCUCAGGGUAUUCGCAAGUUCUUUGUUAAUCCUAUGACCAAUAAGAAAAGAAGGAAUAAAGAAGCAAUGUUACUCUUGAGGAGCAUUCUGAGAUCAAUGACACUGGAAAGAGAUUCAAGUUUUCAAGUGUUUUUUCAUCAUUGUGAUGAGUUUAAUGUUUUGAUGUAUCUAGAGUAAGUUAAGUUCGCAUGUUGUCCUGUUUGGUGGUGUUGCUUUGCGUCCCACUCCAUGUUAUAUUCAUCUUCAUUUAUUCCAAUAAAGCAGGUAGGAAUGUAUGCUGAACCCCACAUCACUUGGAAGUAUGAUAUGCAAAUUCUUCAAUUUGAACUAUUAACAUUCUAAGUGCUACCAAAUGGGCCAUGACUGCAAUUUUAGUUACUGAGAGAAUUUAGUUAGACUAGUAGAGUGACAAUCUUGUGAAAACAAGGAAGAAGAUGUACACCGAAGUUAAAACAAGCACGAAUUGGAAGCUAUCUAAAAACUCGGUCUUGGGUUGGUAAAAGAGAAUGACGCAGUGGCGCUCAUAUGGAUGCAGUAGCCUCUCUAACCUGGUUAAAGAUGCCACAUUUCUUGAAACAUCUAUUUGUGGGAUUACUAAUUAAAAGUGGAAUAAUACUGUUUGGAUAGAGUAUUAUUUGAAAUAUUAUUUGGAAUAAUUACUGUAACAUUUUUUGUAAUGUGAUGUAAGUGAAAUAAAAAGAUAAUUAGAAAUAUAAAAAGUGAGUUGAGAAAUGUGUUUAGAAUACAAGCGAAAUAUUAUUUGAAAAAAUUUGAUGCAAGUAACGAAACAGCACAUACUGUAAUUUUGCAAGCCAGCCUCACUUUAAAUAUUGGAUAAAUUACACUUUAUCUCUUGUGGUAUAGCUAAUUUUCACAUAAUCCCCCAUAGUUUUAAAAGUUAUAUAUAAUUCCCUCAUAAUUUGAAUUAAAGUGUCAAAGUGACGGAAAUGGUUAUUCAUAACGGAACCUAUGAAAAUGUUGAAAUUACCCUUGUUUAAAAACUAAAAUGGUUGAAGUGACCAAAAUAUAUAAACAUAAUAUGCAUGACACUCUAACUCCAUAUGAUUUUAUAUUUUACCCCAUUAUAGUAUAGUAUUUUACUAUAUAACGCUCUUAUAGUUUUCAAUAUAUAUAUAUACAUAAUCCCCCUGUGGUUAAUAAAUAAUUUUUAACUUUAUAUAGGGGUAUUUUUGACAUUUUAGUUGAUUCCGCUAUGGAUUACAAAUUCCGUCACUUUGGCAUUUUAAUCCAAAUCAUGAGGGUGUUAUAUAUAACUUUUGAAAUCAUAGGGGGUUAUGUAAUAAAACACUAAAUCAUAGGAGGGUAAAGUAUAAUUUGCCCUUUAAUAUAAGUAUUCUACCCACUUUACUGAGUAAAAAAGGCAAGCACGUCAAUGACGAAUAGGUUUAUCAGGAUAUGACUCAAUAGGUAACAACUUUAUGAAUAGGGGAGCUAUUUCCUGAUGGAAAUCAUCCAAACUCGUCCUCCUAGACACUGUUUAGAUAGCGACUACAGGACCGAUGCCUAUAGUCAUCUAAGGUAAAGUGAUUCACUUUAAAGUUUUGCAGUUUUCCAUUCAAAAAUCUUAUCACUCUUCUUCUGUUGUUUUGCAGCAAAUACACAUUGCUCACGGUUCAUAGUAUAGUGGUAAAAGUCCAGGUGGUAAAAGUCCAGGUAUACGAAUUGGUUUAUUGUACUUACUCAUACAAAGAAGAAUGCUUGUAGAUCUCAUCAAAGUCUACACCAAGCUCAGCUUCUGAAGAUGUUGAAGUGACCUCUAAAAUCCAUGUUGCUGGAUUAUAAUUAUUCCUUAUUUUUGGCACACCUGGGAUACCCUGUUAGAUAGUCCAGUCAAUCAGAUGGCACAUAAAAAUGUAUCGUCAAGAAUAUAAAACUCAACAUCCAAAAAGUGGCUUCCCAUUUUGGAAACUGACCUCAAAGUAAUCAAUGACUUCACUAGAGUUUCGACCCAAUGGUCCACUGUAGAUCAUACGUCCACCAGAUUUCAGAAGAAUUAACUGCAAUAUGUUGGAAGCAAAGUUCAUAAUUGUACUGAUUGUGAUGUUCAUGAAGUACUUAGCGGAAGACUGGUGAUUUGUUAUAAUCAAACAUGGCAUGUAAUAUAAGAGAUUUGGACGCUGCAAUCAUUAGGCAAGACCCUUUCAUCUUAUCCAACCAUGAGACGCAAAAACAUUGACAAUGCUACAUAAAUUGAAUAGUUGCAGAUCUUGGAAAACCAAGAAGUUAAGCCAUUCAUCAAGUCAAACACAUUACUGACCUAUACAAAAGAAAUUCCAGGCCAUAGUGCUUUUCCUGGUUAGCUUUUUAUAAACAGCUUUACGUUCAUGUUUACAUCUUCAAAAAACAUGAUUCAGCAACUACUAAAUCUUUAUCACUUUUGACAUACUCAGGAAUGAUGUGUAAUAAGUCCGCCGAGCAAUGCUUCUGGCUACCACCUUUUGUUCCAUGAAGAAGUUUUAAAAUAUGUAUGCCAUCUUGAGUACGGAUAUUAAUAUCAAUUCAGGAUGCUUUCUCAAAUGUCAGUUUCUAUUUUCUUUUUCUGAAUCUAUUCUCAAUUGUUAGACCUUAUUUAGGAGCAACUACAACCCCAAAUGUUGGCUAACCAUUUGCAGUCAUUUUUUGAUAGAUGGCUGAUUAGAUUAUUAGCCUCAGCUUUACAUUCUUGUUUACAUCUUCAAAAACAUGAUGCAGCGGCUACUAAAUCUAUUCUCACUUUUGACAUGCUCAGUAAUGCUGUGUAAUAAGUUCAACCGAAUAAGAGGCCUUACUGAAAUGUCAAUUUCCGUUCUCUUCUGAAUCUAUUUUUCAUAUCGUUAGAUCCUAUUUAGUAGCAACAUCAAUCGCAGAUGUUGACUAACCAGCUGCAGUUGUUUCUUGGUAGAUGCUUACCUCAUCAAAUGCUUCAAAUAUGUCAAUGCCUGGUUGGUGAAUAGUGCAAACAAUUGUUCUUCCCGUACUAGCCACAUUCUUUAUAGCUCGCAUUACAAUAGCAGCUGCUCUUGCAUCUAAUCCAGUUGUAGGUUCGUCCAGGAAGAAAAUUGAUGGGUUAGCAACAAAUUCAACAGCAAUUGUGAGCCGCUUGCGUUGCUCAGUCGACAAACCAUUAACGCCUGGAAUGCCCACUAGAGCAUCGUUUAUCCCAUCAAGUUCAAUGGUCUCAAGGACCUCUUUGACAAAAUCCUACAGAUAUGAAGCCACUAUUUUAUGUUAAAUUUCAAAAAACAGAUACAAAAGCAAAACAAUUAACCAACUUUCUUGAAGGUAGUACCAUACAAUUUUAGUUUUCGAAUCUAUCUGCGGAUGAAGGCGUAACCAAGCAGAAAAAAGGACAGAUUCUUCUACAGUAAUUUGAGGGGAAUGUAUAUCAGUUUGCUCACAAUAACCCGAGAUUCGAGCAAAGGUCCUUUGAACUUUGGGAAACCCUCCAAUUUUUAUCUCUCCUUCUGUAUACCCACUAGUUUUUCUACCAGCAAGCACAUCAAGAAGAGUUGUUUUUCCAGCUCCGCUGACUCCCAUAAGUGCUGUAAGAACACCAGGCCUGAGGGUCCCUGUAAUAUCACAAAGAAGCUGGAGCCUUUUCUCUGGGAAACCUUGCUCUUUCAUAGCCUGAAACCAGAUGAGCAGUGAAUUGAUUCAUAUAAUUAGCCCAACUUAACACCCUAAGGGAACCCAAAGUUUGAUAAGAACAGUUGCAAUUACCAAAGGAGUAUCAACAUAGUACUGCAAAUCUUGGAACACCACAGUUAGUGGCUCAAAAGGUAAAGCCAUUUUGCCUGCUGAACAAGAUAAGGAACCUAUUUUAGUUCUAGAAAAUAAGUACCUAAUGCUCAGUACGAAGAGCAACUUGUACAGUCGCAACUGCAAAAUAGUGGAAGUAAUUGGCUAAAACCCACCAUUUUGAGAUUCAGUAGCUGGAGCACGGGCAGGAUUUGUUAAUUUUUCCUCUGCAUGCGCUAUAACAUCCAGUUUCUUAGUUCUCUGUAUUUGAAAGUACUUCUCUCUGGAUAUCAUAGCACGAGGACUAACAGCUGCAAGCGUCCCAGUAAACGACAAGUUGAUUAUGCAGUAAUUUGACAUACCAGGCUUGAAAUUGUCAGUUAGAUGAACUUACGGUUUAAAAAUGUUAAGGCCAAAGUGUAACCAAGAUUGAACAGUAAAGUGAAGCCGAACAAAGCACCAAGUGAAAUCCAGAAAAAGUAUGCGUCAAAGUUCAAUCCUCGGGCAUCAAGCGUUUCUUGUCCAACACUGGUAUUUGUUGGAAGCAUCUAUGCGGGCAUGAAAUUAAAACAAUCAUGAAAAGAGAAAAUAAAAAGCAAAGUUUGAACAUAAAACAUACAACGGAUAGUGAAAUAGGUUGUCAUAACAAGGCUGGUAACUCCAUAGACACAUGCUAAUGACAGUUUUCUCAUCCAUAAGGUAGCCCUGAUCUAUCAUUAAAGGUCAAAGGAUAGUUUUUGAUGCGUAUGAUAAACUGAAUUAUAACUCAACACCAUUCAGGGAGAAGUAACCCAAAAAAUUAUCAAGGAAAAGGACAGAAAAGUAGGUCUAUGGAUGCAAAAUUUCUGUAAGUGGUAAUUUCAAAUGAAUAAUGAGCACUCUGAAUACAAGAUUGUCAGAAGUUGGAGUAGCCAAAUUAGAAUAUCUGCAGAAGAUCAGUACUUUUCAUUCUUUUCUAAACCCUUAAAGUGAGUUAUGCUAGGUAGCAUGAGGCAAAAAAACCAGUCUUACAUGCUAGGAACAUGAAUUUGUAAUAUUAACUAGUACUCUAAUUCGGGUUCUUUAUGUCUUGAUUAAGGAUAUAUAUAUAUAUAUAUAUAUACAUAUAUAAUGUGAGUUGCAGCAUCAAAAAGGUAAAACCAAAAGAGCUGCUUGUGUAACUAGCAUUUAGCUUGUGUUUAGCCUCCCAUGUUUCAGGACAAAAAAUGCCCAACCAUAGCCCUGGAUUAGAAGCAUGAGUUUGAAACGAACUCAAGUAAGCACUCAUUUGUUGUCAAGAAACUCAAUGCAAAACUAAUGUCCUUAAUACAUUGAGAUGAAUGGUUACCUUCUUCCAACGUGGGGAAAGAAAUUCAUUUAGAGUAAGGCCAAUCUCACCAUACGACAGUGGAGAAACCCAAAAUGCCCACUUUAGCCAAUUUGGCAUGGUGGCUGCAAUAAAAAAAACUUGUCAAUUCGACCACUUUUCCCUCUUAAAGUUAGUUUCAGAACACUGGAAUGAGAUGAAAAAGUGCAAAAAAUCUUACGCCUGGGGAUUAUGAAGCCACAGAAGAGAAAGACCAAUAACAGUGUUAAGAGACCAACCAUUGAGGCAACAACCACAGUGCGGCAUACAGAUGCAACAAACCGAUACAUGGAUAUCGAUGCCAUGUGAACAGCAAAUAAUAAAAUUAAAUGGCGAAAGAACCUGGUAAAUACUGGCACUCAGUUAGAGAAUAAUCAAGCACUUCCAUUCAGUCAAUGAUUCAGCAAAACUCAAAUGCUUCUAGGCCUUGUACCAUGUCACUUACCUUCCUACCUCAGGAUCGUAUCCAAUGACAUAAUAAGUCAAACAUGUCCAAACUACAGCUUCCAACAAUGAGAGCGGAAGCUUCAGAAUGGCACUUGGAAUUGCAUAAGCCCAAGCUGGGUAGAAGAGCAGAUCUCUCUGUUUGUAGAAAACUGCAAGUCUUGUAACAGUCAUUGACAACUCUGGAAGUCCAUCAACAACAAGAACGCCACCUGCAAAGAACAAAGCUCCCAUGUACUUGUUUGCAUGAAGAAGAUCAAGGCCCAUCCUUGUCCGCAAAAAUAUUGUCAUUGUGAUGGAUGCUGAAAUGAAAAGCUGCAAAAGAAAAUAACUGAAUACUCUAUCGUACUUUGAAAAGAAUGUCGACAGAAGAACCGAGAAUUUUAUAAACAGUUAAUACAAGUUAAAAAGGAACACAUUUUCAAAGGCAAACAAUGGUGAAGAAACAAUAAUAAAUGUGUUUUGGCUAACCUGAACGGACUUGAAAAUGUAGACAAAGCGAUUCCUUUUCAUCAACAAGAAUUCUCUUGAUAGACAAGCCCUAAAAAGCUCCCAUUUAGGAAGCGAAUAUGCUGUAAAAUUCAUAGCAUCCUUGCGGCUCUUGGACUUCACUAAUGUUGCUGAUAGUUGUUCUGUUAGCUUCUUGCCGUGAGAAGAUUCUCUAAAUUUUCUUGAAAAUGCAUCAAGAGAGACAUAAUUGUAAGUUUCUUCAGUAGAAUACCAGUACUGUGCUUGAUCCUUUUCUGAAAUGACCUAUAAAGUAUUGAACAAGUAAGUUUGAGGAAACUGCAAUGUGGUGAAAAGAACAUGAAUGCCACCACUUGUUUACCUCCUGCAGGAAGUCCGCUACUCCUUUUCUUUCAGGACACCUAAAACCACAACUCUCAAAAAAUUCUAGAGCAGUGCUUCGAGGUCCAUGAUAGACAAUCUUUCCUUCACUCAUCAAGAUGAUAUCAUCAAAGAGAUCAAAUGUUUCUGGAGCAGGCUGAAGAAGUGAAAUGAGUAUGGUAGCAUCUAGGAUGUGUGCUAGUUGCUGAAGGUAAGCAACAAUCUGAUAUGUGGUUGAACUAUCCAAUCCAUUUGAUAUUUCAUCCAUGAAUAAAGCUCUUGUAGGGCCAACAAUCAUUUCCCCUGCAUAAUAGAAUUUGUAUCAUCAAAUGUUCCUUUCACACUUUCAUUCCAAAGAUUGAGCUGCUAGGAAGCCUAGAAACAUUCUUAUUGUACUUGUCUCAACUUAUGAGCCAAGUUGUUGAAUACAGUAACAUAUGGGCGUGUUUGGAUACCAAAAUUUUUCUAAAUAUUAUUUUGCUUGCAUCAAAAACAUGUUUCCCUAUCUCCUUUUAUAGGUAACAAAAGUACCAGUUGUCAAUCUCUUUUUCUGACCACCAGAGAUACCACUCCUCAUCGCAUCUCCUACUAGUGUGUCAGCACAAGUAUCAAUUCCAAGUAUCUGAAAAAAAAAGAUGCACAAUCAUGAACAUAGUAACAUAUAAUGGAUUUUGUAUCUAAAUUUCCAAAAAAAAAAAAAAAACCUUUAAAAGGAGUGAUACUUUUAGAAUGUAGUCUGUUUGGAGCGUUGUCUUUUGUCCUUCAGCAGAACUGGCCUGUAAAAUAACCAAAAGUUAAAGAUGAGACAGACUGAAAGGAAGGAGGUAAUGAGAGAGAGAGAAUGUGUGUGUGUGUGUGUGUGUUUGUUUUAGUCCCUGUAUGAACAAUCAGAUUCCAAAACUACCUUCAUGUAGGUAUCAAUUUCUGGAUCAGGAAGAAUUCCGGCCUGUUUCUCCCGUCGACUCAGCUGAGUCAUUAUCUCUUUACAAGAUUGAAAGCCAUAAGUAAUUUUCUCAUCAGCAUAGUAUACACAUUUCUAUCUAAAGGGGCAUACCUCCUCUGCUUCCAACACCUUGACAGCGCAAUGAGAAAUCAAGCGUUUCCCUUACAGUCAUUUCACCAUUAUGCAGAUCAUACUGGCUUAUGUAAGCAGAAGUCUUUUGAGGCACAAAUUCUGUUAAUUUGUAUCCAUUGUACGAAAUGUCCCCAGUUACCUGCUAAUAAGCAGAGUUUUGAUUAUAGAUACUAUGCACUGAGCUCUUACACUGUCAAAACUUCUAUUCUUGUCAGUUUGAAGGAAAAGCAAGAGAACAUCUGUGCGAUGGAUUCUGAAUGAUCCUAAUAAGCCAAAUUCCUUGUGUCCCUAGCACUUGAGAAUCCUACUGCUAGCUUUCAUCAACAAGGUUCUAAAAGCUUUUACAGCAUUAUAAUAGCCUUUGAAUCAAUUAAAUCAAUUACUACAGAACAGAAUACCUCUGCAAACAUAUAUGAAUGCUCGAAGUUUAUAAGUUAUUCAAAGCCAAGAUAGACUAUAAAUGUCAUUGUUCAUAACAUGUCUAUCUUCCAAAUAGAUCUUUUUUCUUUUUUAACCCCCCCACACGUAAUUUUUAGAAUCAUCGAGAUCUAAAAACAGGAUCUCGUCUUUGUCUCCCGAGUUGCUAUAUCGUUUCAACAAAAAGAAUGAGUACUAUAUCAAUAUCCGUUGAGAUGAAACAUAGAGCAUGUGAGGACCUUGAGUGAUUUGUUAAGAUUUCCAGAAAGUGCCUUUAAUAGUGUGGUCUUCCCACAUCCUGGAGGACCAAGCAGGAGAGUCAUUCUGCAUUUAGAACUUACAUAUAUAAGUACCAUAUCCUGCUGCAUCAGGAGUUUACAUAUAUAAGACAAGAUAUGUAAAUAAAAUUCAAAAGGUUACAGUGAAGAGUUGAACGCAUAUCAGUGACUUUGAACAUAAUAAAAAAAAAAACAACAGAAAUUGUAGUAGCAUGAAAAUAUGUAACAGAUACGGGAUGCACACAGAAGCAAACAUUAACAGGCCAAAGAGACAAGACUCUAAUGUCAGAAUAAUGUUUUAGAAUUGCCCGAAAUUUCUGAAAAUAACUACAAUAUUCUUAACGGCUUGAAAAUUCUAUGAACUGACUAAGAGAAAAGUUUUGUUAGCAUACCUUCCAGGCUUAAUGAUACCGCUAACACCAUCAAUGAUACUGAUCUUUGAUACUCGUGACUCAAGACCUGGAAGCCUUGUAACAUCCUGUUGAUGGGAAUAAAUCACUAUUAGCUUAUAAGGGAGCCGCAUAUAUAACUCAGAAAAACUGCUGGAAUGAUGCUUUAAUACUUCAAGGGCAUUAAAUAAGUAUAUCCUCAUUCUAGUUAAGCAAAGGACACAAUCAAGAUAUUUAUUUGUAAGAGCUACUGAAAUUGGAACGAAUGUUAAUUUUUGUUCUGUGAUAGAUAGAUGCAAACGUCUACAGCUUUGAAUUGAUGCCAUGAUGUGGAUCAAAUGUAUUAAUAUUCCUUUUGAGUGUGAUCUAAGGCUGCUGCUCAAUCAAUCCCGUCCCAUAAAUAUCCAUGACUGUUUAUGUCCUGGGCAAAUCGAACCACAGGCUAGUAAUGAAAAAAUAUUUUAACAUCACACCCUAAAAGUUCGUUUUCAGAUUAGCUAGAAUGCCACUCUAAUGUAAUUUAGUCGAGAAAGAAUAGAAACAUUGUUACAUCCUAAAGUUAAUCAUUAGAUUCUCCUGACUUGAAAAUUUGUACAGAAAGUUUGUUUAUCAAGUUCUCUUUCAGCAUUGAGUUAAAUACUGAGUCAAAUCAAAGAUGCAACCUUAGGACACUAUUGUAAAAUGACGAACUAGCAGCAAAACAGAAGCCGAACAUAUACUUACCGGAAGACUGCUUUUAAAGGAAUUCCAAAGAGUCGGGAGAGGCUUUCCUUCAACUACUUCACACACAGCUUCUACAUGUAGAUCAUUAUAUCUUACUUCCACUGAAGGAAAUUCUAAACCAACUCUGCAAAAAUCAAUUGAUAACUGUAACUUUUGGCAUUGAAAGCUAUAUUCAAACAUAAUCUAACAUGACAAGGAGAAUCAUUAGCUAUUGAAAAAUAAAUCACUAACCUUGUUAGCCAGAACUACAACUUACAAACAGAUCAGUUUUACUGUAUCCUUAGAGGUUUUCGCUUGUUCUUUUUAGAGUCAUAACAAUAUUCAGACAAAGGAUACUAACCAUGCACGUAUUACAUUAACUUAUUUGACAUCAAUUAUAGAAUCCUCGCUAUUCUGCAUAAAAAAGAGAAGAAACAUUACUUGUUCAUUCUUUUUCUCAUGUUCUGCAGCAGCCGAAGGUUGUCAUACUCAAUGUGUUUAAUUAGCCUCUCAAUGAACAUAUGCCUUUCCAGAGCACUGAGCUUAGUAACAUCAAUCGCCAUUUUUCUUUUACCUGCAGCUUCAUUGUCAUCAGGCUGAUCAAACAAAGAUGAUCUGAGCCGUUGAACAGUAGGCAGCCUUUCAAUAGCAGCCCAUUGCAAUGCAAUUUCUUCAUUAAGAUUACCAUCCCUUUCAGUACUCAAGACUGAACUACUACUGAAGCUAGAGCUUAGAUGCCGCAAUGACAAUCUCAAGCUUCUUUCCACUUCUGACAACUCAUUUCUUACUGACUCUAUAUCGUCUGUUUCUACCAACUGAGCCAUAGUUCUGCGGCUCUCUGCAAUGCUCAAGUCUACAUUCACUGGGAUGAAGACAUAAGAAUGCUGGUGUGUCAGCCAGUUUAUAUAAAAUCUUGCCUCCAAAAAUUGAUGACAGAUGAUCACACCUCAUCCUUAACAUUUUGCGGAAGGACACUUACCAGAUGAACAUUCUGUAAACAAGGACGUUUUCAUUGUCAAAAAACUCAUCAGUUGUGACUGUUUCUUCAAUGAAAACCUCAUAAAAGUAAUAUUCAAAUCCACAAACUUGACUUGACUUGACUUUACAUCUUAAUUAAAUCAUCUCAUCGCCAUACAAAGACUGGCAUUUCUCCGUCAAUCCUUGGUGUAUUUGAAAUCUUAUUGAAGCAGGAAUAAGGCCUUCCAACUAUCUUAUCAAAUCUGUUAUUGUUGGCCUGUUUAGAUUGAAUAUUAUCUUGGGAUCAGCAGUCCAUAAAUCCUAAUAUAAUUCAUCUUUUAGUCUAACAAAACUUGGGAAUCUUUAUAUAUAAUUAUGGAUGAGUUCCUGCGUAACUUCAAUCAUUGGGCCAUGUAACACCUGAAAUUCCUUAGAACUACAAGUAAGGAUACCAUCCAGUCAAGUUUCAACAAGGACACAUUUCAAGAAUGACCCGCCAAAAAGUUUGAAUUCGCAGAUGGAGUUGAGCUUGACCGCACCAAUUAGUGAAAGAGCAUGAAUGUUGGGAUGCACCAUCAACACUCAAAUGUAAUCAAAUCGCUUAAAAAUGGUUUCUUCCCUAAUUGAUUCUGUAACGGAGUAUAUCAUAUCAUAACUAUAAGUAAAGCGUCAAUGCUGGUUGUGAACAGUGCUUUUUGGCCAGUUUAAUUGUAAAUAUGGGUUUUGUGAAGGGUAAAGACUUUGUCCGGUUUCUUUGUUAAUUUUGCUUGUUAGAGGGGUGAUUUGGGAACUUGGCUUUUUUUGCAUGAAUUCCUGAUACAUGAUUUCAAGCGGUGGCUUUUUUCCUUGGGAAAACAUUUGGCCAGCUGUCCUUUGCUUGUUUUGCGCUUUCGUCUGGUUUCAGCGUAAAUAUUCACUUUAUGAGGGGCAAUAGUUUAGUCCGGUUUCAAUGUGAUUUCAAUGUGCUUGAUGAACAGUGACUUUCGUCUUCUUUUUCCUUCCGUCUUCAAUUGCUUGAUAAUACAGUCCGUCUGGUUUUUUUUUUCCCACAUUCACACUUUUCUUUACUUAGAAUUACAGGCAAUCUUUGUGUAGAUUGCAAUACUAAUUUGCUUUUCGGUUUAUUUGAGUAGAAGAACAGCCAUUGCAUUUCAUUGUUUUUUGUUAUCGUCGACUUCAAUAAACUAAUUCUCUUUUGUGGUGGUUGCUCAUUUCUGAACUACCAUCUUUUUUCCCUUUGCCUGCUUUGGAGUUAAUGUUCUUUUCUAUUCAUUGGAGCUCAAUGAAUCCUAUUAAGUGAGGUUCUUUCUGUUUGUGGUGGUGUGAUGCAAAUUAAUGACCAGUGUUUCUUGCUACAAAAUGAGUAUUUCUUUGUUUAUUCGGCGUAUUAAUUCUGAGUACGUUCCUCCUAAUUUCAUUUAUGCAUUUCUACAUUUCUCUUGACUUGCUCUUUAAUUUGCUGCGUAGAUUAGAUGUUUGCUGUAUUGUUUCUUGUACAUUUUUGUUUGUUGUUUAUGCACAAGAUCAUUUUUUUUGCUGUAUGUAUUUCACAAAAGCACUUAGGAUCUCCAACAAUAGCUAAUAAAUGUAAUCUAUCUGAACAUAUGUCGACCAUAGUUAACCCAGAAAAAAAAAAAUGCACCAAGGAAUAAUAGCAUCUAAAAUUAACAUACUUUUAUUAUGUCGAAAAAACAAAUCAUCCUGGUCGUCUGAAAAGCUUCUCCUAUCAAUCUAGAUUAGCUUGGAUCACAAAAUACUAUGUGCAUGCCUACAUGCAAGCUCCCAAAUAUACAUUACAUGCAACUCCCUUCACCUGUAGCAGAAACAAAUACUUCUACUACUACAAGAACAGAAACAUCAAGUUCAAUAAAAGCGUUCGGUCUUAAUGUCAACUCAAAAAGAAUUGAUCCAAGCAUUAUUGAGCCAUUAAGGACUCGAUGAACGGUAGCUUUGCAAUAUAAUACGGUCGAGUACAGUUGUAAAGUUUCAUUCAAGACAUGAACGUCGUUAUAAUAUGCAACUGCUUAAAUCGUAUCACCCUACAAAAUAAACAUCAUGAAAAUCCCUAAAAAAAUUUAAAAAUAAAAUAGCAGCAAACAAAAUUUAAUACUUACCAAAUUAUCCACUAAAACAAGCCAUUGAUGCGUUUGAUAUUGAUACUUUUGACCCAUAUUACGACUUUGUCGAAUAAGACUUUUUCAACAAGUAUCACUCAAAGAAUCCAUCCAUGGAUAGUAGGGGUGUGCAUCGAAUUCGAAUUCGGUAAUUCGGAAGUCUGAAUUUAGAAUUUUCGAAAUUUUGGUAUAGGAAUUACCGACCGAUUUCGAUUUCGAAUUCACCAGCUCUGAUUUCGAUUUCGAUUCCGAAUUCAAUUUGGAAUUCGGUAAAUUCCGAAUUCGCCGAAUUCGGAAACCUUUUUUCCCUUUUUUUCUUUUUUGUUAGAUGUAUUGUUAUAUAAUAUAAAUUUUAUAUUCCAUAUAUUAUAAAUAUAUUAUUAUAUAUAAAUAUAUUAUUAAAAUAUUAUUAUAUACAUAAAUAUAUAUUAAUAUACAUAUUAUAAAAUGAAAUUGAAAUAAAAAAUAUUAUUAUAUAUAUAAAUAAAUAAAUAGUAAUAUAUAUAUAUUAUAAAACAAAAUUGAAAUCGGAAAUUCCGAUUUCAAAAAUUUCAUUACCGAAUUCGAACCAAAUUCGCAUAAUUCGAAAUCAAAAAUUCCGAUUUCAGUGUCAAAUUCCGAAUUACCGAUUUCGAAAAUUUCGAAUUCGGUCCAUCGAUAAAUCGAAAUUUUUCGAUUUUGCACGCCCCUAAUGGAUAGCGUCUUUAACUGAUUAACAAACACAACAUUCUGCUCCAUCACACAAAAUCUUAUAAUCAAUUGCACGUAAAUAACAAAGUUACAAACUGCUUUUCUUACAAAUAAAAUUCAACUACUACAAUGAAAUGAUUGUAAUACACAAUACAAUCCACUUUUAUAGAACAAAAAUCAAGCUUUCGUCCAAGCCAACGUACACAUUCUUCGUACCUGUCACAAAUGUUCUGAAGACUAUCAUAGGUGCCAGCCACACCAAAGAAACUUAGCACUCAUGCAUACAAUGCAAUGCAAUACCUUUGCCAUCUAGCCGAACAAUUACUUCAUAUUUUAUUCUGCCUUCCAUGCAAUACCAUAUUCAUUCAAUCUAACAAAUACAAGGUCUGACCAUAAUUCUCACAUACACCAGACAUGGCCCCCCAAAAUCCACAAAUUCUUCCAGCUGAGACAACAAAACCAAACUAUUACUAUACCAGGGCAGGGCCACGUAAGCGUGGCCCCGUGCACUAGUAUCACUGAAACUCCAAAAAAAACAAAAUAAAACCAGUGAAGAUUAUAUGAAGCUUUAUUAAGUUUGGUAAACACAUAUCCCAAUCAUCCUUUUACCUUACAUACAUCAAAUUGCUAUACUACAUUUUCCCACAAAAACUGUUAAAAAUAACAAUUCAAACACACCAGAAUUGAUAAAGGUUACUGCAAACUAAAUUUUAAACACAGUAAAAUUUAAGUGAGACAAAUGAUUGAGUUAAAUUUAGCUUAGAUACAAUUUAAGCUCGGCUUCAAACUCAAUAACUAGUCAAGUUUGAAGACUUUACUUAGUCAAUUUCGAAUUAUCCACGAGUAGCUCAGCACAUAUGCAGGCCCAACUAUUUAUUUAAUUAGGACUCUUAGGAUAUAACUUAUUAGUUUAUAAGAGAAUGAAUCUUAGGUACAUGCCAUAUCCAUAAUCUCUGGGGUCAACACCUCUCAUUGCAUAUUUUGUAGUGGUAACUGGGGCACUCUUUCGUUGCACUUCUUGGAUAAAGGAAUAAAUGCAGUUACCCAUAAAAAAAAAAGAUGGAAAAUAUCAGAUGGGGUACGGCAAUUGAGAACUUAGAAGAGUCGGAACAGCGUAGAAGAGCAACAUCUGAAGCAACCAAAAAAACAAAAAAAGGACCAGAAGUCAAAUAAAAGUUUGCAGUAGAGACUAAAUCAAAUCAAAGCAUUUUUAAAGUUGAACCUUCUGGUCAUUUAAGAAAUAAUAAAGGACUUGAUUGAAACGUUUUGUCAUCGCUUGAGUUGAAUUUUUCAUUCUCCAAAGCCUCCUAUAGGGGUAUUCGAUGUUUACCGGCAAUUCCCCAAAUUUUAAAUUAUCAAAUUGACUUCAAAAGUUUAAAAUUCGAGCAAUGAAGUUUCAUUUUUUGAAUAGAAAAAUAAAACACAUACAAAGUGAUUCAUUCGGAUGAAAGAGAUAUAGAAGCAUCAAAGUUAUAUUUAUUUAUAUUGCUUUUUUAGAUCUGUUAUGUCCAUUGAUUUCAGGUCUAUAUGUAUCUAUGUCAUAUUUGUUUAAUGUAUUUUCUAUCAUUAGUGCAGAUCUAUUUGAAUGAAAUGAUCUUUUUAUCCCAAAAAAAAAAAAACACAUACAAUUUCAUUAUCUAUGAACUGAGUGUACCACAAAUUUGGGAAUAAUGGGUCAAAGAAGGGGUGGAGUAUUUGUUGCUUGUCUCGAAAUCUCAAGACUUGAAAUCUCAAUCCAAAUUUUGAUUUGUGCACAGGGCUUUAAACAAUUCAGGUGACGGUCAACUGGGAACUUUGUCAGAAAUUAAGAUAUAAGGCUGAGACCAGCACUCUAUGAAUUGGAAGUUUUGUCAAAUUGGAAAUAAAUAUAGUAAUUGCAUCUAGAAACCAAAACACUACAAAUAAAAAUAAGAAACACCUCUAUCAAAUUUUAAAAAAAAAAUUCCAUGAUUAGUAACAAAGGGCUCUGAUCAGUAUGUGCUUGACAAUGGAAGAUUUUUUUGGUGCAAAAUGUACGUUUGGUUACUCAUCAGUUAUCACACUAGUAAAUAAGUAACUACACUUAAAAAAACAUUUUUAUUGAAGAUGAAGUAAGAAGCAGCCCUCGAAGGGGAUGGGUUGGGUUGGAAUAAUUCUGGUGAGAUGACUAGUGAAUUGCGAGAACAGAAGGGCCUCAAAUAUAACAAGCUCAAUUUAUGAGAUAAUGCACAAUUGAAAUGUGACAAAUUUGGAAAGAAUGGCUAGGAAUUUGUCACUGUGAAGGCUCCUUGGUCGUGCAUUCACAAUUGAGUGCAUUCAUUAUCCAUUUACCAUUUCGCAGCGCUUGAGCAUUAAAAGGGUGUACCUUUGGAGAAAGGGUUGAGUUGAAUGGCAAGGUACGAGCGAUUGUAAGCAUAGUCUAUGUUAAUUGUAGAUGGAGUUCAUAUGACUACAUGAAUUCCAUCUUUUCUGAGAAAACUUAAUGGGAAUACAUAGAAGAAUUAAACUCACUAGAGCACAUGCACGAGUUCAAGAGAAGAUAGUGCUCAAAAGACAUGAUAAUUGAAGCAAUUAAAUUACUAAAUCUUAAACUAAUUUUAGUUCUUAGUCAACGUUGAAAAUCGUUUUAGACAUGAAAAUUACCAUAAAAUUACUAGGGGUGAAAACUUUUAUACCUCGCAACUUAAUAUCUUUAUCCCUUUAAAUCGUAUCACAUGGCCGGAUAAAACACCUAAAUGUUUACGAAUUAUGUGCAAGUAUGAGAAUAGAAAACAUAAGCUAAUUUAGUAAGGUUAAUGUAAGAAAAAGUUUAGAGCAUGUUAGAAUUCUACCUUGAAGCAAAAAAACAAGUGUAACAUAUGAUUUUAUACCUCGCAGAUUUAUUUGAAUGAAAUGAUCUUUUCUAUCAAAAAAAAAAACACAUACAUUUUCAUUAUCUAGGAAAUUUGGGAAUAAUGGGUCAAAGAAGGGGUGGAGUAUUUGUCGCGUGUCCCGAAAUCUCAAGACUUGAAAUCUCAAUCCAAAUUAUGAUUUAUGCACAGGGCUUUAAACAAUUCAGGUGACGGUCAACUGGAAACUUUGUCAAAAAUUAAGAUAUAAGGCUCAGACCAGCAAUCUAUGAAUAGGUUAUAAAGAUUUUGAAAACACGAAAUAUGUCUAUCCUUUUCCGGAUGGAGUCUGCAUACGUAAUUACAAAACAUGCAAUUUGAAAAGUAAAUUCUCAUUUUAGAAUAAAAGAAAAGAAUCACAAACAAUCAAAUUGAAAGUAUCUAUUGUUGACUGAAACAAUUUUGAAGACGGUCAGGUAAACAACACGUGCAGAGGAACGUCUUUACAAUCAUCUCUUCUGGAAGUUCAACUUUCCUAUAAAAUAUGCAAAAAAAAAAAAAAAAAAAAAAAAAAGGCAAAAAAAUCGGGUACAAAGCUAAAACAACAGCCACAAGUGGUAGAUCAGCAUGAUGAAACCCGAAAAAGUCGUCCAGAAACUUUGCCACAGUUUUAGUUUCUCCAAGAACCUCAAUCUUCUUCCCUAUAUCUCCAUAAUAUUGCGAAGUCAGCAUUCCUGUAAACAGGGGAAAAAGAAAAGAAGGAAACAAAACAACCUACCUACGUGAGCUGCGGAAGUUAGAAUCUACUGUUUCAUUUCAAUGAAAGCGCAACAGCUAAUGGUCCUCAUAUAGUGAUGCAAUUCAACUGGAAAUUAAAAGAAUAUCAACUGAUUCUGGCUGACAGACUUAUUAGGUACCUAAGACAGAUUAAUCGUAUCCUGACCAGCAAUAGACAAGAACUGACAUGCAGAAAACGCCUACUUGAUAAAAUCAUCUCAAGUAAAGUAUGCAAACUGAAAACUCUUUAUUUGAAUACGACCUAAUUAAGACAGAUUUUUUUUUGUGUCUCACUUUAUCCCCCAUUGGACAAAAUUAUCCCUCUAUUAUUGUAAACUCUUACUUUUCCUUUUUAUUUUUUUCCCUUUCCCCUUUUGUGCUCUUUUAUUUUCUUUGCCUCUUUCUUCUUUCUUUAAUUCUUCCUCUUUCCCACAAAAAUCUACAUUUUAAUGAUUGAAAUUAAAAAAAAAAAAAAGAAUUGUAGAGAUCUAUCUUCUCCUUAAAUGAUUAAAAAAUAUUCAAAUCACUUUCCUAAAAUACAAUUUUUUUAGCCUUUCAAUUCUUUUAAUUUUGGUUUUUUCUCUUUCCUUUCUACUUUCUCAUUUUAUUCUCAAGAAAAUAUCAUAGGAUGAAAUUGUGACUUGAUUAAUAAUCAUCAAUUGAAAUUUGUGACACGUGACAUCAUACAAAAAAUCAAAAUUAGUUUUUGAUGCCUUUUAAACAUUCACUCAAAAAUGCAAUUACAAAUUCAAAAUAAAAAUUUCCGUUGAGAUGAAGUUUUCUAUUGGGAAGGAUGAAAGAGAGAAGAAAGAGAAAAAGAAAUAAAAGAGAGGAAAAAAGGUAAAUGAAAAGUCAAAAUAAUGGAAGGGUAAUUUUGUCCUAUAGGGGGUUAAGUGAGCAAAAUUAAAGGUUAGGGAGUAAAGUGAGAAAUGAGGUAUACCUUAAGGGGAUUAAUUGUAAUUAACCCUAUAAAUUAUGCUGGCAAUGCGAGCAAAAACUUAAGGUACAUAUGACCUUCAGUUAGGAAGUAUGGCAUUCCUUAGAUUAUAUUCAACCAAUAAGCUUCAACCCUGUGAUGUACUGCUAUUUUUGGCUUCAUGUUCCAGUCACACAUGCUGUUCAUAAUUGAAGUAUAACAAUGCACAAAACAUUGUGUAGAUCAAAUGCCAGGCAGUUUAGUCCAUAUCAGACGAAAAAAACACUAUAGUAGUUUAGUGUCACUAAGGCUUACACGCUUUAUACAUGUCAAGAUAUCCAUAUGAAGGGAUGGCUUCAGAUAAAAUGGUUAAACACGGCUUAAAACGAGGUAAACGAGGAUCCAAUGAAGACGUGAUUCUUGUACAUAUAACUGGGACUGGGAACCAUGAAUCAAGGAGGGUGAAUAAGUUGACAAUCUGAAUCUAAUCUCUAUGAAGAGUGGUGUAUGAUUGAUAGGGUGCAUUUUAGUGGGUUAUUUCGCUAAUAUUUCAUAGUUGUUUGAACUAAAGAUUGCACUAUUUGGUAGAUUCUACUUAGGUUUUGUGUUGGGUGUUAAUUGCAGAAAUUGGUGAAAAAAAGGUGCUGAAAAUCAAUUCCAGAAGACUUUCUGACAAUUAGGCGCGGACACGCCUUAUUCCAGCCUUCAAAUCCGGAUUUUCGAGAUUUAUUGCACGUGAGAGGCUUCCAAAAAUGCAUCAAGUAGUUGGCUACAAAUUAGGAAGCUAGUGGGUCAUUCUCAAGAAAAAGGAAAACUGAGAAAAUUGACUUGUAACAGAGUUUUCUUUUAAAAAGUUGAUUGGUAUUAGAAUACCAAUCAAUUAGGAGUCAACGAGAAAAGAAAUCGUCAGACAAUUUUUGUUUUUUCCAUCUGGUGUGGUGGCCAGAAACGAAGAGGGGAACGUUUGUACUUUUGGCUUUUGACUUUUCUUGCCUUUUGGCAAAAAAUUGGGAAGAAAACAACGAAAAAGCAAUAGUCUUCUUCUUGUCUUUUACUUUUUCUCUGUUGAUCGAAUUUUUGGAGACAAGAAUUGACUGAUUUUCCCAAUUCUUUUCGCAUGACUUGUUUUCUACUUAUGGAGAACUAAUUUCAUACUUCUAGUCAAGGAGGCAACUGAAGAUUUGGUUCAAUACAACUAUGAGAUCUAAAUUAUUUUAAUUGCUUCUUUCAUUCAUUGGUAUUUGUAUGUUUUUUGCUUUUAAUGGUUAUAGCUACUGUGUAUGAUUGAAUAGUUGCGUAAUAUUUAAUUAUUCACAUAGUUUAUUUGUUAAUUGGGGGUAGUUGAAUCCGUAAUGUUGAAUUACUUUCGUCCCGGUAGCAACUGGCAUAAUUAGAUUUAUGUUAGGGAAACGUACAAACUAAUUUAAAUAAACACUCGUAACGUGUUUAUUGAUUAGAGUAGCGUUUCUAUAGUUCCUAAUGCAAUUGAGAAAUUAAAUUCUAUGGUCGUACCUAGGAUUAUUCCCAAAUUAGGGAAAUAGUCAAUGAUCGUACAUUGACUAUCGAAAAAGUAAGAAGAGACUGACUGUCAGAUCGUAUCAGCAGUUAAAAACCUACUUAUUAGUGAAUGUCAGGAUUAUAUCUGAAUCAAUGAUCAGUUGCCUGAACCAUUUCUGAAGUAUACCCUUGGCUAGAGUUUUCCCAAUUAUUUUUCUCAAUUAAUUAUUUUUCGUAGUUGAUUUAUUUAGUCAACAAUUCAUUAACAAUUAAUUCUCAAACCCCCGUUCGUCUUAACUUGAAAAGGAACGAACUUUUCCCCAGUCCCUGAGGAGACGACCCUACUUGCCACUGUCGACUAGUUAGCGAAUUCUGUCAAUUAAUCAAUUUUGGAUAUAUCGGAUUAAGCAAACUCUUUAGAGUCAGGGUAAAUCAAGUAACCCAUUGCACAUCCAGAGUCCCUGCUCUAGUACCUGGAAGUGCUUGUCGACUGAUUUUGGUGGUAGUUAGGUUUUUAUUAUUGUACAGAUUCGGCACAUGUCAAUGAUCCAAGAGGUUUUAAAGAAAUUGCAAGCCUUCAAAAGGAGGAAAAUCAGGAUUCAACGAAGACGUGAUUCCUGUAUAUAUCACUGGAAAGCACAAAUGGAGGAGGGUGAAUAUGUUGAUGAUUUGAAUCCCAUCCCUGCGAAGACUGGUGUCUGACCCAAGAAGUAUUAAGGAAUUUGCCAGCCUUUCUGUUAUUUCGAUGACAACCACAUAUAGGCCAAUAAUUAUGUCGUGGAAAACCUAGAGAGGGCAUGCGAGUUUUUUGUUGUCUCAUCUCACUGUCCGCCUCUUCUUCUUCUAGAACAAUUUUCCCCCAAAACAGGAAAAGAAAUGGAGAAGAAGAAAUAAAAAUACUAGUGCUAUACGAAAAAUUUAAAGGGACAGUGUGUUAUGCAAAAACAGCAAGAUUUAAACUUCUUGAAUAACACAAGAAGUUUUCUAUUAUUUUGGUUAUUGCUACAUUUUAAGCUUACAAAUAUAUGAUCUGCUGAGCCCAAAAUUGUUGUGUAUUUCACCUCUUCUGAAAGUUUAACUUCCCUAUACAAUAUGCAAAUAAAGUUGCAAAAACAAUCGGGUACAAGGCCAAAACCACGGCCACAAUAGGUAGGCGAUUAUGGUGAAAUCCAAAGUAAUCAUUCAGAAAUUUUGCUACAGUUUUAGUUUCUUCAAACACCUCAAUCUCCUUCUCGAUGUCUCCGUACUGUGAAGUGAGCACACCAUUAAGCGUCCACGAUGUAGGGAUUAUAUAAUAAAACCAAAUCCACCACUUCGGAAUUUGCUGCAAGUUAAAGAAAUAGAAACCUCAAGGCUAGCAAUAAAGAAGAAGAACAACUAUGGAGAAUUCCACACCUUGUUCUAGUUUGUUAUAUCACAGAUGCCUACGCUGGAGGAUUAGCGUACUAAUCAUGAAUUGGGUUUUCCUGGAAGUUCUUAGAGAUGAAAAUGGUACUUACCGGUCGAGGAACUAAAAAUCCAGCAAAGAGGUUGAACAUUGUAUAAAAGGUCGACUGCAAAAUGGCAGCCACCGGAAAGCUUGGAGUGAUUGCAAUCAGGAGCAUGCCCAGAUAAUUGAAGUACAACAACGUACAAAACAUUGUAUAGAAGUACCAGAAAACCUUAUAAGCUGACCAAUAGUACCCAAUCAUGGGAUAUGUGAUGAUUGUAUAGGCAAGGGAUUGGGCAAGGAUAUAAGGAAUCUCUACCGUUACCUACAAAAUUUGACAUACGAACUUGAACGAAUAAGUACUUGUUAAAGAAGAAAGUUGCUCUUAAAGUGAAAAAUUCAAGUACUUGGAAGUGAGUGCUUAUGAAGUAGCCUUUGCUCCAUUAAUAUGUAGCCCAUAAACUUUAUGUCUGAAUUCUUUUCCUUACUCUUUAUGUUCAGCAUAGAAAACAUGCAUAUAACACGGUUUGAACUUAAAAACCACAUAUAUGAUUAGCCUAAAACCCGCAUAUUGGAGGGACUUGACAAUUGACAUAACUUUCACUGAAGCACAAACAUAACCAUGCGAGAGCAAGUUUGUGCAAAACUUUCAGUAAACUUGAAACAACAGGUUCAUUUUUGUUUUUUUGUUUCCCAAAUUUAAUUUACCUGUGCGAGUGCAUAAGCCCAUGAAGCAUACAUUCCUGCAAAUCUUUCUCGAUAAAGGACACUGCGCUCUGUGCUGACAUAUGGUAAAACCGAAGAUGAAUUAUUUAUGCCACAGAACAAUACAGCGCUGAAUAUUGCACCAAGAAUGUUAAAUAAGCUUUGCUGAUUUUCCCUGCAAAAGGAAAAGAAAUGAUAAAUCAGAAUCCGGUUAAGUCAGGUAACCAAAUUAUAUGAUUAAGUUCUAUGAUCAGACCAGAAUCCAAUUGUUCAUUUGGGUUAGAUUGGAACUAAUUUUGACAGAAAUAUCCAUGCAUAGAUUAUUGGACAUAAGUUAUACGUGUACAUAGUAAACUAUGUACUACAGUUAUCUCAGUGUAUUAAACCAAUAGUUGGGAGACGAAAAAAGUUACAAUACCAAAUCAAGGGCGUAGUUAGAUGAAUCGAUUUUUUACCAUUUAUCAAUUAAUAGAAAUCCAAGAGCUGAAAACUUUCCUUCAAAUAUAUCACAACCUGUCAAAAUAUUUUUUUUUAUACAACUUACAGUUCCUUGCCUUGACGCCAGAACAGUGCACCAAAUACCAGAGAUGUAAAGACCAUGUGAAGAAAGCGGUUCAAGUUGUAUGAAGGACUUCUCCAGUAGGACCAAUAUUGUUUCCAGAGGCAAGCUUUGAACUGUCCCCAUCCAUUUAGUGGAAAACGGGUCGGGAAAUGCAGAACUUUUGAAUCAGAAGGUGGAAUGCUGAGUCUGUUCACUAGUUGUCUGUUAUCCCUGUAAAGAAAGUAAUGGAAAAAUGAGUUCGAGACAAGCUUUUGUUGUGUUCAAGCCAUCUAUGACGUAAAAAUCAAGAUAGGGGAAUCCAUGAUGUUUUUCUGAAUGCUAUCUCUAUUUCUUCCCAAAAACUGAAACCAAACACCCUUAAAAAUUGUGGCAAGAAUCUAGUUCAUAAGGAACUAUUUCAUAUUAAGUCUUGCGGACUGUAAAAGCAGAACAAGUUGCUUUCUAUAGUAAAAUUCUGGCAAAUAUAUGAUCGCAAGUGCAUAAUUUGACAGCAAGAAACACAUGCUAGAAAACGGUUGCAGAUUUAGGCAUUCAUGUACACUAGAAGCUUCCGAUACCAACACUUCCAUGACAUCAUUAGCAAGCAUUUUCUACAUGCAUCAUCUCCAUGAUUGUCUAAUACAUACUGCAUAAUCAUCCGAUUCUGACGUUGAAGCUCUUCUCAUGGCUAUCUAGAAUAUUUGAUAUGCAGAUGAUUCAUUUCAUUUACAAAUUAUCUUAGUAACCUAAAAUGGCAGCAAAUCCUAUAAGACUUAUUCUUGGCAGUUAGACUCACUGGUACAAAGUAGAAUUCCGGUAAAUCUGAGCAAAGUCUAUAUCAAGUUCAGCUUCAGAAGACGUAGAAGUGACCUCUAACAUCCAUGUUGCUGGAUUAUAGUUGUCUUUUAUCUUUGGCACACCUGAGAUUCCCUGUUACAAAUUUCAACAAACAGUCAAAAGUCAAUCCUCUUAUGGCUAACUACGUAAGGAUAAAACUGAAAAUUUAGUAAAAUUGUGUGACAAAUUACCUCAAAAUAAUCAAUAACUUUACUGGAUUGUGGACCCAAUGGUCCUGCAUAUAUGAUGCUCCCUCCAGAUUUCAACAGAAGUAGCUGCAACAUGUUUAAGAAUUAUUCUAACUAAAAGCGAGACGGCCAUUCAAAAUCCCAAACAGAAUACCAGGGCUUGGUGUUUCUUCAUUUGAACCUUAGCUAAUUAGAAGGAAUAAUUUCUUAACUACUCAUGAGGGUUAUAAUCUCUCAUCCAACUUUACCAAGUAAGAGUUCUUCAGUAGAGAACUCUGGAGAGACAGAAAGUUGGUCCCUUGCUUUGCAUCAAGUAUAUUCCUUGGAUAGUAUAUUCAAAUAAAAUCCUAUGAAAUUUCAGUUACUGUGUCGUAGGUUUUCAUUUACCUCAUCAAAUGAUUCAAAUAUGUCUAUACUUGGUUGGUGGAUGGUGCAAACAAUUGUUCUUCCAGUAUCAGCCACAUUUUUUAUAGCCCGCAUGACAAUUGCAGCUGCUCUUGCAUCCAAUCCUGUUGUCGGUUCAUCCAUGAAAAUAAUGGAAGGGUUUGCUACUAGCUCCACUGCAAUUGUAAGUCGCUUGCGUUGCUCAGUUGAUAAACCACUAACUCCUGGAAUGCCGACUAGAGAAUCUUUGAUACCAUCAAGCUCAAUGGUUUCUAAGACUUCUUUAACAAAGUCCUGUUAUGAUGCCACAACAAUGUCAGUGGAACGGUAUGCAGAUAACAGAAAAAGCGAACUUUAUUUAUUUGUUUAUUACUAUCAUUUUGUUGAAGUGUCAUACAGAUUUAGUUUUCGAAUCAAUCUGGGAAUGCAGGCGUAGCCAAGCAGAAAAAAUGACUGAUUCCUCAACAGUUAUUUGCGGUGAGUGUAUGUCUGUUUGCUCACAGUAACCCGAGAUUCGUGCAAAUGUCCUCUGAACUUUGGGAAAUCCUCCAAUCCUUAUUUCUCCUUCCACGUAGCCACUAGUUUUUCUACCAGCAAGAACAUCAAGAAGAGUGGUUUUCCCUGCUCCACUAACGCCCAUAAGUGCAGUAAGAAUACCAGGUCUAAAUGCACCAGUAAUAUCACAAAGUAGUUGAAGCUUUUCCUUUGUGUAACCAUGCUCCUUCAUUCCCUGAAAACAACUCCAGAUUAUCUAGUUCUCUAAAUAUAAACAUAUUGUAGUGUAUAUAAAAGACUGAACAAACCAAAAGAGCGUCAUGGUAAAAUCUGAACAAGUCUUCCAAGUGUUAUUUCCGACCGAAGUUGUACGUACAUCCUUUCCGUAAAUAAUUUCUAGAUUGUGCUCAUUGUAACAUUUUUUUGAUGCCAAGAUUAAUCAUAUGAAAAUUUUAUAAAGGUAAACCUCAAAGGAAACGAAUUCCUAACAUGGCUAGUUUUAACUUGAGGGCCAACUAGAAGAUGAAGUUGCUCAACAUGUUAUCGUGCUUCUUAUUGUUCAGUAAACAUGCAUGACUAAGAGAAAUUCAUCCUACUUCAGGCAAAUGACUAUGCUACGAUCCAAUCUGUCUCCUGCAUUGCUUGCAAUGAUUUAGAAAUAAUAACAACUGCAUAAUUAUGAAGUAAUAUGAAAUAGAUUGACCGGAACAUUGAACAAGGAAGUAGUUUUGACCUUUAAAUGUAAGUACUUUGCAUAUAAGCAGCAUAACAAACACUCAAGAAGACCAAUUUGAUUGUCAAGAAUUUAAGAUCAUUGAUAUGUUUUUUAAAUUUCUUGCAGUUGAUAGUGCAUGAUUAGAUUCACAUUUAGCUUCAAUGCACCAGGGAAGAAGCAAAUAAGGACAUAUUCUUUCUCGUUCUCUUUGCUAUUUACCAAGUUUCCUUCGUUCUUUAAAUUAGUGUACCUUAUUAAUUAAAAUUUGAGAGUGAAAUAAAACUGAGAUGAUUAAAAUUCUCUGCUUUCUGGUGUCAAUACUGCCAAAUUAUAUUCAUCUUAUUAACACUUGUAAUGCACUUGUAUCAUUCUCAUUUGCCCGAAAAAUUGGAUGAGUUGCAGCAUAUUUACCCCUGGGGUAUCAAUGUAGUAUUGUAGAUCUUGAAAUACCACAGAAAGGGGUUCAAAAGGCAAAACCAUUUUUCCUGCAAAAUGAGUAAAAAGAACUAAAUUAGUGCACUAUAUAACCAAAAAGAUAACAAUAUUAAUCAUAUAUAAGAUAGAGUUAAUGUAAGAAAUGGAAAAUGCCCGACCUUUGCCAGAUUCUGUUGUGGUGUUAGGAUUGCUUUCUGAAUUUUUCAUAGUGGCUGUGCGAAUGGGCUCACUGCUUUCUUUCAUUUGAGAGAGCUUUUCGUUUGAAAUGAUAGCACGAGUAACAGGACCUGCGUGCACCUUGAUCAGUGAAUAACAUGUGGAUGAUGUUGAUCCCUUCUACAUCUUGAUGUCAUCAGAAAAGAUGAACUUACUAUUUAAGAAACUUAAGGCCAAAAUGAAACCGAUAUUGAAGAGCAAUGCAAAUCCCAGCAAAGCACCAACUGAAAUCCAAAAAAACUUCCCAUCAAAGCUUAACCCCCGACUUUCUAGUGUUUUUUGUCCCAUUGUCAUGUUUGAUGAUGGCAGAACCUAUCAACAACAAGAACGAAAAGCAGUUAUAUCAGAGAAUGAAUUGCAGAUUAGACUGUGUUCCAUUUGGCGGAUGACCAAAUAAUUGUAGGCGAUCGCAGUUAUCCGCAUACUGCAGUAAGGAUAGCAGGCAGGAAGAAAAAAAUAAAGAUGAUCAAGAUAUGUUCAUAGAAGACCAUCAAACUUGACAUGUAUUAUAGGUGAAAACUGAAGCAGGAAACUGAUAGAAGUGAGAGAUGUCACAAAAAACAGAAGUGUACCAUUAAUUGAGUCGCAAGUAUUUUAAGCCAUUAGAAAAUUUAGUUUACCAAGCUAAAAAUGCUACUUAAAUCAUUAUUUGUCAUUACAUGUCAGAAGAUUUUGCACUGACAGUCAAAAGAAAGCCUUUAAUUUGAAAAUGCAGGUGCCAAAGAUAAUGUUCAACAGCUGUGCCUUGAGUACCCAACAUGCUAGCCCAAACAAUAAUACCUUUAAUCUUCCUAAAUGGACAACUUGUAAAUGUAACACCAAAAAAACAAAAAAUGAUGGCUGUAAUGUAUUUUAAUCUCUAUUCGGUUGAACAUAUAUUUAACGAAAUUGCCAAAGUAAGUACUGAUAUUUCUGUGGAGAAGGUGUAAAAUUGCAAUGAACCUGGGAGAUAAAGAGCUUACUUUUUGCCAUCUUGGGGCAAGAAAUUCAUUUAAAGCAAGGCCAAUCUCACCAUAUGUCAAUGGACAAACCCAAAAGCCCCAUCUUAACCAAGCUGGCAUUGAGGCUGCAUUUAACUCCACAAGUUAACAACCUUUUACUAGCUAAAGUAAGUAUUGCAAUUAAAAAUGAACUGAAAAGGAUUAAGCGCUUACUUCUUGCGAUAAUGAAGCCACCAAAUGCCAGGGAGAAUAACAUUGAUAAGCUACCAACUGCUGUGGAAGUGAUCACAUUUCGACAGACAGAUGCAAUGAAACGGAACAUGGAUAUUGACGACAAGUGCAUGGAAAACAAUAAGAUUAGUUGGCGGAAGAACCUGUAAAGUAAUGUUAAGUAGUCAGAACUUGAUUCCACAUUUUCAUGAUUUGAGUGACAAACUUGGUAGAGAAAUCUAGAUAUUAGCACAAAGUUGCAAUGAAAGAUUGUUGGUCUGUCAGAUAAACAAUAAUGAUUCUUCAGUAAUUGGAAAUCUAUUUGCUGGAUCACCCCACAGAUUACAGAAAGCACUCUUGUAACCGCAAUUUACCUGCCAACCUCAGGAGUAUAUCCAAUGACAUAAUAAGUCAAGGAUGUCCAGACCACAGCUUCCAACAAUGAGAAAGGAACCUUAAGAAUUGCAGAUGGGAUUGCAUAUGCCCAUGCAGGGUAGAAAUACAGCUCUCUUUGUUUGUAAAAAAUUGAGAGUCUUGCAACAGUCAGUGAUAACUCUGGAAAUCCAUCAACAAGAAGGAUGACAAGAGCAUAAAACAAAGCUCCCAAGUAAUAAUUUGCAUGGAGAACAUCAACGCCCAUUCUUGUCCGUAGAAAUACCGUCAUGGCAACGGAUGCAAUUAUAACCAGCUGAAACAUGUGGUAAAUGAUAUUAUACAUAUAAGGAGAUAUAGCAAUGGAAAAGGUAAUGUACACUGAUGCAGCUAGGGAGACAACGAUCUCUUCCCAGUUAGCUAUUAAGUGAUUAUGAGGAAAUUGACAAUUUAGCACACAAAAUGUAAUUCAUUAUACUUCACGAACCAGAGAAUGUUUGAAAUACCCAUUGGAAGAAUCAUAUUGAUUGAAAGUAUCUUCUUAUUAUUACUGUUUAUCCAAAACUAAUUAGAACCAUUUGGCGGGGAUAUAAACCACUUGUUUUGUUUUGAAUACUAUGGUACUGGGUUGUGAUUUGAUUAUGUGCACAAAGAUAACAAUGUGCUUACCUGCACAGAUUUGAAAAUGUAAAUAAAAGAAUUUCUUUUCAUAAGAAGAUACUCUCUCGACAUGCAUGCUCUGAAAAGUGUCCAUUUAGGAAUGGAAAACUUAGUAAAGCUUAUAGCAUCAUUCUGGCUCUUGGACUUGGAAAAUACCCCAGAAACCUCUUCACUGAGCUUCUUUCCAUAAACAGAUUCUUUAAAUUUCCUUGAUAACAAAUCAACAGAGUUGUAAAUGUACGUUGCACUGUCUCUGCACCAGUACUGAGCUUGAUCUUUUCUUGAUAUAACCUACAAUGGAACCAAGAACUUAAUUAAUAUUAGCUAAUUGGUCAAUGGGAUGUAAAGAAAAUUAAGAGGAGACAUGAUUAACUCACCUCCUGGAGAAAAUCUGCUACUCCUUUUCUUUCAGGACACCUAAAUCCACAACACUCAAAAAAUUCCAGAACACUUGUUCGAGGCCCAUGAUAGACAAUCUUCCCCUCAGACAUCAAGAUGAUGUCAUCAAAUAGAUCAAAUGUUUCUGGUGCUGGCUGAAGAAGUGAUACAAGUAUAGUAGCAUCUGUGAUAUGUGCAAGCUGCUGAAAGUAAGCAACUAUUUGAUAUGUGGUUGAGCUAUCCAAACCAUUUGAUAUUUCAUCCAUAAAUAAAGCUCUUGUAGGGCCAACAACCAUCUCCCCUGUACAGUAAGUGGUCGCAAAAUGUUCUCUUGAUACUAAAAUUUUUUCUUCUAUUAAUCAUCACAGUUUUCAUAUGAGGUGAGUGUUCUGUAGAUUAAGAGUGGCCAUAAAGUUACCUGUUGUCAGUCUUUUCUUUUGGCCACCAGAAAUACCUCUUCUCAUGGCAUCUCCAACGAGUGUAUCAGCACAAAUAUCAAGACCAAGUAUCUGAAAAGAGAUCCAUGGUCUCAUCAUCAUUAGUCAUUCAUUUUUAAUUCAAGACUUAGAGUAAAGCAUUUGAAGACUAAAACAGUUGAAGGAUAGUGUACUUUCAGUAUGUAGUCCGUCUGGAGAGUUGUUAUUUGUCCUUCAACAGAAAUUGCCUGUGUAAGAUCAGGUUGAGAUAAAGAAACAUGAGACUUAAGCCCAUCAGCUGUACAAGAAUGAUAAAAUAAUGUUCUUGAAGGCCAUCAAUAUGGCAUUAAGCUAAAAACUGCAAUAUGAGAAAUAAUUGUAGCAGGAAAUUAAGAAAAUGUUUUAGUGACAGUUAUUUUGUUUACUCUAUUUCUUUUUCAUACUCUCAGACUAGGAAAUUUUUGGAUGGACAUUCGUACGAGAAUGAUAGUUUGUUACUGCCAUCCAUAUGAGUUGAAAAAGAUUCAGGCCCACGCUUUGCUAUAGUAGAGAAUUGAAUGAGGAAGUAAGAACCACUAUGUUAUUGCAUUAGCAAAAUAGUGAAAAAUUGACUUGCAGAAUUCCGCAGAGGUAAACCACGUCAAGUGAAUGUGCAUACUCUUAAUGGCUCAUGUCAGCUCUAGUAUUUUUGCCACCCAAGUUUCCUAAAAAAGACCAAAAUCAUACUUCCCUUAGUGGUUAAACCAAGUUUUGCCAGUUACUGUUCGAAUUACUUUUAGCGGAAAGGUUGUCUUCUGAAAAUAAAACUAAAGCUUGCGAAUAAGAGAUGUUUUGAGGUCUUGAUUUAAAGACAUUCCACUCUAGCCAGAACUGACAGAUUGUGGAGUAAGUCAUGGCACAUUACGUCAAUAUGGGAUUUAUGCAGGCUGAUGAGUUGUUUUUGAGGCAAUCCAAGUCCAAUUAGGCUCGCAUUUAUUCUUUCUUGCAUCUGAAUUUUGAGCUCUUGAUUUAAAGACAUUCUACUUCAGUCUGAAAAAAGUAAGUUACACUAAAUUUACCUUCAUGUAUGUAUCUGUGUCAGGAUCCGGAAGAAUUCCUGCUUCUUUUUCCCUUUUGCUCAGCUCAGUCAUUAUUGCUUUCAAAGUGGGGAACCUUAUCAGCUCCAUUGCAUCACUGUAACACUUAAGAUAGAGAAAUAAUUUUCUAAGUGCUGAAAUAUACCUGCUCUGCUUCCAACGCCCUGGCAACGAGAUGAAAAGUCCAGUGUUUCCCGAACAGUCAUUUCAGGGAUAUGCAUGUCAUAUUGGCUUAUGUAAGCCGAGGUUUUCUGAGGCACAAGUUCUGUCAAUUUGUAUCCAUUGUAUGUUAUCUCCCCACUAACCUGUCACAAUGAAAAACACAAACUAACAUAAAGGCAAAUGCCAAGUGUAACUUCAUAAAGACAUUAGACAAUAUAAGGUCCACAGGAGAAUUCACAUUGUCCUCACUAAUAUACUGAAACAUGGCUAAAUGUGCUGAUAUUGACUAUUCAAGCAUAAUUCAUGGUCUCAAUGUGCAAUCAACUCUUAAAUUGCCAAAGAAUGCAAAAGGCAGUGUUUCAGUGUCUUUUAAGUUCUAAAGAUCUUUCAACUACUAGAGGUUGUAACAAGAGCCAGCUGAGUUCUCAACUUUAAAACUGUAGACCAAAUUCAGUGCAUGGAAGUGCACAUAUAUCAAGCCCAGGUGAUGCAAUUAUUGAAGUUCAAUCCAUUCUGUACACUUGCUCUAUAAUACCACUAAGGAUUAGAGAUCAGAAGAUAGUGUCAUCUCUUCCAGAGCUCUAGUCAUCUCAAUGAAGCAUGGAGAAAGAGAAAGACCUUGAGAGAUUUAUCAAGAUUUCCAGAAAGUGCUUUAAGAAGUGAUGUCCUCCCACAUCCUGGAGGGCCUAACAGAAGAGUCAAUCUGCAAUAAGAAUAUUACAAAUUACAAAAUAUCAGAACAAUUAAUUUGACGAGCAAUGAGAUGGUCUUAAAGAGACCAAUCUCUCCCCUUCUCCUUUCUUGAAGCAUGAUUGAGGAGUUAGCACUGAGAAACCAUUCCAUGAAUGAAACAGCUUUGACGAAUGAGAAAGGAGAAUACCAGAGGAUUCAAAAGUAGGGAACAACUAUGAUCAGUUAACCAGGCAGAAAUUCUUGUCUAUUAGUCAAUACUGACCCAAAAGCUCGACUAUAACAGAUUUGACCUUUGUUAUGAAAUGAGAUCUCACGCUUGCAAUUAAAGGGAAUAAAUGGGAGACCAGCAUACAAAGGAAGCCCCUGCCUGAACUAUUGGUCAAUGCAACAGUAGUUGACAACGUAGUCAUAAUUCAGGUUUUACUCUCACAAUACACUCCAAACUUCAGAUGGCACGUACAAUAGAUGUAUAUCUUGGUUUUAGAAUGAUAGUUGUUUCAUUGUCAUGAAUGUAAUGCAAAUAAACCCUAUCCACUGAGGGAACUAUCAAAGUCAUACAAGACCAGCUCCACAAAGAGGAUUUAGAGGUACCCAAACAAUCACGUAUGGGUAGAAGAUCAUGCACUAGGUUUACAGGUUCAUUUUCAAGUUAAAAAGAAGUUGCAGAAGUAAAAUUGGAACUGGACUCAUAUCCAGUAAAGAUAGAGAACUAUGUAAAUUGGAAUUUAGCAACAUGGUGCUCACUUAAUUAAAAUGGAAUUUCUAUUGUGUACCUUCCAGGCUUGAUGACACCACUAACAUCACUAACGAUGCAGAUCUUUGAUUCUUGUGGCUUUAAACCAGGAAUCCUUGCAAGGUCCUUCGAAAAAAUAAUGCAUUUUUUCACAAACAGAAUACAGAGACAAUAAUAAGAAAAAAAGGAAAAAAAAUGAUUAUUGUUUUCUCUGUGAUUUCUAAUCUGGGAAGUGGAAUUAAAGCAUGAAAGAACAAUUAUAAUCUUAUUAACAAACUGAAUUUUAAUGCUUUUAAAAGCAGCUAUGAGUCGACUGUUUAGAUUAAUUUGAAGAAAUACUACUGUUCAAUAGUCCUAAUAAGUGCAGAGAUACGAGUAAAUGCAGAGUCAUAUCCACAUAACAGGCGCAACAACGCCACUGUUCAUAUUUUGAAAGCAAAAGGAAGUGCGAAUCCGUAUAUCAAUAUAAAUCAUGUUCUGUAAGAAUAAGUAAUGAAAAGACCCAUAAUGCAUAGAAGCGACAUUGUAACAACAAAAGAUUGGUCAAUUCACACCGGAAUGUUCAUGGGAACCUUAUUGUUAACCCAUUUUACUGGCAGCUCAGCACACUUUGCACAAAGCUUUUAAUUAUAUCUCAGAGCAGAAACGGACACCUCCAAUUCUACUUCAAGAGAAUGCAACACUUACCAGAAGCAUGCUUUUGAAAGAAUUCCAAAGGGUUGGAAGAGGCUUUCCAUACACAACUUGACAUUUUGCUUCUAUAGAGAGAUCCUUGUACCUUACUUCCAAAGUGGGCAAUUCUAUGCCAGUACUGCAAGAACAAUGUUGCAAAGAUAAAUAGAGUUAAUUUUAACGCCAGAAAAGCUGAACAGGAAAUACAGCUCUUAAUCAACCCUCAGGGCUUGAAAGGAGAAUCUGCAGCAUCAGAUUUCCUCAAACUAGCUUGCUGCAAAUCGUGUUGACUCAGGCCAACAAACUUUAAGCAAUUUUGAAUUUACACUGCAUCUCUUCAUCCUUGAUAAUUGAAAACUAAUGAAGGUAUGAAAUUAACAGCAGAAAUUUUUAUCUACAUUUGUGAUAGAGAAGUGGAAUUUAGGUGCUCUUAAAGUACUUCCUGUUUUCAGUCAUGUGAAUUACUUUCAAAUGAAGAUCACAUUUAUUAAAAGGAGUGUAACCUUACUUGUCGAUCCUCUUUCUCAUUUUCUGCAAUAAACGAAGGUUAUCAUGCUCAACAUGUCUAAUUAGCUUCUCAAUGAACAUCUGCCUUUCCAGAACACCAAGCUUAGUUACAUCAAUCACCCGUUUUCUUUUAUCAUCAGCCAUAUUUUCACCAUUUUCAUCAACCAAAGCUGAUCUUAUCCGUUCAAAAGUAGGCAGUCUCUCAAUAGCAGCCCACUGCAGCGCAAUUUCUUCAUCAAGAUUAUCAUCCCUUCCAUUACUCAAGGCUGAAUUGCUGCUGAAACUUGAGUUUUGGCACUGAAAUGAUGCUCUUAAGCUUCUUCCUAACUCUGAGAGCUCGAUUCUCAGUGAUUCUAUAUCAUCUCUUCCAAUUAACUCAGCCAUUUCGGACACUCUUGUGUCACUUUAAACACAUUUAUCAGCAAACAAACAGAGAAAGUCACAUGGAUUUAUAAAGGCCAUAUUUGGACCAAAAAGCUUGAUGAGCCAUUUAGGACACUCUUGUGGGACUUUAAACAAAUUUAUCAGCAAACAAACAGUGAAAGUCACAUGGAUUUAUAAAGGCCAUAUUUGGACCAAAAAGCUUGAUGAGGUAUGCCAAUAUGUCACACCGUGAGGAUCAUCUUGAAGGUCAAUUUCAACAUACCACAACUAAACGAUGUGCCACAAAGAACACUUUAAAAAUCCAAAAGGAAUCAAUGAAAAUCUUUCCUUCAUUAAGAAGUUUAUGAACUAAGGCUUCUUCACCAAGAAAUAGUAAUACUCCUAGUAGAAAAUUAGGAAUCAGACAGCUACUCCUAGUAGAAAAUUAGGAAUCAGACAGCUCUAUCUGAACUCAAGUCCCCAUGAGAGAAUUAGUUGACUUUCAUCUUAAAAAAAUGUGACACUUCAACAACGCCUCCAGCAUUGCCAACUUCAAAUCCAAUUGUCAAGAGAUGGGUCUUUUUUUAUUGAGUUAAUUGAAGCAGAGAAAUCAUUAUUCUAUUCCAUUAAUCAGUACUGAGUCAUCAUAUAUAUAUCUUUGAGUUAAUCAGAAGAACCAUACAAUCAAUUGUACGUAACACCUUUUCUUUUAUUGAUUCCAGGGUCACAUCCUUGACGGGAUUUGCGAAAAUUAACGAUGAUUUUUUGCUUUUUUUAAUUUCGUCCCUCAGAUACAAGCAUACCGACAGGUACAUGGACCAACAUCAACUAGCUUAGGCAUUGAUUAAGUCCAGCAGGUUAUAGAUAAAUGCAAUAUGUGAACAUUAAAUUGAAAAGUGAGGGAAAAAAAAAAGGUAAUGGAGUUCCCAGUUUGGUAAUGGUAACAGGUUUCAUGGGCAAGUCCCGUGUGCCAGUCUUUCAUCAGUUCUCUUCUGUUCUCCUGGAUUCUUGGUGUAAUCCAAAUAUUAAGAAAAAAGCUCAGAAACCUAGAAAGAUACAGUGAAUAUUGUUACAUAAGUAACCAACAAUGAAUCGAAAACCUUGCACCUGCAUUUAGAUUCAGAAGGUGUAUAGUAGUAUGUUAUUUCCUCUAGCCGCCCUCCUCUGUUGAGUUGGGCUGUCGACUAGUGUAAGUUUAGAUAAUACGACUGGUAUAGUUACAUCAGACAUGCACCAAUAGCAAAGUUACAUCAGACAUGCACAGAUAUGACAGAUCCAAAGAACAACAUGAUUAUUGUCUCCAUAAAAAGUUGAAUUCCCAAAAUGAGGUAGUAGUAUUCGUAUUUCAACUUUUCACUACAUGCUUUUUUCGGUCCUCAAUAACAUUAGUCCUUUAAACAAUUAUUGUAUUUUAGUCUUCAUUAUCGAUCUAUUUUUGCUCCAAAAUUUCACCAGCACAUCGCAUGACUAGCAUUUCCAACCAAUUUGUCUUAGGUACGCUGGCCACUAAAAAAGAUUUAAAAUCCCUCUUCCUUGAACUGUACAUAGGUCGUCCGGGUUCAAAAUCUUGCACUUUUACUUUAAAAAAUUCGAAGGAUGUAUCAGAGCAUCCAUCUUAAUUUAGAUGAGUUUUCCUUCCCUCUAAUCUCUUAUACAACCCAACUUGGUUCCCCUAACCUCCCCGAAUAAAAUAUUAUAGAUGUUGAUGAUUGAAAGAAAAAAUAUGCGUAAAUUUGAUCAAGAAUGUACUGUAAAAAACCAAAAUGCGAGAAACCCACAAAAAGAAGAGUGAAAAUAUGAAGGAUUACUUGUACUACCAUGUUGCUAUCCUUAAAUUCCGAUGGGUGGUUUCUUCUAUGAUUUCCUGUCCUUUGACAUGGAACAGUGAAGUCCUUAAAUAAAUUAUACGACGCGGACUAGAUAACAAGUGCAUCACAUGUUGGAUUCCUCAAGCAAGAUUAAUUAACUCCAUUAAUCCCACAUCUAGAUUAGGUAUACUAAACCAAAAAAGACCGAAAAAAAUAAAUAAAUAAAGACUGAUCAUAAUCGAUGCCGGAUGGUCAACUCACGGACUCGUAUUUAUAAUUGAGCUAUGUUAAUUAAAAUUAUCUAGAAAUUCAAAGUUUUUGGAAUUUACUGUAAAACUAAUAAAAAAAACUGCUAAAAGAGAGAUUGAAAAUAGAGAUCUAUUUUCUAUUAUUUCAAUUGAUCAAGAUUGUUCUUAUUCCUGUUCUUGUUAUAAAGAGAGGUUACAAUACCUCUAUAUAUUGGUAAUACAAGAUGAAAGGUACAUGAAUUUAGUACUUCAAGUACAUCAAUUGAAUAGCUCUACAAAUGAACUGAAAUAAUUCAUUCAAUGUACCAAUGAAUCUUGUGGAGCAUUCAUGAAUCAAUCUUCUUGAGAAUACAAAUGGACAUCCACAUAUUUAGUUGUUUCGUAAUAGUAUUAAUUUCUGUAUAACUUCAAUGUCUUAAAUAGGUGAUUUUGUGGAUUAAGAUCUCAAAAUAUGUAUAGAUUCACUGUAUAGGUCAUCAAGAUGUGAAAUUGUAGAUAACAUAUUGCUGAAUACAACUUAUGGACAAAUCGAAGAACAUAUAACCUCAAAAAACUUUCUGCCCGCAAAAGAUAUAUACAUAAAUAUUUAAACUAAAUUAUUUUACUUAAUAAAAACAUGUACAAUUUUAGGAAAAACAAAAAUAAAAAACAAGACGAUGACUAAUUUUAUAUUGUCGGAUAUAAUGUCUUUGUUUUUUUUAUUUGGAAAAACCAAUUGAAAUGUUUUUUUUUGUUUUUCCUUGAAAAAACUAUUUGAUGGUGUUGGGAGUUUAGCAUCGAACCCUAUUGAUUUAUUAAUAACUUCCAAAAAAAAAAAAAUUACAAUGAGAGAAGCGAUUCAACCUGUCUAACCUAGCUAUUCCCUUUGUUAACUGAGGAGGGUAUCUCCAGCUCGGAUAGCGCUGGGGCCUUGUCCUGUGGUACCUCGGUUUCGACCGCCUCGGCCUAUCACCAUCGUGGAUUGACUUCGGCCCAGUUACCGCCUCGGCCAAGGCUUUCCCUCACAAAGCCGAAGUGAAGUAUAACGACCUGACAACCGGAGUUGUGGAACAUGACCUCUGACACCUCUGAUAAAGCUGCUCUGACAUGCGCCGCCUGACACAUGACUGUUCCGGCGCACCUUUCCGCAGAGCCCAUCAAAUCACCUUGAUGCGCUGACCCUGCCAGAUCUCUAGGGACCCGUGCCAGCAGUCCCUCUUUCCUGUCCAUCCUCUAUAAAUACUCAAGGCUUCUACUGAGAAAGGGGAUGACCAAAUUUCCUGGUAAAAACCAUACACUGAUUCUCUCUAUUAAGCUAUUUUCCCAAUCCCGAACUGACUUAAACUUCGGAGUUCUACCGGGGGAUUCAGCCCCUCUUGUAAUUUAAGCAGGUGACCAAGCCCGCUGUGACCUCUUCAGCUGCAGUGCUUUCAGCUCUCAGUUCACUCCAGCCGGUCAGAAUUCACCUCUUCAAUUGGCGCCGUCUGUGGGAAACGCGAAGACAUCAGAAGAUGAAGCCUACGUGUUCUAAGAGCAGGAAAGCUCUCACUAUUGGUGCUGAGCAGAGUAAUGCGGCUCAACAAGAAGAUAUUCCUGAAGGGCAGGAGUCUCCAAGGAUCCAGCCCGCAAACGAAGAAGCCAUAACCCGUAUGGCUGAGUUUGUGACCGAGAACCCUAACAUCUUUGAGGAGUUAGGGAGGUAUCUUAAGAGACAAGGCAAGCAAAAGGCCGAGUCAUCAAAAAGGAAGUCGGAUGGAUCCCCUGAAAGUUCGUCCGAAGAAGAGUUUGACGGGAGGCGCUUGAGCCGAAGUGCUUCGAAGAAAGCAUUCUCCAAGGCCACUUCUAAGGUAGCCUCCCUGACCAGGUCAUUGUCAAGAGGGCUCUUGGGCCGACGACCUGAGGAACCUCGACCCAUGGAGAGAGCUGGGAUGGAUUACCAGAGGGCUCCACCCUUCACGGAUGAUAUCAACGAGGAGAGGCUUCCUCCCAAUUUCAAACUCCCCUCGAUACCAUCUUACGAUGGCCGAGGUGAUCCUGAAGACCACAUUCAUGCUUUUAUCUCGGCCUUCCGCCUAUAUUGCAUCCCUGACCCCGUCAUAUGCCGAGCCUUCCCAGUAUUCCUCCAGGGGACAGCUCGAAAAUGGUUCUAGGGUUUAGAACCUAGGAGCAUUUCAACCCUGGGGGAAUUAGUGGAGAAAUUUCUUCACCGUUUUGUCUCCUCUCGACCUACGACCAGGACCUCGGCAUAUCUGUUGAACAUGCAACAGAACCCGGGAGAGUCACUUCGGUCGUACUUCCAGAGGUUCCACGAAGAGAGCGUACAGAUACCUAAUCCCAAUGAGCAAGUUACCAUUGCUGCUUUUACCCAUGGGCUCGUUGCCAGGGUAUUCAAUACGGGGAUCCACAAGAAGUAUCCCCGCACGCUUCAUGAGUUGUGGUUGAAGGUCGAGAAGGGCAUACAGGCCGAAGACCUCAACCGCAUGAAGAAAGAGGUCCAAGCUGCCCGUCCGAGGGCUGAUCCCCGAAGGGGAAAAGAGACUGGCCGAAGUGAAGUGGGGGCAAGGAGUGGCUUUCAAAGUCCCAGUCGAGACCGCCGUAGCGUGUUUGACAGGAUUUCCAAAGGGAAGCCGCCCAUCCCAGAGUCCGAGCUAACCCCUCUAAACACCACCCGAUCCCGGGUGUUGUCCGUCAUGGAACAGAACAACCUCGGGAAGGUCCCUCCCAAGAUGUUCAGCAGCAGAGAUAAGAGGAACUCGAACCUCUACUGUCUGUAUCACCGGAAUAUUGGGCACGAAACCGAGGACUGCAACGACCUCAAAAGAGAGAUCGAGAACCUCAUCAGGCAGGGACACCUGAAGCAGUUCAUCCGUCGAGGUGGAGGUCAGCAACGUAAUGAACCCCGACGAGACAGCCGGGGUGAUCAACGCCGAGACGAAAGGCGAACGUCCAGAAGCAGUUGCAGGCCUCCAGAGGAUCCUAGGGAGACAAAAAGGCCUCCCCGAGACGGAUCUUCAGGUCAUGGAUUAGGGUAUGGACCCAACAUAGCCGGGGUCAUCAAUACAAUUGCCGGGGGUCCGACGGGAGGAGAUAGCCAGAAUUCCCGGAAGAGGACCUACAGGCAGGCUAACCCGGAUCAGGCCGAGUCGAGCUCCCGCCUGUCCGAAGUGAUCUCUUACGGAUCCAGCGAUCCUGUCCCUGCUGCUUCGAGCAGUCAUGAGGCCUUGGUGAUUGAGGUACUCACCAACAAUUAUAUCGUUAAGAAGGUCUACAUUGACCCAGGGAGUUCGGUGGAUGUCAUGUACCUCCGUACUUUCGAGAGGCUCAAGCUGGCCAGGGAGCGCAUGACCCCGGUAAGAACUCCUCUCGUAGGGUUCGGGGGACACGUUGUGCAUCCCGAAGGGAUGGUGACCCUAACAGUGACCUUGGGGCAUCACCCCCGUUGCCGAACCAUCGCAGUCAACUUCGUGGUGGUUAAAGCCGACUCUCCGUACAACCUGCUCCUGGGCCGACCCACACUUAACACUUUACUAGCGGUGUACUCUACGUACCACCUGAGCUUUAAGUUUCCCACCCCUGCGGGGGUCGCCGAGGUAAGCAGCGACGUCUGCGCUGCCCGGGAGUGCUACCUCGCCACUUUACAAGCGGCCUCCCCAUCAACCUCUGAUAGAAGGACCGAGAAGAGGUCAGACAUCCUUUCGAUAGAUUCCCUCGAUCCUCAGCGAGCUGAGAAGCCCCCUAGGCUGGAAACUGGGGACGAGGUGGAAGAAAUCUCCUUGGAUCCCACGAAGCCAGAUCAGACUGUCCGCAUUGGCAUCUGCCUGCCUGGCUUUGUCAAGAAAGGAAUGGUGAAUCUCCUCAAAGAGUACCGGGACGUCUUCGCUUGGGCCGCUAAUGAGGUCCGCGGAGUCCCGCAUCACCUCAUGGUACAUGAGCUGAAUGUCGACCCUCAAGCACGACCGGUCAAACAGAAAAGGAGGCACCUCGGCUCUGAUCGCAGCCGAGCUGUUGGUGAAGAAGUUGACAAGCUCCUACCCGCAAAAAUAAUCCGGGAGGUCCAGUAUCCAACCUGGUUAUCCAACCUGGUCAUGGUCAAGAAGGACACGGGAGCCUGGAGGAUGUGCGUCGACUUCACCGACCUCAACAAGGCCUGUCCCAAAGACUGCUACCCAUUGCCCAAGGUCGAUACCUUGGUGGACUCGGCAAUGGGUUAUGAGAUCCUCUGCUUCCUUGAUGCCUUCAAGGGGUAUCACCAGAUCGGAAUGAGCCCAGAGGACCAGGAGAAGACGGCCUUCUACACCGAUCAAGGCACGUACUGUUAUACCACCAUGCCUUUCGGACUAAAGAAUGCCGGGGCCACAUAUCAACGCUUGGUUAACCAAGCCUUCAAAGCCCAGAUCGGCCGAAAUGUCGAAACUUAUGUGGAUGACAUCCUCCUCAAGAGCCAGACGACCUCCUCCUUCCUGUCCGACCUGAGGGAGGUCCUCGAUGUCCUCCGCAAAACACAAAUGAUGUUGAACCCCAAGAAGCGUGUUUUUGGGGUCACUUCGGGAAAAUUUUUGGGCUACCUCGUCUCGAGGCGAGGUAUAGAGGCAAAUCCGGACAAAGUGAGAGCGAUCCAGGAAAUGUCUCCACCUCGAUCCAUCCGUGAGGUACAGAGGCUCACAGGGCGGUUGGCGGCCCUGAACCGAUUCUUAUCGUAGUCAGCUUCCAAGGCGCUGCCUUUUUUCAAGGUUCUUAAGAAGGCCGACAGCUUCUCCUGGACUGAGGAAUGCCAACAGGCCUUUGAGCAAUUAAAGGAAUACCUUCACCACCUCCCAACGCUCACUUCACCUCGUCCAAGGGACAGGUUGUUCCUAUACCUAUCAGCCGCGGUCGAAGCCGUGAGCGCCGUACUGGUAAGGGAAGAAGGUGUACAAGUCCCAGUCUACUACGUCAGCCGAGUCCUCCGAGAUCCAGAGACCCGGAACACCCAAGCGGAGAAACUUGUGCUGGCCUUGAUCCACGCUGCCCGCAGGCUCAAGCCCUACUUCUUAGCUCACCACGUCUGUCUGAGAACUGACCAACCCCUCAGGCAAGUCUUAUCACGCCCGGAAGCUUCAGGGCGCCUUACUAAAUGGGACAUCAAACUGGGGGAGUACGACCUGUCUUACGAGCCUCGUACAGCAAUAAAGGCUCAGGCUCUCGCGGACUUCAUAGCCGAGCUCACUUUUGAUGAGGUAACUGAACCCACUUCGGCUAACAUCCCGGCCACCGCUGAGCCUCAGCGGUGGAUUCUUCAUGUGGAUGGCUCGUCUAACAGUGAGGGUAGUGGAGCAGGUUUGCUCCUCGAAGACCCUCAGGGAGAGGUGUGCUCAUACGCCCUAAGGUUUGACUUUGCCGCCUCAAACAAUGAGGCCAAAUAUGAGGCAGUCAUUGCCGGACUGCAGUUAGCUCGUAAGCUCGGAGCUACGCACAUCUUGGUUUACAGUGACUCCCAACUCGUCGUGUGCCAGAUACUGGGUGAAUACGAAGCCAGAGAAGAGGUCAUGCACCGCUACCUCUCCAAGGUCCACCAGAUGAUCGCACACUUCGAGUCUUUUGAAAUCCAAAGGAUACCGCGGUCGCAGAACAAGCGAGCUGACGCACUCUCCCGGCUCACCUCCACCUCGUUCUCCCACUUGAACAGAUCGGUCCUCGUGGAAGUCCUAGCCGAGCCGGGAUAUUUAGAAGAAGUAGUGUGUCCCGUUUACCCCGGGGACACCUGAAUGGGCCCAUUGAUCCGAUUUCUCAGUCGGGGAGAGCUCCCUGAUGACCGAGCUGAGUCAAGAAAGCUCCAGCGUAAAGCGGCUCGGUAUGCCCUUCAACAAGAUCUUCUGUACAAGAGGUCUUAUCUCGGUCCGUGGCUACGGUGUAUCACACCAGAGGAGGGCGAGAGGAUCCUCCAAGAUAUACACGAUGGACUCUGCGGUGCUCACGUCGGCUACAGAAUGCUCGUCAAGAAAGCUCUGUUGUUGGGAUAUUUCUGGCCCACCAUGAGAGUAGAUACACAGAUCAUGGUCCUCAGUUGCCCUUCUUGCCAGUAUCACGCCCCCGAGCACCACCAGCCGACCAACCUCAUGAUUCCCAUCACCUCGCCAUGGCCGUUUGAACAAUGGGGGACUAACAUAAUCGGUCCAUUCCCCAAGGCCCCUGGCAGUUACGCUUACGUGGUGGUGGCGGUGGAUUACUUCACCAAAUGGGUCUAAGCCGAGCCCCUGAGGAGCAUCUCUGGGACAGCCGUUCAGAAAUUUUUCUGGAAGAACGUAGUUUGUCGCUUCAGCCUGCCCCGGGUGGUCAUCUCGGAUAACGGCAGGCAGUUCGCUGAUAAUCCCUUCAAAGCCUGGUGUGAGAACCUUGGGAUCAAACAACAUUUCACCUCGGUUGGGCACCCCCAGGCCAAUGGGCAGGCCGAAAAUUUCAACAGCACUCUCCUCAUGGCCUUAAAACUAGACUACAUCGAGCCGGAUCGUCCUGGAUGGAGGAGCUCCCAAGUGUGUUGUGGUCCUACCGGACCACCCCGAGAUCAGCAACCCAAGAGACCCCAAUUUCUCUAACUUAUGGGUCCGAAGCGGUCGUCCCAGCUGAGUUCAUCACCCCAAGCCCGCGGAUGGCAGCAUACGCUGCCGAGUGAAUGAAGAAGAGCGACGAGUUGACCUCGACCUCAUCGAAGAGAAGCGCGAUAUGGCAGCGGCCAAAGUGGCCCUUUACAAGAAUAUCCUAGCUGGCUACUACAACGCACGGGUCAAACACCUACGGCUCAGUCCAAGAGACCUGGUACUCCGGAAGAAUUCGGUCAGCCGAGCUGAACCUCAGGGAAAACUCAGUCCCAAGUGGGAGUGGACCCUACCGUGUUGUCGAGUCCAGCCAAAAUGGAUAUUGUAAAUUAGCUUACCGAGAUGGUUCUCGGGUGCCCCGAACUUGGCACGCCGAGAACCUCAGAUUAUAUCACCCCUAAAGGGUAUGUACUCUAUUAUGUAUUCAACUAAUCUGUUAUUUCUUCCUUGGAAUUAUUUCAUGCUAUUCUAAGUGAAAAAUAAGGGGACAGAACCAAGUAUAUUAGCCGAGAUCGAAUAAACAAGAAGAGAAAAAUUGAAAGUCAUUGUAUUAAUGAUAAAAACAAGUUACAUAGUACCGAGGUCGGGUAUGAACCCGUCACCUCGGCGACUUGAUAAGCCUACCACCUACGCGCCCCCUGCUCCGGCUUCCUGGUUGUCCCCGGUUGCCUCAGCCUCGCCGCCUCGGCCAUCGGAGCCGUUGUCACCUCCGCCAUCACGGCCAUCAUCUUCGCCAUGGAGUUCGGCCCCGUCCAGAUCAAAUUCAGACAGCCAUUUGUUGAACUCCUCCUUCACCUCGGCCAAGUCCCUUCCAGUCCGGAUGCCUUCGGCCAUGCGGUCGAACAGUUCCUUGGUAUCCUCAUUAAAAUUAUCCUUGUCAUGAAGGGACUCCAGCUAUUCCGGAAUGAGGAAAGGAGCUGCAUCGUGAAUUGCUGAGGUGUACCCGAACAUGAAGCUCGGCAAGAUGAGCUCGCCAAGAUCCUUGAGAAAACCCUCUGAUUUCCGGAAGGCCUCCAGCGCUGAGGUCCCGCUUCUUCAAUGGCCGCCUUAGUGGACUUUUCCUCCUGAGCCCUCCUAUCUUUUUCUUCUGCAAGGGCAGUCAUCAAGGAAUUCUUUGUAGCCUCGGCCUGUUCUCGCGCUGCCUCGGCCUUAUCACGUUCCUGCUCGGUCGCCUUCAGUUUCUCUUCCAGCUCGGCAACCUUCUUCUCCAGCUCGGACGAAGGCUGAUAGUUUUCGACCAGCCUGGUAUAGCGUUGAAUCAGCUCGGCGAGGAAAGCCGUGGUGGAGGCCCAGGAGACAGAGGCGCUUUGCAUCAGUUCGCCUGGAAUGAGCUUCCGGGCGUAAGUGUUAUCCCUGGGCAGAACUGAAUGGACCAGAAGCUCCUGAGCGGCCAAGGGAUUCUUGCAGCGAUCGUUCACGUUAAGAUCCCACUCCGGACACCAUUGCUCGCCGGAGUGCCUUUUAUCCUCCCCGACCUCUUGUGAGGGCACAUUGUGAAGAUUGAAAAGGGAGGACCCCGUCACUGGAACUACGGGAAAUGCCGUUGUCCCCCUGCCCCGAGGUCGAGACGCUAUAGUUAUUCCUCUGAUGGGCACCCCGACAGGAAUUGCCGAAGUGCGGGAACCUUCCCCGGUGAUUAUCACGGGAGAUCUACGGCUCACCGUGGCUGUAGUGGUUUGAGCUGGGGUCUUCUUCUUUUUCGGCCGAGUGGACGGCUCGGCCGGGUCCUUGCGCUUGGAUGGCCUCUUGUUCACCCCGGACGCUCCCGCGGUGAUCAGGUCGGAAACUUUCGUCACUGCGAAGCACAAAGGUAGAGUUAGUUAGAAUCAAAAGAGGAAAAACAGAGUAAGGAUCGAAGAAGUACAAUGUUUUUCAAGCCUAUUAGAAUAGAAUGGCGGACGAUCCGGGCUGAUGAGAGCUCGGCUGAUACCGCCGUCGACAGGAACUGCCUCGGGAAAAUCCCAGCAGUUGAUCCAGAGGCCCAACCCUGUCAGCUUUCUGAAGUUGCCCUCCUCCAAUUUACCCGGAGAGAUCUCUUUGACCGGGGUAGGGGGCCUCCACCAGAACCCUCUGGGGAAGUCAUCAGCCGGGACAAAAAUGAAGUUCCUCUUCCACUUCUUGAUGGAAAAGGGUGCAUCUACCACUAACUUCGGGACCUUGUUCCCGAAGUAGUACCAUCCCUUUUCAGUCCCACUAUUCUUGAGUGAGUAGCAGCGACGGAAGAGGUUGACUGUGGGAGUUAUCUCCUGAUGUCGGCACAACAUUUGGAAGCCGACCAGGACCCGGAUCGCAUUAGGGUUGAGCUGAGUGAUCCUCACUCCCCAAUAUCUCAGACAGUCCCGGAGAAAUCUCGUGGUCGUCAUUCUUAGCCCGGCCUCCAACUGGUCGAGGUAUAUGGCCACUCUACCUCGGGGAGGGAGCUCGGCUGACUGGUCCGGUCGAGGGGUAUAGAUGCUGUAGUCCCUCCUCCAGGGAUACUGACGAACCACCUCGGCAAUUAAGGCUUGAUUCAUUACGCUGCCGAACAUAGGGACUAUGCCGUAGUCAAUGGCCACCAAGUCCGGAGGGGUGGCUGGUUCUUGCACUCCCACAUCACUAGGAACUUCGUCGCCGAGGUUGACAGGUUGUCAGCCUGUACAAUAAUAAAACCUGCUCAAACUAAAAGUAAUUUCAGUAGAUAGCGGUGAACAGGGUCGAAUCCACAGGGACUGGGAGUAAUUGUUCCUUUUCAAAUUCACAGUGACAAGGGGGUGUUUUUAUGCAGAAGGUGACAAUAAAGAAUUUCAAAUAAAAUCUAAGAAACUACUAAAAAUUAAAUAACAAAUUACUAAAAUCAAAUGAAUGAUAAUUAAGGAUCUAGCCAAGGAAUAACUUCAGCAAUGGUUCACCUAAUUGAUCAUCGAUAAGCAAAGGCAAUUCCAAUUAUUUACUAAUAAAUAGGUUAUAACUGCCAAACAAGCGAUGACAGUCAACCCCUCCUUACUGUGUCGAUGAUUAAGGUACGCCCGUUAAUCACUGCUCUAAUUGAGAAAUAAUCCUAGGUACGCCCAUAGAAUUUAAUUCCCCAAUUGCCUUACGUAUUAGAGGAGCCCUAUUCUAACCAAAUAACGCACUACCAGGGUUAUUUUAGAUUAGCCCGCGUAUUCCCCUGACACAAACCUAAUCAUGCCAGUUGCCACUAUUUUGAGAUAAUUAAACAAUUACGGAUUUAAUGUCCCAAUUGACAAUAGAUUAUCAAAUUAACUAAUUAUCCGGAUCCAAGACAAUCAAUUAAUCAAACAAUCAUAAGCACUGCAACCAAGGAAUAUGCGAAUACCAAUAAAUAAAGGAAAAGAUAAAAUUAAAUCGAUCUCACAAUUUUUAGGCGAUCCAAAGCAUCCGUUGCUCCUUAACUAGAAAAAGGGAAUUAGUUCAUUUUGGUGAACAAGUCCCACGCAAAAUCGAAGAGGAAACUGCAGCCAUCAAUUGGAAAAUGCACAAAUUCGAUCCGAUGGAAUACGGACUGAAAAGAAAAGCUACUGGAAGUAUCCAUUGUUUUUGCUUCUCCUAACAUACGGAGAAAAGAAAACUACUCAAGGCUAAAAGGAAAAGUCAAAGCUAAAGCUACCAAAAUGCUUCCUGACAUGCCAGGGAGACCAAAAGCUGAGCUAAGUUGUCUUUUGCUCCUGCCAUGCCCGCAGGAGGUUUUUUCAAGCCAGAGGCCCCCCCCCAGGGAAAAGUCCAGCCUUUUUCUUUUAAGCUACAGACGAGAAACUCAAGAUAAAGCCAGCCGUCAGAUGUGCGGCGGCUCUUAGGAGAAAGAAACCCUUCGUCCGUCAUUCCUCUGCAGAAAUUACCGAAAUGGGCGUGACAUCUUCUUUUCCAAAAAUGCCCCUGGGGCAGGCUCUAUCACUUGGGCUCCUUUUCUGCCAAAUUGGUACUUAUUAUCAUAUUUUUGUUCUACUCCCUGAAAUAAAUGAUAAAUACUAAAAGUGAGUAGAAUCCAGCAAUUAAUCCACAUCAAGUCAGGUAAUAGGGGAAAUUAAUAAUAAAAUAAAUGAUAAAAUUGCAACCUAUCAAUUCCCCCCACACCUAAACCAUGCUUGUCCUCAAGCAUAAGAGUAGUAAACGAACACCAAAUUUUGAUAAUGGCCACUGCUCUAUCCACCAAAUUGCCAAGAUACCAAGAAAAAUAAUAAUCAAGCAUCAAUGGUCAAGUCCAAGAAACAUCACUCCUGGUUAGCUUCUAAACCAUAAACUCUUCCAAUUUCAGGUUAACGAAUCUAAGAAAAAGGAAUAAUGUACAACAUUUAUCAGCAAAUGGUCCAACUAUUAACCAAAAUCUCAACAUUAAAUCCAUAAUUCGGCAAGCUGACUUUUAUUACACACUAACACAACCUUCACUUUUUUUCACAAUUUUUUUUUCUACCUUUCUCUCUUUUUUUUUUUUUUUAUUCUCUUCUUUUUUUUUUUCAAUAGUAACAAAAGACUUAGUCGCUAUCCAUUUGAGCCUUUUGACGCGAACUCCAACAUUGGUCAGAUAAAGAAGCCCGGUUACUCAGCUUCUAUCGCCACGUGACCACGUACUCAUAGGAAUUACUACCUUUUGACGCGAGAAUCAACACUUUUGGUGAAAAUCCCCAGUUACUCGGUAGUAAAGACUAGCGGAGUACAGUCAACUCUUAUUCACAGCUAAUAACACAAAAACUCAAUAUAAAACAAAAAUCAAAAGAAAAUUUGCAUCAGCUAGCCUCAUUUUCAAACAUGGAGAACUAAAGUUAAUAACCGGACCAAUUCACAUGAAAAUGCCAAUAAUCAUUCCCUAUGCCUAGGAAAGUUAACCAAAAAUUAUAAGAGUAAAACAAUCAUCGAUAUUCACCAAAGAGAUAUUUUUGGACUCAACCAUAUUAACUUGAUACCCUUUUAUUAUUAAAAUUUGGCAAUAGCAGAAAUAGAGGCAACAAUCCAACAUCAAAUUUUUGCAUGCACUUACGAGCCAAUCACUAAAAAGAAGAAAAUGAAAAUGAAAAUGAACGAAAGAUACUAGCACCAUAACUGCUCCCCCCACACCUAAAUCCUACAUUGUCCUCAAUGGAGGAAUUAAAGCAAUUAAAGUGAAGAGGACAACGAAACUUCCCUCUUUGAGUGGCCAAGAGGUAGGCGGGGACGGUGGAGGAAACCAAUGUGGUGGAAGUACGCGCCCAAGUUCUGAGACAUCAUACUCAAUUCAACCAGCAAAUGCAAAACUCUGUCCUCCCAAAAUCUCAACAAAUAACUCCAGUUGGCCAGUUAAUGCCUUAUCUCAGAAUCAGAAAUUUUAACAUUGAGAGUUUAGGUAUUUGACAAUAACAAUUCAGUCAUAAGUUCUUGGCUGUCAAUUAGACAGCCAAUCAGAUGGAAUUAAAAAAAAAUCUAGUCAAAAUACCCCAACCAGUACCAUUGGUGCACCCCACAGAUAAUGAAGCAACUUAAAUGGCAAACCCAAUCAACAAAAUGUACAUGUGAGGCACCCAAGGUCUAUACAAAUAUCCCAACAAUACAGCAAUUUCAAUCAAUACUCACGGGUGGCCCCAAUUGGGUCAAAUGCAGGCAGUCCAACAUCGCAACAAAUGCUCUAAAGAUUUAGCAAUUGAAAUCAAUAGGUAAAAUACUCCCAGCAAGUCAAUUAGACGCCACCAACAGCAAUAAGCAAUGGAAGUGGCACAGUAGCCUUCCAAUUCAACAAACAAAUGCAGAAAAUACCCAACCAAAGGCACUUCAAGGGACGCAAGACAGAAAUCAGCAAAGUAGAACCCAAGUGAUACCAAAAAUAAAAUUAACAAAGCAGUGAAUUCAACCAAUUUGAAUACAUAGAAUACGGUCAGAAAUGCCUCCUAAAAAUCAACAAAGAGCGGCAAAACUUGCCCACCCAAAAUCUGUCCAAAUGGCUCCAAUUGGACAAGAAAUUGCACACUCAAACGAUCAAAACGUAGCAAUUGGGCCAAGCAACAGGCAAUGGCAACAACCAAUGGUUAGAAUUCGAGAACAGUUCAGGCACCAAAACCCAAGAAUCAAAUAGGCAGGCCAGUACAGAGGAUUAAGAAAUGGAAAGCAACACUGCAACCAGUACCACUGGUGCACAGACAGGGAAGAAUUAAAUUCAAUGGCAGCAACUCAACCGCAAGAACUUAAACUGUAAAAUUAAUCGACCAGUACCACUGGUGAGUCACAGGGAAAAAUAAUCAAGCGGCCAAUAAUUCAAUAAAUAACAGAAAAUACCUCCACUAUGGCAGUAAUUAAACCCAAUUCUGUCCAAAAAGCACCCCCAGAAUAUGCCUAAAUCACCCAUGCUAUUAGCUAUAAAGAAACUCAAACACAGGGUGGACUGGAACGACUCAACCAAAAACGCCCAAUAGGCACAACUCGCUUAAUUAGGCAAUCCAGAACACAGGAUUAUCAGAUAUUAAACAACUACCAUCACCAGUACCACUGGUGAGUGCAUAGGGAGAAAUUAAAGCAGCAGUACCCCCAAAUAUCGCAGCAGUUUAACUCAACUCUACCCAAAUUAGACCAGAAAAUGCCCAAAAUUACUGCCCGCUGUUUUCCAACAAGAAGCCCAAGCAAAGGUGCAAAAUUUCGCAAUUUAGAGUUCAGAAUAAGACAAAUUGAGGCAGGAAUCGCAAUACCUCCACCUGCCAACAAUUGACAGGUGGUAACGAGUUGGGGUGGAGCUGGCGGAGAUGAGAGCUCACGAGCUGGUGGUGGGCUGGUGGACUUCGUCGACGAGCUGCAGGGGGGAGGAAGCCCGGCUCGCGGCUCGCGGCUGGGCUACAGGCAGCGGCGCGCGGGGCUGCUGUGGUGGUGGUUGGGGAGCUUGAGCAGGCGGCGGCGCGCAGCUCAGCGGAGAGGGGCGCCAAGCUGGUGGAGGUGAGCUGAAGUGCAGCUUGUUCGCCAAGUGGAGAGAGAGCAGAGGGGCGGCGCUCGCGUCGGCGGCGCAGCAGCGAGCGGCGAGAGCGAGCAGCGGCGUCUGGCAGCCUGCGUCGCGUGAGGAAGGGUGGCGGAUAGGUGGUGGCGGCGCUGGAGUGAGGUCGAGCUGAUGGUGGAGAUGUGCGUUGCGCGGUGGCGGCGGUGGAGAUGAUGGAAGCUACGGCGGCUGCUGGGAAGAGGCGCGGCGGCGUGCGAAGUGGUCGCAGCUGAAGGGAGAGCUGCGAGGUUGGAGCUGCCUCUGGUGCUGCUGGAGGCGGAUGAGCUGGGUGGAGCGGCGAGGUUGGAGGCGGACCGAGGAGCUGUGGAGGACGCCAGGGGGGAAAGGAGCUGUUGGCGCGCGGCGUGGAGGCUGCGGGCUUGUGGGCAGCUGCGUGCGGCUGCAGAUGAGAGAGAGAGAGAGGGUCGCGCCAGGUGGAGUUGGGGCUGCUGCAGAGGUGGCUGCUGGCGAGUGGAGGAGCUGCGUGUGGCGUGGUCGGAGGUGGGGCGCGGCGCACAAGGGGAGAUCAGCGGCGCGCAAGGUGAGAAGCUUCGGUCGACAGGGAGGAAGAAGAAACAGGGGAGAAAAAAGAAAGAAAAGAAAAAGAAGAAGAAAGAGAGAAAGAAAGAAAGAAAAAAGAAAGAAGAAAGAAGGGAAAAAGAAGAAAGAAAAAGAAAGGAAUUUGGUUUUUUUUUUUUUUUUUUUUUUUUUUUUUAACAUUGGAAACCAACGCUGCGAUGAAGAUUUUUUUUUUUUUUUUGAAACUAAAGCUAUGGUGAUAAGAAAUUUUUAUUUUUGUUUUUAUUUUCAUUAUUUUUUUUUUAUUUUUUUAUAUUUUUUUGAAUCCCUACCCUUCCCGCGAACGUGACGCGGGCACGUCAUGAGGGAAAGAGAGCUCCCAGAAGUUUCAGAAUCUCCUGAUCGUGAGCGUCAUGCACAUCACCACGCGGGCACGUCAUGAGGGCAGGAGAGCUCCCAGAAGUUUCAGAAUUUCCUGAUCGUGAGCGUCAUGCACAUCACCACACGGGCACGUCAUGACCGAAGGGCACCUAUAAAUCAGCAAAAACGAAAACUGAAACCAAAAAUCAGUCGAAUUCCAGGAGAACACUUCUAAACUACUACACGAAAUUGAACAACCAACUAAAAGGAACAAUUGGGUUGCCUCCCAAUGAGCGCCUUUCUUUAAUGUCUUUGGCUAGACAUUAUCAUGUUUUGCUCAUGGAGGAUAAAAUCUUAUGGCUCGUCUUACUGCUUCAUCCUCUAUAUAGUCCUGAUAACCCUCGUAAAUAGAAUAAUCCUUGAGCAUACGAGCUACGGGCUUCCAUGGACUAGUGAAUGGCGCCAAACGAGUCGAUGAUAAUUUACAUUCUCCAUUCACUCCUCCCCCACUUGCAUUUAUUGGUUCAAGAUAUCUCACCAUCGCCACUCUUAAUUUAUUCCUGUCAUGAAAUUCAAAAUUGUCUGGUAUAAUAAAGUCAAUUUCGUUAACAGGAAUUGAAGAGUAAGAGUCAGGAGAAUAUUGAUGAAGGAGUGGAGGGGAUGUCACCGCAUUUGGAGAUUGUUCACUGGAUUCAUUCACUUGAACGAGUUGAUCUUGGAGUCUCAUUUCUUGCACUUCAGCUUCCUUUUCAACUGCAUCUUUAAAUCCGUUUUCUUGAAACUCUUGCAGUUCCAUGUCAUUUGGCCGGACAAUUGCACUCUCAUCUUCCUCAAGAUUGAUAUUGGUUUGUGCUGGCAAUUCUUCCAUUUGAGAAGCCAAUCGAUCUAUCCUGGAUGUCAAUUGACGCAUUUGAUCCGCCAGGUCGCGAAGGCUCGCUUGUGUCUUCUGAUGAAAUCGAUUUAGGCUCGCUUGUGUCUCCUGAUGAAAUCGAUUUGAAUUAGCAAUUAGUAAACCUAUCAUUUCUUCAAGAGACAUACCUGACACGGAGGAUGAUUGCCGAGACUCUUGCUGUUGAAAAUCCAUUGGCCCGGUUGCAUAAUCAAAAUUGGAAUUAUCCCACCAUCCUUGAUCAUACCCGUUUGAAUAAGGGUCACACUGCGUUUGAUAUUGGGGUGGAAAAUCUCCAAAAGUAUCAAUUGGAGCGCUUAAAUUAUCUUGAAAUGCGGGGCAUGUGUCAGUUGAAUAACCUGAAUCAAAAUAAGUUUCACAAUUUGCAACAGCCCAUUGAUCAUUAGGAAAAACAUGAGUCUCAUAACCCCAUUCAGGAACAAAGUCCAGUCUAUCAUCAAAAUAUGGAAUGUUAGCAGCCAUAAAAAAUAAUAAAAAAAAAUAAGAGAAAAAUAAAUUAAAAAAAAUGAAAACAAGAUAAACUCAAAAAGAAACAAAUUAAUCUGGCACCAGUCCCCGGCAACGGCGCCAAAAAUUGACAGGUUGUCAGCCUGUACAAUAAUAAAACCUGCUCAAACUAAAAGUAAUUUCAGUAGAUAGCGGUGAACAGGGUCGAAUCCACAGGGACUGGGAGUAAUUGUUCCUUUUCAAAUUCACAGUGACAAGGGGGUGUUUUUAUGCAGAAGGUGACAAUAAAAGAAAUUCAAAUAAAAUCUAAGAAACUACUAAAAAUUAAAUAACAAAUUACUAAAAUCAAAUGAAUGAUAAUUAAGGAUCUAACCAAGGAAUAACUUCAGCAAUGGUUCACCUAAUUGAUCAUCGAUAAGCAAAGGCAAUUCCAAUUAUUUACUAAUAAAUAGGUUAUAACUGCCAAACAAGCGAUGACAGUCAACCCCUCCUUACUGUGUCGAUGAUUAAGGUACGCCCGUUAAUCACUGCUCUAAUUGAGAAAUAAUCCUAGGUACGCCCAUAGAAUUUAAUUCCCCAAUUGCCUUACGUAUUAGAGGAGCCCUAUUCUAACCAAAUAACGCACUACCAGGGUUAUUUUAGAUUAGCCAGCGUAUUCCCCUGACACAAACCUAAUCAUGCCAGUUGCCACUAUUUUGAGACAAUUAAACAAUUACGGAUUUAAUGUCCCAAUUGACAAUAGAUUAUCAAAUUAACUAAUUAUCCGGAUCCAAGACAAUCAAUUAAUCAAACAAUCAUAAGCACUGCAACCAAGGAAUAUGCGAAUACCAAUAAAUAAAGGAAAAGAUAAAAUUAAAUCGAUCUCACAAUUUUUAGGCGAUCCAAAGCAUCCGUUGCUCCUUAACUAGAAAAAGGGAAUUAGUUCAUUUUGGUGAACAAAUCCCACGCAAAAUCGAAGAGGAAACUGCAGCCAUCAAUUGGAAAAUGCACAAAUUCGAUCCGAUGGAAUACGGGCUGAAAAGAAAAGCUACUGGAAGUAUCCAUUGUUUUUGCUUCUCCUAACAUACGGAGAAAAGAAAACUACUCAAGGCUAAAAGGAAAAGUCAAAGCUAAAGCUACCAAAAUGCUUCCUGACAUGCCAGGGAGACCAAAAGCUGAGCUAAGUUGUCUUUUGCUCCUGCCAUGCCCGCAGGAGGUUUUUUCAAGCCAGAGGCCCCCCCCCAGGGAAAAGUCCAGCCUUUUUCUUUUAAGCUACAGACGAGAAACUCAAGAUAAAGCCAGCCGUCAGAUGUGCGGCGGCUCUUAGGAGAAAGAAACCCUUCGUCCGUCAUUCCUCUGCAGAAAUUACCGAAAUGGGCGUGACAUCUUCUUUUCCAAAAAUGCCCCUGGGGCAGGCUCUAUCACUUGGGCUCCUUUUCUGCCAAAUUGGUACUUAUUAUCAUAUUUUUGUUCUACUCCCUGAAAUAAAUGAUAAAUACUAAAAGUGAGUAGAAUCCAGCAAUUAAUCCACAUCAAGUCAGGUAAUAGGGGAAAUUAAUAAUAAAAUAAAUGAUAAAAUUGCAACCUAUCAAUUCCCCCCACACCUAAACCAUGCUUGUCCUCAAGCAUAAGAGUAGUAAACGAACACCAAAUUUUGAUAAUGGCCACUGCUCUAUCCACCAAAUUGCCAAGAUACCAAGAAAAAUAAUAAUCAAGCAUCAAUGGUCAAGUCCAAGAAACAUCACUCCUGGUUAGCUUCUAAACCAUAAACUCUUCCAAUUUCAGGUUAACGAAUCUAAGAAAAAGGAAUAAUGUACAACAUUUAUCAGCAAAUGGUCCAACUAUUAACCAAAAUCUCAACAUUAAAUCCAUAAUUCGGCAAGCUGACUUUUAUUACACACUAACACAACCUUCACUUUUUUUCACAAUUUUUUUUUCUACCUUUCUCUCUUUUUUUUUUUUUUUAUUCUCUUCUUUUUUUUUUUCAAUAGUAACAAAAGACUUAGUCGCUAUCCAUUUGAGCCUUUUGACGCGAACUCCAACAUUGGUCAGAUAAAGAAGCCCGGUUACUCAGCUUCUAUCGCCACGUGACCACGUACUCAUAGGAAUUACUACCUUUUGACGCGAGAAUCAACACUUUUGGUGAAAAUCCCCAGUUACUCGGUAGUAAAGACUAGCGGAGUACAGUCAACUCUUAUUCACAGCUAAUAACACAAAAACUCAAUAUAAAACAAAAAUCAAAAGAAAAUUUGCAUCAGCUAGCCUCAUUUUCAAACAUGGAGAACUAAAGUUAAUAACCGGACCAAUUCACAUGAAAAUGCCAAUAAUCAUUCCCUAUGCCUAGGAAAGUUAACCAAAAAUUAUAAGAGUAAAACAAUCAUCGAUAUUCACCAAAGAGAUAUUUUUGGACUCAACCAUAUUAACUUGAUACCCUUUUAUUAUUAAAAUUUGGCAAUAGCAGAAAUAGAGGCAACAAUCCAACAUCAAAUUUUUGCAUGCACUUACGAGCCAAUCACUAAAAAGAAGAAAAUGAAAAUGAAAAUGAACGAAAGAUACUAGCACCAUAACUGCUCCCCCCACACCUAAAUCCUACAUUGUCCUCAAUGGAGGAAUUAAAGCAAUUAAAGUGAAGAGGACAACGAAACUUCCCUCUUUGAGUGGCCAAGAGGUAGGCGGGGACGGUGGAGGAAACCAAUGUGGUGGAAGUACGCGCCCAAGUUCUGAGACAUCAUACUCAAUUCAACCAGCAAAUGCAAAACUCUGUCCUCCCAAAAUCUCAACAAAUAACUCCAGUUGGCCAGUUAAUGCCUUAUCUCAGAAUCAGAAAUUUUAACAUUGAGAGUUUAGGUAUUUGACAAUAACAAUUCAGUCAUAAGUUCUUGGCUGUCAAUUAGACAGCCAAUCAGAUGGAAUUAAAAAAAAAUCUAGUCAAAAUACCCCAACCAGUACCAUUGGUGCACCCCACAGAUAAUGAAGCAACUUAAAUGGCAAACCCAAUCAACAAAAUGUACAUGUGAGGCACCCAAGGUCUAUACAAAUAUCCCAACAAUACAGCAAUUUCAAUCAAUACUCACGGGUGGCCCCAAUUGGGUCAAAUGCAGGCAGUCCAACAUCGCAACAAAUGCUCUAAAGAUUUAGCAAUUGAAAUCAAUAGGUAAAAUACUCCCAGCAAGUCAAUUAGACGCCACCAACAGCAAUAAGCAAUGGAAGUGGCACAGUAGCCUUCCAAUUCAACAAACAAAUGCAGAAAAUACCCAACCAAAGGCACUUCAAGGGACGCAAGACAGAAAUCAGCAAAGUAGAACCCAAGUGAUACCAAAAAUAAAAUUAACAAAGCAGUGAAUUCAACCAAUUUGAAUACAUAGAAUACGGUCAGAAAUGCCUCCUAAAAAUCAACAAAGAGCGGCAAAACUUGCCCACCCAAAAUCUGUCCAAAUGGCUCCAAUUGGACAAGAAAUUGCACACUCAAACGAUCAAAACGUAGCAAUUGGGCCAAGCAACAGGCAAUGGCAACAACCAAUGGUUAGAAUUCGAGAACAGUUCAGGCACCAAAACCCAAGAAUCAAAUAGGCAGGCCAGUACAGAGGAUUAAGAAAUGGAAAGCAACACUGCAACCAGUACCACUGGUGCACAGACAGGGAAGAAUUAAAUUCAAUGGCAGCAACUCAACCGCAAGAACUUAAACUGUAAAAUUAAUCGACCAGUACCACUGGUGAGUCACAGGGAAAAAUAAUCAAGCGGCCAAUAAUUCAAUAAAUAACAGAAAAUACCUCCACUAUGGCAGUAAUUAAACCCAAUUCUGUCCAAAAAGCACCCCCAGAAUAUGCCUAAAUCACCCAUGCUAUUAGCUAUAAAGAAACUCAAACACAGGGUGGACUGGAACGACUCAACCAAAAACGCCCAAUAGGCACAACUCGCUUAAUUAGGCAAUCCAGAACACAGGAUUAUCAGAUAUUAAACAACUACCAUCACCAGUACCACUGGUGAGUGCAUAGGGAGAAAUUAAAGCAGCAGUACCCCCAAAUAUCGCAGCAGUUUAACUCAACUCUACCCAAAUUAGACCAGAAAAUGCCCAAAAUUACUGCCCGCUGUUUUCCAACAAGAAGCCCAAGCAAAGGUGCAAAAUUUCGCAAUUUAGAGUUCAGAAUAAGACAAAUUGAGGCAGGAAUCGCAAUACCUCCACCUGCCAACAAUUGACAGGUGGUAACGAGUUGGGGUGGAGCUGGCGGAGAUGAGAGCUCACGAGCUGGUGGUGGGCUGGUGGACUUCGUCGACGAGCUGCAGGGGGGAGGAAGCCCGGCUCGCGGCUCGCGGCUGGGCUACAGGCAGCGGCGCGCGGGGCUGCUGUGGUGGUGGUUGGGGAGCUUGAGCAGGCGGCGGCGCGCAGCUCAGCGGAGAGGGGCGCCAAGCUGGUGGAGGUGAGCUGAAGUGCAGCUUGUUCGCCAAGUGGAGAGAGAGCAGAGGGGCGGCGCUCGCGUCGGCGGCGCAGCAGCGAGCGGCGAGAGCGAGCAGCGGCGUCUGGCAGCCUGCGUCGCGUGAGGAAGGGUGGCGGAUAGGUGGUGGCGGCGCUGGAGUGAGGUCGAGCUGAUGGUGGAGAUGUGCGUUGCGCGGUGGCGGCGGUGGAGAUGAUGGAAGCUACGGCGGCUGCUGGGAAGAGGCGCGGCGGCGUGCGAAGUGGUCGCAGCUGAAGGGAGAGCUGCGAGGUUGGAGCUGCCUCUGGUGCUGCUGGAGGCGGAUGAGCUGGGUGGAGCGGCGAGGUUGGAGGCGGACCGAGGAGCUGUGGAGGACGCCAGGGGGGAAAGGAGCUGUUGGCGCGCGGCGUGGAGGCUGCGGGCUUGUGGGCAGCUGCGUGCGGCUGCAGAUGAGAGAGAGAGAGAGGGUCGCGCCAGGUGGAGUUGGGGCUGCUGCAGAGGUGGCUGCUGGCGAGUGGAGGAGCUGCGUGUGGCGUGGUCGGAGGUGGGGCGCGGCGCACAAGGGGAGAUCAGCGGCGCGCAAGGUGAGAAGCUUCGGUCGACAGGGAGGAAGAAGAAACAGGGGAGAAAAAAGAAAGAAAAGAAAAAGAAGAAGAAAGAGAGAAAGAAAGAAAGAAAAAAGAAAGAAGAAAGAAGGGAAAAAGAAGAAAGAAAAAGAAAGGAAUUUGGUUUUUUUUUUUUUUUUUUUUUUUUUUUUUAACAUUGGAAACCAACGCUGCGAUGAAGAUUUUUUUUUUUUUUUUGAAACUAAAGCUAUGGUGAUAAGAAAUUUUUAUUUUUGUUUUUAUUUUCAUUAUUUUUUUUUUAUUUUUUUAUAUUUUUUUGAAUCCCUACCCUUCCCGCGAACGUGACGCGGGCACGUCAUGAGGGAAAGAGAGCUCCCAGAAGUUUCAGAAUCUCCUGAUCGUGAGCGUCAUGCACAUCACCACGCGGGCACGUCAUGAGGGCAGGAGAGCUCCCAGAAGUUUCAGAAUUUCCUGAUCGUGAGCGUCAUGCACAUCACCACACGGGCACGUCAUGACCGAAGGGCACCUAUAAAUCAGCAAAAACGAAAACUGAAACCAAAAAUCAGUCGAAUUCCAGGAGAACACUUCUAAACUACUACACGAAAUUGAACAACCAACUAAAAGGAACAAUUGGGUUGCCUCCCAAUGAGCGCCUUUCUUUAAUGUCUUUGGCUAGACAUUAUCAUGUUUUGCUCAUGGAGGAUAAAAUCUUAUGGCUCGUCUUACUGCUUCAUCCUCUAUAUAGUCCUGAUAACCCUCGUAAAUAGAAUAAUCCUUGAGCAUACGAGCUACGGGCUUCCAUGGACUAGUGAAUGGCGCCAAACGAGUCGAUGAUAAUUUACAUUCUCCAUUCACUCCUCCCCCACUUGCAUUUAUUGGUUCAAGAUAUCUCACCAUCGCCACUCUUAAUUUAUUCCUGUCAUGAAAUUCAAAAUUGUCUGGUAUAAUAAAGUCAAUUUCGUUAACAGGAAUUGAAGAGUAAGAGUCAGGAGAAUAUUGAUGAAGGAGUGGAGGGGAUGUCACCGCAUUUGGAGAUUGUUCACUGGAUUCAUUCACUUGAACGAGUUGAUCUUGGAGUCUCAUUUCUUGCACUUCAGCUUCCUUUUCAACUGCAUCUUUAAAUCCGUUUUCUUGAAACUCUUGCAGUUCCAUGUCAUUUGGCCGGACAAUUGCACUCUCAUCUUCCUCAAGAUUGAUAUUGGUUUGUGCUGGCAAUUCUUCCAUUUGAGAAGCCAAUCGAUCUAUCCUGGAUGUCAAUUGACGCAUUUGAUCCGCCAGGUCGCGAAGGCUCGCUUGUGUCUUCUGAUGAAAUCGAUUUAGGCUCGCUUGUGUCUCCUGAUGAAAUCGAUUUGAAUUAGCAAUUAGUAAACCUAUCAUUUCUUCAAGAGACAUACCUGACAAGGAGGAUGAUUGCCGAGACUCUUGCUGUUGAAAAUCCAUUGGCCCGGUUGCAUAAUCAAAAUUGGAAUUAUCCCACCAUCCUUGAUCAUACCCGUUUGAAUAAGGGUCACACUGCGUUUGAUAUUGGGGUGGAAAAUCUCCAAAAGUAUCAAUUGGAGCGCUUAAAUUAUCUUGAAAUGCGGGGCAUGUGUCAGUUGAAUAACCUGAAUCAAAAUAAGUUUCACAAUUUGCAACAGCCCAUUGAUCAUUAGGAAAAACAUGAGUCUCAUAACCCCAUUCAGGAACAAAGUCCAGUCUAUCAUCAAAAUAUGGAAUGUUAGCAGCCAUAAAAAAUAAUAAAAAAAAAUAAGAGAAAAAUAAAUUAAAAAAAAUGAAAACAAGAUAAACUCAAAAAGAAACAAAUUAAUCUGGCACCAGUCCCCGGCAACGGCGCCAAAAAUUGACAGGUUGUCAGCCUGUACAAUAAUAAAACCUGCUCAAACUAAAAGUAAUUUCAGUAGAUAGCGGUGAACAGGGUCGAAUCCACAGGGACUGGGAGUAAUUGUUCCUUUUCAAAUUCACAGUGACAAGGGGGUGUUUUUAUGCAGAAGGUGACAAUAAAAGAAAUUCAAAUAAAAUCUAAGAAACUACUAAAAAUUAAAUAACAAAUUACUAAAAUCAAAUGAAUGAUAAUUAAGGAUCUAACCAAGGAAUAACUUCAGCAAUGGUUCACCUAAUUGAUCAUCGAUAAGCAAAGGCAAUUCCAAUUAUUUACUAAUAAAUAGGUUAUAACUGCCAAACAAGCGAUGACAGUCAACCCCUCCUUACUGUGUCGAUGAUUAAGGUACGCCCGUUAAUCACUGCUCUAAUUGAGAAAUAAUCCUAGGUACGCCCAUAGAAUUUAAUUCCCCAAUUGCCUUACGUAUUAGAGGAGCCCUAUUCUAACCAAAUAACGCACUACCAGGGUUAUUUUAGAUUAGCCAGCGUAUUCCCCUGACACAAACCUAAUCAUGCCAGUUGCCACUAUUUUGAGACAAUUAAACAAUUACGGAUUUAAUGUCCCAAUUGACAAUAGAUUAUCAAAUUAACUAAUUAUCCGGAUCCAAGACAAUCAAUUAAUCAAACAAUCAUAAGCACUGCAACCAAGGAAUAUGCGAAUACCAAUAAAUAAAGGAAAAGAUAAAAUUAAAUCGAUCUCACAAUUUUUAGGCGAUCCAAAGCAUCCGUUGCUCCUUAACUAGAAAAAGGGAAUUAGUUCAUUUUGGUGAACAAAUCCCACGCAAAAUCGAAGAGGAAACUGCAGCCAUCAAUUGGAAAAUGCACAAAUUCGAUCCGAUGGAAUACGGGCUGAAAAGAAAAGCUACUGGAAGUAUCCAUUGUUUUUGCUUCUCCUAACAUACGGAGAAAAGAAAACUACUCAAGGCUAAAAGGAAAAGUCAAAGCUAAAGCUACCAAAAUGCUUCCUGACAUGCCAGGGAGACCAAAAGCUGAGCUAAGUUGUCUUUUGCUCCUGCCAUGCCCGCAGGAGGUUUUUUCAAGCCAGAGGCCCCCCCCAGGGAAAAGUCCAGCCUUUUUCUUUUAAGCUACAGACGAGAAACUCAAGAUAAAGCCAGCCGUCAGAUGUGCGGCGGCUCUUAGGAGAAAGAAACCCUUCGUCCGUCAUUCCUCUGCAGAAAUUACCGAAAUGGGCGUGACAUCUUCUUUUCGAAAAAUGCCCCUGGGGCAGGCUCUAUCACUUGGGCUCCUUUUCUGCCAAAUUGGUACUUAUUAUCAUAUUUUUGUUCUACUCCCUGAAAUAAAUGACAAAUACUAAAAGUGAGUAGAAUCCAGCAAUUAAUCCACAUCAAGUCAGGUAAUAGGGGAAAUUAAUAAUAAAAUAAAUGAUAAAAUUGCAACCUAUCAGAGGUCAUCGUUAUAGAGGACCUCCGCUUCGACCUCGGUUUCCUCGCUCUGUUCCUGGGGUGUCCCGACCUGAUGAGACGCUUCGGCCCCCCCUUCCCCGGCCUCAGAAGCGGUUCUCUCCUCGGAAGGAUCUGGCCUCUCUGCUUCGGUGAAGUCGGGCCUCACCGUCUCUUUGUGGGUGCGUGCUGUCCUAGCCAUUGCUAAAGGAGGAGAAAUGAAGGGGAAGAAGUGAACUUACUCAGAAGAUGUGGUGUAAGAGAUUGUCGAAGUGAAAAAACAAAGAAACAGAGCUCUGAGGUGAUUUUUGAUUUUUGAUAAAGAGUGAAACGGUAAAAAGGGACUCCUAUUUAUAGGCUAACAGGGAGAAGAUGAAAAGGCGGAACCUUUGGCAUCCUCGAGGACACGACUUCUCUCCUCAUUAAUGGGGGGACUGUUCAUCUGACCGUUGAUUUCACGUCCAUCCCUGGAUCUGACAUUAAGGCUGACAGCCAUCAUUUCACUUCCUUCCCAGUCCCAUCCGCGCAGUCAUGACGUGUCCUUACUGUAUUCCGUGUUCUACACUCUUGUCAGCCUCGGGAAGUAGCUACCUCGGAAAGCAACGACCCCGCCCUUCCCAAGGCUUGGGGGGCUUAGUGAGGAGGGUAUCUCCAGCUCAGAUAGCGCUGGGGCCCUGUCCUGUGGUACCUCUGUUUCGACCGCCUCGGCCUAUCACCAUCGUGAAUUGACUUCGGCCCAGUUACCGCCUCGGCCAAGGCUUUCCCUCACAAAGCCGAAAUGAAGUAUAACGACCUGACAACCGGAGUUGUGGAACAUGACCUCUGACACCUCUGAUAAAGCUGCUCUGACAUGCGCCGCCUGACACAUGACUGUUCCGGCGCACCUUUCCGCAGAGCCCAUCAAAUCACCUUGAUGCGCUGACCCUGCCAGAUCUCUAGGGACCCGUGCCAGCAGUCCCUCUUUCCUGUCCAUCCUCUAUAAAUACUCAAGGCUUCUACUGAGAAAGGGGAUGACCAAUUUUCCUGAUAAAAACCAUACACUGAUUCUCUCUAUUAAGCUAUUUUCCCAAUCCCGAACUGACUUAAGUUUCGGAGUUCUACCGGGGGAUUCAGCCCCCCUUGUAAUUUAAGCAGGUGACCAAGCCCGCUGUGACCUCUUCAGCUGCAGUGCUUUCAGCUCUCAGUUCACUCCAGCCGAUCAGAAUUCACCUCUUCACUAACCUAGGCAGGUAGAGAGGAAUACAGACUUUGUAGUUUGUACACGUUGAUCGAAGUUCUUGCAACCUACUGAUAAAUCGUUACAAUAACAAAGGUUCCAUGAUUUGUAGCAACAGAUAUACAAACAAUUGUAAUCAUUUACCUCUUCUGGAAAUUUAACUUCCUAAUACAGCAAGCAAAGAAGGCAGCAAAAGUAAUGGGGUACAAAAUCAACACAACACCAACUAUGGGUAGUUGAUUGUGAUGAAAUCCAAAGUAAUCUCUCAAAAACUCUGCUACCGUUUUAGUUUCUCCAAACACCUCAAUUUGCCUGUCAACAUCCCCAUAUUGUGAAGUAAGCAAACCAUUGAGAGUCCAAGAUGUUGGGAUUAAGUAAUAGCACCAAAUCCACCACUUUGGGAUUUGCUGCAAGUAAAAGGAAUAAAAAAGAACUCUAAGUGUCAACUACAACCCAAGAAAAAAAUGGAUAAAUUACCUUUUAUCUCCCUAUAAUUUGGUACUUUGUCACAUAACCUCUUAUGAUUUAAUAACCAAUAUAUAACUCCCUUAUGAUUUGGGUUGAAGUAUCACAAUUAGUUUUUCUGUUAAAACUAAUGGUUAAUAGUAAAAAGUCAAAGUCAAAAUAAUUAAUUGGCAAAUUUAGCCUUUCAUUACUUCUUUUUUUCCCUCCAAACAUAAAAAAGAAGAAAUUUAAAUAAAAAAAUAGAUAAAUAAGAAUUAAAAAAUACCGUUAAAGAUUUGGUUUAAAAACCUACAAUGAUAUUUGUCAUCAAAAAAGAUUUGGUAUUUUUUGUUUCUUAUUAUUUGUUUUAUUUUUUCUUUCCAUCUUUUUUGUUUCUUGUUUAUUUGUUUUUUAUUUCUCUUCCAUCUCUUUUGUAUUUGGAGAAAAUUAGGAUUUUGUAGUAUAGGUUUUCAAAAUCAUCUCUUCCCUUUCCAGAGAGAGAGAGAGAGAGAGAUAGAGAGAGAAAGAAAGAAAAAAAAGUAGUGAAAGUGUGAAUUUGUUAAUUUAUUAAUUUGACUUUAACUUUUUACUAUUGACCAUUAGUUUUAACAGAAAAACUGACAGUGGAAUUUAACCCAAAUUAUAUAGAGGUAGUGAAAGGGUGAGUUUGUUUAUUUAUUAAUUUGACUUUAACUUUUUACUAUUGAUCAUUAGUUUUAACAGAAAAACUGCAGUGAAAUUUAACUCAAAUUAUGAGGAAGUUAUCUAUUGGUUUUUAUACCACACAAGAGUUAUGUGGUACAGCUUCAAAUCACAGGGGAUAAAAGGUAAUUUACCCCCCAAAAAAAAAAUCUUCUCAGAUGUCAAUUCUUCUUCCAUUAAGUGCUCAUAUAUGUCUAGUGUAUAUAUAUAGCUCAUACCAAUUUCUGGCCUAGCUCAGCGCCUCAGCCUAUAAAAUGUUGCAAGUUGCAAAACUUAAAGCCUAUAAAUUUCUACCAACCUCCCUAUGAUAACUAUGGAUGUUUGUGUACACAUGCAUGGAAUGCCGACCUAGCAGAAGGGCUUGGGAUUGUAUCUGUGGUUAAAGAAAUGCUUACCGGUCGAGGAACAAGGAACCCGGCAAAAAGGUUGAGCAACGUAUUAGAAGUUGACAGCAAAAUUGAAGCCAAUGGCAAGCUUGGUGUGAUUGAAACCAUCAGCAUGCCUAGAUAACUGAAGUAUAGCCACGUACAAAACAUCGAGUAGAAGUACCAGAAAACCUUAUAAAUUGACCAAUAAUAUCCAAUCAUUGGAUAUGUGAUGAUUGUGUAUAUAAUUGCUUGGGCAAAGAUGUAGGGAAUCUCGAUAGUAACCUACAAAAGUGAAGAGUAUACUUGUACGGUCAGAAUGUAUAUUGGAGGGAGGGACCUGAUACUGCUUUAAAUCUUGGGAAAUUGCAACAGAUCAUACUACAGGUCGAUAUUAUUUUUCAAGACCAUGCAAGGCAAAAUAAUAUUUGAACCUCAGUGCAAUUUUGUAUCUGGACCUUAACUAUCUUUAAUCAAACAAAAUACAUAAUUUUUUUUGAAUCAAUACUUUUACCUGCGCAAGUGCACAAGCCCAUGAAGAAUACAUUCCCGCAAAUCUUUCUCGGUAGAGGACGGUGCGCUCUUUGCUGACAUAUGGCAGAGCUGAAGAGGAAUUGUUUAUACCACAGAAGAUUACAGCGCUGAACAUCGAACCAAGAAUAUUGAAUACGCUCUGCUGAUCAUUUCUAUUAAAAAAAAAGGGACAUUUUUGUCAGGGAUACAGUCUUCACUAACAAAAUAUUGGACAGCCAUUGCAUUUUCAACCGUUCAUUCAAACGAAGUUAGAUGGAUGGUUCUUGGAACAAAGUCAGUUGCUUAUGGUUGAUAUCAGAGGUAUUGAGAUGCCAAUCUACCGUAGAAUGAAACUAUGCAAGACCAGCUGGAAAAUUCAAAAAUGGUAAAUGGAAGCUGAGUAUUUGCACUAGAUGUGGUUAAAUUCGAGUCUUUACCAUGCAGAAGACAUGCAACGAAAAAGCUGGUCUCAGAUACACAUAUAUACACACAACGUUGUUAGAAACAGGUUCUAUAACGUAUACUUACAGCUUCUUCCCUUGAUCCCAGAACAGGAUGCCAAAAAGCAGAGAUUGUAUAAGCAUUAGCAGCAAUCGGACUAAAUUGUACGAGGGACUUCUCCAGUAGGACCAAAAUUGCUUCCAGAGGCAAGCCUUAAACUGUCCCCAUCCACUCAAUGAAAAACGAGUUGGAAAAUCCAAAGCUUUUGAACCAGGAGGUGGAAUGCUCAGUCGCUUCACAAGUUCUCUAGUAUCCCUGAGAACAAAGGAAUGGGAAACAGGAUAAUUACAACUUUUGCUGUGCUUACAUCUACCAUGGUAUAAAAGUUAAUGUGAGAAAUCCAUGAGAUUUUUGUUUACAAGCAAGUGUAAAAUGAAAUAGCUACCAUCAAAAAUAGGGUAAAUCACUUAUUACCCCCUGUGAUUUUAUAGAAUGCCAGAUAACCCCCAUAAGGUUUUAAAAUAGCAACAUAACCUCCCUGUGGUUUUAUGUAAAGUGAAAAAUGGACGGAGUGCACAAUCAAUUACGGUGUUUAUAUCAAACAUCCUUUAAAAGCGAAUGUGAUCAAAUCUUCAUAUCCAUGUAACCCUCUUAUGAUUUGAAUAAAUGUCCACUUUAUCCCUUGCGAUUUUUGUAUUGAUUCACGUAAUCUCCCUAUACUUUUAUACCAGGUGGUUAAACCGUCGAUUAAUUUAGCAUUUAAGUAAGGGUACUAUUGAUAUUUCAACUAACAACAUUACACAGCUAUUCUCGGUCAAGUUUUUAUUUUAUAGAAAACUAUAGGGGGUGAAGUGAAUAUUUUGAAUCAUUAGGAGGGUCAUGUAACAAUAGAUGAAUCCACAAGGGGGUAAUAAGUAAUUUACCCUUUAAAAUAACAAACACUUUAAGCAAUAUUAAUUGUCUAAAACAUAGAACAUGCUCAACACAUCUUGUGAGAAUCUAAUGAAUAUGAAAGUAUUUCAGCAUCUCUAGUAAGUGCAGGAUUUUUAUUUGCUAUAAAAGAUAAGUGACAAUACUGUGAUUGUCACCUUAUGAUUCUCAGGUUAUUUCAGAUGGUAACCUUCAGAAGAUAAAUCCAUAGCUGGAAAAUUUUUGAUUUGCAAGUUAUGCAUAUAGAUACGUAAAGCUGUGGUGACCAAAGAGGUUUUGAAUUCUAGGUCACGGUUGGACUCACUCGUACAAAGUAGAAUUCUGAUAAAUUUGAGCAAAGUCUACACCAAUUUCAGCCUCAGAAGAUGUAGAAGUGACCUCUAACAUCCAUGUAGCUGGAUUAUAGUUGUUUCUAAUCUUUGGCACACCUGAGAUCUCCUGUUACAUGGUAAAUGAUAGCUACAAAUGUGACAAAGGUGAAUAUGUCCAUGAAAUAAGGCACAUGCACUAUGAAAGAUAUAUGGAAUAUCAAGAAAAUAGUGCGUGGAAAAAUCACCUCAAAAUAUUCUAUAACUUUACUGGAUUGUCUCCCCAGUGGUCCAGAGUAUAUCAUGCGCCCUCCUGAUUUCAAGAGAAUCAACUGCAACAUUUUCAAAGAGAAUUCAAUAGGAUCACAUAACAAAUAUAUAUACAUACUUGGAUGAUAAGUGCAGAAAAGUAAAGCAAUGCCCAAGAAAAAAAUAGGGAGUAUUGUUAUAUUUACACUGUUGAGUUAAUGGUUCAUUGGCGGCAAAUUACCUCAUCGAAUGCUUCAAAUAUAUCGAUGCUUGGUUGGUGGAUAGUGCAAACAAUUGUUCUUCCUGUAUCAGCCACAUUCUUUACAGCCCGUAUGACAAUUGCAGCAGAUCUUGCAUCCAAUCCAGUGGUAGGUUCAUCCAUGAAUAUAACAGAGGGGUUAGCAACCAGCUCAACGGCAAUUGUAAGUCGCUUACGCUGCUCAGUUGACAAGCCACUAACGCCUGGAAUGCCCACAAGAGAAUCUUUUAUUUGAUCAAGCUCAAUAGUUUCUAAGACCUCCUUCACAAAGCCCUACAAAUUAUUAUGCCAUUACAAUAUCAAUGUGCAUGUAAAGAAAGAAAUUAACUCAACAAUAAAUAUUAUCUCAACUACUUAAAUUAUAGCCCCAUACAGAUUUAGUCACUGAAUCAAUCUGAGGAUGAAGACGCAGCCAAGCAGAAAAAAUAACUGACUCUUCAACAGUAAUUUGUGGAGAAUGAAUGUCUGUUUGCUCACAGUAACCCGAUAUCCGAGCAAAUGUCUUUUGAACUUUGGGAAAACCUCCAAUUCUUAUGUCUCCUUUGACAAGACCACUUGUUUUUCUACCUGCAAGGACAUCUAGAAGAGUUGUUUUUCCAGCUCCAGUUACACCCAUAAGUGCUGUAAGAACACCGGGUCUGAAUGCGCCCGUAAUGUCACAAAGAAGUUGGAGCUUUUUCCUGCUAAAUCCAUGCUCCUUUACUUCCUGAAACCGGUAGAGGAUUGAAUAAGCAAAGAUAACACGGUCCAAAUGCAUCUUCAGAUCAUAUCAAUUACCACGUCUUCGGCACUUCGAAAAGCAUGGAUAAGUGACAAGGUGCUUUACAUUCAAAAAUCUCGUACUAUGGGUACUCUAAUGCCUUUGAUGCACGAAAAAGGAAGAAAAUGGGAACAAUUUACUCCCAUGAUCUAUUGAGAGAAUCUUCUUAAGUGUAUGCUUUACCUGGUCCAUAUCAUUACACAUCCUCAUUAGUCUAAAGCAUGUGAUUUCAUUGGUGUAUUCUCAAUAAUUUGAAAUAAUAUAACUCUGAAGCAUAGGAAAGAUUUUAGCCUGAAGACAUUAGACAAGGAAGCAAAACAUUUCUCAUUUUGUCAUUCCCAAGUUUCCUAUUUCUUGAAAAUAUAAACAGUCCAAGAAAAUAAUUGCUCCUCCUAUCCUAAAUUAUUCCUAAUUCAAAAAAUUUUGGAUUUUUCUUUCAGAAAUCCCACUCUAUAUAACUCUAUAACAAGGAAAACAUGACUUUUACAGUUUUCGCAGAAGCCGCAGAAGCUGUUAGCCAUUGUUCAGAGAGAAUUUGGAAACUGGUAAAGCUGAUGAGUUGAUCAAAAUUGGAAGUGAAAAUAAAUAUCAAGAUGAGCCGACUCUCUUUUUUUUUUUUUUUUUUUUUUGGAUCUUCUAUGCUUUUCACGUGUGCUACCUAGUUUCUUAAGUACAAUGAACUGCUCUUCAUAGAACAAAAUUUAUCACCUAUAUCCAUAUGCAUCUUCUUGUUUGCCACAAAAUAUCAGAUGUCAAAUACAUGACUUACCACUGGAGUGUCAAUGUAGUACUGCAGAUCUUGAAAGACUACAGUCAAUGGUUCAAAAGGCAAAACCAUUUUGCCUGCAAAAAAGAGAAAGAUAUGAAGUUAUGUGAAGCAAUACGACUUAGUCUACAAGGAAAUGAGAAAUUUCUAAGUUUGUGAUGAAUUUUAAAAAAAUUCUACAAAAGGGGUGAUUGUGGCGAGGAAUUCUGUCGGGGGGUCUUCGCAUUCGUGAAAUGCGAGCUCAGGAGAGCUCGCAUUUCACGAAUGCGAGCUCUGUUGAGAGCUCGCAUUCCUGGAAUGCGAGCUCUCCUCAAAUGCGAGCUCUCCUCAAAUGCGAGCUCAACAGAGCUCGCAUUACAGAGAUGCAAAUUUUUUUGCUUUUUUUUUUUUUUGGAGGCAGAGAUUUAUAUUUUUGUAUUAAAACAAAAAAGGAUUUUGACAAUCAGUGAUUCCGGAAAUGGGCUGUACCAUCCUGUCAGUAGGUUCCUUGUUUCUUAUGACAAAAUUCAAGCCUGAACUGGAUGUCGGAGACGCCCAACGUAUUAAUAGUUCAUUUCCUGUUGAGAUGUUCCAUGAAGCUUGCCACUCCUCAGGUGGUUCUUGAGGUGUUGCAGUGCCUACAACUUUCUCUGCACUAGAUGACAAUUGCAUGUAAAAUAAGCACGGAGGUUGAGAAGGAAACAGCAUAACUGAAGAAUCAAAACAGGUGGAAGCAGUGAAAAAGAGCUACAUUAAAGCACAUACCAGGGGCUUUGCCGAUCGAACUAGAAACGUAGGACCAAGAACCUUCACGAAUCUCUAUGAUCCUGUCCUCCCAUUUAACAGCUGAAGGUGUUUCGCCUCCUCUCCUCCAAAAUCCUCCUCCCAUCCUGGAUCAUUCUUAAUCAUUUGAAACUCAGCAUACUGAAUAAAGCAGACACAAAUCACUGAGCUCGCAUUUCCGGAAUGCGAGCUCGAAUUGAGCUCGCAUUUCCGGAAUGCGAGCUCAGUGAGCUCGCAUUCUCAAAAUGCGAAGACCCCCAUUUAGAGAAACCCCUCCAGGAAACGCCCUCGUUGUAGAAUUCUUUUUUUUUUUCAUCAUAAACUAAGAAUUCACCCGCAAGGAAAUAGACAUCUUAUUAAGAUAUAUAACUGAGAAUCACUGGUGAUAUAUGAUGCUCACCUUCAUAAGGUCCAAUGGAGUUUCUCAAAUUUUGUGGAGUUCCUACUAUGGUGGAGUCUUUGUCACCUCGUAUUUGAGAAAGCUUUUCACUCGAAAUAAUAGUGCGAAAGCCGGGGGCUGCAUGCGCCAUGAUUAGUGGGUAUCGUAUGAAAAAUAAUCUCCAUUCUACAAGAAGAUAUAACGGAGAUGAACCUACGUUUUAAGAAAGUUAAGGCUAACAUGAAACCGAUGUUGAAGAACAAUGUAAACCCAAAUAGAGCCCCAACUGAAAUCCAAAACAAGUGACCAUCAAAGCUCAACCCGCGGCUUUCAAGUGUUUCUUGUCCUAUUGUUGCGUUUGAAGGAAGCAUCUAAAAUUAAAGACGAAGAGUACUAACAUUAGCUGAAACUGAACUGCUUCAUAAGAUGACGCAGGCAAUGUGAAUAAUCAGACAAUAGCAUAGAUAUUAUAGCAAGUCAUUGAUAGUGCGUAUAAAAUUUUAGAUGUAGAAAAACUUGAAGAGAAAUCAACAGUUCUACAUUUGAAGAAAACACAUGAUUAACAAGAAAGCCUAAAAGGGUACGUUGAACUUCAGAAGAGCAUGAUUGAUAGGACAAAAAUGAUUCAUAUAUCACAUCCUCGAUAGAACAGGAGAUACCUUAGUCGAGCUUAGUUAGCUUGACUCAAGGUCUAUACAUUUGUCUGUCUUAAAUAUUUGGGCAAAUUUCACUUUAUCUCCCCGUGGUUUAGCAUUUUUUAACAUAACCUAUGGUUUCAAAAAUUAUACAUAAUCCCCUCAUAGUUUGGAUUAAAAUGUCAAAGUGACGGGAAUGAUUAUUCUUAACGGAGUCAUCUAAAAUGUCAAAAAUACCUUUAUAUAAAGUUGAAAAUUAUUUAUUAACAAAUGGGGAUUAUAUGUAUAUUUUGAAAAUCAUAAGGGGAUUAUAUGGUAAAGUAUUAAAUUAUAAGGGAUUAUAUGGUAAAAUAUAAAAAUUAUACGGGAUUAAUGUGUCAUAUAUGUAUAAGGGUAAUUUCAACAUUUUUAGAAGUUCCGUUACUAAUAACUAUUUCCGUCACUUUGAUAUUUUAAUCUAAACCAUGAGAGGGUUAUGUAUAGUUUUUGAAAUCAUAGGGGAGUUAUGUAAAAUUAUGCUAAACUGCAUGGCGGUAAAAUGUAAUUUGCCCUAAAUAUUUUAGGACUUCGUGGGACGAAUGAAGACACUAUAAGGAAUAUGGGCGAUGAGAAACCAAUGUGAAUACUGAAUACUGAAAUGAAAGAACAAUUGGUCUUUGACCACUGGUAGUAUGAGGUUGGCUCAUCAGGGCACUGAAAACUUACGACCAAAUAGUUCUAGCACAAACGUUGCGUCUGAUAUUUCAUUUUAUUUUAUUUUGGGCAAAAUACGCUUUACCCUCCCAUGAUAUAGCUAUUUUUCACAUAACCUCCCUGUAGUGUUAAAAAUUAUAUAUAACUCUCUCAUAGUUUGGAUUAAAGUGUUAAAGUAACCGAAGAACUUAUAAAAAUGUCAAAAUUUCCCUUGUUUAAAAAUCAAAAUGGAUGAAGUGACCAAAAUAUAUAAACAUAACAUGCAUUACAUUCUAACCCCGUAUAAUUUUAUAUUUUAUCAUAUAACCCCCUUAUAGUUUAGUGAUUUACCAUAUAACUCCCUUAUAAUUUUUGAAAUAUAUAUAUAACCCCCCUGUGGCUAAUAAAUAAUUUUUAACUUUAUAUAGAGGUAUUUUUUAUAUUUUAGUUGAUUCCGUUAUGGAAUACAAAUUCCGUCACUUUGACACUUUAAUCUAAACCAAGAGAGAGUUAUCUAUAGUUUUUGAAACUAUAAGGUGAUUAUGUAGAAAAAAUACUAAACUACAGGGGGAUAAAGUGUAAUUUGCUCUUUUAUUUUUGAAGCAUAAGGCAUAUUCACUAAAUGUAGCAUGAAUAGUAAGAAAUAGAAAAUUGUGGUUAUCUAAUAAUUUGUCAGUCCAUUUCAGCAUAAUUCUAGUUCAAAGUAGAUGCAAAACAAAUGAUCAAAGGGCAAAAAAAAAAAAAAAAACCGGUCGCCUUCUGCCACCGUGGGGCAAGAAAUUCAUUCAAAGCAAGGCCAAUCUCACCAUAUGUUAAUGGAGACACCCAAAAUCCCCAUUUCAACCAAAUUGGCAUAGAGGCUGCAAUAAACUCAUCUUCAGAUUAUUCUUUACUUGCUCAAGUAUAAACUGAAAAUCAGGACCAAGAAUGACAAAAAAUCAUUAAGCACUUACGCCUAUUGAUUAUGAAGCCGCUAAACAGCAGGACAAAUGAUAUCGAUAAGCUAGCAACUGCUGUAGAAGCAACCACGGUUUGGCAGACAGAUGCAAUAAAACGGAACAUGGAUAUUGAUGUCAGGUGAAUGGAAAAUAGUAAAAUCAGUUGGCGGAAGAACCUGGAAUAGAUUGAUAUUUCAUUAGUGAAUAAACUAAUUACCCAUGGUUUCAAGGUCCUAAAUGCGAUCAUAAUCUAUUAACCCUCUUAAACCCCUUCCAGUCAUGGUUCGAAGUCUCGGCCGAGACCGAGACGACUCGGCCGAGUCGUCACCGUCUCGGCCCCUACCGAUACGAUACCGUGACGAAACGAUACCGAAAUACUUGAUUCGCCGAGAAAUCGGCCGAGUCGUCACCGCGAGGGAUUGACUCGGCCGAGUCACAUCGAAUCACUCCGAGUUAUCUCGAGUCAAGACAAGAAAUCAGCCGAGUCACACCGUGACGGAUUGACUUGGCCGUUUCUUUUGCUAUUUUUUAAUUAUUUUUAUUUAGCAUACUUUUUUAUAUUAUUAACAAUUUUUAGAAUAUUAAAUACUUUAAAAUUUACGUCUCACCGAGACCGCGACCGAUAUGCCGAGACCGAUGUGGAACGUUCUGGGCCGCGGCCGCGACUUUGAACCAUGCUUCCAGUGCAUGAUUAACUCAGAUCAGAAAAGUGUAUGUACUCUCAUCACCUCUCCCAAUUUGUCUAGGCUCCCUUCGUUGGCUGGCUGGAAUAAUGACUGAAUAUAACAAAACAAGUUUAACAGGGGAGGUCAUCAUGAUUGCCCGCUCCAGCUAAUGAGAGGCAAUGUUUUAACAUAUAAUGACACACCUGAAGGGAGAUCUCAGGAAUUUACAAUUCAAGAUGUUAACAUAAGUUCCAACAAAAGGUUGGUGAUUAUGUUUGCUACAUAUGCUUUUCUAGAUACAGGAAAAUGUGUUUAAGAAAAUGAACUAUCUAUGACAAACUCAAGUGCGUUAGUAGCUCACCUCCCAACCUCAGGGCUAUAUCCAAUGACAUAGUAAGUUAAAGAAGUCCAUACCACAGCUUCCAGCAAAGAGAUAGGAACCUUUAGAAUAGCAGAUGGGAUUGCAUAUGCCCAAGCCGGGUACAAGUACAAGUCUCGCUGUUUAUAAAAGAUUCCCAGUCUUGCAACAGUCAUUGGCAGCUCUGGAUUUCCAUUAACUAGAAGCAUGAUGAGAGCAAAAAAGAGAGCUCCCAGGUAAUAAUUUGCGUGGAGAACAUCAGCACCCAUCCGUGUUCGUAGAAAUACGGUCAUAGUAAUGGAAGCAACAAUAAGGAGCUGAAAAUAUUGUAAAUGGUGUUAGACGCCUUAAACAGAUGAGAAGUGGAGAAUUUCAGUGUACAUUGAUGGUGAUUAGUAGGAAAGCAGGGAUAUCUUCCUCAUUUUCUGCAGACUAGCUUGUAAGGGCUUCUGAGGAUUUGAAUAGAUUGGUUGGCCUUUAUUGAAAAUAUUAUAAAGCAGUUGCCAAAAUUCAGCUUUCCCAAAUUAGCAGCUCAAAGUUCAUUUUUUUUAUUUCAAUUUUUGCAUGGCUACUUUACAAAUAUAACGUGCUACAGGUACAUGGAAGGGCUACUUCACUUUUUCUGGUUUAAUGAUCUUAUAUUCAUGUACAUUAAAAGCAAAAACGAAAUCAUCAAAAAGUAUAAGGCAAAGAAAAUAUUGAGCUAACCUGAACCGAUUUGAAAACAUAAACAAAAGCAUUUCUUUUCAUGAGAAGAAACUCUCUCCACAUACAAGCUCUGAAGAGUUCCCACUUAGGAACCGAAAACCUGCUCAAGAUGAUAGCAUUUUUGCAGUCCAUGCACUUCAUGAAUGGCCUUUCAAGCUUCUUUCCAUAACAAGAUUCAUUAAAUUUCCUUGAUAACAUAUCAACAGAAUGGUAAAGAUAUGUUUCUUCACUUCGAUACCAGUACUGUGCUUGAUCUUUUCUCGAGAUAAUCUGCAAUGGUUUUCAUAGAUUAAUUUAACUGUAACCAAAAGGACGAUGGCAACAAAAGAAAACCCACAUGAGGCAUCAUCAUGGCCUCACCUCCUGUAGGAAAUCAGCAACUCCUUUUCUUUCAGGACAUGUAAAUCCACAACUCUCAAAAAAUUCGAGAAUAUUAUUUCGUGGUCCAUGAUACACAACCUUUCCCUCAGACAUCAAGAUGAUGUCGUCAAACAAGUCAAAUGUUUCUGGUGCUGGCUGAAGAAGUGACAUGAGUAUAGUGGCAUCUGUUAUAUGUGCAAGCUGCUGAAGGCAAGACACUAUCUGAUAUGUGGUUGAACUAUCCAGUCCAUUAGAAAUUUCAUCCAUAAAUAAAGCUCUUGUAGGGCCAACAAUCAUCUCCCCUGUAUAAUGCCACUAUAAGCGAUGACUACUGCAUUGUUCGUGUUCAGCCAGGUAAAAUUUCAGAAGUUCAUUGUUGAUAAGUUGCUGAUAUUAAAUAUAAUAGCUGUCAUGCAAAAGCUCAAUAUUAGGAGAUUAAGAGUUGCAUCUAUUAAGCAUGGCUUCAUGUUACCUGUUGUCAACCUUUUCUUUUGGCCACCAGAGAUACCUCUCCUCAUGGCGUCUCCAACAAAUGUAUUGUCGCAUAUGUCAAGUCCAAGUAUCUGGAAAAGGAUUGGCAGUCAAUCAAUCACACGUAAAGUUUAUUGUCUGACUUAGACUAACUGAAUAGCAGCUGAAGACCAAUAUGUGAAAGAAUUCACUACUUUCAGAAUAUUAUCUGUUUGGAGAGUUGUAUCUUGCCCUUCAACAGAAAUUGCCUGAUCAAAACAGAUUCACGUUAGAAGAGAGGAAUAUUAAAGCUCAGAAACAAUACGGAACAAAGUAAAAUUUCUGCUUGAUGGCCACUAACGUGUCUUAUGCAAAAAGAGUGGAAUAUGCAAUACAACUGCAAAUGAAAAUCAAAUACAUAUUAAGAAUUAGAGCAAAGUUAUUCCAUUUCCCGGAAUAUACUGACAAGCAAAAAUUUAUACCUAUGCUUCUUGGCCUAACCCUGGUUUCCUCUUUUCUCUAUCCUCUAUUUCGGCUAAUUUUCAAGAAAUCGUAGUGUUACUCCACCUUGUUUCCAGAAAUAAAAAAUGAACACAAAGUAAACCAGGAUAAUAUCCAGCCUCUUACAUGGUUUUCACAUCAAUUACCACUUGAAGUUCAUAAGGAUGCAGAUUCAUUUUCAAGGGUAAAUGAAACAUACAACUUUGAUAAACCAUAUUGGUAACCAACCAAAACUGAGUUAGAAUGCAAAAGGAACAAAAUCUACCUUCAUGUAAGUGUCUAUAUCUGGAUCUGGGAGAAUUCCUGCCUUUAUCUCCCUUCGACUGAGCUCACACAUUAUAGCUUUAAAGCAAAAAAGACUUCAACUUUCAUCAUCGGUUCAUCACAGACACGAUAUGUUCAAAUAGAAACAGAACUUCCCUUGUGCUGAAAAUGUACCUGCUCUACUCCCAACACCCUGACAACGAGCUGAAAAAUCUAGUGUUUCCCUAACAGUCAUUUCUGGAAUGUGAAUAUCAUAUUGGCUUAUGUAAGCAGAGGUUUUCUGGGGUACAAAUUCUGAGAAUUUGUAUCCAUUGUAAGUUAUCUCUCCCGUAACCUGUCAGAGAAAAAUAACAAAGUUAACACUGAGGCAAACAAUAAGUUUUGGUGUGAACAAAUAAGCUUAAAUGAUAUGCUGGUGCCAUGAUUUUCUCCAAAACUGUUACAUGACUGUGAGCAUCCUAAAAGCAAAUAUUCAGGAAUAUCUUGAUUAACAGAUGACGAAAUCUUUCAGUUUCUGUUCAAGAUUUAAAUAACUUUCCAUGAUAUGAUAUAUCAGAAGACCAGCCUGAAUAAUCACUUCAGAAUAGUUGGCUCAUUCAAGUGGUUGGGAGUGCACAAGAAUCAGUGCAAAGCUGUAAUAAGUUACUAAAGGCAAAUGUUGGUAAUCAUGCAGGGUUGCUCUAUCACUUCAUGUUGUGAUCUUUUUAUAGUUUCUACCAAGCUAGAUAAAGAACUGAGAAACAAAGAGACCUGGAGAGAUUUGUCAAGAUUUCCUGAAAGUGCUUUCAAGAAUGAUGUCUUCCCGCAUCCUGGAGGACCUAAUAGAAGAGUCAUUCUGCAAUGGUAAUAAAUGACUAUAAGAUGGCAAUAAAAUGGUUUUAAUCAAAAGCUAUCUCUCAGUUCUUCCUUUUUGCAAAGCAAAAUAUAGGAGUAAGACCUAUUCCCCAGUACAACUGUCGUGGACAAGUAAGCAUUUUUUUUAUGCUUCAGAAGCCUGGAAUAAAUUCGAGUUACAAAUUGAAUUCUGAUCCUUCAACCUGAUACAAAUUGUCAAUCCAUCCGUGCAAUCCAAAGUUAAAUUUCAGUUAUAAAGCCAACAAAUGUUCGUAAAUUUUAAGAGUUGGUAUUCUAAUUCAUCAAACUGUCAAACUCGCAGGGGCCAAAUGGUAGAUAGCAAGCAAAGAAUGGCUCUGUCUUAGAUGUUCAGCAUACGAUGUUAUAGUAGCUAAGAAAUGAGAGAGAGUUCCCCAGAUGGUAAAGAACACAAAAGACUGCCAGGGAAUACAAGACUGAAGGCACUAGAACACAGUUAAAGGCACAAACAGACAGGUGAUGUGCUGAUCAAGAGUGACAUGCUCAACAAUUAUAUGUCACAACUUGAUUUCACACAGGACUUAGUCACAAGUGAAGAUAAGUAAAUGCCCCACUUAACAAUUUGAAAAAUACACUAGAUUCUCAUCCUGUACCUUCCUGGCUUAAUGAUACCACUAACAUCACUAAGGAUACAGAUCUUCGAUACUUGUGACUUUAAACCAGCAACCCUUGCAAGAUCCUAGGACAAAAUAAAGCACCAACAGAAAGUUAAGAGACAACAAGGAAACAAGAGUUAAGAUGAACUGUUGAUCUCUGUGUUAUUCUUUCAAUGCCUUAUUGGCAGCGUAGAAUAAUUAUUAAUUAACCUAAUAUACUGGUAAGCUAGCACGUUUUCUACUAUAACUUUGCGGCUAGGUAUUGCAGAGUACACAUUCAAAGAACCAUUGUUGUCUCAACGAAAAGCAGAUACUCACUGAAAACAUGCUUUUGAAAGAAUUCCAAAGUGUUGGAAGCGGCUUUCCUGAAACAACUUCAAAUUCUGCUGCUACAUGGAGAUUGCUGUACCUUACUUCCACUGUAGGCAAUUGCACGCCAACUCUGCAGGAACCAAAUUGAGAAGUUGACUUACAGACUUUCAAAUAGUAGACAAUUAAAAAUGGAGAAAACACAGCAUCUGGUUAACUACAAAAAAUGCACAAUCCCAGUCAGUUAGCCUUAUCAAAUUUUCAUAGUAUCAUCAUGCUGAUAUAUUUUACUCCAAGAAAGUGAUCGUUCAAUGCAUGACUACCAAAAACUGCAUGUGUAAACUAGAAUUUAAGAGCAUUAUCUAUGACUCUUAAUCAUGGGCAUUUCAACAAUGUAAUUAAACUUAUAGCAAGUCAAUCGGCCGAUUUCACAAACAAGAAGAAAUCUCACCUGUCAAUUCUCUUCCUGAUUUUCUGCAACAGUUUAAAGUUGUCAUGCUCAACAUGCCUAAUGAGCUUCUCAAUGAACAAAUGCCUCUCCAGUGCACCAAGCUUAGUGACAUCAAUUACCCGUCUUCUUUUAGUAUCAGCUUCAUUGCCGCUAUCCUCAUCAAACACAGGUGAUUUCAUCCGUUUGAAAGUAGGCAGUUUAUCAAUAGCAGCCCACUGCAAUGCAAGUUCUUCAUCAGGUUCAUCAUCCUUUCCAUUACUUAAGGCUGAAAUGCUUCUGAAACUCGCAUUACAAGUAUGAAAUGAUUCUCUUAAGCUCCUUCCCAACUCUGACAACUCAAUUCCUAACGAUUCUACAUCAUCUCUUCCUACUAACUCAGCCAUUUUAGACCUUUUCUCUUAUUGCAUAAUAAAACUAUCAUUUUUCAGGGAAAAAGGAUAAUGCUACAUAGAUACACAAGCGUUCUUGAGCAAUGAGGAUAGUAUAUCACCCAUCGGAUAAUGAAGUUGAAGCGGCUGUUUCACAUGCUGCAAUAAAAAUUUACAUUCAAAAAGAAAGGCGGCUUUUCCAAUAUAGAAUUAGUAGAACCUAUAGCCCUGAACUAAGGAUCCAUGUCGGCUUCUUUGACUUUCAACAUUGGCAAUGCAGUUCAAUGUUCAAAUCAAAUCAAGUGGGCUUUUCUUCAUUCACUCGAACUACUACUGGUCGCCAUAAACUAAUGAUCUCUCCUGUUGGGACUGGUAGUAAACAUUGUUGAAUCAUCAAAUAAUAUCAAAGAUUGCAAAGCAUUUAUUGCCGUUGAAGAUUUUUUCAAUAUUCUUAUAUAUAAUUAUUGGUUCAUGGUCAAGUCCCACUUUUUUUUUUGUCAAUUAGGUAGUGCCCAGAUCAAGUUCGAUGCAUCUUACCUCCUACGUCCAUUGGCCUAUGGACAAGACAUGUGUAACAAUCUAAUCAAACUUCACUCAUGUAGAUGUUCCAAUAUCGGACGAUCUAUUCUAUUUUAUUGUUUUCACCAAUUAAGUUCGUCCACUAUGUUCUGGGACCGGGGUCAAAUCUUUUUACUAUCCUUAUGCUUAUGCAAAAUUUGAAGGAUUUCACAGUUUACCUCAUUAGGACUCCAUAAGUUAUAAAAAUUCAAGCUACAUAUAUACAGAUCAUUAAUGGGAAAUGACGCAAAUUGAAAACAAAGCAAGCCCAUUUUUCAGAUGAUGAUGCCUUGACUUGAUAUCAACCUCGCGAGUACGUUUUCUUUGACCAACAUGAAUAACCCUCCUCUCCUGGUCCUACUUUUCCUUGAUAGAGAACCCCGUCACGACAGGUAAAAAUAAGCAUAAGUUGUUGAGGGUCGAUAGGAGAUAAUAUGGAGUGUUCGGAUGCCAUUAUUUGAAAUAUUAUUUGAAAUAAUUAAUAUAGUAUUUUUUUUGUGAUAUGAUAUAUGUAAAAUAAAAAAAAUAAUUAAAAAAUAAAAGUUAAUUGAAAAAUGUAUUUGUGAUUCAAUAUUUGGAAUAAUUUGACCAUCCAAACUUUGGAUAGAGCAUUAUCCAAAAUAUUAUUUUGAAUAGUUAUUAUACUAACAUCUUUUUGUAAUGUGAUAUAUAUGAGAUAAAAAGGUAGUUGAGAAUAUAAAAAAUUGAUUGGAAAAAAUAUGUUUAUCAGGUAAGUAGAAUAUAUUUUAAAAUAAUUUUUGUAUCCAAACAAAUACGAUAAUCAACAAGAAAAAAAAUAGAGGACAAAUCAUCAUAAAGAACAUGAGCAACAUCGCAAUCAACAGGGGCGGAGGGAAGGGGGGGCCAAGGGGGGCAACCGCCCCCCCUCCAAUUGUUAAAAAAAAAAAUUUCUAAGUAAAAAAAAUUUUAUUAUUAUGUUUUGUCCCUCCAAAAAUUGAUCAAAAAAUUCACUUUGCCCCCCCAAGGGACCAAACAAUAAUGUUUGAAAGUUAUUUGGACUUGGUCCAAAUAACAGAGAAUUGCCACUUUUUUUAACGGACUUCAUACAAGUGCAAAGAAAAUAUAGCCAGUUAACCUGGCAAUUGACUCUGCUACAGUUCUUCUUCCUAGAAAGUAAAAACGUCAAAAACUUCUCACCUUGUUCCGCAGAGAUGUAUCAAAUCUGCUCAAACGAUACAUCAUUAAUUACUGGAAUUGAUCCUUGUGAGCUCACAAAGUCAUGGCUUCUCAUAAUCUCAUCGAGUAGAGACCAUUAAAGGCUUGAAGAACUUUCUCCAGUGAAGACCUUCCCCCGCACAUGGCUAAGGAUUGUACCAUUGCAUUUUGCAUGGUCUAGCUGUCUAGGUAAUUUUUCUUUUAGCAUUUGUUGAACGUGUCUUUUUUUUUUUCAGGAAGUAAAGGGGUUGUUUCAUAUUAUUGUAUCAUCAGAGCAGGUUAAUGAAUUAGACAUUGGUUGCUUAAAUUGACCUGUAGGUUGCAAUGCUAGAUAAACUAACACUGAUCAUCAAUACCAUUUCAGACUAUUGUAGCUAUUACCAUUUACCAGGUUAGUUUGACAUUGCAUUUAUUUAGUGAAAUGUGGGUGUAAAAAGUUCAGGCGCCAGUUGUUUGAUGAAUUGCUCGAGGGGGACUUGUAUUGUUUUUCGUACUUGGCCUUCUGAAUUCGGGUGAUAAGCAUUUAUUUUAGUUGAUUUUGAGACUGGUUUCCUUUUCCAAUUUUCAUACUAAUUUUAUUUUGAGGAUCCUGUUGGCUUCCUUGCGUGAUGGCCGGGCUUUUCAGUCAGGCUGAAUGGCCGAAAUUUGUAAGGGAAUUAGGGAAACCAAUCUUUUGCAUUGGUCAAAUUCCCAUCUCUAUAGGCCAUAACCAGUAUUUCUCAAUCAAUUUUAUUUCGAUUACAGGUUGUUGUUUUGUUGCAAAUAUAGUGGUAAUGGCCAACAGGACAAUUGAUUCUUUUUUCAAGAAAAGACGUCUAGAACCAAGUGGAAGUGGUGAAACUCCUUGUCCUCUUCGUGAUUCUUCUCCUAAGCAUCAAACAAAGAAAUUUUGUAGAGCUGAAUCAUUAGAGUUUGAUAUUUCAUCCAUAGAACGUGAUCCUGGAAAGUGAAAAUCCAUUUGGGAAUAUCUAGAGCAUCAAAAGGAUGAGGUACGGAGAGCAUAUAUUAAGUUUGGGCCAUACCAACCCGAGCUUCGGAUUGAAUCAAUGGUUAUUGACAAGAAGGACCGACGUUUCCUUUUCUCUUGGUAUAAAUUGUUUCCAGAUUGGUUGGAAUUUUCUCCAACAAAGAAUGCUGCCUUUUGUCUUCCUUGCUCAAUUUUUUCCAAGCCAAUGGACCGUUUUGGAUCAAUGGCCUUCACAAUUAAUGGAUUUAGAUCUGGGAAGAAGGUAAAUGAUGGAAAAAAUUAUGCUUUUUUAAAUCACAUUGGAAAAUAUCCUAACUCAUCACACAAAGUGGCAAUGCAAUGCUAUCAUGAUUUGGGAAACUCAUUGCAACAUCUUGAUAAAAUUAUUGAGAAGCAAAAUUCUGAGCAGGUUGCAAAAAAUUGGUUGCAACUUCAAGUUUCCAUAGAUGCUGCAAAAUGGUGUGCAUUUCAAGUGGUGGCUUUUAGGGGUCAUGAUGAAAGUUUAGAUUCUAACAAUCGAGGUAAUUUUAUUGAGUUGAUCAAGCAUAUGUCUUCUUAUAAUGAAAAAGUGGCUGUUGUGGUCCUUGAUAAUGCUCCUCGAAAUGCAUCUUAUACUUCUCCUACGAUCCAAAAGGAGAUAUUGUCCAUUUGGUCGAGCAAGAUACAAAAGUAUAUUCGAGAGGAGAUUAGUGAUUCAAAAUUUUCUAUACUUGUUGAUGAGGCUCAAGAUAGAUCAAAAAGAGAGCAAAUGGCUAUUGUUCUUAGAUUUGUGGACAAGCAAGGCUAUAUUCGAGAGAGAUUUUUUGACAUUGUUCAUGUGCACAAAACCAAUUCCUUGACUUUGAAGAAGGAGCUAUGUGAUGUCCUUUCUCGCCAUAAUCUUAGUGUGCAAAACAUUCGUGGCCAAGGAUAUGAUGGAGCUAGUAACAUGCGUGGAGAAUGGAAUGGACUGCAAGCAUUAUUUAUUCAGGAGUGCCCCUAUGCAUAUUAUAUUCACUGUUUUGCUCAUCGACUGCAAUUAACAUUGGUAGCAACAUCUCAAGAGGUAAUUCCUGUGGAACAAUUCUUUACAUACUUAUAUUUUCAUAUAAAUUUCAUUUCAUUUUCUUGCAAACGGGUGGACCAACUUAGAGUUGCUAGAGCUGCUAGAAUUGUUGAAUUGAUUGCUAUUGAUGAACUUGAGACUGGUAGGGGUCAGAAUCAGAUUGGUACCUUAAAACGGCCAGGGACUACAAGAUGGGGGUCUCAUUUUAGUUCUAUCUGUAGUUUAUUCACAGAAUAUGAAGAUAUUUGUUCUAUCCUAAUUGAUGUUAUCAAUUAUGGAAAUACAUCAACUCAAAGAAGUGAAGCUGACAGAGUUUACGAUUUCAUGACAUCCUUUGAUUUUGUUCUUGUUAUGCAUAUGAUGAGGGACAUUUUAGGAUUUGUACAAGUACUUUCUCAAGCUUGACAAUGCAAAUCUCAAGAUAUUUUGAAUGCCCUUAAAUUGGUUUCAGUAACAAAGGAUCGACUUCAAAGUUAUAGAGAUAAUGGAUGGAAUGAAUUGUUCACCAAUGUAAAGACAUUUUGUGAUGCACGAAAUAUAGAGAUGCCUGAUAUGAAUGUCAUUUAUAAAGCAGGUCGAGGAAGAAUUUGAAAACAAAAUGAUCCAAUUACCAUGGAGCAUCACUAUAAGAUUGAUGUGUUUUUGGCAACGGUUGAUUCUCAAAUACUUGAAAUGAAGAAUAGGUUUAAGGAAGAUGUAAUAGAGUUGCUUAUUCUUAGUUCAACAUUGCACCCUAAAGAUAAUUUUCAGGCUUUCAAUAUUGAACAAAUUUGUCAACUUGCAAACAAGUUUUCUUCAGCUAACUUCACAGAUCAAGAGAAGUUACACUUAAGAACUCAAUUAGAGCUUUUCCAGAUUGAGUUUUCCUGUAAUUCUCACUUCUCAGCUUCAAAAUUUGUCAUCACUUCAGGAGUUGUGCCAAGUGUUAGCAAAGACAAGAAAGUCAAUGUGCUAUACUCUUAUUGAUAGAUUGAUUCGUCUUAUUUUGACUCUUUCUGUUUCAACAACUACAACAGAGCGUGCAUUUUCUGCUAUGAAAAUCAUCAAGACUUGUUUGCGCUCUAGGAUGGAGGAAGACUUUCUUGCCAACUCUAUGAUAAUGUAUAUUGAGAAAGAAAUUGCUAGAACUUUUGAUAUAAAUUCAAUCAUUGAUGACUUUGAUGAAAUUAAAAGUCGUCGUGCACAAUUUCAUAUAUCCCACACAGUCAAAUAGAUUUAUAAAUAUGAUAAUAUUUUUGUAUAUGUGAAGCGUAUAAGUAAUUUUCAUUCUAUAUAAGGUUGUUUCUAAUCUUGUGGUAUAUAUGUUCACAUUAUUUUUUUUUGUAAAUAUAUUUUACUUUCAUUGCUAUAGACUCGCCCCCUCCCCCCAAAAGUUAAUUCCUAGCUCCACCACGGGCAGUCAAUGAAUCAUUUUAUGUCUUUGCCCUCUCAUUUUACAGAGAAGGGAUGAAUUUUGAUGGAAGAGGGUCUGUUGUCUACUGAAUGAUGAGGGGCUUACGAGGGGAUUGAUCAUCUUUCACCUGUUACAUUAAUAUUAGGGUUAAUUAUAUUUUGCCCCGCUAAACUAUUUUCGUUUGGGACUUUGUUCCCUGGAUUUCUUUUUUAUCAAUUUCUUUAGGCCUUACUAGAUUAGGAGGUGGAUCAAAUUUAACUGUUCAUUAGCCAAAAGAAAAAAAUACAGUAAGAACCUUUUACCUUUUGAACAAAAUAAAUUACCACUUUUGAAUGGUAUGUUGGGUAUAGAUACAUUUCUCUAAGGGAUUGAUAUUUGUUUGUGUUUUUCUAUUAAGACAUAAAUAUAAAGCUUAAAUAAAAAAAAUUAUGAAUUUUCAGCAGUUGAGUAGCUAGUAUAAAAGGGCCAACUUCUGCGGCUUAUUUAGUUAAGAAGUUAAUUGUCUAUUUAAUCACUGGAAUUAGUUUAGUGGCAAGGGGAAGGGGAUGAUUAUUAGAGUUUUUCCUGUUAUGAAGUGAAUCCUAUACCUAAUAGUUGAAGAUAAGAAGGGCGUGGAGAGAGGAGGAAGGGUUUAAAAAGAAAUUAUUAUCAAUUUGCUUGAUGACCAACUAAAAUUCAAGGAAAAUUCAAGUUACUAAAAUACUUCGCGAGAAAUCAAAGUUUGAGGAACUAUACUGCUAUAAGUGGAUAGUUUAGGGAUCAGAGUGUUAAUGGUAAAUAUUUUAUGCCAGGUGCAAAUUAUAAUUAACCAAUAUCCCUAAUUUCGCUCAUAACUCAUAAGUGUUCCCUAUAUCACUAUGGUUCAUGAGCCUAUAUUAAUACAGAAUAGAUAUAAAUUUUUCUUGUUUUCGAGAGACUCUUAUAACUAAGAUGAUUGAAUCGGAAAUUCAAAAUAAGCUGAUUACAAUUAGGCCAUUAUUGACCACUUUUUAAAAUGCAGUCCCCUUUUAGAUAAUAGAUAAUGAUAUACUAUGGACUCAUUCAACCCAAUAAGGCUUGAAAAAUGUUAUUUGCAUUCCCCUUUUUGUUAAUCACAUUCCCCUUAUCAUUUUAAUCAUAUAUAUACAUUUAUUAGAUUACAUGAUAAAACAAACGGUAAGAGUGUAAAUAAUAAAAAAUAGAGUGUACAUAACAUUUCUUGAAGGUCUCCAAAAGAACAAAUGACUCAAGAGUCAAGUGCCUCUGUAAAAUAUAAAGCCAAUUCAUUAACCUAUCUUUCAACUAAAGGAUACAUACAUUCAUGCUGCCCAAGGUGUUCGGUUUUCAAAUUCAUAGAUUCUCAAACACACACGCACACGGAAGCAACUCAAGGUUGACGAAAGAGUGCAAGAGAAGAUUACACACCUUUUGCUGGUAGAUCCACUCACAAAAUUUUCUCCGUUUUGUUUACGUUGCUAAAGAGUUUAAGCGGUGUGUAGUCACUAGGUGUGUGUGAUCUGCGACGCUCCUCUUUCUGAUUGUCUUUCCCGCUUUUGUGUCCAAUAAUGGAAGUAACUAAAUGCAUGCACGAUCCUUCCCAUUCUUUUGUUUUCUCGAGGCCCCCUCCUUUUUUUUAUAAGGCUUUUAUCAAUCUUAUUUAAUAAUUAGGCCACCUCACUUCCCACGGUUACAAUUGUUUGGCUUUUAAAUGUCAUGUAUUAAUUAAGCACAAUGAAAAGUGGAACCAUGGGCCAACGGUUGCCUACUUUCUUUUCUCAAGCAAAUUAUCUGAAUAGCCACUGAACUUUUCGAAUGGUCAAGUUUUGGUCACUCAACUAUUAAUAGUAUAUUUUUACUUCUGAAAUAUCAAAAAUAUAAAUUUUGGACCAUUCCAUUUGAUUCGACCGUUAACUCUACAUAUUAGCAUGAUUUAUGAAAUAUACUAUUAAUAGUUAGAUUUGACAAAAUUAACAAUAAAAUCAGACGGAAUGACCCAAAAUUUACACAUUUGAGAGUUCAACGAGUAAAAACAUACUGUUAGUAGUUGAGUGGUGAAAUCUUAACUAUUCAAAAAAUAUAGUAGCUAUCGGGGUAAUUUGCUCUUCUUUUCUCAGACUCUCUAAUUUUAUUUUUGUUUCAUUUUUUUGGCCAAAAAAAGCUAAUUGUAUUUUACACCCCAAACUAUUCUCACAUUGCAUUUUACCCUGCUUAACUUUUAAUUGCAGCGCUCAACUACCUUUAACUUGCAAUUCAUUGCAUAAUUUAAAAUGAAAUAUUUCCAGGGUUAAUUUCAUUUUCCACCCCUUAACUAUGCUUAGAUUGCAAUUUGCAUCGAUCCUAAACUAUUAAAAUUGGCCGCAUGCUUAAAUUACAGUUUCAUCUGUCUUGUAAAGAACUUCAAGUUAAACUCGAAUUGCCCCAUAAAUAUUUCUUCUUCCACAUGAAAGUCAGUUUCACUGCUACCCUUCCACCUUUAUUCUUUCCAAUUUGAGAUAUUGUAUAGGUCUAUAAAUCGAACAAAACAAUUUGGUACUCGACUUAAACUCAAUUCAAACCAGACUCGUACAAACUUGUUUAUUUAGCUAUCAAUCCAAACCCGAACAUAACUUCAAACUCGAAAAUAUUAACAAUCCAAUCACAAUUUUCACAUUGUCCGACUCGAUAUGUUCAGAAACACAUAAAGCAAGUAAAUUUCAUAAAAAUAUACAUAAAGUCUCCUUCCUUAACUUAGCUUCUUUCCUUUCCUUAUAUUGCUUAUCUUGUAAAAUAGCAAACAUAUAAUACUCUUAUCUCUUGAAUAGGCAUAAUUGAUUUUAAUCACAUCCGUAAUUCAUCAUAAUAGAUUUCUUGAAUAUUAGAGAGCAGAAAUUAAGGGAAAAAAAGCAACAAAUUAGGGUGAAAAUCUCUAUAUAAUACAACAUGCAAUUUCAAGCCAAACCAAGUAUUGAUUUUAUGUGCUUGGAUUCGAUACUAAGAUAAGCCAAACCAAGCUUUUCAUGUACAUCAAAAAUUUCAAGCCAAACUCGAUCAAUUUCUUUCAAAAAAUUAUCAAACACAAUCCAAGUUCAAACAUUCCUUUUAAUUUUCAAAUCAAUUCUGAACAUAACUCUGUCCGACUCGUUGAAAGUUGCUUUCAACUCUAAUCUUGUACAGCUAAAAAUGGAUAGUUCAAGGAACAGAGCAUUAAUGGUAAAUAUUUUAAUCAAGGUGCAAUUUAUAAUUAACCAAUAUCCAUAACUUCACUCUCAAGGAUACACUACAUCACUAUUAACACAAAAUAGAUAUAAAUUUUACUUUUUUUUUUGAGAGAUUUUUAUAAUUGAGAUGGUUGAGUCAAAAAUUCAAAAUAAGUUGAUUACAAUUAGGCCAUUAUUGACCACUUAUUAGAAUGCAGUCCCUUUUAGACAAUAGAUAAUUAGAUACCAUGGACUCAUUGAAUCCAAUAAGGCCUCCAGAUCAAAUGACUCAAGAGUCAAGUGUAUUUGAAAAUAUAAAGCCAUCCACUAACCCAUCUUUCAACUAAAGGGCAUAUAUUCAAUUUUUUUUUUUUUUGAUAGAAAACAGAGUAAAUUUUAUUACUCUGUCAUCCAGCACCAACUGCUUUACAAAAUCUAGAGGUGGGUUCCGUAUGAAAUCAACCGGAGGAUAUAUAUUCAAUUAUUCAUGCAGCCCAAGGUGUCUGGUAUUCAAACUCGUGGAUUCUUAACCGUCACACACAUAUAUAUGAUCAGGAGUCAGGACAAGAAAGAAACAAGUCAAGGUUGAAGAAAGAGUGCAAGAGAAGAUUACAUAGCUUUUGCCCGUAGAUCCUCUCACAAAAUAUUCUCCCUUCUGUUAUACGCAGCUUCAGAGUUCGGAGUUCAGAGUUGAUUUCGCGUUGAUAUUUUAUCACAUUGAAGUAGUCACUAGGUGUGAUCUACGAUGCUCCUCUUUCUGAUUGUCUUUCCCGCUUUUGUGUCCAAUAAGGCAAUAAUGGAAGUAACUAAAUGCAUGCAUGAUCCUUCUUCCAGCUCUUUUGUUUUCUGUGUCCAAUAAUGGAAGUAACUAAAUGCAUGCAUUAUCAGUUCUUUUGUUUUCUGCGUUCAAUAAUGGAAGUAACUAAAUGCAUGCAUUAUCCUUCUUCCACUUCUUUUGUUUUCUUGAGGCCCCCACCUUUUUAUAUAAGGCUUUUAUCAACCUUAUUUAAUAAUUAGGCCACCUCACUUCCCACAGUUUCAAUUGUUUUGCUUUUAAAUGUCAUGUAUUAUUUGGCCACAAAGUAAAGUGGAACCAUGGGUCCACGGUUUACCUACUUUGUUUUUCUGAGCAAAUUAUCUAAAUAGUCACUAAAUUUUUUGAAUAGUCGAGUUUUGAUCAUUCAAUUAUUAAUAAUAUGUUUUUUACUACUAAGCUAUUAAAAGUAUAAAUUUUGGACCAUUUGGUUUAAUUUCACCGUUAACUCUAUCGGAUCCAAGAGUCAUCAUAAUUUACGAAAUAUACUAUUAAUAGUUAGAUCUGAUAGAAUUAACGAUGGAUCAAAUGGAAUGACCCAAAAUUUACACAUAUGAUAGUUCAGUAGGUAAAAAUAUACUCUUAAUAGUUGAGUGGUCAAAUCUUAACUACUCAAAAAAUUCAAUAACGACUGAGUAAUUUGGUCUUCUUUUCUCUGAAUAUCUAAUUUUAUUUUUGUUUCAUUAUUUUGGCCAAAAAGGGUUAAUUGUAUUUUAUGCCCCCAAACUACUCUCACAUUGCAUUUUGUCCCCCUUAACUUUUAAUUGCAGGCUUACAGCACUUAACUACGUUUAACUUGUAAUUCAUUGCACAAUUUCAAAUGAAAUAUUUGUAGGGUUAAUUUCACUUUCCACCCCUUAACUAUGCUUAGAUUGCAAUUUGCAUCCUAAACUAUUAAAAUUGGCAGCAUGCUUAAAUUGCAGUUUAAUUUGUCUUGUAAAGAAUUGCCCCAGAAAUAUUUCUACUUCCACAUAAAAGUCGGUUUCACUGCAACCCUGCCACUUUUAUUCCCUUCUUCAUAGUGAAAAUUGCCCCUAUCCCUUUCAAGGAUUUUUUUUUCUUUCUUUGGGGUUGAAAGAUAACGAACAAUGACCAGAGGAGAAAUUCCAACUUCCUUCUGAGUUCUGAUUGACCAUUUGAUGGCCCUUCAACACUUCCUUCACAACAGACUGAAAAUAACUCUUGGAAAAUUGUUACUAAAGGAUUUGUAACUGCUUUUAUGAUGACAAAUUCAUUAUUAUAAAACCACUGUUUUACAGACUAUUACAUGAUCAUCACCUCUUCUGGAAGUUUAAAUUCUGAAUACAAAAAGCAAAUACAACAGCAAAGGUCAAAGGGUAUAAGAUUGAUAUAAAAGCUACAAGGGGUAAUCGAUCGUGAUGAAACCCAUAGUAAUCUCUUAAAAAAGCUGCUAUUGUUUUAGUUUCUCCGAACACAUCAAUUUCCUUCUGGAUAUCUCCAUAUUGUGAUGUAAGCAUACCAUUCAAUGUCCAAGCUGUAGGAGUUAUGUAAUAUAGCCAAAUCCACCACUUUGGGAUUUGCUGCAAGUUAAAAUAACACAAAUUUGUAAGUAAGAAAAGAAUGUACAAAAAGAAUUUAGAGAACUUAUAUCUCAUUGUGGCCUACAUGAAGUGCUUAUCUAGAAGAACAUUGAAUCUUGGCUAUCAGAUGAUCAAGUUCUUAACAUUUGGCCAAAACUUAAAAGCUGCAAAAGAUGUUUGGAAAGAGUAUGGGUCAUGACUCAUGCUGGACUGUUUUUUACAAGAUUUUGGUACAUUCAAUUUUAUCUAAAAUUCCUUGUCUAUGAAAGUGCAGAAGUGGAUAAAGUUCCAGCAAACUAGAAAUAGUUCAUGCUGAGUAGAUGAUAGCUUACCGGUUGAGGAAUCAAGUAUCCAGCAAAGAGGUUGGCUGCCGUGUAGAAACCAGAUGACAAGAUUGAAGCCACUUGAAAGCUUGGUGUCAUUGCAACUAUCAUCGUGCCAAUGUAGUUGAAGUACAAUAAGGCAUUGAACAUCGAAUAGAAGUACCAAAAAACCUUGUAAGCUGACCAAUAAUAUCCAAUCAUUGGAUAUGUGAUGACUGUAAAUUCAAGCGCUUGGACAAAGCUAUAGGGAAUCUCUAUAACAAUCUGCAACACACAAUGCAAUGCCUCAAUUAGCAUGUGAAAUAAUAGAAAUUUGCAUGCCCGGCCUGUGGAUUUUUCUUUAUACCUGAGCAAGUGCAUAAGCCCAUGAAGUGUACAUUCCGGCAAAUCUUUCUCGGUAAAGAACUAUUCGCUCUGUGCUGACAUAUGGCAUAACUGAAGAACAAUUAUUUACACCACCAAAGAAUACAGCAAGGUACAUUGCACCGAACGCGUUGAAUAAGCCUUGCUGAUUAUCCCUAUCGUAUGUAGGAAUAUCAAUAUCGACAUUUUAAGAUGUUAGGGGAAAAUCUUUGUAUUAUAACAGAUAGAACCCUGUAACUUGUGCAUGGAAGAUAUGUUGAAACAACAGCAUGAGCUCUCUGUAGAAUAUAUAAAAUGAUUUAAAGAAUAACAUCACCGAACUACACAAUUAGAAAGCAUGGUCCAAAAUUUAACAAUCAGAAUGCAAAGAAUCCCAUUCAGACACGAGCAUUAUAACCAUGCAAUCGCCAUGCACUUGUAUGAGGAAGCUAAAUACGGAGUCUAGUACAUGCUGUCAAAGGACCGAUUAAUCUCUUCCAUGCAGGAAGAACAUCCAUCUUUUGGAAUUCUGGGAUUUCUACAGCAGAUGUUAUUACUUUGUUUGAGUAAAUUCAGCACAUACUUACAUUUUCUGCCCCUGAUUCCAGAACAAAAACCCGAAAAUCAUAGAAACUGCGAAAAUGUGCAAGAAGCGCAUCAAGUUGUACGAAGGGCUUCUCCAGUAAGACCAGUAUUGUUUCCAAAGGCAAGCUUUGAAUUGUCCCCAAAUGUUUUGUGAAAAGCUGGUAGGGAAUUCCAGAGCUUUAGACCCAAGAGGUGGAGAACCCAGCCUUGCCACAAGUUCUUUAUUAUUCCUACAGUCAAUAAGAAACAGAAGGAUCACAGACAUGUUAAUGAGCUUAUGUCGACUAAAAAAAUAGGGCGUUGAUUAUAUGCCUUUGUGAGCAAAAACAGACAAAAUUAAACCACAUUUUUCCACUGUAGAUCCUCUGGUUUUUCUGGGGGAAGGGGGGUUGGGGGAAACCACAUUCUUAGUUGCUAGAAAUUUUUUUUUCAGACUCCACCAUAUAGCUAUCUACAAGUCGUAACACCUAUGAAGAUGUAUAACUACAGAGGACACCACAAAAGACCUUUCUCAACACCAAAACCUUGAAGAAAAAUUGCAAGCUAUAGUUUUUAGGAGGCAGUGGGACAAAAAACCUCUCGGGAACUUUUCCCACAACUAAGGUACUCAGUAUCAACAGUCUUCAGAAAAUGUCACGAAUAGAGUAAUUACAACUUUUGACCAAGUUAAUAUUAUCUUUUAAGAAUCUAUUUCUUAUGUAUAGGGCUAAUAGUAAGGCAAUAAAGGCAGUAACAUGACUUAAACUUUUGUUCGUUGGACUGACAUAUAUAAGGCUGAAUGUUGGUAUAUCUCAGCAAAGUCUACACCAAGUUCAGCUUCUGAUGAUGUAGAAGUGACCUCCAAAACCCAUGUAGCCGGAUUAUAAUUAUCUCUUAUUUUUGGCACGCCUGGGAUACCCUGUUACAUGGUUAAGGUAACAGAAGUAAUAGCUUUACAAGCUCGAAAGGAAAAUUACAUUUUGCAAAAAUAAAAUUUGUAUAACAGCAACUUCAACAUUUGAAAACUGACCUCAAAGUAUUCAAUAACUUUACAAGAAUUCCAACCUAGAGGUCCAUAAUAGAUCAUGCGUCCCCCAGAUUUCAGAAGAAUUAACUGCAAGUUGACGGAAAAUUAAGAUAAGAAUGCUACCGACCUCUUUACAUCUCAAAUCACAUACAUGAAAAUGCUUCCAAAAAAAAUCGACUGUAGGAAACUAGUUUUAUGAUGAAGCAUCUUAAAUUAUUUAGAAAAGCUAAGAUUUCGCUAGCAUAUGAAGAUACUUAGAUGUAAACUAUUUAUCCUUGUUUUUAAGAUAUUGAUUUCUAAAAGAGAUCUUCAUGGUUGUGCUCAUCAAUGAAUAUGAAAGAAAUGCAAAUUCAUGUUGGUCACUGAUGGUAGUAAUGAAGCAUUUCAACUGUAAAGUAGGAAAUUUUGUUUCCUUGGCGGCUCUUAGGAUAAUUUGUCAAGAGCAUCUGAUCAUGAUGAUGUGUUUCAAUUGUAAUGACCGAAAAAUAUACAGAAAGUACCAAACCAGAAAAGUGUUCAUAGUUAAGCAGAAGCGACCUAAUAAUUCGUAAUUCCUAUUGCAGGUCAUUUAACUUUUAGACUAUUUAUUAGCCACGAUAUUACUUUGUGCUAGGAUCUUAAAAGCCAUAUGUUCACAAUCAACAUCCUAUUUUCAGUCAUUAUGGCUCAGUAACUUCACCACUGACAUGAAAUUUCUCGUCUUCUGACUACCAAGCCAAGAGAACAGCAAAUGGCACUUGAGCAGCUACGGUCUUACUAUGUAAAAUAUCUUUACUCCAUUCUUAGUUUUGCACAUUGAUGAGCAGAUGAUUAACCACAAAAGUGCAAAACCCCAUUUAUGUGCUUCCCUGCUUGUUACUUACCUCGUCAAAUGCUUCAAAGAUGUCAAUACUUGGUUGGUGGAUAGUGCAAACAAUUGUUCUCCCUGUAUCAGCCACAUUCUUUACAGCCCGCAUGACAAUAGCAGCUGCUCUUGCAUCUAAUCCUGUCGUAGGUUCAUCUAGGAAAAUAAUGGAUGGGUUAGCAACCAGCUCCACAGCAAUUGUUAGCCGCUUGCGCUGCUCUGUUGACAAACCGCUGACCCCUGGGAUGCCUACCAAAUUAUCUUUGAUUCUAUCAAGUUCAAUGGUCUCAAGCACUUCUUUCACGAAAUCCUAGCAGUAGAGUGAAAUUAUAAGUUCAAAAACACAAAAGAACGGAAAAAUUUUCAACUUAUUAUAGUUAGAACCAUACAAAUUUUGUUUGUGGAUUAAUCUGAGGAUGAAGGCGUAGCCAAGCAGAAAAAAUAACUGAUUCUUCUAUUGUAAUUUGGGGAGAAUGUAUGUCGAUUUGCUCACAGUAACCCGAGAUACGAGCAAAUGUCUGUUGAAAUUUGGGGAACCCUCCAAUCAUUAUUUCUCCUUCAACAAUGCCUCUAGUUUUUCUGCCAGAAAGUACAUCAAGAAGAGUAGUUUUUCCAGCUCCAGUGACACCCAUUAGUGCUGUCAGAACACCAGGUUUAAGUGCGCCUGUAAUAUCACAAAGAAGCUGAAGCCUUUUCUUUCUGUAGCCAUGCUCCUUCACUUCCUACAGUACACAUAGAGUUACAUUUUAUAUUUUAGCCCAAAUGAUCUUGACAUCCUAAGAUUGUCAAAUUUCAACCAAAUUGAUUAUCAUUACCGUAGGGAUCUCAACAUAAUACUGCAAAUCCUGAAAUACAACAGUCAGGGGUUCAAAAGGCAAAAUUAUUUUCCCUGCAAAUUGAGAUCAGAGAACCUCUUUAGUCAAGGAGGAUGUUAGUACAGAAACCAAUGAAUAAGGGGAAUUACCUGACAAAGCUAGAAGGGUUAAGGUGGUCAUGGAAUCAGUGGACAACAAAAUUACAUAAACAUAGAAGAAAUUGGAAGAGUCCAACCUUUAUGAGAUUCUGUGAUAGUAGUAGAAGAAUUUCUCAACAUUUCCUCAUGUGAUGUGCUGGUGGACUUUUUACUUUGUGUUCGAGGGAACUUAUCACCGGAAAUAAUAGCACGAGUACCAGCAGCUAAAUGCAUCUCAGCAAACAAGAAGUUUUAGUAUGUGCUUUUAGGCAAUCAUUUAGAAUUCACUCUUACUUUAUUGAAGAUAAACUUACGAGGUAAGAAAGUUAGGGCCAAGGUGAAGCCAAUAUUGAAAAGCACUGUAAACCCAAACAGUGCGCCAAUUGAAAUCCAGAAAAAUUGUUUGUCAAAGUUUAAACCAUGUGCUUCAAGUGUUUCUCUUCCCACUGUAGUAUUUGAUGGAAGCAUCUGAACACAAGGAUGACAAGCAACAAUUAAGAAAAAAAGAAUCAGCAGCCAAAAAACUUUGAAUACAAUUUGAGAAAAUGAUACUCAAAUACAUACAUGCACCCUGUACUCUGGUUUAUAUGUUUCAGAAUACCAUGAAAUCUUCCAGGGAACUAAUUACAAGCAGCUUGUUAAAUUCAUUGAAUUUAUAGUACAUAAUAUGGAUUCCUAUCAGCAUCUUGGAGUAACUUGCAUCUUUUGCACCACCCAACAUUGAUCUUUUCUUAUAUACUAGUAUUGUAAAUGAAAUUUCUCUCAUUGUACAAUGCCAAUUACUUCAGAAUAAAAUGAAAUACCAAAUGAGAAAUGACUGCUUGUAUGGCUAGGCAUGGAUGGAUGACCCUAAGCAAACAGUUAUUCUAGCCAAACAGUUGUUGCUUCGUUUUGCCAUAUCAAGUACUUCAACAGAAAAUGGUUUUGCUUAAUAUAACAGAAAAAGUCAAUGCAAUUUCCUCUUACAUAAGAGACAUGAUUACCUUUUGCCAUCGUGGGGCAAGAAAUUCAUUUACGGCAAGACCAAUCUCACCAUAUGUCAUUGGAGAAAACCAAAAUCCCCAUUUUAUCCAAUUUGGCAUAGAGGCUACAAUUCAAAUCAUCUUCUUAAUUCCACUGCAUCGUAAAAUCAACCACAGAAAGAAAAUGUUGAAAAAGAUUGAAAAAUCUUACAUCUCGGGAUUAGAAAGCCACUAAAUAUGGAGAGCAACAACAUUGACAAGACACCAGCGAAUGAGGCAGCCACCAUGGUGCGACAGACAGAUGCCAAGAAGCGGUACAUGGAUAUUGAUGUGAAGUGAACAGCAAACAAUAGAACUACCUGGCCGAAGAACCUGGGAAAGACUGAUGCUUUGUAAGAAAACCAUGAAAGGGUUCAAGAAGUAUAAGCAUGUAUUUAGGCCAACCACUCUCAAAAAUUGGUAAUGAAAAACUUUUAAUGUCACUGAGAAAGCUAAAAACAUGGCUUCUGAAGGACAUUGCAGGUAUUGGAUCUGUCUACAGAAAAGAAAACUUCUUCUGUCUCACCUACCUUCCUAUCUCAGGACAAUAUCCAAUGCCAUAGUACGUUAUGCAUGUCCAAACUGUAGCUUCCAACAAUGAAAUAGGAAUCUUUAGUAUGGCAGAUGGAAUAGCAUAUGCCCAAGCUGGGUAGAAAUACAAAUCUCUCUGUUUAUAGAAAAUUGGUAGUCUUGCAACUGUCAUUGGCAGCUCUGGGAGUCCAUCAACCACAAGCAUAAUAAGAGAAAAGAAAAGAGCUCCCAUAAAAUAAUUUGCAUGAGGAAGAUCAAAAUCUGUUGUUCUCCGCAAAAAUAGGGUCAUAGUCAUAAAGGCAAUUAGGAAAAGCUGCAAAGAUAAGUAGCAGACUACUUGAAUUGUCUGUUAACAAUGAUAUAUAAAACUGAGAAUAUAUCAUAAAAUUAAAAACCAUUACAAAACAAUGAAAUACUAAAGCUAUUUUGCUAACCUGGACAGUUCUGUGAACAUAAACCGAAUAGUUCCUCUUCAUCAGAAGAAGUUCCCUUGAUAUACAAGCUCUAAAGAGUGUCCAUUUAGGAAGAGAAUAUGCACUAAGAUUAAUUGCAUCUUUACUGUGCUGGGAACUCUCAAAUGGAGCAGAAAGCAGUGUGCUAAGCUUUUUCCCACAGUCAGACUGCUGAAAAGCCCUUGAUAACGUAUCGACAGAACUAUAGCUGUAAGUCUCUUUGCUGCCAUUCCAAUAUUGUGCUUGAUCUUUUUCUGAAAUAACCUGCAAAAAAACUAAUAGCUUAGAUGUGAAAUAAAAAGGAGAAAGUAAAUAUGAGCUUGAUGUGCUUACUUCCUGAAGGAAAUCUGCUACACCUUUUCUUUCAGGACAAAUAAAUCCGCAACUCUCAAAAAAUUCAAGAACAUUGUCUGUAGGUCCGUGAUAUACAAUCUUCCCCUCAGCCAUCAAAAUGAGGUCAUCAAAUAGAUCGAAUGUUUCUGGAGCUGGCUGGAGAAGUGAAACAAGUAUCGUAGCAUUUGUAAUAUGUGCUAGAUGCUGAAGGCAAGCUAUAAUCUGAUGGGUGGUCGAACUAUCUAAGCCAUUUGAUAUCUCAUCCAUAAAUAAAGUUUUAGGAGGCCCAACAGUCAUCUCCCCUGCAUUAUGACAAUAGAAUCCAAUGCUGAAUAAUUCUUUUCUAGUUGUUUUCCAGUUGACAUUUCAUAUUUGCUAAGUUAUAGCUAUUUAAAUGAUUUGUGCUAAAUCCGUGAAAGGCAAAUUUUCAUGUUUAAAAGUUUGAAGAUAAAUAUUACCUGUUGUCAACCUUUUCUUUUCACCACCAGAGAUGCCUCUUCUAAGGGCAUCUCCAACAAGUGUAUCGGCACAGAUAUCAAGCCCGAGUAUCUGAUAAUGGAAAUAAUUGUCAAUGUGCAACCAUAUACCUAAAUGCAGUCAAACUUUCAACUAAAUAUGGGGGUGGCCUCUUAAAAAGAAAAGGACAUACUUUUAGAAUGUAAUCUGUCUGCAGUGUUCUCUUUUGUCCCUCCACUGAGAUUGCCUGAACAAAUAAGAUAUAGUUAACACAGAACAAAUCAUGAAUUUACAAGAAGUUAGCAUAGCAUAUGCCAUGAACAUAACAAUGUGUGUGUGUGAGAGAGAGAUAGAGGAAACAAAAGUUCCAUUUAAAGUCAUUAUUACCAAUAGUGCAACAAAUCUGAAUUCAAAAAGCUACAUAGUUACUUGAAAGAAGUGGAACCAGGACUCAGGCUGUUUGCAAAAGCAAAUGGUGCAAUGAAAAAGGUCGAAUUAACCAAUCAGGUUCUCUAAUCCAAGAGUGACUCUUUUUAGUUACAAGAUUACACAACAACCUGGCAGACUCACUGGAUUAUUUCCACUGCAAUAAAAAUAAAAAUAAAAAUAAAAAUAAAAAGUUGCAGUUUAGUAGCAAAUAUUUCAUCGUGGUCGAAAUGCAGUUCUUUCUCACAUUGGAUAGUUAAACAUUCUUUUGAGAUUGAACAGCAUCUUAGAUUCCAGAAUUCAGUUAUUCAAUCUCUGGCAUAACGCACUUGAAAACCUGGAGAAAGACUCGAUAGGAGACCAUGUUGUACAGAAUUUAACUGCAGAAAGAUGUGACCGAAAAACUUCAUAGUAUAACUAGUGUGAUGCUCAUAUAUAUCAUGUCUAGCUUUCGUUCAUCUAGCUAGAAUUUGGUUAAAAAAUCAAAAUGAAAAUCUUGAAAGGCAUCUUUAACUAUGAAAAAAGGACAUAAAUGAAUUCCAAGUCUGACCAGUACAGGAAUAUAGAGAUCAUAGUUAAUAAGAUAAAAAGGAACAAUAGCAUGUUGAUAUCUGUAGCUCUCUCCAGUUAUCCAAGACAAAAGAUCAUGGCCAUGUCAAUAUGCUAAUACACCAACUUAAAUUAGGACAAGUAAAUAGCAAUAGGUAAUUGUCAUGUUGCAUUGAUUUCAUUAUAAGAAGAAAUCAGUACAUGAAAGAAUUAAGUUGGAAUAACAUCCUGUGAAUUCAAAUUCAAAGGUUACCUUCAUGUAGGUGUCUAUAUCUGGAUCAGGAAGAACUCCUGCCUCUUUCUCCCUUUGACUCAGCUCAAUCAUAAUCUCUUUAAGAGGAGGAAAGACAUGAAUAAUACUAUUUUUUAGCAUAUUGUAUCAAUAUGUUUUAUAUGAAAAGACACUUUUGCUGUGCUGAAACCCAUACCUCCUCUUCUUCCAAUUCCUUGACAGCGAGAGGAGAAAUCGAGUGUUUCCCUAACAGUCAUUUCAGGGAUAUGAGAGUCAUAUUGGCUUAUAUAAGCAGAAGUUUUUUGAGGCACAAGCUCUGUUAAUUUGUAGCCAUUGUAAGAAACCUCCCCUGAGACCUGUUAAUAACCGGAAAAUACAUGACAAGACCACAAAAUGACAUGUGAAGAACCAUGCAAUGACACAUGGAUGGUCCUAGCCCCUAGGAAGCCAUAGUGAUUUCUCCCUCAAAAUAUGAGAACCCAUGAGAAUUAAUUGCUUGUGAAACUAAAUCUGAAGGAAUUCCAUGAAUGAUAUCACAACAAUCUACUGAACAGAAGCUCUUGGAAUACCCAUCUAUAGAAGCCAAAUGCACAGGAGUUAUCUAUAUUAUUAAUCUUGUCUGUCAUCCAUUUUCCACGAAUGUGAACUCUUACUAGUUCAGUAAUUUGUAGGAGGGUGGUCAAAGCUUCAAUUGUAUCCUAUAUUACAUCUACGAAAAGCAUAGCAUAGAAGACCUUGAGAGACUUGUUAAGAUUUCCUGAGAGAGCCUUCAACAGCGAGGUCUUCCCACAACCUGGAGGACCAAGAAGUAGAGUCAUUCUGCAUCAGAAAUAAGCCUAGAUCAGUGCAAGCGUUAGAGCAGUGGAUUUAACAAGUUAAUUUUGAUCAACAGGUCUUGAGAUGGACAACAGGCAAUGUGUCGUAUAUUAAAGCUUGAACUGGGGUAAGAAACCAUUCAAAUAUUUGACAAAAUUGUACUCCAGAGAUGGACUGAGUAUGAAGUUCAAAAACUACAGGGAUAAUUUAUCAAUGCAACUCAGGUUCUUUAACCUAACAUCUUUCUGCAGCACACAUCCGAAACUAACAGUUCUUAAUUGACUAUUCACUUUCUUAUCUCAGCCUUUUAAACUCAAAAAAGUUAAUUUCUUCCCUAUAUAUGCUUUAUUUUGUUUACAGAUAUAAGAUCUAAAUUGCUUCCUAUUUUACUGCAGGUUUUUAAUUCUACUCUUACCUUAACUUUGUUAAGUUAAGAAACGUGGUAUCCAAUUUGAAUUAAUGGUACAGAAGCUUGUCAUCCGACAAACACUCUGUCUCAAUAAAGCCCCUAUAGUCCAAAAAAGAAAACAAAAAUUAAGUCUUCCUAUAUAACUAACUUGUUUAAGGAAAAUUGGCGGAUUGUUGCACAAACUUGAUGUAUGAGAUAUUCUUUUGACUAUUAUGAACCCACGAGAGGUAUUUGAGAUUUAUCCAGUUGGGGAUAGUUUAGUUUCUGCAGGAACUGAGGCAAAUAAAGAGGUUCCACUCAACUGCCUAAGUAAUUGAUACUACUUUAAAAUGUUGGAGAAAGUAAGGGGCGAAAAGAGUGCUACCAAAAGCUAGCAAAAGACUUGGGUUUCCUAUAGAAUAGCCAUUGGCAUAAUGGGAUAACUGUACUUUUAGUUAUUUUAUCUGGGGUAAAGAGGAGUUUGCUGUUGGAAGUCAAUAAUGUGGAGACACUUAGGAACACCAUCGCCGAAAGUAGUUGAAGCUAAGCCUGGAUUUGUAUUCGUGAUGUUUAUCUGACUCGCAUUGUUCUGCAAUAACAAGAAUUAUCUUAUUCUAAGGAAUACGCCACAAGGAAACUGAUUGCAUUAAGGGAAAAGAAAGCAGUCUUUAGAAGAACAAAGUAGGACAUGCACUAGCACCUACGGAAGUGUAUUGUUUGUAUACCUUCCAGGCUUGAUUACACCGCUGACACCACCAAUGAUGCUGAUCUUAGACGUUCGUGGCUUUAAACCUGGAAGCCUCGCAAGAUCCUAGUGAACAAGAUAAACAGCUCCUUGAAUUAAAAGGAAGUGGCAGAGAUAAGCAAGAAGAAAAAAAAAAACCAGCAAGAACGAUACUGUAGGAAGCAUGAAUCCAUGGAGGCACUCUUCAGUCUAAUAAAGCAGACAGAACGAGAACAAGAUACUAGAAAGAUGUCUAUAUAUAGUGGGAUUAUCGAUUAAGUUUGUUUAGUAUGUCUGAUAUCGGUACUCAAUAGUUACUCAACUUAAAUCUUAUAAAUAUCAAACCUUAGGUAGCUAGAAAUUAUCAAGAAAUCCAUAUGUUGCUUAAUUUGACAUACAAGCAAAACACAGAGGUGCGCAUGGAAAAAAUAAAAAAUGUCUCCAAAACCUCAGUAAGAUAGACAAAAAUAUAGUACGACACAAUAUGAUUAGUCAACGAUGAGUUUUUCAUUCAAGUAGAACUGAAUGAAAAAAUGACAAACAGAGUCCAAAAUACUUCAAACUUAAGUACAACUUCAACCUUGCAGAGAGCUGUGAACCUGUAGUUCAUGAAUUGCUUACCAAAAUGCUCCUUUUCAUAGUAUUCCAUAGAGUAGGGAGUGGCUUCCCAUAUACAACUUCACACUCUGCCUCAACGCUUACAUUUUUGUAUCUUACUUCCACUGUCGGAAAUUUUACACCUACUCUGCAAGAAUCAUUCAAUGAAAACAAACUCUUAGUCAAGAGGCAAAACCUUUGCAUCUGGAGAAUAAGCUAAUGGUCAAACCGAUUAAAUAAUGAUGAUGAACAACUUUUAAUCAAAAACGAAACUUUUGCCUACUGAUUGAUUUCAAAAAUUUUAUUGGGCUAAUUUUUUUUUUUUUCAUUUGAAGAGGCCACUUCAGGAUAUAUGAACCACCAUAUCCUUUUGAAUCCUAUCUUGGUACAAUGAGCUUCUGACAUGUACCAAACAACUUUGUAAUCUUGUUUUCUUUUUUUAUCUGAAGAAAACUGGACUAAAAGAGAAGAACACUUACUUGUCCAUUCUUUUUCUGAUUUUCCGCAGCAAUUUGAGGUUGUCGUUCUCAAUAUGUCUAAUAAGCUUCUCAAUGAACAAAUGCCUCUCCUGAGCUCCAAGCUUAGUAACAUCAACCACCCUUUUUGCAUUAGUUUUGGCCUCAUUUCCAUCAUUCACAUCAAACAAAGAUGACCUUAUCCUUUCAAAGGUUGGCAAUCUCUCAAUAGCAGCCCACUGCAAAGCACAUUCUUCAUCGAUAUGUUCAUCACUUUCACCAUUCAAGACUGAGUUGCUUCUGAAACUGGACGUGGGUUGGUGAGAUAACUCCACUUCAUCUAUUGCAACUAACUCUGUCAUAGUGUAGAACCUCUCUUGCGGACUGAAAGUCUUCAGUAGUUGAAUAACAAGAAGAGAAUUUCGAAGUUUGCUGAUGCCUGUGGUGGUUGGACUAUAUAAAGACUGAUCAGGCGUGAAAUGCAGGCAUCAUAACUAGACUAUCAUCGUUAUUCACAGUUCUAAAUUUUGCUGGCUUUGUAAAAAUAAGCAUAGAUUAGGGGCUGAACAUUCAAUUUCUGGGAUUGUCUCAUGCAGAGCCAGCAGAAGCUAUGCUCAACCAAUCCACCCGUAUAAACGGGAUCCCGGGCUCUCCACCCUCCAGUUCACUUCUGUCCAUUUCUGUUCGACUAAUAUAAAUUCGAACUACUUUGGUGUAAAUUUACAUAAUUUUGGUGUAAUCAUGAAUUUGUCAACUCAUACAAUUUUAAACUUUACGAUUACACUAAAACGGUAUGAAUUUACAUUAAAUGAUUAUCCCAAAUUUAUACUAAUUUAUGUUAAGCCGAUUGAACUGAAUAUAACUUAACUAGAGAGGUCUAAUUUCCCGUAAAUAGUAAUGCUAUGGACGUACUACUUCCUCUAAAGUCUAAAGAGAUCGUGAUUUCUAAGUAAUCUAAGUAACGUAUACUUCUUUUUUUAGAUGCCGUGUGUUAGUUUGUAAUAGUGACUAGAGUCGAAAUCUCUCGAACUUUUGAUUAGAAAAAUAAUAAAAAUAAAAAAUCAGUGAUGCACAAAAGUAUACGGUUGGAAUACUAUGUAAAUUGUGAGUGUACAUGACUAAUAUAAUACAGCACAUGUUAAAAGAAUAGAAAAGAAAAAUUGAACCAAACUUGAUAUUCGUCAUUUACAAUCGUAUCCCUACAAGUUCAUUUCAGAAUGCUUAAUAUAAAUUGGUUCAAUAUCAUCCGUCAAAUUCCAUUAACCACACAAAUGUUUUUUUUUUUUUUGAACAAACAUGGUAAGCUCUGCAUUAGUGGUUAUCAACAAAAGUGAGCUAAAGACAAUUGGUUAUCACCAAUUCACAAUUGGGUAAGAGAUAAAUUCUAAAACAAAACCUUUCCAUAUCUACACUUUUUCAUUUUUCUAACUAAGAAGAAAAUUCCCAAUUUGGUGUGUUAAUGUCUCGAUAGUAUCCUUAUUUGCUCAAAUAAGAUGAUAGAACGUGAUUCCAUACGCAUUAACACUCUAAUUUAAACCCAAACCCGAAAGCCAAAGCAUUAAAAAAUCAAAAGCAGUUGUCAAUGCGAGGACUGUGUUAAUGAGUCAUAUGUAAGAAUCUCUAUAAGUGACUUAUGAUUUCGGAAGCAUGUUCUGUCCCACGGUGGUGAUCGGAGGUGAACUCACCCAAACUUUUGAUAAUAAAAAGAAAAAUCAAAACCAAAAAGAUAAUCAAGUUAAUGAGAUCUCGAGUCAAGGAUUUCACAUGUUUGCCUUUACUCCUGGAUUCAUGUAAACUAUUGACAAAAAAGAAAGAUAAGAUGAUAACAAUUGCACAAAUGCAUGACAAUUGAAAACCCUGCAUGCUAGGUGAUCACAUAAAUCUACUUCAGUUUUCCAUCCAUAAUCACUAUUUAUUCUUUUGGGACCCUUCAAAGCCGACUUCAUUAUAGUUCAAUGUCCAAUUAGAUGCUUUGACGUUUCACGAGUUUCUUCACAAAAGGUAUUUUUUUCUAGUCUUUGGAUUCAUACCUAACCACCUUUAUGUAGCUUGGCAUGACGAAUAAGUAAUCUAAAAACAUGUUGGUAAAUGGUAACCUCCCUCGAAUGAUUCCUGGCAUUUGUAGUGGGUAGUUGAAACUAAAAGAAAAUGACAUCCAACUCAUAUUGACUGUAAUAUGCUAAAAGUUUGUUCAUGAAAAGUUUGAAAUCAAUCAGUGACGUACAGUCGCACGGGCUAAAGCAUACCUAUAGUAUUAGUUUGAAGGUCUCAAAUUGUUCAUUAAUUGGUCGAGCCAAUCUUUGCAAAUGGUUGAGAACCCUACAACUUUUAUCCGUUUAUUAGCUUAAUUAAUUUGACCACGAUGUGCCGACUAAGAAUACCAGUGCCUUUUUCGUAUUCUAUUUCUGCAACUUCCAGUCAGGUCCCUUUUAAGGGAUAAUUUCAGAAGCCUCCCCUGAGAUUUUUAGCAAUUUCACUAAGCUCCCUCGAAGUUUUAAAAUUACACUUACCUCUCCUAAUUUGAUACUUUUAGUAAUUUUUUAAGGGUAAAAAAUUUAAUGAAUACCCUAUAAUGCCCACAUCUAAUAAAGUUUAAUUUAUUCUUCUAAAUAAUUGCAAAUUAAUUUCGCAUAAUUACAAGGGUAAAAUACACUUUAUUCCCAUGUGGUUUAACUAUUUUUCACAUAACCCCCUAUAGUUUCAAAAGUUAUUUAUAACCCCCUCAUAAUUUGGAUUAAAAUGUCAAAGUGACAAAAAUGAUUCUCUGUAACGGAACCAAUGAAAAUAUCGAAUUAUCCUUGUUUAAAAAUUAAAACGGUUAAAGUAAUCAAAAUAUAUAAACAUAAUAUGCACAACACUGUAACUCCAUAUGGUUUAGUUCUUUACCACAUAACCCCCUUAUGAUUUUCAAAAUAUGUACAAGACCUCAUGGUUAAUAAAUAAUUUCCAAUUUUACAUAGGUGUUUUUGACAUUUUAGUUGACUCCGUUAUGGAAUACAGAUUCCAUCAUUUUAACACUUUAAUCCUAAUCAUGAGGGGCCAUAAGGAGGUUAUAUGAAAAAGCACUAAAGCACAGGGGAUAAAAUAUAUUUUAACCUAAUUACAAAAAAUUGAGUAUUAAAUUUUUUUUAUGUCUAUAUUUGUUGUUUAAUAAUCAACUACAAUGCUAAAUCUCAUUAUGAUAGGCUACUUUUAAUAGCACUUUAUUGGUGAUAUAGAUUCUUUUUAUGAUGGAAAAGAAAGUGUCACCAUAAUUUUCUGAAAGUUUGUAGAUUAGUUAAGUGGUAGAGCUACCGUAGUUUAGUAGUGAUUUUGGGUCUUUUAUUUUUUAGUUAUUGUCGAUUUAUUGUUGAUUUGAUACCAGAAAAAAUAAACAAACAAACAAGCAUUUCUAUCUUAUAUAUCACAUCCCAAACAAGUAUUAUAGUGUUAUCAUUCUAAAAAAAAAUCUCAAAAAAUGCAAUUCAAACAAAUGGAAUAAUCUAUAAAGAGUAGGGCAAAAUACACUUUAUCCCCCUGUGGUCUAGCUAUUUUUCACAUAACCCCCUUAUAGUUUUAAAAACUAUAUAUAACCCCCUCAUAGUUUAGAUUAAAGUGUCAAAGUGACGGAAAUGAUCAUUCAUAACGGAACCUAUGAAAAUGUUGAAAUUAUCUUUGUUUAAAAACUAAAAUAGUUGAAGUGACCAAAAUAUAUAAACAUAAUAUGCAUGGCACUCUAAUCCCGUAUGAUUUUAUGUUUUACCAUAUAACCCCCUUAUGAUUUAAUGUUUUAUCGUAUAACCCCCUUACAGUUUUCAAAAUAUAUACAUAACUCCCUUGUGGUUAAUAAAUAAUUUUCAACUUUAUAUAAGGAUAUUUUUUGACAUUUUAGUUGACUCCGUUAUGGAAUGCAAAUUCCGUCACUUUGACACUUCAAUCCAAACCACGAAGGGAUUAUGUAUACCUUUUAAAACUAUAGGAGGUUAUGUAAAAAAAAUCACUAAACUACAGGGGGUAAAGUGUAAUUUGCCCAAGCUUAUUCUGUAUACAUAAUAGUUGGUCUACUAUCUUAGAAAGUAAUUUAUCUCUCUUUGAAAAUUUUUUCUUGUUUAUAAAUAAAAGAAAAUGAAACACAAAUGGACUUGGAAAACAACUGAAUUUACAAUGCAUCUUCCUGACUGAUUGCGGAAAUGCAAUUUCACAGCGUGCAAUAUUGAUUAGGGAUGUGUCACACUUAUAUACUAUGAUAGUGUUCGUUUCAUAAAACUGUUAUGUGUAUUAAAAUUACAAGCUACACCACGUAAGGUUGGGCCAUGGCAGAAAAGAGGUCCGUACGCGAAGCAUGCCAUGACUUCUUUAGCUCUCCAUAAUAAAGCUUUAGUCUAAAGCGAGCUUUGUUUAUCAAAAGAAAUAAUGCCCUGAAGAAGUAUACUAAUCAACUAUUACCAACUUUGUGAAAGUAUCCAUAAAAAAAAAUGGAAAAGUACUUUAAAAGCUAUGGAUUAUCUUGUGGUUGCCAAACUAAUACAGCGAACAUUUUAAUUUCAGAAAUGAUAUUCGCACACUUUUAAACUAAUCUUUGACGCUCCAAUCAAAACUCUAUCAAUAAAGUACCGUAAAAAAAUACGAGUCAUCAGUUUAAGAGAAGGGCAGAUUCCACUUUACCCUCCUGCGGUUUAGCUUUUAUUACAUAACCCCCCUAUAGUUUCAAAAAUUAUACAUAACCUCCUCAUAGUUUGAAUUAAAGUGUCAAAGUAACGGGAAUGAUCAUUCGUAACGGAGUCACUUAGAAUGUCAAAAAUACCCUUAUGUAAAGUUGAAAAUUAUUUAUCAACCAAGGGGGGUUAUGUGUAUAUUUUGAAAAUCAUAAGGGAGUUAUAUGGUAAAAUAUUAAACCAUAAGAUGGUUAUAUGGUAAAAUAUAAAAAUCAUAUGGGAUUAAUGUGUCAUGUAUUUAUAAGGGUAAUUUCGACAUUUUUAGAAGUUCCAUUACAAAUGACUAUUUCCAUCACUUUGAUACUUUAAUCCAAAUCAUGAGGGGGUUAUGUAUAGAUUUUGAAACUAUAGGAGAGUUAUGUGAAAAAUGUUAAACCACAGGGGGAUAAAAUGUAAUUUGCCCUUAAGAGAACGAAUAUAAAAUGAUAACCGUUCAUUGACUCGUGUAACAUAGAAAGUAUUCUUGCACAGAUAAUCAAUUUGGUCAUCCAUUUAUUAAGAUAUCAAAGUAAGGUACACGGCAUAAUUAAUGAACAUUAUUGUAUUCGAAAAGAUGCAUACUCAUUAAUUAAAAGGAAUUUAAAAAUUAGGAGAAUAAAGCAAACUAUUGUAUAUGUUUAAUCGCAAACGUUUUCAAUUUUAUCUCCUGCCAGACAAGAUUUGGCAGUAGUUUUCCUUGAAAAGAAAAGAAAAACAAGAAAUAAAGAGUAAAGACAGAAACAAUUAAAGAAAGCAAGCAAUAAUAGAUUGGAUGGCAACUUUGCAUUAAUUCCAUGACAUGCAUGGAAAUAUUAAUUGUCAAUUUGCUUGUGUGCCCACCCACCAAGGAUGGAUGGAACAUGGAAGCUCGUCUUUAGUAACAUUUGAAAAUUCAGAAAACGAUAAAAAGAUGACUGAAAAACAGCAAAAUUCUGGUACUGAAAAGCUAUAAACAGUUAGAUGGAUUAACAACCAAAAUUAAACCUACUUGCGUAGGAAAAGCAUAAAGCAAAACCAAAGCAAUCAUUGAUGACUCAGUUGGACUCUUUUCCCAGCAAAUGAUGAUGAUCAAUAUACGAAGAAAUUAGCCAUCUUCAAGAGUCAUAGCAGCCAAUGCUUGCAGCCCGAAUCAGUGCAUCUUUAAUUGUACACGAACACAUAACUUCCCACAAGUUUAUUAGGCUGCUUUGCAUCAGCACAUAUCACUUCCCUUACCAGAAUCGACUCCUACACCAGUUGAUGUGGGCACUGAUCAGGACCAGACCACACGGCUAAACUUUAUCUUUAGAGGCGAUAUGAUACUUUAACAUAUAUAUAUAUAGGUGGUAGACUAUAUGAAAGUGCAUGAAUUUUCAAAUGUUUAAAGAAAAGCUUUUCAAGACAAAAAAUUUAUUUGAAGAGAAAAACUAAUGUCAAAGGAAUAAUUUUGCUUUAUCUAUUUUAAGGAAUGUUUUAAUUUUAGGAUUUGAUCCAGCUUUAUCCCUUUCUCUUUAUAAUAUUAUUUUAUUCUUUUGCAAAAAAAAAACAAAUGACAAAGUUUAAAAUACACAUCUUUUUCUUUUUGUUUUGGUAGUAGUGACAACAAAGUAUUUGAAUUUUUUGCUAAAAAAUUUAUUUAUUGUUGCAAUAACUAAUUGACCACAAGAUGAUAACUGCUUGACUACAAUGUGAUAUUAAUUUAAAUAAAUAUUCCUAAAUAAUUUUUUUUUAGCACGAAGACAGUGAGAUUUAAAAAGUGGGAAGAAGAGAAAAUGAUUUGAAGUCAAAACCUCAAAGUCCUAGGCUGUCAAGUUUAUCCACUAAGCCUUGUUUGGAUUGCGGUUUUCCGUCGGAAAAUUACGUCGUUUUCCGUGAUCACAUUUCCCUAUUAUCUUUUUUCCUCACAUACAUCAAAUCACUACAGUAAUUUUUCCAUGAAAAAUCAUGGAAAAUGCAAAAUAAUUAAUGUUGCAAAACAACUUAGCUUCAUCUACCUUCCCGGUUCCCAUUAUCAAUGCAUCCAAAAAAUGAAAUAUUUAAUUAGUUUACGAUUAUUUGAUAAGUAAAUUUAUCUAAUUUAGGAUCAUCAUAACUUCAUAAGUAAGCGCUUACUUAGUGUACAUUAUACAUUUCGUUUAGGAUUAGUUGAGGGGAUUAUCUUUUAAUAUUUUAUUGCCUUUUUUGGCAUAAACAACUAUUAAUCCUUUAAAAGUUGGAAAAAAUUGAAAAAUGACUUUUUUACUCUCUUUUUUUGGGUAUUUUGAUUAUGGUUUAGACAGCAAAUUUUUGAAAUUUUUAUUAGAAAAAUAAUUCAUAUUUUUAAUAGUCAAGGACUUCGUUGUCUAGUAGCUAAGUCAGUUUUUUUUUUUAAUGUUUUAAUGGCUAAGAUUGAAAUUUUAAAAAUUAAAGGUCCCAAGUUCAUAUUCCCUAUUUCCCUCUAUAAUUCUUAAAUCUCAUCUCUCUCCUACUAGAAUUUUUGUUAACAAUUAAAAUUCAAAUUCUUAAUAACUAAUCAAGUACAGAAUGAUAUGAAUUUAAUUAAUUUUAAAAGAAUUUAUUUUUUUUAAGGGAUAUAAGAAUGUAGUUUACUUAAUUACCUUUAAAAAAAAGUUGUUAAGUCAUAUAUAACAUUGUAACUAGAGGUGGCAAAAUGGGCGGGAUGGGCGGGAUUUGCUUGGGUUUGAGAUGGAACCGAGUCAUAUGGGUUUGGGCCCAACCUUACCCAUAUGUGUUUUGGGACUAACUUGGGCGGGAUCAUUUUGGGAUGGGUUUAGAUUGAUCCCGCCCAAUACCCAAAUCCAUUUUCUACAUAUUUUUUUUCCUUUAAUUCAUUUUUUAUUUUUAUAUAAUUUUAAUAUUUUUGAUUUAUUAAAUUUCUUUUAGUUUCAUUAAAUAAACAUGCAAGUGCUUUAUACUCAAGAUUCCCACCAAAAAUUGGAUUAACAAAUAAAGGAAAAGAUAGAUAUACAGCCAUAUUCCAACAUAUAUCAAGAUGGCCAAGGUCCUUAGGAUGUUGAAUAUUUAUCCUUAUCAUUGUCCAAGGAUGACAGGUCUAAACUAACUGAAAUGCUGGAAAUUCUUGUGGAUAAUGACUAGGAAGACUACUAGAUUAUAUUCGCUGGUAUGACUAUAAAAAUUGUUAAAGAUAAUUUUUGAAUCUAAGAUUCCGUUUGGAUUGACUUUUUUUUCAAAAAAUAAGUUUUUCAAAUACAAUGUUACAGUAAUAUACAAUAACUCAAGAAACAUCCCAUCCAUAUUAAUAUAUCAAAUAUUUCAAAAAAAUUUUAUAGUAAAAAUUUUUCAUAUACACUGCUACAAUAAAAUAUUUCAAAAACACCUACCAAAAACAGCUAAUCCAAACGGAGCCCUUGCCAUUUGAGCCCAAUGGGUACCCAAGUAUUUCCCAUCCUUUCCCAUUCAUUAAUGGGUAUAGUUGGGAUGUGUCCCAACUUAAACCCAAUACCAAAUUAUAAUACCCAUCCCGCCCAAAGUUCCUUUGGGCAUGGGUAGCCCAUUGGGACUUGGGACAAAUUGCCAGCUCUAAUUGUAACAUAGGUAAAAUUAUUAAAUUCAGUGGCACGACAUGGUCACACUAGGUCAUAAUGGUAAACUUGUAAGUACCACUAAAAGUUGUACUUUAUUUGCGACACAUACAGGUAAAUGCCAUUAUCUUGUAGCACUUAAUAUUAGUUAAAUGUCAUAAGAAUCUUGUUUUCUCUACGACUUUAAACCGAGUGUCACUAAACGAAGAACCUGCUCAAUCACAUAAGAAAAAAUUCCCCAGCAAAACAGACAGGAUUAUAACUUGUCUAAACUUGUUACAAAAGGAUUUGUGACUGCUUUCUGAUGAUAAAUCACACUAUAAAUCCACUGUUUUGCAAAUAAACUAUUACGUUAUCAUCACCUCUUCUGGAAGUUUAAGUACUGAAUACAAAAGGCAAAUACAAAAGCAAAGGUUAAUGGGUAUAAGAUUGAUAUAAAAGCUACAAGGGGUAAUUGAUCGUGAUGAAACCAUAGUAAUCCCUCAAGAAGCUGCUAUUGUUUUAGUUUCUCUGAACACCUCAAUUUCCUUCUGGAUGUCUCCAUAUUGUGAUGUAAUCAUACCAUUGAACGUCCAAGCUGUAGGAGUUAUGUGAUAUAGCCAAAUCCACCAUUUUGGGAUUUGCUGCAAGAUAAAAUAACAAAACUCGUUAGCAUAACAAGAAUGCCAAAAGAACUUUGCAAAACGUGUAUCUCACUGCAGCCUACAUGAAGAUAUUCAACCUUGGCUGAUAAAGUUCUUAUCAUGUGGCUUGAACUUGAAGCUGCAAAAGAUAGGUUAAACCUAUGGAAGAAUUAUGGGUCAUGUUGGACUAUCUUUGGCAAGAUUUUGAUAAAUUGAUCUUUAUUUUAAAUUCCUUGCAUCGAAAAGUGCAAAAGAUGGUGAGAGAUCCAGCAUGCCAGAUUAGUUUCAUGUGUAGUAGACGAUUGCCUACCGGUUGAGGAAUCAAGAACCCAGCAAAGAGAUUGGAUAUUGCGUAGAAACCUGAUGCCAAGAUUGCAGCCACUUGAAAGCUUGGUGUUGUUGCAACUAUCAUCAGGCCAACCCAAUCAUUGGAUAUGUGAUGACCGGAAAUUCAAGUGCUUGGACAAAUCUAUAGGGAAUCCCUAUAAUAAUCUGCAUCGAUUACACCGUUGCCUGAAUUAGCAUGCAGAGUAACAAAAAAUUGCAUGUCCUGUGGAAUGUCAUUUAACUUCGUACCUGAGCAAGUGCAUAAGCUCCAUGAAGUGUACAUACCUGCAAACCUUUCUCGAUAAAGAACUACUCGCUCUGUGCUGACAUAUGGUAAAACUGAAGCACAAUUAUUUACACCACAGAAGAAUACAGCAGUAUACGUUGCGCCGAACACGUUGAAUAAGCUUUGCUGGUUAUCCCUAUGAAAUGUAGGAAUAUCAAUAACAGACAUCUCAAGGUGUUAAGGGAAGAUUAAUCUUUAAAUUAUGACAAAUAUUAUCCUAUAACUUGUGCACAGAGGACAUUUUGAACAAAUAGAAUUCUAUAACAAACAGACGUCCGGUUAAGUAUAAAGCACGGUCCAAAAUUUAGUUAACCAAGGGGUCCAAAGUGUAAAAAAAAAAAAAGUCCCCGUGGUAAAUUUAAUACACAGAAAAGCCUCUCAUGGUUUCAAAACGCACAACAUGACACUUCAUACUUUGAAUUAGAUUGUAAAUGUACAUGGUUUCAAAACGCACAACAUGACACUUCAUACUUUGAAUUAGAUUGUAAAUGUACGGAAUCCGUUAAAUUUAAAGGAAAUGACUUAUUGGAUCCUAAAAAAAAUUUUGUACCUAAUUUUUAAUAAAUAUACCUGUUCUAUCCCUUAUCUCUCAAUUCUCUCUCUCUAGAGAAUAAAACAAAUAAUUUUGUUGAGCUGUCUUUUGUUAAUUAUAUUAGAGCAUUUUUAUCAUUUCGUCCAUUUCCGUUAAGUUUAACGGAUUUCGUCACCUUUACAAUUUAAUUCAAAACAUGAGAUGUCGCGUUGCACGUUUUAAAACUACAGAGAGUUUUUCUGUAUAUUAGAUUUACCACGGGAUUUUUUUUGUUUUUUACCGUUAACCAAAAUGUAAAGAAUUUCCUUCAUACACAAGCAUUAUAACCACCCUAUCAUUGUACAUGCUAUCAAAGGACCUAUUAUUAUUAAUCUCUUUCAUGCAGGAAAAAGAUCCAUGUUUUGGAAUUCUGAAAUGUCUAUAGCAGAGUCCAUGUUUUGGAAUUCUGAAAUGUCUAUAGCAGACAUUAUUACAUUGUUUGAGCAAGUUCAGCACAAACAUACUUACAUUUUCUGCCCUUGAUUCCAAAACAAAACCCCAAAAAUCACAGAAACGGUGAAAAUGUGCAAGAAGCGGAUCAAGUUGUAUGAAGGACUUCUCCAGUAAGACCAGUAUUGCUUUGAAUUGUCCCCCAUGUUUUGAGAAAAGCUGGUAGGGAAUUCCAGAACUUUAGAACCAAGAGAUGGAGAACCCAACCUUGCCACAAGUUCUUUAUUAUUCCUACAGUCGAUAAAAAAACAGAAGGAUCAGAUAAACAUGUUAACUAGCUUAUAACAACUAGAAAUUAGGGUGUUGAUUAGAUGUCAAAUACCAUUUGUGAGCAAUAACUGACAAGAACCACAUUCUUAAUUGUUAGAAGAAAUGUUUUCAAAAUCCACAGUGUAGCUAGCUAGCUGCAAGUCGUGCACCAAUUUGCAAGCAAUAGUUUGCAGAAACGGUGGGACGAAGUACUUUUGGGAAAUUUUCCCACAACUAAGGUAGUAAUAAUUAUCAAUGGUCCUCAAAAAAAUGCCACAAACACAAUAAUUACUUCUUUUGACAAAACAGUAUCAUCUCCUGAUGAUCCAAUUCUUAUCUCUAGGGCUAAUAAUUCGACAACAGAGGCAGUGACAACUUCAAUCUUUGUUUGUUAGACUCACAUAUACAAGGUUGACUGCUGAUGGUAUAUCUCAGAAAAGUCUACACCAAGCUCAGCUUCUGAUGAUGUAGAAGCGACCUCCAAAAUCCAUGUAGCCGGAUUAUAAUUAUCUCUUAUUUUUGGCACACCUGGGAUUAUAUUGCUUUUGGUAAUUAAUGAUAUAUAUAUGCUGGUCAUCCAUGUGUAUAAUUCAAUGGUGCAUGUAAUCAUGCAGUCAUUCCAAAAUAUAUAUAUAUAUAUAUAGAGAGAGAGAGAGAGAGAGAGAGAGAGAGAUUAGUCAUCAAUUGAUUUUUUACUUUUUUUUUUUUUGUUAAACUUCAUGGACAGGUUCCUAGGGCAAGUACAAUUAAUCUAACGAGUGACAAGUUUAAAAAUUAUAAGCUAUAGAACCAAUUAAAUUUAGUAAUUGCCAAAAGAAAUUGAUUAUAAAGAACUAGGUGUAAUUAUAAACAAGAAAUCGUGACAUUUGAUUUAAGAUACACAAUCCACUAAAAUCUCCUUUACACGGCAUGCUUAAUUCAUAAGGCAUGAUUAUUCUGUCUAUUUUACUGCUUCACGUAACACAAGUCUGAGAGCAAAUGUUGCAUCUUCCUCAGAUCUUUUGAGAUUGUUCUGUCUAUUUUUCCAUUUGUUGAUCGAUGUGAUAAUCCUUCAUCGUUGUUGUAUUCUGAUGAGAAAUAAACGAUGAUGAAGUUUUUGAAUCAACAACAGAUUUGUUGAGCAGUUGCAUCAUAGUACUGAAAAAACAUGGCUCCAAAAUGAUGAGUUGGUGCUCAAUCUAUCUCGGCCAUAUAUUAACACAAAUAUCUGAUUAAAUUAUAAUUCGGACAAGAGAAAUGAUUUAAGGGAUUAUUUAGGCCAUUAUUAAACAGUUUCCCUGUGGAACAUCGAUAGUCAAUCCGUAAUUUUCAAGAGGGUCUACAUAUUAAUCUUGUAAAGCAUUUUUUUUAACUAGUGCCCAAUGGGUACUUGUUAAUGAAUCUAAAAUCACACUUAAAUUUAAUGUAGUCAGAUUUUAACAUAUUCAGACCGUUUGAUAACCAAAAAUUGAACAUCUGAAUUAAUUAAGUGGCACUAAAUUUUCUGGACAAAACUUGCUCCCAAAAUUAAAUGAUAAACUAUCCACUUAUCACUGAACGUGAUAUGCACUCAGAUAUAUUAGAUUUAAUACUUAACAAUUAAAUAAUUUAAUGAAUUCAAAUUUCAAAUUUUAGAUUUCAAACUUCAAUUUUCAGAUUUCAUUUUUAUCAAAUGCACCCUUAUGUUAUCAAGUAAAAAUAUUAACACUCGGAGCCCUUCUUAACAUAAUUGUUUUGUGGUGAUAGGAGAUUUAUGUCCUUCUCGGCAAUUAUUAUAAAAGCCACAUAAUUGCUUUCUGGACUCAAUGCGCCAAUUUAACAUUGGACAGGGACAGUAUUGGAUAAAGGAUCCGAAGCCCAAGUCAGUAAUACCCCUACGUUCACAAAUUUAUCAAUGUUGUACAUUACAAAGAAAAUACCCCUACUUGCAUGGUUUCUUCUCUUCAUCUAUCUUUGGUAUCCAACAUCAUCUACAACUUUUCUCUACUCCUGGUCCAAUCGUGCCCUUCUCCUGAGCAAAUCUUUCAUGAAAUUAAUUGAUUAAUUUGUGAAAGACUCAUAACUUUAAUAUACGCAGCUCCAAAGAGUGGAAAAAUUUUGGGAAAGAACGACUAAUCACUACCAGUCAUUAGCCUCCUUGAUCAGAAUUCAGAAAUCUGUAAACAACUUAUGUAAAAUGCAUGGGGAAAUUUCAAUUAUCACAACUUUGGUUUUGGUCACAAGUCUACCAAAAUUCAUGGUUUUUACCUUAAUCAUAGAAACUUUUUAUCGAUCCGAAUUACUAAUACGAAAGAAAAAUUUUGGCAUUUUAUUUAAUUCAUCAUAAUAUUGCAGGAGAGAUAGAAGGGUUGCUUUGAUGAACAUAGACAAGAUACAUAAGAAUGAAUAUUCUUGUAUGCUUUGCUUUUUUGUUUUUUUUUGUUUUUACAAACCCGCAUACCAGAGUUAGAUAUCUACCCGAAUUUUAUUGAUAAAUAAUCAAAAAAAUAAUUAGGGAGGAGGAUCUAAACCCUACCUCCGCUCAACCAUUAAAGCUGUAAACGAGGAAUACUACACUCAUAGAUAUGAUGUAUAAAAAAGUUAUGCUAUCUAAUUGAGUAUUCUCGUAUGCUUGAAUAUUCAGAAGGUAUAUGUCUCUCUCAAACAAUAAAUACACAAAAAAAAAAACAAAUAUGAACCUCUUAUUUUUCUCAAAAGUACGAAUGUCCACGAUUGAACAUGGAGUACAAAUUCAAAAAAUGUGAGUCAAGAUAACAAAUCUUCACCUUUAACUGUCUUCAAGAAUACUCUUAAUUGAGCCCCAAAGCCAUGGAAGUUGAGAUUUUGAUGUUUUAACUCCCUCAUGCAAUUGUUGCACGUCCAAGAUAUCAGAUCGAGUAGCCAUGCAUGAGCAAAUGACUUUCCUGAUCACUUGCUUAACUUGUUUGUUUCUUUAGCAAGUGAUUAAAAAUCAAAAUUCUUAGUUAAGGCAAUACAUUGAUAGACAUACAACUCAUUAGGAUAUAAAACCUAUAAAUGAUUUUGGCUAAAUAGUACUAUGAUUACAUCAACUUGACAGACUCAAAUGUACAAAUAAUAACAUACCCAAUCUUCACAAGCCUGUAGCCAUUCGAAAUUUAGUACUUAAACCAACUUGUCCUGAUCCCAUCUCCCAGGAUGCACAAGAUAAUACUAGUAAAAAAUUGUUAUUAUCUCUUUUUUUCAUUUCUAGCCGGGAUAAAAUCGUGUUUAAAAUUAAUCGUCAUGCAAUGACUAUAUCCUCACUUACAUUUCAAUCUCUUCUUCGAUUUCCCCUUUUUAUUUUUAACACACAACUAUUGCUACUCAUCAAUAUUAACUUCUUUUUUUUUUAGUCUUUAAUUCACAAAGUACAUAUCCAUAUUUCUUGGAAAGGUAGAGUUACAAAAUUGAUAUUCAACCAUCCAAGUUAAAUAGCCCGUCCUAGAAUUGCUCAAAUGUAAAAUCCUGCUUUAAUAAUAUUUUCUUAUAAGUUGAGGAUUUUUAGUAUGUCAAAUUUUCCAAAAAAAUGCAGACUAAUACGCUUGAGAGAUGGAGUUCAAUUUGAUUCUGAUGGUAUCUGAUAUGAAAUUAACGGAUUUCACAAUCUUAUUUGGAGCACUGUUAAAUAAUACAGGAUAAAAUUUCUCUAAACGUAAUGGUAUCCUAAAGCUCUAGAUUAAUUAAUUGGACUCAUCUACAAUUACCAAAUUACGACGUUUCGAAGCCAAACGUGGCUUAGAUUCCCCGCGCUGCAGUACGCGUCCACCGUAAACGUCAACGAAACCUCGCCAAAAUUCGUUACAAGUACAAAUCUGCAAUCUUGUAACUUCUGAAGAAUAUAAUCAUCUUAUAGCCAAUCAUUUCAAAUUCUUCAUCGGAUCAAAUUUUGUAAGUAAAUCUUCAAAAAAUCCUCGUUGCUGGUAUUCUUCUUUUUAGCUUAUUCCUUUUAUUUCGGUUUCUUGUAUUAUAACGCGGCUUAUAUUUGUUUAUGAUAAUGUGAAAUGAGAUGAACCCUUUCGCCUUUUAUGGAAAAUUUUGUGGAUUCUUCUUGUUCUGCUAUAUUGGUUUAUGUUUCUGAUACUAUUGGCUGAUUUUCUUGAAUUUUAUAGCUAAAAAAGGAACCCCUUUUACCCCUUUUAUCACCAUGUUAUUAGGAGCUUCUGAUUGACCUUGAUACAAUGUCAGUAUUGAACUUGAGUUAUCCGGGGUAUACUUCAUUAAUUUGAAAUUGUGGGAUCGCUGUUGAUUAAAAAGCAAGAUGUAGAAAAUGAAAAGUGAUGAACGGUUAAAAGAAUUGAUUGCUAUUUUAUCUGGUGAAGGUGAAUAUCAUCUGGUGAAGCGAAAAUUUGGGUUCUAGCGAGCUGUGAUGUGCAAUGUGGCAAAUAAGCAGCGAUUUUGUGGUGUUAUAGUUCCCUGGUUUAGGCCUUUUGGGGUGUUCAAGAGUUCUUGCGAUAGAGAUGGAAAAGAAAAGGGUGGCAGAUGAUCAUGAAGUUGAGCCAGCCGUGCCUGUAAGAGUUGAUAGAUUUGGAUUUGUGAAGCAGGAGCAAAACUCUGCUGAAGGUUUAUGUAGGAGCAGAUCAGCUUCUGAGUAUGAAAGGUAUGCAUUUUUUGUUAAAAGAUGGCUAAAAAUCAUGCACUUCUUACUUUGUGCUUUUUCAUUGAAUCACAAUGAUAAUUUUCUUAUGAUAUAUCAUGAUAAGUUUAGCUCUGGAUCUAGUUGGCUGCCACACCAUGAUGCCAUCAGGCUAUUAUGAUUGGAAUGACCAUCGCUGGAUUGCCUGCAGAAUGCACUACUGCAAUUACUUUGUACUUUUUCAUUGAAUCACAAUGAUAAUUUUCUUAUGAUAUAUCUUGAUAAGUUUAGCUCUGGAUCUAGUUGGCUGCCACACCAUGAUGCCAUCAGGCUAUUAUGAUUGGAAUGACCAUCGCUGGAUUGCCUGCAGAAUGCACUACUGCAAUUACUUUGUACUUUUUCAUUGAAUCACAAUGAUAAUUUUCUUAUGAUAUAUCUUGAUAAGUUUAGCUCUGGAUCUAGUUGGCUGCCACACCAUGAUGCCAUCAGGCUAUUGUGAUUGAAAUGACAGUCACUGGAUUGCCUGCAGAAUGCACUACUGCAAUUACUGGUCUAUAUUGAUUUCUUCUCUUAGGGUUGUAGGCUGUUCUCCCUCCCUCCCUCCCUCUCUCUCUACCCCCCCUCUCUGUCUCUCCCUCUGAGAUUUCUGACAUCCAUAAAGCUGCCAAUUGUAUCCUAAACAUAGAUCCAUUCAUCAAUUGUGUCGCCAAUCAAAAGUAGAUUCUGAACUGCUGAAAGUAUGUGUCAAUAAUCAGUUUUUGAAAUCCAAGAUGAUAAUCUUUUUGUAGGCUUAAACUAAGUAGAGGACUUCACUUGUUCUGGUAGUCUGCUUUCCUAUCUUAAUCUUUCUUAGGCGAGCAUCCUUUUUACUUUCAGAAGAAUAACAUAUACUUUUUGUGUUUCUAUGGUUUCAUGUUUCCACACUAUCUCUUAGUAUUCUUGGCCUUGAUAUACUCUGGAAAUGUAGUUGUUCAGUAAUCCAGCUUCAGGGUACAGACUAUUAGAGGUCCAUAGAAUGUGUGUGGAACAUUGAAGAUGCUUGGACUGAAUGAAAUACUUACACAGUAAACUAGUUAGGCUACAUUAAGAUGAUUGAUGCAUAGUUCUUUCGAAUUAUCAUUGCACUGAAUUAAGAAAUGAUUUUCAGGGAGGAAAGAAGGAUUAGAAAAUGGAGGAAGAUGAUUGGGGUUGGAGGCAGUGAUUGGAAGCAUUAUAUUCGGAGGAAACCUCAUGUUGUUAAAAGACGAAUUAGAAAAGGAAUUCCUGAUUGCCUGAGAGGACUUGUUUGGCAGUUGAUCUCAGGAAGCCGAGACCUCUUGUUGAUGAACCCAGGAGUGUAUGAGGUAGUGCACUAACUUUUUGAAAUCUGUCCUUCUCUUUUUCUUCUCAAGCCUCAGUAAAUGCAUUUGCUGAUAACAUCAUAUUCAUGCCAAGAAGUGCCAGUGCAUUCUUUUGCUUGGAGGUCCACAAUUUUACUUCAAUUUUAGCUACACCUACCUGCUCCCUGACAUGCUUUUGAAAUGUGAUUAUAUUGCUUUAAGAAAGUAGCUCUGAUUCUCUGGCUGAGAAAGAUUGCACCCUUUGAAUGAUCUGUCCAUUUGACUUCUAGGAAGCGGUUCUAUUUCUUCUUAGACGGGUCAUUUUAUUUACCAUCCCCUGGUACUUGGAUCACAGACCAAGUUUUGUCACUUAGCUGAUGUUUAUCUAGCUGAAAUGCUUUGUUUUGGGUGAUACCGUAAAUCAGUGGUUGACAUUGGAGUAAACAGGUUAGUUUACCUAGUUUUAAUUACCUACUUUGUUUUCAAAAAGGCAUCCCAUUUUCUUAAUACCUGACUAUAUCACUGGGUAAUAGUUGCUUAUUCUGCUUUCUUGCCAAAUGUUAGACGAGCUAUAUUCUUGUCUGAGCAUGUAGAUGUCAAAGGAAUUUUAUAUCCACAAUUAUUUUGUCUUUCCUUGCUUUUCCUCACCCAAUUGAUCUACUCUUUUGAGGAAUUGAUGGAGUUAAAUUUUUUAAUCACAAUCCUGUUGUGUGGCAAAUUUGAUUCUUGUUAAUUUUAACUGUCAUAGUGUCACAUUCUGCUUCAUGUCUUAAUGAUGAUGUAUCAGUUUUCAUUCUAGAGGUAUCCUAGCUGUAUGUGUUGAUUUCAAUUUGUUCCUGCGAUUGUGAUAAAAGUUUUAUUUGUUGCAGCAACUAGUCAUUUAUGAGACAUCAGCUUCUGAGCUGGAUAUUAUACGAGAUAUUUCACGGACGUUUCCUUCACAUGUUUUCUUCCGGCAGAGGCAUGGACCCGGUCAGAGAUCACUUUACAAUGUGUUAAAGGCAUACUCUGUGUUUGACAGGGAUGUUGGAUAUGUACAGGUUUAUUCUGGUUAACCCGGAAAUCAUUUAUCUACUUCUCUUGGAGACAGAAGAAUAAGAAAAUGUUUUGACUGCAGGGAAUGGGAUUUAUAGCAGGUCUCCUGCUUCUUUAUAUGAGUGAGGAAGAUGCAUUUUGGUUGCUGGUGGCCUUACUUAAAGGAGCUGUCCAUGCUCCCAUGGAAGGUUUAUACUUGGUAUGUAUUGAACUCAAAAUGAAUGAAUUUGGAGUCGACAUCACAUGAUCUAAGAUUUUUGGUGUGGAAUGAAAUCCUUUAUAUAUUUCAGAGAAUACAUGUUUGGUUAGUGUCUAAUCGUUUUGACUUGCAUAAUCAGGUAUUCGGUAAUAAUUCAGUCAUGGGCUUUUAUGCAAUGCAUUGUGAGUUUUUGCCAUAUAUCCACCUGAAAACUUUAUUUCUGCAACAAAAAAGCAUUUUUCUUUUCAAGUUGUAAGAAAAAGCAUUGUCCAUCCGCUUGAUUCUUUCCAUGCCAAGGAUGCCUGGGAAUGUGCUAUUUUUUUAAGAGCUAUAGUUGAGACUUCAAAAAAAAGUGCUAUGCCAGCACAUGGCAAAAAAGCUUGAUUUAGCAUCUAUCGUAUAGCUUUAGGAUCUUAAUAGAAUGCCCUAAUUUUUUGCCCACUUUACUAUUGAUCUGGGAAACAGCAUGUUAGAAACAAGUUUAGCUUUUAGUUGAGAAUUGCCUACUCUAAUGAUAUUGCAACUGAAUUUUUUUUUCUUUUUUUGGUUGACUGUUAAAGAAUUUCAGGGAGUAAAAGUUUUAAUGGCUGUUCAAUUUUCUGAUGUCUCUCUUAAAAAGAUGUUCGCAUAAACUUUUGGUACCAUAGAUGAAUAUAAACAAAACUACCAGUUGUUAUCCCGGUAAUGAAAGGAACAUCAGGAAAUGGCAUCUUUUUGAAGUGUUAAAAGUUGCUUUUAUUGGUUUCAGUGGCCCUUGUUGAUUAAACCACCCAGAUUCUGUAGCUAAUCAGCUUGGCCAUCGCAAACACCAAAUUACUCUUUUCAGUGUGUUUUAACUGUAAUGUCCUAUGUUUCAACUAGCUUAAGAACUCUUAUGCAUGUGGAGCAGGCUGGACUGCCUCUUGUACAGCAGUAUCUUUAUCAAUUUGAUCACUUAGUGAAGGAGCAUCUGCCAAAGUUAGGGGAGCAUUUUUCUCAGGAAAUGAUAAACCCUAGCAUGUAUGCUAGCCAGUGGUUCAUCACUGUUUUCUCUUAUUCAUUCCCAUUCCAUCUGGCUAUUCGUAUCUGGGAUGUCUUUCUUUAUGAGGUUAGUAACCAGUUGCUUAUUUCACCUUUCCAUUGUUAAAUGCCAACCACUGAUCUGAUCUUUGUUGAUAGGGUGUAAGGAUUGUUUUCAAAGUAGGUUUGGCUCUCUUGAAAUAUUGCCAUGAUGACCUGGUACUUUUCCAUUGUCAAACUGAAGUUGUAUCUGUCAGCUAUAAUUUUGUUGUGCUUUCACUGGAGCCAGCCCAUGGGAGCCUUAUGCACUGGAUUUAAGUCUUGCUUAUAGUUGAAUAUUUCAACAGGUAAAAUUACCUUUCGAGAAACUCAUACAUGCUUUACGUAAUUUCCCCGAGGAUGCCUUGAAUCCAGAUGUGCUAUUACCACUGGCCUAUUCAACUAAGGUUCUCUCCCUCUCUCUCUCUCUCUCUCUCUCUCUCUCUCUCUCUCUCUCUCUCUCAAUAGAUACACAGACAGCAAAGAUACAUGUAGUCAUAUUGGCUAUUGCCUACCAAAUGUUAUUCGUUUGAUGUCACAAUUGGGCUAUUUUAUUUCUCCAGAAAUUUGUGAAAUUGUGACAUGCUCAUAGAAUAGUUAAUUACUCUAGUAUGAUGACCAUCUGUGGAAAAAUUGCUUUAGUGUACAUCUGGAAACGAAGUAACUUUUUAAAGUUUUGUGCACCCUAUGGAGCAACCAACUUAGCUCCAACCUUUAUGGACUGUUUUACAUAUCAAAGAACUUUUUGCUAGUUAGUGAUCAUAGUCUGAAAUCUGGAACCCGUGAAUGUUGGAUAUGUCACCUUGUCCAACAUCAGGAAAUUGACUUGACAGGUGCCUGUUUUAUGCUUUAUUGCACUAUCUCUUCCUCACGGGGACAGUAAUUUAGGACAUUUGGAAAACUUUCCAGCUUUUCUCCUUAAGAGGAUGGCAAUCAUGAUAAAAUGAUUCUUCUAAUAACAUUCAACGUUAACUGCUGUUGAUCGUUUCUGUGAGACAACUUGCAUUUAUACCAUUGAAAUUUGUGGAAUUUUCGUUUUACUGUACUUCUUUGCUAAUAGGACACCUAUUGCAGUCUCAGUAUAUUUGGUCGCCUUUGGACAUUUGUAAAUGAUUUUCAAUAAACAGAGAUUUCCUUCUAUCCAUUAAUUAGAUAUAUUUGUAUUUGUAUUAGUCUGUUCAAUUUGCAUUUGUAAUACUUGAUUCAUUAUUAGGUAUCGAGAGGUUUGGAUGUACUGAAGCAGGAGUAUGAAAAGCAAAAUGGGAAGCAAGCUGAAGCGAAUAGGAAGCAGGGAUAACAGCAAUCCUGAGCAAGGAGGCAUCGGAAUCAAGAGAGAACCUGAGUCGCCUUUGUAUAUAAGCAACCCUGAGCAAGGGGGCGUCUGAAUCGACAGAGAACCUCGGCCAAUGUUGUACAUACAAAACUAUUAUUUGUUUGGAUUCUGAAAUCUGCGUUUGGCUGGUGUACAUACCGAGACUUGCAUUUAGUCGGCCGGUUGGAAUUUACUCAUAAUCGACCGCGAUUGUUUGGUUUGAUUGAUGGACCCUUUGGGAGUUUCUCUGCUCUCAUUGGGUCGUGUAUAGCAAGCAUGACCUUGUGUGGCAUUGAAGGCCCCAGUUAGUAAAUUAGUAGAAUAGAAAUGCUGUAAUCAACGGAGAAACUAGUAUGGCAGUGUUUGUUGAGAUUUUUUUUGAUUCAGCAUAAUGCAUUAUCCCUUUCACGAUUUGUUCGAGUAUAUGCAUAAAUUAUAUCGAAAAAUUGGUCUUGCAUGUGUACAGGUCACUAGUAUGAACUGAAUCAUUGUUAGAAUAACCUUGCGAUAUAGUCAGCGCAUGAUUAUAUGCAUAGGCUAAUAACUGAUGACAAGAAUGAUUGUUACCCAUUUAUUGAAAGGCAAUGUAGAACUUAGAAGCUGAGCCUGUGAAAAGGAACCUAGAGGCAUUGUCCCUGAGUUUUCAGUUUUCAGUUUGACUUGUUUACAGCUCCUACCACAGGAAACUGCUACAAGAAUCCAAAGCACAAAACCCCUAUCUGUUGGAGGAAGGACUACUGGACUACAGGUAGUGAUUUAUCUUGUUAGCAGUAGAACUAGCUCCGGUUAUCAGGUAUUAAUUGGGCAUCAGCAAGAGGUCUUGCAUUAGCCAUCGAAGCAUUGAUUCUAAGCCUGUCACCCAACCAUCUCAUCAGCUUUGCCCUUGUAUUUUGAUGAAUUGGAUUUUCUCAAGAAACAGAAGGGUGUUCGUCUGUCUGAGAAUUGCCAUUAUUGAUUUAUUAUCUUAACAGCCAGUUUUGGAAGAAGCAAUAAUGUUCAUCCCCCGGGUAGAGCGAUAAAAAUUAACUGUACGCUUCUUUCCCAAUGAAUUUCUUGUGAAGAAGCCGACCCAGAUAUGCACCUUAAUAUUGAGAUGUCACUCCACUUUCCUGACCUGUUUUUUCACAUGCAUAUUAGCAUCAGCUUACCAUGUGGUUUUCUUAUUGAUGCUAGUGAUGAUAUCAAUCGAGACCUUGAUUCGGAGCUGGAGCUGGAGCUGCUAACUAUGAUGAAUGUGCUAACUGGUAGUUUCCUUCUUGUUGACACUUCAAUCACUGUCUAAGAAGAUAUAAGCAUAUUCAUUGAAUCAAAACAAUGGUUAAACAAGCUGAAAUAAAGUCCUGUAUCUGUACAUAGCCGCUACGAUUGUUGAGAUUUAAACACACCACCACUUUCAUACAUAAGGCCAAUUCUCUCUUAAUCUACUUGCCUUCUUACAGGAAAUCAUAAUGCUUUAUAAAACAAAAACAGAAUGAAUCUGGGAACCCAAUCCAAAGGGGAAAAGUAAAAAUAGACAAUCAAAACUGAAUGAAAUAAAGAAAAAAAAAAACCAAGAAAAGGCACUUUUCCCCGCCAUGUCUCUACACCCUAAAACGCCAAUACUUGUAACGAAAGAGUUGAGGAUCAUAACAUCAGAUCAUGAAUUAUCAGGUUGCCAAUUCUGUAAGAAACAUAUUUAUGUGCGUUGUGCUCCGGAUUUUCAGUUGGAGUCCCGUCUCCUUUAUGUUCUGUAGUUCCUUUUGCUCUCUGACCUUGGUUCUGGAUUGUCACUUUUAUCAGUGUCAUAAUUCUCCCUCUGAGACUCAAUCUCAGUACUACCUACUUGAGUUCUUCGGUGCCUUCGAUCCUGGGAGAUUGAAUUGAAAAAGAAUGAAUACCGUCAGGGCUCGGAUGGAGAAACCAUAUAAAUGUAGGAGGAAAGCACAUUAUUAGCAGAAUGAACAACAUCCACUGCAAUACAUAAUUUUGCAACAAACACACAAGGAACUCCAUGAAUGAGCCAAUGCUGCAGAGUGAUUAAGAAUGUGAGUGAAGGGUCUCCUUAUUGUGAGGUUGGCACAGGGUAAAGCACAGUGUAAGAAAACCAUUUGUCCAAUAUGAUCUUGAAUACGUGAGAAAAGGUCAUAGGUUAUUAGGAAGAAAUGUAAGUAAAAGAGGCCACAGGCACAAGUUUGCCCAAAAAUGUGGAGAAGAUUAAAUGAGUGACUAGGUGAACAAGUCCUUAAACUGUAAAUUAAUGGAAGAAGUAAACCGAGUAUGACUAGCGUAUGGUUCUAGUCUGGAUAUCUUCUUAAUAAAGAUCAUAUACACUUCGGUUCCAACCAGUACAAAGUUACUCGAGCAAGGAGGGAAGGGUGGAGGGAUGGAAACAACAUGAACCUAGUUAAUACGUUCGUUCUUUCAGUAAUAAACUAGAAGGCUAGAAGUAAAGUUGAUCAUAGAAACUCUGGUUUGAAGAAGUCAUAGUGUUUAAACCAAAAACCAAAAGACUUUUAAACUCUUAAGACAGAAAAAUCUAAACCAACCUCUCUUGGAAUUGGAUAUUCCUCUGACUCGAGCAUACGAACAACCUGACUCAUCCUUGGCCUCUUGUCAGAGUCUGGAUCAACACAUCUCAAAGCAGUCAAAAGGGAUCGCUUAAGUGCUCUUGUAGAUGGCCUGGAUUCAAUAUUAGGAUCCACCACUUCCUCAGAGCGCCUGCUUCCAACCAUCAUUUUCAACCACUCAACAAGAUUCACCUGCUACCACAACAGAACUUUAAAUUAAAUGAGAUGGAAACUUCCAACUAUGUUCUGAAACCUUGCUGUAUAGCUGAAUUAUAUAAAGCAACUAAUGUCUAAAGAAAGCAUGAAAGUGAACCAUCCAGAAAAGGGAACAUAAUUACAUCCCAAUAAAAGACUUUGCACAAAAAGAACUUUCUUGAGGCAACUCAGAGGCAUCAUGGGUAAGACAAACGAGUAAUAGCAAAAAGUAAAGCUAUGUACUAAAUACAUAGCCUUAACCAGAACACGCCAUUCUGCAUUUCCUUUCCUGGCUUGUCUUUUUCUAGUCACCAAAGACAGUUUCUUGGGAUGCAAAUAGUGUUAAUAAACCAAAAAGAUUACACAAUAGUGAUUUUACAUAAGUUGCCCUUGUAGUGCGGUACAUACUACAGUCUAAAAAUGGGGAGCUUGCUAUGUAGGAUAUCAGAUAGAACAAUCAAAUGCAUGCAAGAUUAGUCUUGAGAAGAUUUAACAUAGAUAAACAGGCUUGAUUAAGUAACUGUUUGGAAAAUAUAGUUCAUGCUGAAAAACAAGCAGAAAUGUUUAUUGUACAAUACCAGAGGAACAUCAUAUCAUGAGUAUGCCAACAUAGCCUCAUAUUUUGUUUCAAAAAUCUACAUGAUGAAGCUUAAGUGUUGCAACGUUUGCAGGAAAUUUGCUUAAAUGGAUAACCUUGGUUCUAUCUGUUGCUCUUUCUAGACUAUCAAACAGAAGAAAAGAGAGAAAACUCUAGUGUAUAAUGAAUGGUAUUGAGAGUUCAAACAAUAAUCAGGAUUUCAGAGGGUCCAUCUUGCAAAAACUCUCUCUCGCACAAUUGCAGUAAGUUCAAACUUGAGAAAUCACAUAACCCAUGUCUGAAUAGCCUUUAAAAAUCGGAAAAUGCAUUGCAAUUUCUAAUCCAACAGGAUGGGAGGUAGUAAUGUGUACCUCUUGUGGCAGCCUACCAUAGUCUACUGGAUCUCUUCCUGUAAUUGCUUCCAAAAGUACAACACCAAAGCUAUAGACAUCACUCUUUUCAUUCAAAAGACCAGUAUUUGCAUAUUCAGGAGCCACAUAUCUGUGCAGAGAUAAGUAAAUGAAGGUAAGAUGUCCCUCCACAAUCAUAGACAGUAAGACAACAUAUUCAUUAGCAUCCCUGAAAAGUCGAACAUCAUAAAAACCUGUCUUGCAUUUGGAUAGAAAAGUAAAAGAUUGCUCACCCAAAGGUGCCCAUAACCCGCGUUGUGAUGUGGCUUUUCCCUGCGCCGAGCAGCUUAGCUAGACCAAAAUCAGAGACCUUGGCAUUGAAGUCAUCAUCUAUCAGUAUAUUGCUCGACUUUAUAUCUCUGUGAACAACUUUUGGCUCAAUUGCUUCAUGCAAGUAAGCAAGACUGCAACAAAUGUAUCUAGUUUUAAUUAAACAGAUUUUGUUUAAACUGAUUUUGUUGGACAAAUGAUACCAGUGUUUCAACUUACGCCUUAGCUGUGCCAAGUAGAACCUUCAUCCUGGCCUCCCAAGUAAGAUAGCCAUGAUGGCGCAUAGCUCCAUGAAGCCAUUGCUCUAGAUUACCAUUGCCGACAUAUUCGUAGACUAACAUCCUGAAAUAUUGACAGUGAAUGAGAUUAGUGUUGACAGUGCACAUUAUUAAAACUAUAAUACUAAUCCUGACAUUUUUAGUGGUGCGCUUAUGUCACCUAACACAUAUUUAAACAGAAGAACUCCUAACUCAAAACUAGCUUGAAUGGUAGCUCUUGUGAUUGCAAGAUGAUCAAGUCAAUUACAAUGAGAUUUCAGCUUUUGAAUCUCAGCUAGCAGGUAGACUAUUCACAUGUAUCAAAUGCAUGAUGUCCGAGUCAUGAUUAUCAUUGCAUGAAGACUCGAGAAUUUGGAUCUUAAGCUCAUUUAUUUAAGAAAAAUAAAGAGUGAUUAAAGAAUGAUGAAGCAGAUACCUAUGAAUUCCUUCAAUGCAAUAUCCUAGAAGCCGGACCAAAUUUUUGUGACGCACAUGCCCAAUGGCUUCAACUUCCACUCUGAAUUCUUUCUCAGCUUGACCUCUGGUGAAAAGAAGAAAAAUCAAGAGACAAUUGGACACUUAACAGAAAAAGAAUUAUGAGAAGGGGAAAUGUUGCUAUUUGAAUCAACUUGUUAAGGCACUCACAAGUUGUUGAGGAGCUUCUUAACGGCCACUGGAGUACCAUUAAUUAGUUUUCCUCUGUAAACAACACCAUAUCCACCCUCACCAAGAACAUUUUCUUUUGAAAAUCGGUUUGUUGCAAGCUCAAGAUCUCUAAGAGUAAACCAAUGGCCCCAGCCCAAAUGCGAAAAUUCUGGAAGUCCAGUCAGAGGAGAAGGAGCUGUUAUUGGAUGCGAAUUUUUGUAUGCACCAAAUGUUCCAGAGCUCCCUUCCUCUCCAGAUUGUGAUCCACAACCAUCUCUUUCAACAUGAUGAAAAGAACCAGAUUGACUGCCGUUAUCUGCAUUCUUCGUUUUCCCUGUUCCCAAAUGGACCAAAACCUUGUCAGACUCUUUAUCACUAGAUUUGUCAUGAAUAGUAAGAAGAAUCCCUUCACGAGGAGUAAAUUCAUUUGUUGAUACUUGCUCCACUCGCACUUCUUUAAUUUCUUUUGAAACUGCCGGUAUUUGGCUGAAGGGAAUCUGUUCAUUAGCUCUUUUUGAUUUCUUUCUUGAAGUAAGAUAGCAUGUCAGCACAAAGAGGAUAACUACAAUCAAUGCCCCAACAAUGAUUCCAAUCAGUUCCCAAACCUUCAGACCAAAUAUUGAAGUGCUUUUGGAUAGCUGAGCAUUUAAAUCAGAAGCCAUCUUCUCUGAAGCCAAAAACAAAAACCUAUGAAUUAGCACAAGGAACAUAGAAUUCGCAAAUAUUAAUGGCUCAAGACAAAUGACUCUAAUGCUCAUACUAUUGAAUAUUAUAAGACCAAAAACAAAAAAGUUACUUAUUUCCACUAGCUCUUUGUUUGGUUGGCAUGAGGCCAAUAUGAGUAUGCAACAUCUUAGCAGUCUUUUUAAAAUCGUGUUGCUGGAUAAACAAGACCAAAGCUUGUGGAAACAACACUCAGCAAAAGUUACUCCAUGCAACAAGACAGAUGCAUCUUUUUCACUCUCAAUUGAUAGAUCAAGAACACAUAAGUAAAGAAGACCAACUGCAGAAAGCACAUUUUCUCCCUACCAAAAAGUUACUUCACGAACAUAUCCUAAAUUUGCUGUUUCACUCUUCACAUGAACAGGUAGAACAGAUUAAGUAAAUGGAAAUAAUUAUAAAUGAAAGAAAAGCAGAGCAAUGUGAUGAGUUCUCGAAUUUCUUUACUCGUUCUCAGUUACAUACCUUGCGUGAAAUGGGAUUUGUAUACGACCCUUCACAGCAUAGAUCUCAGACACCCCAUAAAAAUCCAACCUUUUCUUGGAGAAGCAAACUAAACUGCAACUACAGAUCUCUGACCAAAGAAGUCCAAACGAUCAAUAUCAAUAUCAGCACAUUUCCCAGAAUCCCAAAUCAACACAGGCCUCAAAAGCAUCAAAUUCAGAGCCAACUGAUGGAAAUCCAACAGGUUUUUCACAGCAUUAACAAAUGCAAGUUCAAAUCUGAGCUCAGAUUCAGUUUUCCAACUCCACCAACUGCCCUGUUUUCCUUGAAAAUGCCUUGACCAGAUAACAACAACAAAAGGGCUGUACUUGCAAAGAGAGUACAGGUACAUAGAAUGGUGAAAAAUGUUACUAAUGACACAAUGAUAAAUGCGAUGGUUGUGAUGGUGGUGGUGGUGGAAUCAGUUAUAAUACUUGCUAGAAAAUGAACAGGAUAAAUAAGGAAGGAUGGAGUUAUCAGUGGUAGGUAAUAAGAAUGUCUUAGAAGAAACAGUAAAAGGGAAGCAUGGAGAGGCGCAAGCUAGCCAAACAAACCUCCCCCACCCCCCGGGCCUGGACUUAGGCUGGCACUUUUAAUUUCUUGUGAAGAUGACUGUUUAUCAGAAAAAAAAAGAAAUAGUUUUCCAAGGAAUUUGCUACAGUUUUUGGGGCAGUCCAGUAACUAACAAGCGCAUAGAAAAAGUACAGUACAGUUGAAAAUUUAGAGAUAUAAAAUAUCUUUUUAUGUUUGCAGGUCAAAUGUCGGUUAAAAUUAGUGCAGUAAUUUUAGGAAGAUUGUGAGGAGCAGUUUCAGACUGUGUUAUGACUGACUUGGGAAUGAAGGAUGUGAAAAUAUGAAUUGUGAUGAGGGAAAACAGUGGUGAUGAGGGAAAACAGUAGAAAGACGACUACUUUUGUUGCAAAAGUAAAUGACUAUAUCACGACCAGAAUUUUUCAUUACUCCACUCUAAAACUGAUUAAUGACUGUUACUAUUUGGUAGCUUUUAUUGCAUUCUUAUAACUUAAUCCCCCUAAAAUAGGCUGUAAUUUUGCUUGCUUCCAUGGAGAAAGAACCAAUAGCUUCUGAACAGCAUGAUGACCCUUGAGUUCAAGACUCAUUUUAGUGAGUAGAUUGUAAUAUAGGUUUUAUUAUUUACUUCAGUAUUUUCCCUCUAAAACAAACAAAGAAAAACAAAAACAAAAAAAGAACUGGCUAGCUCGUAUGGUGUAAACGAAACUUGUAUCUUAGAUCAGAAAGAAACAAAGGAAACUUGUGUAAGAACAAGCAAGACCGACACAAAUGAAACAUGAAAUUGAUUAGGUCCAUUGCAGUUAUGAAAAGAAACGGUGGCCUACUUCUCCAUCUCACUGUUCAAGUCAAUGAGUCAUAUUGGACCCUCAUCCAAGAUUUCUUCGUUUCUUGGCUUUAUCUUUGUCGAACGGUUUCAUUUUCCAUUCAUACAUGAGUAAUUGUUUAGCCAAAAAGAGAUGCUAAAUCAUGAUAUAUGAAUUCUCCAAAAAAAAAAAUUUAAGAAAAAGAAGAAGAGGUUCUCUGAGUUCUGGAUUCCUUCUUGCUUCUUAAAUCCUGCUCUUCCUUCGAUCAAAAAAAAAAGGAAAGGAUGUUAUUUUAAGAAAAUUUCAUUCUGGCUGCAUUGCGUCAUUCUCCAAGCCUACUAAGAAAAGGGAAAUGAGCAUUCAAGAGCAUGUAUGCUUGAGAGAAACGUUAUCUCCAAAAUCAUUGCAUUUAUGUUGGGAAUUACAAGUCACAAACAAGUUAAAAGAGUUAAAGAUAAACUUAAAAACCAUGGCUAGUCUUCAGAAAAAGAAACAUUGCAAUAACAGGUAAAUAACAUUUAAAGCUAAUGUAGAGGUGUGGGCUACAAUUCUUAGGUUAAUCUUUCUUUGCUUUAUUACUUUAAAAUUUUCUUAUUUUCUAGAUACUAGUAUAUGCUUGCCAAUGUUGAUACCACGGAGACAUUUAAAGUCUUGAUGGGAGUGAGAUGUCAAAGUUCAACCCUUGCCUUCCACCUUAUCACUUAAUUGUGGUUGUCACUUUGAAGUGACUUCCUCCAACAGGAUAUCGUUGCGACAAAAAAAAAUAGAUAGUAGUAUAUGCUUGGUUUUGCAAGCUGUGAUCCAUGCCUCCAUGUCACAUUAGCGUGCUACAUUAGGCUAAACCUUCGUACACCAAAAUCAUUAACGAUUAAAGUGCAUUGCCCAUAUGUUUGAAAAUUUUCUUUAGCAUUUAUCUUGAAAACAAAAGUAGCCCCCAUCUCCUCCCCCAAACUUCAAUAUAUUGCCCCACUGCCCCACAACUUCAAUCAUAUCAGAUCUAGCAUCACAAGUUUAUCUGAAUAAAAACUUGUAAUGCUAUUGGAUGGAUAAGUUGAGAGCAUUUAUCUUGAUUGUUUGCUAAUGUUUCAGCUGAAGUUAAUAAAAACAUUCGUGUUCUAUAUUUAGUGAAAAAUAAAACAAAUCUUUCAUUCUAUUUCUAUUAACCCCAAAAAACAAAAAGAUAGGAAAAACAGAAAAUACCACAAAAAAAAAACAAUAUGUUUUUUCUUUGAUUGACACUUCUAAAUUCUGAAGACAGUUUGUAUUUAGCCUAGACUUUGGCAUUAGAAAACUGAUAUAUUUGUCUUUACAAGAAACCACUACGUGCACAGAUGUCAAAACUCUAAACCAUUUUUGUGCAUACGUGCAUUAGGCAUGCAAAUGGUAAGUAUAUAUUUUUUAAUACUAGUUACACUAUUUAAUAUUUCCUCACAGGAAUCUCACAUCACAUGUAACUGGAAGAAUACAUAUUCUUUUCCAUUCUAGGGGAGAACUAACCCUCAUUGGAGAUGUUGAUUAUAUCCAGUUUCUUGAGGUGCAAACGAUAUAAGGGUAAGGCUAAGGCUAUUCUCCUUCGCAGGUGGAAGAUGAGUUGAAACAUGAAAGACAUUUUGCCAAAAAGAACCCUAAAAAGAAACAAAAAGAAAAAGAAAAACCUUUGAUUAUUUACCGAACUCUGAUGAUAUUACAAGGAAAAUUAAUUUGGUUUUUUUUUUUUUGGGGGGUUUCAAAAUAACUAAAAUUUCAAGCACUCUACUGCUUUGAGCAAAGUAUUUUUCAAGGCUUUUAGUCACUUUUUGUUUGUGCAUAUAUAUAUAUAUAUGUGUGUAUGUAUGUAUAUACACACAACCCAUUCAUGUAUGUAAGGAGGAUAUUGGCCUCAAUGGAAUAAAAAAACUAGAAUCCAAACAAUUGAUAUAUUUGACAAAGAGAAUAUAAACAGAAUCCUUUCAUGUUUGUCUCCUAAGAUUAGACUGGACCCUUGUCCUAAACUUAUAAUUUAGGAACUAAAAGGGCCCUUUAAAUGUAAAUUGGCUAGACUAUGGCCAUGCGUGUAGAUGACAUAUUUUAAGGUUUCUUCCAUGGGAUCACAGACCAAAUAAAAUACAAAAAAUUACCGACCAUAAUUGAUUCAGAACUUGUCAUCAACAGUUUUGGUUUUGAAGUAACUUGAUCCAUCAUGCAAACAUAUCCCAAAAAAAAAAAACAUGUAAUAGAUUCAUCAUUUUGAUAUGAUUGCCAAGCCAAAUACUGACCAUCCACUAUAAGCUAAUUAAGGUUGAUGACACAUAGGUCCUUUAGGACAGAUAAUCACGUAUGAGCUUUUCAUUUAUGUAGCAGGUUCCUGUAAAUUUCAUGACAAAUUCUUUGGUACAUUUAAUGGCUUUGUUUGAUUGCUGGAUCAAGUAUUUGUGAAAGUGAUGGGCACGUCAUAUGCGUUGUUUGAUGGAGAUAUGACUUGAACUUUGGCUUUGCUUCGGUUGGAGGUCAACCCAAUGGCCAAAAAGCUGCGGAGAAAUCAAUUCAAUUCCCAGCUUCACAAGAGGAUUCAAAACCUGUCAGUACCAGUGAUUCUAUGAUUUGUGCACCAAUGACUCAUCUGUAAACCUGAUUAAGGACCCAAUUAAGGUGAGCAUCACAACUUGAGAAAUUAUGAAUAAUCAAUCGGGUUGGUUAAUUAUUACCUUUUUAGACUCCAAUUUGUCUUGGAUAAUAAAAAUAGAAUAAUUUUGUUAAUCAUGGAACCACAUCUGCAACAAGUGAAGAACUAAUAAAAGACGAAGAAGGGUUUUUCCAUAUACAAAGAAUUGAUAGCAUACUUAGGAAAGUUGUGAGUGGGAACAUUAAAAAGUUCUAGGAAUCCAUAUAUCUUCUCAGCACAUGAAAUCUUGACGUAGGACAAUGGCAUCAUCAAUCAACAAACCAUAUGAUGAAUCAUCAAACUCCAAUUAAAUCGUUAAUUAUGUAUACACUUUCACAUUGUUGUAGUAUGAUAUAAUCAUUAUAAGUGUGUAGUGAAUCAUGCAUCUGCAAUAUUCCAAGCUGCUCACUGAUGUAAAAUGAAAUGAAGAGUACAAAAUAAAAGUAAUGUUGGGGCCGCAGAACGUAGAAAUUUUUUAUUCUAAUUUCCCUACAUGCACCUUCUCCGCUUCUUAAAUUCCAUCUCAUUCCUGCUAAAAAAAUUUCUUUUUGAAAAGGAGUACAAAAUGAAAGUAGGGACUCUACAGGAAUUUGUAUCUUUUUUUUUUUUUUUUUGCUGACGGAGUGGGUGUCCGGGUCAAGUCCUUAAAGAAUUUGUAUCUGAUGCUAUCAAAUUAUGCUAAAACCCUCGUGCAAAUGUGCUGGCAUUCCAAAGGGGCAAUGAGUUGACUUGGUAACAGGAUGUAACAGGAUGUGACUAAUUCUAAUGAAUUGGCUCAACAAUCUUUUCUCAUGGAUGAAUGCACUAAUCACGGGGGAUUUCUUGCCUCUAUGUUUCAGGGCCUACAAUAUACUAGCUGGCUAAUCACGUCCUUAAAUUUGAGCAGGCUUACAAUCACGUCAAAGGAUCCAACAAGAUAUGCUGAUGCUCUCUUGCAUAUCUGCUGUUUUCACACGCCCCAUAACAGGACCUUCAAACUUGAUUGUAAAGCUUUAGCCUCAGUGCCAUGAAUCAUCCGUGAAAGUCUCUAGCCGAUAUAAAAAAAAUUGGGAUUUUCUCAAAGGACUUAAGAAAUGGGAAAAAAAAUUAAGAACACACACUUUACAUCGGCCUACAUAAUUUUAGAGAAUUGAAAAGUUCAAGAACGUAUUUUUAUACGAUGAGAAAAAUCAUGAGUAUGUUUUUUCAUGCACUGAAAAUGUAGUAAUUUUUUUAGGAUUUUUCUGAUGAGUCGUUAACACAUCUAAUGUUCACCUAAUCUACCAAAUAUAUACACAUACUUACAAUUAUUACCCUCCCUUGUAUUUAUACACUUUUCUUAUUUAAUCUUACCUAUACUCCCUUAUAAUUAUUUACUUUUUUAAUUAAUCUUACAUUUCAAAAAAUAUAACACUUGAAAACAACAAAAAAUUUAUACACUGUAUAGGAAAACUUGCACUUUCUUUAUAUAUAUACAUAAUUGAAAAAAAAAAUCUCAUCCUUUCCAAACUUACAUAUAAUGCAUUGUACAUGUGUAGGAUCACUUUUUGAAAAACUCGUACACAUAGAAUUUUUAGUUACCCGAUAGCUUCGCUGUUUUUACAAUGGGAUAAUUUCACAAACCUCCCCUGAGAUUUCUAACACUUGCACUAACAGUCCCUGAGGUUUUAAAAAUUUUACUAACCACCUUUGCUUAUGAGAUUUUGGUAACAAUUCAAUCCAAAUAGGAUUAAAAUAUUAUUUUCAUGAGUGAGAUGAGAUUUUUAUUUCAUGAAUGCCCUCUUGGUCCCUGUAUUAGUAAAAGAUUGUAAGUUAUUAAAAGGUUGAAAUGAUUAGUAAAGUUGAAGGGGUAUAAAUACAAUUCAGGAACUUUCAAGCACCACAUGGAAACAUAAGCAAUGUUUUAACAACCAUAGCAACACCUACCUGCAAGUUCCAACCGCCAGAUUUUUUAUUUAGCAGCAAGUGUAUAUAAACAUCACAAUUGCAUCUACACCCUCAAGAUUAUAAUUGUAAGCAGCAAGAGUUUGGGUGCAUAUAAAGUUAUUGUUUUGUGCUGCAUUUAGAGUUCAUAGUGAAAACAUUUAGCAGAAAUUAUGGCUCUUUAAGCCAUAGGGAGAAUUCACCCACAUCUUUCAAUAACAAAAUACAACUUUUAUUUGACAUAAGAUCAGAACAACACACCAGCAUUUACUUCAACUCUUAAUAUUUUUCUAUUAUCCCUUCGUCACCAUAUAAAUUUACCCAUAAUAGAAUGCAUGAAGUAUAGGAAUUUAGCUUUAUUACCAACUCAAAAAUCUACUGAUCAAGCAAAGCAAUUCAAAAUGUAUUGUAGAUAACAUACUAGUUUUCUUGAAACUGAUUCACAAGGAUAGAAGUGGUCAUCAUUGUUUGUGAAACCUCAAGGGAGGCUUGUGAAAUUAUCCCUUUUACAAUCUGGUAGGUUUUUUUACUUUUAUUAUUUUUCAAUUUGCUUUCGAUGUGAUAGAAGUGGUCAUCAUAUAAUAGUCAUGACAAUUAUGUACAUUUUGAACGGCACGUAACUUUGUUUGCACAACGUGUAACUUUAUAACAAAUUUUUGUGGAUCCCACACACUUUAUUAAAAACGAGGUAUAAGAAUUGAUCUGGACCAUACAAAUUUUUGGGACCAAAUCUUGGCCAUGAACAGCUCAGGUCCCUGCCCGUAUCCAAUAGUCAUGUAUGAUGUACAGAUGCUCACUUGUGACACAUAGUUAAAAUUGUUGACAAUUUGAGAUUCUUAUUCUAGUAUAACAUUCUUCUUGGUUGAAGAAAAUCCCUCAAGUCUCGGCAUAUCAUUUUUCACAAAAACUUGUCUGCUAAAAGAUGAAAAAGAAUAGUCAUCUAUCAAAUUGGAGAAAAUUCAAACAAAUAGACAAAAGCUUUUGCAGGUUCAAGAGGACAAUCUUUAACAAAUAUUGUACUACCAUGUGGGGUUUUAAUAGUUGGAAAAUAGCUGUCACUCAAGACAUGAAGUCCCUAUCAAAAGAUCUAAGACAGAAGACUCAAUUUUAUGAGUGAAUCCCAGUUUAUUUCACCAAUUCAUGAACAUCUUGUAUACUAAUAUUGAUUGAACUGUAGAAAACUGUUUAAGCAUUACAGUACUUAAAAUUUCAGGCUGCAAGAGAAGUUUCUGUUGGGCAGUCUUCUCCAUCAACAACCAUACACGUCAACAAUCCACAUCCAAAUUGGACUUUCUUUUUGGGAGGGCGGGGGGUGGAAGGAAUUAAGCAAUGACAUUGCAAAUCAUCAAAAGGGGUUAUCAGAAAUUCAUGCUGUUUCCUAUUGGCAAGAUGGUGCAUUUUGAAUGGCCCGGCACAAUGAUUAAUACUCUACUUGAUAUAAUAAUCUUCUUAAUUAUGAAAUCAAUAUGGGUAACAACACUUUACAGAUAUUGAUUGAAGCAGGCAUAGAAUAGUUUCUGAUUAUAAGUAUUUAGUGUGUUUCGUUUAAUUAUUUUUGUUCCAAGAUUGUUAUCUUAUCAUAUGAGCAGUGGGCCAAUCUUAAGGUGCUGAAAUCUGUGCUCCAAUGCUAUAAUCAUUUGUUCUAAUGAAUGUAAUCAUUAUUACUCGAAUCUAGAAGGUUGGAGCACCAUAAUUAGUACAUACUCUAAAGUAAUUAUUACUAUUAGAGAUGGAACAUACUAAGCAUAAAUUAUUAAAAAAAACACACACACACUCACACACACAAACUAAGCACAAAUGGCACUUCUUUUGUGUUGUAAGAUUUGAAGAUUCAGUAUGUACAAUAUAGUGUUUAAUAUAAAGUCGUGGUAUUUUAGACACGAUUCUUGAAGUCAUAAACCUUAAUCUUGCUUGUGUUGCUAACCAGUACCAUCAAUGGAUGUAGAUGUGGCAGAUUAAAAUUAGAUUGUAGAUUUUUUUUCACUUUUAAUUGAGAGGUAACGGAUUACUAAUAAAUUUUUAAAAGGAAAAAUUAUCAAAUUAUACAAUUUUCUUGCAUCCAUAAAGUACUAUAAUAAUAAUAAUUUGGGGGAGAGGGAGGGGUUAUUCACAUUAAUAAGAAUUAAGGAUAACGAAGUACUAUUUUUGUUUUUGUGUUACAUUUUGGCCUCGUUUGGUAAGUGAAUUUUUUGAAUGUUUAUUUAAAACUUUACUGUAAAAUACUGUAGAAAUUGUAAAAAAAAAUUUUGAAGUGUGUAGAUUUUUGAAUAUUUUGAAAAGUUUUUUGAUGUUACUGUAGGUAAAGUUGUUAAAAAACUUGUAGCAAACAAAUUUGGCAAAAAACUUGCUUGCAAACAAGGCCUUUAUUCCUUCUUGUUACAAAACCACAUUAAUUAUGGAGGACAACUAAAUUUGGAGCAAGAACAAUACAUAGAUUUACCGUAGCAAAAUGACCCUAAUACUGAUGUCAUUGUAAUUAAGAGGAAAAGAAGAAAUAAUAGCGAGGCAACAGUCAAGAAAAUAUAAUACAAAAGUCAUUAUAUUUUAUAGAUUAGUUUUUCUUUCUCGUCUAACAAAAUUGAAUAAAAAAGAAACAAUUGUCUCCCUUCCUCACACUCGCUUUUUUUUUCUUUUUUUUAACUCGAUAAUUUCUAAUCUACUCCCUCUUUUAUUAUACACUAAGGGAGAGGUGGAAUAUUACACUUUUUCAAUGAGUCAAUUCUUCCCCUCCAUUUCCAAAAUAAAUGUAAAAGAAUCCAAGAAAAUUAAAAACUAGAAAUUGACCUUCUUACAUUUGGACCGGUAAUUUUUGAACUACUUUGGACCCAAAUUCUAUCCAUCCUAAUUGGAUAAUUGUCCGUCACUCAAUUGGGCCGAAAAAUUUUCCUUUUAAUAAAACAUCUCCAGCCCAAAACGUAAGCGAGCUCUGCUUUCAAUCAAAAAACGACGUCGCAGUUCUCCUUCCCGCUCAUCAGACCUUUUUAAAUCGCUACCCCCUGCUUCCCCAGCACUGAAAUGACAGCAAUUAACGUUACUCUCCUGCUCCUGCAUUUAAAUUCCUAUCAAGUUCCAAUGAUGGUUUCAAAAUCAAGUGGUUAGUUCGAAAAUUGGAGCCCUAAUUUUCAACAGUGAUUCGGUUUGAAUUUUAAUGCAUAAUUACACAUAUUUUCCGGUAUGAUUUUUUUUAGGUGAUCUCUGGGAAGAAAUUUUAGCCGAAGAAGAUGGUAAUCUUGACCGUGGCAGUGAUUUUGGGAACUCAUUAAAGCCGAAAGAACCAGAAAUCACCGUGUUGUAUCGAAGGCGAAAAUGCCAGAAUCCUAGCAAAGAUGUUGUAGCAGAAAGGUCCAUCUUUCUCGUUUUUGUUAAUAUAAUUUCUUUUUUCUUUCAAAAUAUUGAAUUUUUAAAGUAAUUUAUUUCAGAAGGCGGUCAAAUUCAAGUUCGACUUCGCUAAAUGAGAACCGGGUGAGUUUAGUGCCUGCUAAACGAGUUAGUUGGAAUCGAUCACUUUCCACUAGGUAUGUGCCCUAAUUUUCCUUAUUAGCUGAAUAAUUUUUUGCUGGGAUGGUAAAAAUACGGCAUUGUGGCAAUUUCAUAUUAUGUAGUGAUGCAAGCUGUACAUGUGUACGUUUGUGUUUGAUCUUUGAGAGCUGUGGACUUCCUUGCAUUUAAUUAUACUUGUCAAAAUUAACCGAGUUUCGAAUAAGCGUGAGGCAGUUUUGAUCAGAAAUGAGGGAUUGCGGUUCUGAAUUAGGACUAACUAAAGUAAAGUUGAAGCUUUUAGCACGUAUCCAAAAUUCAAAUUUUUGUUUUCACGGUUUACUCUGUAAAUGAAGGCAUGAAGUGAAAAGAUGGCUAACAAGUAGAAAGUUAGCAAGAUGUUUUAUAGGGGACAUUCUGCUAGUAGCUUAGAGAUAGGAACUCUGGUGAAGGUUUUGAUAUUGAAUCUUUUAUAGUCUGAAAUGUGUGCAGGAAGUUCUGCAUUUGAUAGGUUGAGCUAUGUUGGGAUGUAGUGUUUUAAUCCAUGCUUUAAGUUGUUAUUUCUACCAUUUUUUUUAUGAGGUUAGAGGUUCAAUUUUUGUUAUACCCUUCAGAUCUGAUACUAUUAAGCAUGACUUUUCCCAAAAUAGCAAUGGUGAACAGUAUCUACAGAACAACAUGUCUAUAGCGAGAUCUCAUCAGCCUGUUAUUUUGCUUGUACUCCAUUUUAAACUACUGAAUAAUGCUAAAUAGAAGGCAUGCGCUGAUUUGCAUACCGAAGGUAUUGUGAAUUUGCCCUGAGGUAGCACGGAAAAAGACUGUGAGCACACUACUGGAGUCGUUUUUUCCCCUUUUGCUGUUCGUAUAUCUAGGUUCUUCAUGUUGAAAUUUGGAGCAUCUUUAUUUGGCUGGCCUGUUCACUUUUCUUGUCAAGUCAAAUAGUGAAUGUACCAUAAGUUAUUCAAAAAAUGCCGCAUCUUUAAGUCCAUUGCUCUUUUAUCCGGUUCAAACAUCAGCAUUCCCUGAAGAAAGCCUUUCUGUGGCAAGCUCGUAAUACAUGAUAAACCAAACACACAUUUUUAAGACCUUCCAAUCAUAAAUUCACAGGGGAAGGACAAGCAUCACAGUUGAGGCAUUUGUGGGCUACCAACCUCAACAAAGGAAAAGUAAAAGGAAAGGGAAACCACCUCUUCCCAAGGUAUACACUAAUGCCUUUGCCUCAUUUCUUAAACUCCAGCUAGAAUUUUACAUUUUUGACAUAUUACUCCCUUAUGUGUGGCACUGGUUGCAUUAAGAAGCAUAGCAAAAAGUUGGUUCAGUAGCUUUCAAACAUUGCUGAAAAGUCAAAAACAGGAUAGCAUUUACUGUUGGUUUGCUGAUAUUUUAGCUUGAAACAAUAUAAUGCUAAAAAACAAAUGCUAGACUUAUGUAGGAAGCAUUUCCAACUCAUGUAUGGUUCCCUCUUUCAGUUUAAUUCUUCGUUCUAUGUAGGGAAAAAUUAUACAGACUCCCAGCUUUGAUAAAGAGAUUGCAUAUUUUAAAGAGGUUGAUUCCUUCGAGUUGUUGGAGGAAAGCCCCUCACCUAAGAGAUCUGGUACAUGGCUCAUGGGUGUCCAAACUGAUAAGGUGGCCAUACCGCAUUUGUCAUCUGUGCUGCGGAAAUGGCUAAUUGCUCAAAAACAAGGUUGUGGGCCUCCCCUUUCUCUGACAAAGAUAUUGCAAACUCCAGCAGUUUGCAAGGAAUCUGUUUCUUCAGCUCUAAGAACCUUGGAAGAUGGAUCCCUUCCAAUCCAUCCAAGCUUAUCUAUCCAGAACAGAAUCAACUUUAGUUCUCUGAGUGGAGAUUUCUCCAUAAGGCCUUCUGCAGCAGAAAGGUGUAGCGAGAAGAGCUGUGAGGAUAUUCAAGUUGCAGUUGGUAAACUCUCCCUGACUUCAUACCAUGAUUCACAGGAUGGUCUGGGCUGGGAUCCACUGUUGGCUCUGUUGACAGCCUGUGGACAGUCAGCUCCUUCAACACUAUUGGAUGUACUUUUAAGUUACUGGUUUGUAUAUAUGUUACCUCUUUAAUCCCUAUUAUGAUUGCUUGAGAUUUUAUUUAUUUGUUAUGUCCUGCUUAUGUCAAAGAAAGUGAUUUCAUUUUUUUAUCAGGACUAGUGUUUCUUUUUGUUUUUUUGAAACAGAAUCAUGAAAAAGAUAAAAGAAAAUAGUUGAUUGGGGAAGUUAUUAAGUGGUUUCACAUCUACUAUGGGAUUUUCAGGAAGAACAUAAAGUGACACUGCACCAAAUUUGGCUUGAUAUUUUGUAUCUAGUAAGAAAAGAUGUUUGAGUUUGAACGAGCAGAGUCUUGAUGCAGUACACUUGUACCUCUUGCAAUUUGCAACAGAUUUAUAUUUCAUGGCAUUGCUUGUUGCCUCAAUUUUUAAAGAACAGUCAAUUUUCAUGGCAUUGGUGACUGGAUUCUGUUAUGCUUCUAGUUUUUGUUCACCUAUGUUCUGGACAAAAUCAGAAAGGAUUUUACAAAUCUGUUAGUUUGCUGAAUUUUACUUCGUGAUUUAGUAAAUUUUGUAGAAGCAUAGUUACAUUUCCAGGUGCAGCCUUCUCUUCUCAAGGGUGGGAUUAGAAGUAAAAUCAAAAUGAAAGAAGACUGAAAAGAGCUCAUAGAGAAAUUUAAGCAGGGUUCACAGCAAGUGAUGUAGUAGAUUCUUGGAUACUUCCAAGUUAUCUAAAUCUUACUUUUAACAUCUUUUAUUUCCUGCUAAAUUUAUCCAAAGUCCAACUUGUGCUUGCACAUAAGCAACUUGGAGGUGGAAAGGGGGAUCUUUGUUGCUAACUCUUUUUUUCUUAUUAGUUUUGCACUUGCACUACACUUUUAUCAUGACAUUAAUUAAGAAACUAAAUUCUUGUUCAAACUCAGUGAUUCAGAAAACAUAUCAAAGGUUGGUGAAGGAACAUUUGGAGAAGCAUUCAAGGUGGGUGAGACUGUGUGCAAGAUUGUCCCAUUUGGUGGAGAUUUUCAGGUCAAUGGAGAAGUGCAAAAGGUAAUUAACACAUAUUCGUACUUGUGCAAGUGAAAUAAUUUUUUAUUUCCAUUGGAGGUAAAUUUCUGGGUUUUCCUUUUUCAAACUUUGCUCUAUUUUCUGUUAAACACCUUGGAAAAAUUAAUCUUUGCAAAUAUCAAAGUGAUCUUUGGUUAAGGAAACCAGAUUUUCUCUAGUUUUAUGAAGCAUGUUUUUUGUACUUGUUAUGAGCCAAGUUGGAAAGUUAAGGAUCUAUGGAUGGUGUCUAUAUUUGGAAAAAAAUGUCAAUCUGUUCUCUGUCUCUAGUUCUUUUCUUUUACUUAUGUGUGAAGUAAUUUUAAGAUCCCAAAUUCUAAUUAUUAGCUUCUUGCCCUUCUACUUUUGACAUACUUCAGAGACCAGAAGAACUACUUGAGGAGGUGAUGCUAUCCUGCACUCUUAAUAGGCUAAGACGUCAUGGGGAUGAUGUCUUGAAUGCAUGUACUUCCUUUAUACAAACAAUAGAGUAAGUUCAUUCAUCACCAACAAUGUUUUUGUCGUAGAGUACAUUAAUGUUUCGAUCCAGUCAAAUUUGUUACAAUGCUUUGUGCCACUUCAUGCCAGUUCAUACUUCUUUGGGAUCAUAGCCUGUCAUUCUUAGUCACUUGUUGAUUUCUGAAUAGGCAAAAGGCAGAAAAGUUUCAUGUUAUGUACUAGUUAUUUGAUUUCUUACAUUCCAGGUGUUCCUUAAGAUAUUGUAGAAAUUUUCAAGGACUUGAACUAUUGUAAGCAAGAUUUUGAAUAGCUGAACCUAACUAGUACUUCUUUGUAUUGUCACUGAAAGUUUGCGGGUGUGCAAAGGUCACUAUGGUGCUGCCUUGAUCAAAGCCUGGGAAGACUGGGAUGGGAAGCAUGGUUCAGAGAAUGAUCACCCUAAGGAGUUUCCAGAAAAUCAGGUUCCCUUUCUUGUCAGCUUAUUUUAACUGUGCCAUUUUCGCAACUAACACAUCAUAAUUUCUGACCAUGGCAACAUUGAUUUGCACAUUGGUAUGCCUCAACUCUUGUGACCAAGAUAUAUUUAUUUUAGUUGUAUUGAUUAUAAGAUAAUCAGCUAAGGUAACUCAAGAAAAUUAUUUUAGUACUCGUAUUAAUUAUAUAUAAUCCACUAAGACAACUCAUGAAAUGUUGUUCAGAACUAUGUUGUAUUUGUUCAAGAACAUGGGGGUAAAGAUCUUGAAAGCUUUGUGCUUCUGAACACUGAUGAAGCCCGGAGCUUACUGCUUCAGGUUAGCUAUUGGCCUGCAUGUUCAAUUUAGUUUUACUAUUUUGUAUGUGGCAUAAUAUCUUGUCAGUCAUAUGUUGCAGGUUACUCUUGCGUUGGCUGUAGCUGAAGCUGCAUAUGAAUUUGAACACCGGGAUCUGCACUGGUAGGGUUGUCACGCCUUUUGGUUGGGGGUGGUACCAUGCUUCUUGUCACCUCCCUUGCAACUGAAAAUUUUUUUCCUUACUUGCAGGGGAAACAUCCUUUUAAGUCGGAAAGGUUCUGAAACGCUAUCUUUCACUCUUGAGGGAAGAAAAGUGAAUGUCAGAACUUAUGGAUUGUUAAUAUCAAUUAUAGACUUCACCCUUUCAAGGAUUAACACAGGUCAAGUUUGAUUUCUACUUUGUCAUGCAUUUUCAAUGUGUGAAGUCAUUGUCGUAAAGUCCAACAAUUUAUCCACAGGUGAAGACAUACUUUUCCUGGACCUUUCUUUAGACCCUGAAAUAUUUGAGGGUCCGAAAGGAGAUAAGCAAGUAAGUUAGGGAAGUUUGUAUACAUCUUAUUGAUCUUUUAAUUUAAAAUUUUCUUAACUAUCAUGUAUUUGUUGCAGUUCGACACAUACCGAAAGAUGAAAGAGGUUACUGAUGAAUGCUGGCAAGGAAGGUAAUCAAACUUGAUCUUUUGCUUUAAUAUUUAGACCUGUGAUACUGUUGCCUCCGUCAUGACACAAACCUGCACUUCUAUAGACACCCGUGUGCAUGUAUAGAACAUGGCUCGCAAUGUUGGUCAUAUUUAAGAUGCCAUGCAAUAUGACAAUAUUAGUGAUGUACAUAACGUUUGUGCAAGAUUCAUUCUCAGUUAGGAUGUCAAGUAUUUACCUUAAGAAUAUCUAUUUCGUGUUUAUGCAUGAGAUGGUUCCUGUUGAAGGGCUAAGGAUAAUACGAUGCAUAUCUUUGAUUAAGAUGCAGUUGAGACAGAUCUACAUAGGGGAAAGAGUGAAAAACUAGAUUUAGGCAAAAGCGCUAAUGAAACUGGAUCUAGUACAUAUGUGUUUAUAAGUGGCUGUGCAAAGUCUGCAGAAUACAUAGAUCUACACAUUUCGUUUGAUAAUAAACUUACAUUUGGUCAUUUAUUUCUGGUAGAAAUCAGUGUGCAUUUCUAGGUCAGAGAAGUCGAAGAGAACUUUUUUUUUAUUAUUAAUGCAGAACAGAAAAUACUGCACAGAGAUACUUGCAAUGAAACAUCAAACAAUCAAUCUUUAGAUGUCCUACUAGAAGAUGAUACCCAACCUAGCUUUUCACGUAUCUUAUUCCUGAGAAUUUCUUUCCUCUGUUGGGCGUUUUAUUGCUUAGCUAUUUGCAUAGCACAUCCCUCAGGAUCUGCUCCCUCCCUAACCGUAAAAACUGCAAUGCAAGAGGAGAUGGUGAAAAGAUGAAUUAGUUUCUUUAGCUGACAUCCAAUUUGUAUUGCUAAAUAUCACCUCAAAUUAUACAGUAUCAACUAGUCUUGCAACAUGCCUUAGAACGCCAUUUGAAGUACUUGAAUGUAUGCUAACUGGGGCAAGUUUUGAUAGCUGAAAGAGAUGAAACUGCCUAAAUCCUACAAUAAAAUGUGCUAUUCAGAAGGAUCAUUAGGAGCAUUUCUGAUCACAAGUUUUUAAAAGUUGAAAACUUGGGCAAAGAGUUUAUGGUUCAGCAUAAGCAGGUAUCCAGAGAUAUUUAUCCGUCGUGCGUUAUAUCAACUGUCUUUUUAUAAGUGGAUAUAAGAUUCUACUCUAUUAUCAGCUUUGAAUUUAAGAUACUCUGUCACUUAACAGUCUUGGCUUCUGUUUACAAAGGCGUUGCAAAUUUUAAUCUCUUUAAGAAAUUUGAAUAUAGAUGAGAAGAUUUGAUUUUGUUAUUAAAUGAUCGUACAGUUUUCCGAAGACGAAUGUCUUGUGGCUGCAGUACUUGGUUGACAUUUUGCUACUAAAGAAAUCGUAUGUAAGUCUUUUUUUUUUUGCAUGUUGCUUGACAGUUUAAUUCUUGCUCUCUUUAUAAACUUUGGUUGAUUAAUGCUAUGAACUCUGGUUUCUUCAACCUGCUUUUAAAUAAUGUGGCAGGAUCGGACAUCCAAAGAUCAGAGAGAUUUACGUUCACUGAAGAAGCGUUUAAAUGGUUAUGGCUCGGCAAGAGAUGCAGCUGCAGAUCCUUUUUUCAGUGAUCUGUUUGUCAACCAUGAAUCUUGAAAUAAAACUUGCUAAUUUCCAUGGAUAUACAUGCAGGUCUUAAACCCCUGAUCAACUACUUAUUUAAGGUCCUGGUAAAUUCAGCUCUAGGAGAUGACAGCAGAAACCAACUUGGUUUCCGUUUCAUGUGGUUAUUUAGUGGCCUAAUUAAUUGAGAAAGUAUUAUGGAAAUUUUCUUUUCCUGCUUUUGUCAAUCAAUAUAUCUGUUGUAUUCGGGACAAAAAAAAUUGAAAAGUUGGAUAUACUCAUGGGAAGCUUCGACGAUUUUUGUAAGCUCGGUGCUUCGUAGAUUGAUCUAUUGGUUGGGAACUUUGUGAUAUAUGUUUUCUUCAAUCUGAUUUUUCUUAAUUUCUGAACUGCAAUCUUGAGUACUAUUAAUAUUUCAAUAGCGUACGCAUAUCAGCAUGUAUUGACAAACAUUAUUAUUGUUCCAUGUUUUUAUUUGGCAAAUAAUGGCAAUAUAAAGUUUAAUUCAUGUGGGUCAUCUUUUCUUUUAUUUUUUGCUUUUUUCUCUUUUUUUUUUCAAAGGUCAUACGGGUUAUCUUUUUACUUGCAGGCACUAAAUCAUGCAUUCAAAGCUCCAACCUUCUUAACCAAAUUAUGACCGCAUACAGAAUUUCCUGUUUCAAAAGGAUCAAUCCACCCCAAGCAGCCAUUUGUAACGUUUAUUAAUAAGGAGGCUGCGUGAUAUGCUCCAGAAAAUGUGGACAUACAAUAUCUACAGCCUUUUCCGUCUCUUGAUAGCACGCAAUAGAAUUGUCAUAUGGCCAUGUCAAAAGAUAUACAUUUAAAGAAAAAUCAAUUCCAGAAGAAUGGUGCGUGGCUCUUAUUUUUAGAGUUGAAAGAUGAAUUAAAUUAUUCGUUAUUCAAAUCGAGUACAAAUAGAAUUGAGUUCAAUUUGAUAAAAAAAAAUUUGAUAAUAGUAUUUUUUAUUCAAUAAUUUUUAAAUUUGAUUAAAAAAAUUUAUUCAAGUUUAGUUUGAUAAAUAAAUAAAUCAAAUUUGAACAAAUUUUCAAAUUCAUUUACGGCCCUACUUGUUCUCAAAAGAAGAGAAACAUCGGAUCAGGAAGUACGAGAAAGAAAGUCAAGAGUGCCACAUUUAGUGCUAAGUGCUUUACAUCCUUCUUUCCAACGCCAGCACACUCACUUUCCGAUUCUUGAUGGUAUUUUUUUUCUCUUUAGAAUUUUAUUACCCAUUCGUGCUUUCGGCUGACACGAGACCUAGUCAGACAAGAUACUUUUGAUUCAUUUGGUUUAGGAAAAUUGAGAAAUUAAUCCACAUGGGUGGACCCAAUUACGUUCAUAUUGCCUAAAUGAUAACAUGGGAUAAAAGGUGAAAAAGUAGCCCAAUGCAUGUUUCUCGUAUAUAAAAGGUCUCCUAAAUGCCUGCGUUAAUGCUGACACUAAAAGGGCAAAACUCGCGAAUGAAAGUAGGAUUUCUUUUUGAGGAUUUUUUAAAGCACUAUUGAGACGUUUAUGCUUAACUUAUUAUAUUAUUCCGCUAUAUUUCACGUUCAUAGUCUUAUUUUUCUUUUUUAUCCAUCCCAAAUUAUAAUCUACGUUCUAAUUGAAAAAUAUAAUUAACUUUUAACUUAUCUAAAAUAUUUUUAUUUAAUAUAUUUUCUAUAGCCUGUCUUAUUUAAUACAGUCAACUUUUUCAUCAAUAAUUGCUUUGAUAUAUAUGUCUUGCAAUAUAGCAUAAUUAUUAUUGUUGUAUUUAAUGUAAAGGUAUAGUGAUAAGUGAUACUCCUAAUAUUAAUAUAUGGAUAUUUUACAAAAAAAUAUUAGACUAGAUUUACUUUUCAAACAAUCACAACCAAUUUUUCUUAAAUUGUGUGAGAGAAAAACCUAAAAACUAUCAAAGUGGAACAAAAGAAUUAAUACACACUCACAUUUAUUGUCCUCCCGCAUUUAUUAAUACUUUUCUGAAUUAAUUUUACUCUUGUUAAAAUAUCAACACUUGAAACUAUUUCCAAUAAAUGUCUCGGGAACAUUCAUCAGCCAAAUCCUUCUUUUUUAUAUACAUCUUUACAUCGCCUUUUUUUCUUUUUUUAAGUCUAGUAGAUUGUAAACAGUCGUAGAUACAUGGACCCAGUUAAUAUCGCGCACCACGUCGAAUUCUUGAAAAUUUUUCCCCAUGUCGUAAAUAAGCAUGCUUUUGGUUGGAGCUUAGAAGGAAACGUGGGUUUCCUAAUAUAUAUAUAUAUAUAUUCAUUAGCAGAAUUAAUAGGGUUUAGCUUGAAUAUGUCGUUAGAUGGUGGAUAAAAAGUCUCAACGACCAUUCAAUUAUUGAUGGCAUCGACUUUUCACUAUCCAACAAUUUUUUAUCAUAAAUUUGUUAUUAAAUUAACCAAUCAGUACACCCGUAGUCAUUUCAUUGAUUAUUUAUCUUAAUUUACAAAAUAAUCAGAACAUGUGUGAAACUGCAAGGGCGUAUUUGUCCAUCAGGGGUAUUUUUUUGUCAAAACAUAGUUUUGUUUAUUUUGCAGAUUGAGAGCAAUAAUUGUUGAAAUGGCCACGAGUGUGUUGAUUAGUUAGUUUAGUGGAUAAUUUGUAAUGAAAAUUUGUUUGAUAGUUAAAAAUCAAUGCCUACAAUAGUUUAGUGGCAGUUGAGAUUUUUGACUAUUAGAUUUUACAGUAUGAGAAACGAUUCGGCUCUGUUUGGAUUGUAAGUUAUUUGAGAUAUUUUUACUGUAGCACUUUUUAUGAUGUGAUGUAUGUGAGAUAAAAAGGUAAUUGGGAAGAUAAAAAGGUGUAUUGAAAAUUGUAAUGAUGAUAUAAGCAAACAUAUUUGGGGAAAUAAAGGUCAAUCCAAACAAACCCGAUGGACAAUUUACUCUUACCCAAGACAGGAUAUUAUAUUAUGAAAUUAAUAUUACAUUUAUGAAUAAAAUUUCAUUUAUGAGAUUUGUCUACAUAACUGUCUGAUGCUUGCAGCAGCGCAGUAUAUAAGAAAAUUAGCAAGUUUUUUAGCCACUUCACUCCAAUACAUUCAAUAAAGUUUUUUAGCCACCUCAUUUUAAUUAGGAAAAUCCUGCUUAUACCAAAUCUGAUGAAAAUAGUAAAAGGUUGUUUACUUGUUUCCAGCCGACAGAUCUCAUUAUAGUCACAGGUUUAGUCCAAACAAAACUUGAGUUUUUCUUGGCAAAAGUCAUUGGAAAUUGACUUUGAUGCCAACUUUUUCACAUUUACACCAGUAACCAGCCAUCAUCAGCUUUUCUUUAAGACUUUAACCGGGCCACAGGUGUUGGCUGUUGUGUCGUUGGGAGGUGGGCGUAUUCCGAAUGCGUCCGAAGAAUGGUUAGCUUCCAUCUGAGCUAAUCUGGCAAAAUGAGCAGCGUUUAUGGUUGAUUCUUGCAAUUUCUUUAUUAGCAGUAGCAAUUACAGGUAUCAAGAAAGCAGAUAUUCUUUGUUAUCUUUACAGAACCCUGUGCUCUUUAGUUCAGAAUAUCAACUCUGUUGCAGAAAUGCGUUCGUAAAAUUUUUUUACUUAUUUCUCUGUAGCAGCAAAUGUUUAUUUCCAAUCAUGUGUUGAUUUAGCUGCAGAUAGGAAAUGAGUUCAUCCACAAAUUCCAGAAAUUUGGGCUUCUUAGUGCGGCUCAGCUUGGGGUAGCGUAAUUGCGUUCUUGCAAAUGAUGGUGACUGUUGUAAAGUUAGACAGCAGGCUUUGGGAUAGAAUAUAAUCUCAAAUAAAUUAUUAUAAUUUUUUUUUAUAAUGUGAUGUAUAUCAAACAAAAAAUAAUUAAGAAUAUUUUAAAAAAAAAGUUGAAAUUUUUUUUUGUGGUGCAGGAAUUGUAUCCAAAGAUAGAUGGCGCGGAGAUCUCUUUGGACUUUGCCCAUGUAACCAUUUAGUCUAUUCUUGUAACAAUAACGAAACAAAGGCCAAUUAGUGACAUGUUUCAAGUUCAAAGGGUUGAUGACUGACUUGAUUGCAUUCAAAACUCUUCACCCAAGCAUCAAUUUCACUGAACCGACUCAGCACGACUGAGUUGGCAAUUAGGUGACUGUAGAUUGAGAGACCUCGACUUGCAAUUUUAUCCAAGCUUUCCUGUAAAUUUCACUAGCAUGUGCCUGUGCACUUGAGGGAUCAAAUUUUUCGGCUUGCAUUUGUAUCUAGACUUUUUUUAAUAUUUCACCAGCAGAUGGCUUGCAUUUGUAUCUAGAUUUUUUUUAAUAUUUCACCAGCAGAUUCCUGUAUAUUCAUUUUGUCCGAUGGUGAUUCAGUUUCCUUCCAAUUUCUAUUAAUCCCUUUAACUCCACCUCUUUCCCUUCACUUGGAGUAGGAGUAGGUUUCACUAACUAAAAUCAUGUUAUCUUGUGGUGGAAUACAGUUGUAUGCAGGGCUAGUGUAACAUAGUCAUUAAUCAGGUAAGUUUGGUAGGAUUUUGCCUUAUAAAUGGUUCAUUAUAGUCCAAAGACAUCAGCAUGUGGCACCAUGAAUGUGACAUGGUACUGCUUUUCUGCUUCAUACAAAAUUUGUCACUAUCAGUCCUUUGGCUAAAUUUGAUUUUUUUUUUUUCGGACACGACAACUGUUGUAUAAUAUAAUCUAUUCUACACUAAGGGGGAGGGAUCGGACCUAAGGAGCCCCAGGAAUAACCCGGAGGAGACUAAACCACCACCGAACCAAACGGGUGCACAACACACCCGCCUAGAUUUUUUAAAGCAAACCACUUAAAUGUGACAUUUUGGUUUGCCUCCCACCCCACCAAGCUAGGUGAUUGCCACCGGCCUUUGGGCUGGUGGUUCUUCGGCUAAAUUUGAUUGAACCAAACAUUUUUCAGUGAUAAGAUUCACCAACCUUUUUGGCUUGUGGACGCAUAUGCAUGUGACAUUAUUGUGAACCCCACUUUUCUUGAAACUACUUGCACCUUACUUUCCUAUAACAUAUAAUCUCAUGCAAAUAGUUUUUUCCAAAAACAAUGGUGGUAUGUUGGUUCUUUCUAUGGCCAAGGGGGGGCAAUGCAUAUUUUUGAACCAAAAUUCGUUCUUCAUGACAAAGUAAUCACUUUUCUUUACCAUUCUUCUUCCAUUGCAAAAAUAUUCGUUUGUCUUUAACUUUUUCCCUCUGUCAACUUUAUAUCUUGAGCACCUUUUCCGCCUCUCUGUCUUCAUCUCUUUUUCCAAGAUGGCAAGCUUAUCAAAUUCUCUGGGGCAUUUGUUUUAAGCAGCUCAACAUGGUCCAACAUAAAUUAAAAUUCCAUUUCGAGCUCUUCCCAACAGAAGAAACUCCUCUCAUAACAAUGGCUUCCUCAAGAGGGUCUCAAUAUCUCUUCCUAUUACUUCUGUCCCUUGUUGUCUCUGCUUCCUGUAAGUGUUCGAUUGAACUGUUCUUGAAUCUGCGAAAACUGUUUAUUUUCUGAGUUCUGUGCAGCAUUAUGCUUGUUAGAUUCCAUUGCUCAUUGUGGAAAGUUGUUUGAAAACCUUUUCUAUUGCUAUUAUUCUUUUCUUGCUACUGUACGCAUUUGCAAUUUUGCUUCAUCAGAUUAAAGAUCUUUAAGCGGCAUUUUCAUUAGUUUAUUCUUGUUGGUUAAUGGAAACUGUUGUGAAUUUGUGAUUCUCUCUCUAUUCUGUCCUUUACCAUUUGUUCUUCAAAAAGUUUAGGGUUCUUGAAUCCAAGUAUCUUCAAGUACAAUAAUGGUAUUUUCUGCCUAAUAGAGUAAAGCUCAUGUCACAUUAAGGGUAGGACGGUUGGUGGUCUUUUAGAUUUUUGUUAGAUAUAUCUUGUUUACUAUAAAAUACACGUUUCCGCUGUACUCUCCUUCAAUUAGGAGGAGCAAAUAAUAUAGAAAGAAGUUUUACUUCCGACCAACUAAAUCCUACUUGAUUUUGUGGUUUCUGUCUAAAGCUAUUUUUGUGAACCAUUAAAAAUAUCGAACCUUAGCAUAUUGACACAAUAAGGGCUCCCUUUCGCGAUUCAUGUUUCAUUUUGAUGGCUAAGAGAGAGUGCUCUAAAUUUCUGGAAACAGUAAUGUAUCAAGUGGCAACAGCAGUCGUAAUGUGAAAUGUAUCUGGUGAAUGCUUAGUGCUUGUAGUCACAGAAUCCUUUUCAUCUCGGAUAGACUGUGAUGCCACUUAUUGAGAGGAAUCAAGGCAGAGGUGCAGAACUAAGUUCAUCUUUAUGGAAAGAUCUUAUAUCUAAGGUUGAAGGUGAAUUGAGCAAAAGGGAUUGAUUUGGUGGGACUGAUAAAAAAAGAACUGCCUUGGCUGCUUUUAUAGCAACUAUCCUUUAACAUGGUUUUGAGAUGAAUAUCUCAGGUUUUACUUGGUGUAGACUCUCUUAACUUUUCAUGAGUUCAUUGCAGGUGCAUCUGAAGAAAAAUUCGAAUGGGAAAAACUCCGAGUAUUUCAUCCAUCCUGGAGAGAAUUAUUGGGAAGCUUUCACAUUAAAGUAGUUAAGCAUGACUUGGUAAAUCCACCAGUUACCACCAAUCCCACAACUCCAGUAACUAAUCCUGUGACGACUCCGAGCAUUGUUCCCCCAGAUAAUUCAGCCCCAGCAGUUGUCACUGUUCCGGCAACAAACCCUGUUGGAGUAACGCCAAAUCCUGUUGCUACUCCUGCAACAGUUCCCCCCACAAACCCUGUCCCGGUGCCUAAUACAAAUCCGGUCACUCCAACAGUGCCUAAUACAAAUCCAGUCACUCCAAUGGUACCGAAUACAAAUCCGGUCACUCCAACAGUACCAGCUACCAAUCCAGUUCCAACACCAGUUACCAAUCCUGUUACCACUCCAACAACACCCGGAGCUAUUCCUGUCACUUCACCUGUUAAUAAUCCUACUCCAGCUCCAGUAACUCCAAACGCCCCAGCAACUCCUGGGCAGAGUUGGUGUGUUGCUAAGAGUGGGACAUCAGAAACUGCACUUCAGACUGCACUUGAUUAUGCGUGUGGAAUGGGAGGUGCAGAUUGUUCAACUAUCCAACAAGGUGGAAGCUGUUACAAUCCUAAUACAGUGCAGAAUCAUGCUUCAGUGGCCUUCAACAGCUAUUACCAAAAGAAUCCAUCACAAACAAGCUGUGACUUUGGGGGAACUGCUAUGAUAACCAAUGCAAAUCCAAGUAAGCACCUGAAAGAUCUCUUUGAUUUUGAAAUCUUUAGCAUUAGUCGACAAAAACAAACAGAUAAAUCCUUGUUAUUGAGACAAUCUUUUGUCAUGUACAGGUACUGGUUCUUGUGUUCUUGCAACGUCUUCCUCCUCUUCAUCACCAUCAACGAGCGCCCCAACAACAGCAUCUACAUCAGGAGGAGCACCGACAGCAGCAGGGUAAAAUAUGAAUAUAUUCUACUGCAAUUUGUCAUUGGUUUCCAGAAGAAUCUCUACAUUCCUUUUUUUUUUAAAAAAAAUCUCCUACAUUCUUAAUUUGUUUAAUAUAUUUUUUGCAGCUCUGGAGCUUCUCCAACUGUUUUAAAUGCCAGUAAUCCUACUUCAGGAGGCACCUCAUCAGGUUUUGGUGACAGCCCUUCAACUUCAAGCACCUCCACAUCCCUCUCUAUCCGCCUUCAACCAGCUGUUGGCUGCAUCUUAUUAGUGAUUACCUCCACCUUCACAAGGAUCACAGUCUCCUGAGGUUCGGACGCUGACUUGUCCAUUCAACUGAUUGAAUCGGUAGCAAAUAGCUUGCAUGAGAGGUUCAGCUUUAGUUUAGGUAGUAUAUCAGGUUUUGGUAGUUCAAGCUAUGUACAGUUUUAUGCAGGAUAAAGAUUGCAGUUAAAAGAGUACUUUUAAGGUUCAGUGUAAACCAUUAUACUACUGUUGAUCACCGUGACUUUUAGGUGCAAUAUGUCUACGUGAUUGCUUCACAUAUUUAUAAUCCAACAUAUUUGCAUCUAAUUAUCCUUCUCCAAGUAGGUUGGACUAAAGGAAUGAGAAUGACACAGAAGUACUCUGUCCUGAAACCUUCAGUUUGAUUUAAAGAAGCUUAGGGAAUCUGAUUGAUCAAUGGUCUAGGCAUCCCUCGUCAAAAUCCAUAACAAACUGAUAUUCAUAGAUUUACAGAGCAUCAGCUUUCUAGUUUCCUGUUCCCUUUUUCUUUAAUUCUUCUUAGGCUCCAAGCUGGUCCAGGGGGAUUAUAGCAGUUUUUAUCCACGAUCCAGCAGGUUACCUGGCUAUCAAUCUCAUUUAUCAAAAUUCUAUAUGUUAAACCAGUUUUAUUGAUCACCAACAAGGGCGGAACUAGGGGGGAGGAGAGGAGCCACCGCCCCCAAAAUUCUAGAAUCUAGAUAUUCAUGCUUCGUCCCUCAUAAAAUUUUGAGAAUUUUCAAAGUAUCUUAUAUAUAUAUUUAGCAUUUUGCGCCCCCAAGUUCUCAUACUUUCUUUUCUUAAUAAAAGUUCUGCAAAUUUUCAGAACUUCUUAUAUAUAUAUUAAGCUAUUUGUCCCCCAAAACCUUUUUAAAAAAUUUAUGUUGAUUCUAAAAUUUGUGUUUGCAUUUCGUCCCCUCAAACUAGAAAUUUCUAGUUCCACCUCUCACGACCAAGAUGGUUUUCUAAUUCGUGUCAAACAUCAACCUCUCUAGAACAAGUCUUUUUAGAUGACCUAAUGGUAGUUUAGGUGGGUAUAAGCUUUAAUAUGUAUGAAAGAUUAAUGUAUCUUAUCCGUAGCACAAAUAAUUGGAGUUUCUUAGGUGCAGAGCUACUUUCAAGCUGCACUCCACUUUUCCUGAGAAUUUAUGAGCCACAACGUAAACUUUCUUUCUUGAGUUGGUGAUUGCAUAGGUUGGCGUUGGUGCUUUGUGAUCUCACACUUGAUGAUAGACCCAAAUUUCAAAGACGCGAUGAUCCGAAUUGUACCACGUCAUCUCACCAAUUGUGCGACAUAAUCUCGACCACUCUGCAUCUUUGAAAAUCAGAUCUAUCCGAGUUUUGGCCAUUGGUUAAUAGAUACCGAAACAAGACUUAAUUGACAAUACCAUUUUCUCUCCUGUAAUUCUAGUUAAUAGCAAUUAUCACAGAGUUGAUUGAAGAGCAACAUAUUGCUCCGUCAGACGAAAAGAAUAAGAGCUUAAUGUUGACUGUUUAGUUUGGCAUUCACCAAUGAAAGGGCCUCCAGCCUGCAUCGGAUGCCACUUCUAUCCAACAUCCGCAUCAAUGACCAGUUUCCCUUCAACCUUUAAAAGAGUUAUCCUGCUUCCUUCCUUUAAUUUUUGGAACUACAUGAACAAAUGUUUUGUUGUAAAAGACGUUUAAAGGUUUUAACCAAAUACUUGGUUGGUCAUCAAAGCUAUGAAAACAUUUUAUAUGUUCAGAAAGAGCUGCAAAACAAUUUUGCUUUCUUGAGUCCCACACAGCUAGCACUCACGAAAGGGAAUAGAGAAUAGAGAAUGUUUUCUUGUGCUCCUUACUUUAUAUGUUGGAAAAGAAAACUAAAAGAUGAGGCCGGCCCUGGCCAUGCAAGAUGGAGACUUUCAAAAGCUUGCCCUCCAAAGAAUAUCCAUCCACACAGACACAGUGGCGGAGCCACAUGUAAGCAAGUGGGGUCUACUGACCUCACUUAACUUUGAAAAAUUAGAAUUUAGGCUCAGGUAAAUUCAAAAAAUUUUAAAAUUGCAUCUUAUUUGACCCCACUUAAUUUUAACAAAUUCUCUUUUUAUAUAUAUAUAUAUAUAUUGAUCCCUAAACAAUUGAAAAUUCACAAAUGUUACCAUCAGAAGAAUUUUGAAUUUAUGUCAGGUUAUUUCAAUAAUAAAUUCUUCCUAAAUUUUCAGAAAUAAGGGAUGAGCUUUCUUGAGUGGAGUGGAAAAGUCAAUUCUUCAAAUCAAUUCUUUCAAACUUCAAAAUUUUCAAAAACAAAAACUUUUUCUAGUGGAUGCUGAAUUUUUUUAAAUUUACAGCGGGAUAUAGAAAAUUUUUUGAAAAGAAAUCUAUAAAAUAUCAAGUUGAGGAUAAUUCAAAAAGUAUUUUUUCAAGAAAAAAAUCAAGAGCUUCAACAGCUUAUAUUGAAAAGAUAUAUUUAACCAAAUUGAUAAUGAAUUAAUUUUGCAACAUUUGAUAGGUUGAAAUUUGCUAUUAAAUUUAUGGUUAAUUUCCCCUUUAUUCCUGUCAAAUAUUAUUUUAAUUGUCGGAUUCUACUUAUAUUUGAUAUUUUGUAAAUUAUAGGGACGUUAGAACAAAAAGUGCUAAAAGGGGCGAUUUUCUUGAAGUUGAUUGUCAAGCGCAAGUUUUUCAAUCCAAGAUGAAGUCUACUUAAACUGUCAAGCGAAGAUUAGGAAAUUGUCAUUUUUAUUAGAUGCUUAUUUAGGGAACAAUUAGCAUUAUUUUUAGGAGCUUUUCCUUUUUUGACUAGAAUUCUAUUUUCGAUUAGCCAAUUAGAAACCGAAUGAAUAGUACUAAGAGUAGACAAUAGGUCGGGGUGACGGGUCGCCAAAAAAAAGCAAGAAAGCUUUGGCCAUCUUGAUCGUUAUCUUUUGGACGUUGUCCGAUGCUUAUGAAAAUCAUUUCAAUCAAUUCGUGCUGUUCAAGCAACUAAAUUUUCUUUUGGUUAACCAACAACUAUAGAUCUAACUAUUUUUAUUAGUUUCUUUUAUGUUAGUAUUUGCAUGUUUUUUGAUUUAAUUUCUCAUGGUUAUUAGUUAUUUGAAUAUCAAAGGCGCCUGAUAUUUAAUUCAAUUUGAUAAAUUAUAAUUGUCCGUAAUUGUUUAAUUGUCUUAAAUUAGUAAUGACUAGCGUGAUUGAUUUCAUAUUAGGGAGACAUACGAUCUAAUUUAAAUAAAUCCUAAUAGUGUGUUUGUUGAUUAAAACAGAACUUUUCUGGUUUUUAAUGCAAUCAAGAAAUUAAAUUUUACGGUCAUACCUAAGGUUGUUGCUUGAUUAAGGAAGUAGUUAACAGGCGCAUCUUUGACUAUCGAGACACUAAGAAAAAACUAGUUGUUUAUCGCGUAUAUGACAACUAUAACAUGUUUAUUAACGAAUAAUUGAGAUAAUUCUUGAAUCGAUGAUCAAUUAUUUGAACCACUCCCGACGUUAUUUCCUUGACUAGAGCUCGUUUAUCCUUAAAUUAAGUUUAAUUUGCUUUAGUUUAAUUGUUUUUAAUUUGUUGAUUGUCCAUUUUUAUUUUUAGUUGUCCAAACUCCCUCGAUUAAUUUUCACUUGAAAAAAAAAAUAAAUUUUCCUCGUAAUUUCUGUGGAGAUGACCCUACUUACCGUUAUACUCAUUUAUAUUUUUAUGAAUAAAAAUUUUAUUAUUACACAAACCCGACACCUGUCCCAUUUUCAAAAGAUGAGAAAACAUAUGUAAUGUUAAUCAUUUUUACUUUUUUUUUUUAUAUUCUAAUUUUUGCAUUAAUAAAAAUUUUAAUAUAGCACCAACAAAAUAAGUUUUACUAUAUUGAAAUUUGACUCCACUUAUGGUGAGGUCUUGCCUCCACCCCUACAUCCGUACGAUAAAAUAAUUGAAGAGCAAAUUACUUAACUUUUUAUGCAGUUGAGUUUUAACUCUUCAACUACUAAUAAUAUGUUUUUAUCCACUAAAUUAUUAAAAAUUUAAAUUUUGAAAAUUAAUUCUGUCAAAUCUAACUAUUAAUAAAAUAUCUCAUGAAAUGUGCAGACCCUUAAAUCUAAUAGAGUUGAUAGUAGAAUCAAACAAAAUAAUCCAAAAUUCACACUUUUGAUAGUCAAGUGACUAAAAACAUGCUACUAAUAAUUAAGUGACCAAAUCUUUAAUUGUUGAACAAAUUUAGGCUUCCUUUGGAUGGAGAGAAAAGGACAGAAAAGAAAGUGACCAGAGAGAAAGCCGUACCAUUUCCUUCAUUUGGGAGUUUUAAUAUGGACAGAAAAGAAGGGAAAUGAACGGAUAGGAUCCCUUCCAAUUGGUGAAAAUUUUUCCGCCCAAAAAUGGGAAGAAAUGGACGGAAACUUGUUAGGCGGCAAAAGGUAUUUUUAAUAUGACAUUUUUGUCCCUUAAAAGCUGAUACAAAAAUUUAUUAUUCCCAAUAUAUCCUAAAGUUCAUUUGUAAAACCACCGAUUCAUUUUUUUCUCAGCUCUUACUUUCAAUACUUCCAACUGGAUUCACUUGGCUUUCUUCCGUUCAACACCCACAAUUCAAUAACAGGUAUUUCUUUGACUCAAUCUCUUCUUUCUUUCUUUCUUUGCUCAAUCUUCUUUAGAAAAUUAUGGAAAAAGCAUUUUUUUGUGUAGAUUGUUAUUGUUUAUAUUCUAAAUUUUUUUAUUCACUUUCUGUAUAAAAUUCUUGUCUGCGGGAAAUCUUGAUCUUUAUAUUAUUGAUUUGUGAUUAUAUCUUGCAUGGUUAUGGUACAUGUAAGUUUCGGUGGUGAUACAUGAAUAUGAAAUUUAAAUGCAUACAUUCUGUUUGUUUAUUUGCCUGUGUAAGCUUCAAAGUGUAAAAUGAUAAACACAGAGUCCAUAAACAAUAUGUUAGCCUCUUUUAUUGUAAUAAUGCAUGUUUCUUUGAAAUGAUUACAAAGAUAGUAAUACUAGAAGUAUUGUUUUGAAUGGAGGCUGAUGUUCAAAAACAAAAUUAGAGAUCUCCUUAUUCAUCAUCCCCAAGAGGUUUCAUGCUUGUCCCUGCUCAAGUUACGAUCCUGGGUAUAUAAUAAGCCUUAAAUUGCCUUGAAAACAGUCCAAAGUAAGGAUUGGUAAUAGUAAAGUUUAAAACUGCCGAAGCUUCUGCAAGUCUGGCCAUGUAAACUUUGUCUUUAGGUAGGUACAAAAAUUCGGAAUUCAAUUAUCUCAAACCUACAGAGUUCGACAAACUUGACACAUUCUUUAAAUUACUUGACACAUUCUUUAAUAGCCUGCCUGAAACCCGCUUGCGGGUUUCCCCCUUAUGUAAAAUGACUAAAAGCUGCUUUUCUGUUCUAUUUAUAUCAAACACAUACUCUCAAACCCUCACCUGAAGGGUGAGGAUGAGAGGGGAGGUUUGCUGGGCAUCCUAGGGCCCUCCGAUGGGCAUGUGCAACUCAACGCAGCUUGCAUGUAAAAAUUUUUUUUUUUUUAAGUAAUUUGUUAAAUAGCCUGAAACCCGCUUGCGGGUUUCCCCCUUUUUUUUUUUUAAAAAUAAAUUCUAUGCUAAAAUGACUUAAAACAAAAAUAAAAGACUAAAAGUAAAUAAAAACUAGCAUGAAAAAUAAAAAUAACAGUAAAUAAAAAUACACUAAAAAUUUGGUGUCUACAGUAGUUACUGAAUAAUCUGGAAACAGAUUGAAUGAAGACUCAGAAGAAACGGAAGCUGGUCUCUUAUUAUUAAAGAGUGAAGGCUAAAAUAGGCAUAUCAGGUGAAAGUUUGUGGUAGAAAUCUGUUUUUCGCAUAUGCACGCGCCUUUGCAGUUCGUUUAAGACACACGCCGAAUAUUUGACGAUUUCCGUCCACUUUUCAGGUUAAUUCAAACCACGGGGUAUCGACUGGUAUGAUAUUAAACCACAGGGGAUUUUUAUGUAUGAUUGCUUAACCACAGGGGGCUUUUUUGUUGUUUACCCAAAAUUUUAUAAACAUUAGGAUGGAUCAAGUGGUGAAGAAGUAAAGAUUGAGAUAAUCGAAUAAUUACUGGUAAACUUGAGGCGAUUUACAUGCAUGCAAGAGAAUCGAAAUCCAGCAAGAAAUUUGUUGUAUUAUUCACCUUGUGGGAAUGCAUAUGCAAUUGUUUUAGAAAUUUAUCUUGUCCAAAUAUUCUAUUUAUGGGAACAAAAAAGCUAAUUUUUGGACUUUGAUUUACAAAUAGAAAGGGCAAAUAUGUAAAGUUGUGUUCUCAUAAAAUCCUUUCUUUCCAUAUCUCUCUAACUCUCAAACAAGAGAAAGAUAUUUCUUUUCUUUUCUUUCAUUAAACUCCCAAACGAAAUAUGCAUCUUUUUCCUCCUCUUCCUUUCUUUCGUAAGCUAUCUUUUCUUUUCUUUUCUCUUCCUUCAUAAACUCCCAAACUAAGCCGUGACUACCCAAGCAAUUUGCUGCAAUUUGCUCCACAAUUGGGAAGAUACGGCUGAUAAUCAUGCUUUGCAGCCCCCAGGAAUUAGCACCAUUUACCUGCUUCAAAAAAUGGAUAAAGCUAAGCAUUGUAGCGAUAUUCAUUGAAACUUUAUCGCCACUACAAUCUCUGCAGCUGGAAAAAGAGGAUUUUGCCAUACAAAUACAAAAGACUACCUCUUAAACAAGAUCUACCGCCUCCCUAAGGCCUAAAUUUCUUCCGCUGGGCUUCUAGGAACCUAAGAUUUUUACAGAGUCCUAACUAGUAUCUGCUAGAAGCCUAAGUUUUUUACACAGUCCUAACUAGUAACUGCUGCUCUAAAAACGGUACAGGGCCUGCAGGCUAUAACAUUACCGCUUUGAAAAUAGUACUAAGACCAGCAUAGACAUCGAUACCACGAUUUUGAACCCUGAGGUUUCCCAAAAAUUCUGCUUGUCAAUGCUCACAGGUAUGUUUUGUUGCUUAGUUGCCAACUGAUCUCUGAGUUCUUUCAGGGCUCUGUCCCUACGUUCUCCCAUCUGUAUAGCAGGGUAAUAUGAUUAGAAAUGCAUGUUAACAUGCCAAAUAACUGAAGGAAUCACGUAUGAAUCGCUUUCUCCUUUUACAGGACUUUUGGAAAGGUGGGGGGGGGGGAGUGGAGCUUAUUGCCAUGUUAGCUGCUCAGGCUUCAAGAACCGCUAAAAGUCUCUUUAUCUUGUCUUUCAAAUUGGGAAAACAAAUGUCAAAACCAAGUUUGCUUCAAACUUGAACAGGAAUAGCGGCAAUAUCUCACCAUUACACCAAGAGACUACAAAGCAUCGAGAACGAUAGGAAAUUACCCUUUGGAGCUUGCGAGUUUGAGCACGAGCUUCUUGUAGACAAAACUCCAACUUCAACACCCUCUUCUUCAACUCCUGAUCAGCCCUUCGAUGCUUCUCUAACUGCUCAACAUUGCAAGAAACAAUAAUGUCAAGGCUAUUGACGAACUAUGAAUUGUGGGUAAAGUAACAUAUAAGAGAAAAUGCGGUGGUCAAACCUUGGACUCCAAUUCCUUAGUUUUGAGUUUCCAGUGAGCAGACAUAAUCCUGAUCUCAUCUCUCAGCUUGGCUAUUUCUUCAUCCUUUGCAGCCAACAGCUUAUUCAUCUUCUCAAAAUUUUUUGGAGAAACCUCAUCUAAUAUCCUCCUCAAUUCGCAGUCUUUAUUUGCUCCAGCUUUGGCCAAAGCUUGCAUGAUAUCCUGCUCGACCCGUAUGACUUCAUCUUUCAGUUGCUUUUGGGAAAAUUCUCUUGCUUGAAGAUCCUUCUGCAGGUGAUCUAACUGCUCACCCAAUUUGUUUACACGACUUUCAUGCUCCUUUAAAGAAUUAUUUUUCUCAUCUAGUUCUUUCAGAAGCACCAAACACUGCAUUUGCGCAGACUCUGCAGAUGCAGCACUAGUAGCUGCAGUUGCUUGAGUUGCUGAAAGCUGUGAUCGAAGAUCAUCCAACUCCUUAAGGUACUGCAUUGCAUUCAAAGAUUAAUGUUCUCAGCUUAGUGACCAGAAAAGAGAGGGGGGGGGGGGAGGGAGGCAAAAAAGAAUAAUAUAAGCUGUGAAAAGACACAAGAUAUUGUACCCUGGGCAUUUACAGAACAAGAAUGUCGCCUUACAUAAGGGAACUCGUAAUUUAUCAUCUCUACCAUAUGGCAAUGUAAAUGAAAUUCAGUUUUCACAGAUUCCAGCUAUUGUAUAGUUUUUAGUGCAUAAGAGAAGACUCAGUCCCCCACUUGUCCAGAAAUUCUAGUAGGAACAAACAAACAAUAAUUAGAAAAUAAAUAAGAAGUUUAAAAUUUUCCACUUGUAGUUUGGAGUAAAUACCAUCCCAAAAAGACAAAGCGUUGAAAAUUUCUCUGUUUCUUUCUAAGUUCAAUUAGCUUUGUCCUUCACUCCCCAGUAGAACUGAGUAUGGCAUAACUAAUAAUGUUGUUUAACAUUUUACCUUUUAAGGGUCAAACUACUUCAAAAGGUGUGGACCGAAGUUCUUUUGCCACCAUAACCAGUACAAAUGAUACUGUCAAUCAUAUGGUAACAUCACUCUCGCUUGGGUAUACCCCUCUAGUUUUCAAAAACUAAAAGUAAGCGAACCAGGAAAAACAGGAUACAACAAACAUAUACUCCCAUAAACAUUUGAACAAUGUUAAGAUUGACAGUGUACUGCCAAGCCAAAUAUAUUAGCAAAUGGCUGUAUUGGCCUAAUCUCACACUAAAAGAUUCUCUUUCCCAAACCAUUUCAUAUAAAUAAGAGGGACAAACUUUUUGAACCAUUCAAACUGCAAAAAAGUAAAGCAAGGCAACCAUUUAAUAAUGAAGUUGAUAGUUAAUCCUGUUCCUACUUCCCCAUAAUAACAAACAAGAAAAGCCAAAAAGUAGCUUCAAAAGAUGAGUAUCAGGUGUCAUGCUAAUGGAUCUACUCACAAACAUAAAACAAAAAUAAACUAUGAAAAAACAAAAUGCUAAAGAAAAACAAUCCCUCCCUUCAGAUCCAUCCGGUGAAAUCACCAGGAAAAACUAAAAUCAUCACAAACCAGAUUUGCAAUCCGAAGACCCAUAAUAGAAGAUAAAACAAAAUCAAUCUGUUUCGAACACAUGCAUAACCAUAAAGGUGGAAUUGAAACUAAUACUUUCUCAGAAGUAGAUGCAGAAGCACGAAGCUGCCCAUUUCUAUCUUCCAAGCUCUUGUGUAGUCUGUUUAUUUCCUCUUCCAUUUUCUUUGCUUUAAUCUCCGCUUCCUGCAAUUCAAAAAACCAUUAAUAAAAACAGAAGCUUUUCCAAAACCAACUGUGCCGAGUUUUUGGCUAAAAUCAAGAACUCCAUAGCAAAAUCAAACCCUUUUUCACAAGACCAAGAACCCAGUAAGUAGAACAAUCCGCGUUUGCAAAAACAAAAACCCAUUAAGAAACUCAAAAUUUUUAAGCAAAUCGAGAACCCGAUAAUAAAAACCAAAACUUUUCACCACAAUCAUCAACUUAAGGCCCCACCCAUUAUUUCACUUCCAAAAAGUCAAAAACUCAUAUAUCUUUCCAUUUCGGAACAUGCCUGGCGGGUUAGGGAUUCACGAGCAAAUGACUGUUCUUGAGAAGCAAGGCGGCUGCGGACAUCCUUCAGCUCAGCCGCCAAGGACACCACGUUCCUCCGGAAACUCUGCUUCUUCUCACUUAGAUCUUUUAACAAGGGAUCUAUCUCCCUUUCUCUUCCACCACCACCACCACCAGCCCCCAGUCCCACCGACGACGACAACGACGACACCGAGGAAGUAGACGAGGAGGAAGACGACGGCCUCUCCGUCACCGUCGAUACUGAUGACAUCACUGCAUACACAACUACUCUAAUGCUCCUCUGCUACUCUGCGUAAUAGAAAUGAGCCCACUUUGCUAUGAGUUGAAUGCUUUCAUGGCGCUUCAUGUGAACACGUAUGCCAACCCAGCAUUUAUUUCGCUGACAAUUAAAGAAAAUUCUUUUAAAUCAGCUAAUUAAUCACUACCAUAUAUACCACUAUUAUUACUAUUCUUGAAAAUAAAUUACAGGGCUACUCAUCGUUGACAGAUACCACACUCAGGUUGAUUCAAAUUUGAAACUUUUUUUUCUUGAAGGGUGUGAAACUAUAGGACUCAACUCAAAUCCCAGAUGGAAAGCAAGAAGGAAAGACGAACGGUAAAAGAUAAGUAUUUGAACAGAUAAUUGUAUAAGCCUCAAAAGUCUUACCUUUUUUAGUUGUAGAUUGAUUUUGAACUGAAAAUAAAGAAACCUCUUUUGAUACGAAAGACUACAGCUUACAUGCAGAAAUAAUAGCAGUUUUCACAUCUAUAUGGUUGAGGAGACGAGGAUAAAUGAAAAGAACACGGAAAAUACACACUACUACCACUCUGAUCCUUCGAUUUUCAGCUACACCAUUUUUAAUUUUAAGUCAAACUUUCAUGUGAUACAAGCAUAUAGAUGCAGACACAUGUACUUAGAGAGAGAGAGAGAGACGACGAACGAGGAAGGUAACCACACAAGACAAAAACAAGCCCGGAUUCACUGCUUUUAAAAAUGUGUUGUGUAAGUAGAGAUACUAUGAGCUAAUUCUCUGCUUCGCCCUUAACCUUUAAGCAAUUUGCACUUCAUACCCCAAACUUACUUUGGUGCCGGUAUAUCUUGUUUAUAUUGAAACUUUUGGGAAUGGGUCGUUUUUCCAAAUUAUUUUUAUAAAUGCUUUUUAAAUUUUCAACUUACUUAUAGUAGUCCUACGAAAAUUUAAAUGUUAUACAAAAUGUUGGACAAUAAGUGGAUGGAUGUGAUGGCAAAGGAAAACAAAAGGGAAUCAAAAUGAAUAAUCGAUUCAGUGUUUUAUCACAAAAGGAUCAUAAUUUUAUAAUGUUGGGUUAGAUUCAAAUUUAAACUUUUUGAGAUAGACUUUUAACUUCUAUUUAAAUUAAUUACUUCAUUUUAACUGUAUUUGGAAGUGAUUAAAAAUUCACAUAAAUAUUAAGGCACAAUUGCAUAAUUAGUUUACAGGUGGUAUUGAUGAGGGUGGAAAUAGCGUGUAAGUCCAAAAUGCGCCCACAAUCAUUUCAUUUCAUUCUUAGCAAUGUUAGAAAUUUCCAACUGCAUUGCUUUUUUUGAAAUUCUUAUAAAAAAAUUAUUUUAUAACGAUUUGAUAUAGCUGUGAAAUAUAUUUAUGAAAAAUGUAUUCCAUUUUUUGAGGAAAAAAAAACAAUGCAAACAAGGGGAAAAGUGAGAACUUUGAAAAGAUUCAUAAUAGGGAUGUAAAGGUGGAAUCUUGCAAUUAUUGUAAUAAAUAUGUAACGUAGGGGAUUUACCGGCCGUUGAUUAGUCGGGGACAAAAGAUCGGACGGCGAAGAAUGGACUUAGAGGGACGAGGAUUUUUGGGUGAUUAAGGGGUCUUGAGUGAUUAACAUUAUUGUUGCUUAUAUUAAGCGACAUGGGUCUGGGAAGAAGACAACUGGACAGGGAGUAAUAAUGAGGGUUGAGGUUCGGAUUUGACGGUUAUGUUUCUAGGAGUUGGUUCGGAGAGUCCGAGCCUCGGGUUUGUCGAAAUGACAAAAGUCCGAGCCUGAAGGUCGGUCAGGAGAUAGCGGGGGAAUGAGGUAAGCGCGGCAAAUCUUAAAUUUUCAUGGGGAAGAUAAAUCCGGCCACGUGGACGGCGUGCUGAGCCUUUGGACCCAGGUUUGCCAGUGCGCCAGAGCUCAGUCCAUUGGCCCAACUAAACUUAGAGCCCAGCGAAUAAAUUAAUUUGGGUUGAGAAAACAUAGGAAAUCAGCCACUCAAUUUGAAGUAAUAUAAUAUGAAGAAGAAAAAUGGGAAAAAAAAUGAAAAGAAAAAAGAAGGAAGCAUGGAAUAAUUUGGAUUGUUUAUCCUAAUUAGUAUUCCUCUGAUAUUAUUAUAUAUUGUAUAGGUAUUAAUUAGGUUUGAUGAAUCCUUUUCCUUUUAUUGAUAGAUUUGUGAUUGUGAUGUCUCUUGGUUCAUCUCCUAAAUCCUAGCCUUUAAACCUUUGCAAGGCCUAGUCACAAAAUUAUAAGUACUUUUUUCUAAAAUUUUUCUAACAGAGAAUGAAUAGAAUGAGAUUUAAGGAAUAAAAUUCUAGCCUCCCUUUGUCAGGCUAGCUUACAAAAUCAUAAAUAUAUUUUGUAAAACAAAAAUUUCUAGCAAGGAAGAAAUUAUGUCUAAAAAAUGGAGAGGAUUUGAACUCGAGACAUUUAAAUUAUGGAAUUUCAAUCUUAGCCACUGAACUAAAGUCUCGUCGGCCAAGUAAUGUACAUUUAUUGUUACAUGUGUGAUUAUAUUUCAUAACUGUGCUUACAUGCAAGCUUAACUUCUAUUUUUCGUUAAGUUGAUAUUGUGGUGUAUCUGAAUCCUAUUUUGUCACGAUCAAAUUCCUAUAUUAAUACUCAUUAGAAAAAUUCUUAUAUUACAGCAAUAUAUAGUGCAUGUUACAUUUGUAUCUUUCAUAAAAAAAAAAAAAAAAAGAAAGCUUCAGAAAAUAUUGUCUGUUUGGAUUGUGAAUUAUUAGAGAUAUUUUUACUGUAACACUUUUUGUGAUGUGAUGUAUGUGAGGUAAAAAGGUAAUUGGGAAGAUAAAAAUGUGUAUUGGAAAUUGUAAUGAUGAUGUAAGCAAAUAAAUUUGAGGAAAUAAAACCCAAUCCAAACAAUUAGAGAUUUAGGGGAAAACUCUGAUGUAGAAGGCAAAUUUAGAUAUGGGCGUAUUAAUGCAAUCAAAUUUUCGGUACUCAAAAUUUGCAUGCGUGCAAAAUCUACAGCAUCGUACUUAUGUAAGAAAAAUUCACAUAAAUGACUAUUAACCGUUGUGACUUUACUACUUUUCAAUGAUUUUCGCAUCCAAAACAAAAUUCAUUGCCUUAUGCUUAUAUUUCACAAUCCCAUAGACACCUGGUCUGGAUUGUGGUUUUCGCAGAAAAAAUUUUAUAUUUUUCUUGACGUAUAAAAACUCUUAAAACUAGCAAUUCAAUAAAAUUAUUCUAUGGUAAGGAGACAUUUAUAAACUCUCCUAGUCCUCAAGAAAACUUUUGGAAGUCUCUUGUAUUCGUUGAGUGUAUAAGCAAAUCCCGUCCCAUGCAUAAACCAACGAAAGCACGCCAACAACUGAUCUUUGCUCGAAGAAGCUAAGGUGAAAGCGUGAGGAAGCGGGAAGGUAGCUGGAGCUGUAAAGCCUUCGACAACAGCGCAGCUAACCCGACGAACAAUGGUGAAGUAUUCCUUAACUUGCCUGUACACUAAAAGUAAAAGUAAAAUUCUGUACUACUUUUUCGUUUUGGCCUUUUUGUCUGUGUCCAAUUCAAAUGACGCUGUAGUGCUGUACUAUGCCCGUGAAUCACAUUUUAAUCUACUAUUACCAGAAAUUAUUGUGGGCAGUCUUGGAAAUAUCAGUUAGUACUACUACUAGUUGUACUAGUUCCCUUGUUUACAAACAGACAUAGAAACCCAAGAAGUUUGUUGACAGCUGAUUGCACAUGUUUAAUACUUACUUCGUCCCAAUUAUUUAGUCAUAUGAUCGGAGAAUUCAACUUUUUAAAAAUAAUAAUUUAAUUAUGAUGUUUAUAUUUUUCUUUCUAAUUUUAUCUCCAUAAAUUUAAAAUUUAAUUUGAACGAUAAUAUGUAUAUAAUUAAAAAGAAUGGUUAUAUUAAAAAAAAGAUUAAAAGGUAUUUUGAGCUUUUUAACAUAACAAAUGUUUUAAGAUAUUUUAAAACAUAAAGUAUGACGCUUUCCAUGAGAAGGAAGGAAUAGUAAUGUAGUAGAAGUCAUACACAAAACUGCUCUAGUUUUUCUUGCUUUCUAUUCGCUGUCCUAAUUGGAAAAGAUGCAGUUAAGUCUCCCAAGUUUUUGAUUGCCUUAUUCUUGUAUUAUUAUUAUUUUGCCAUUUCUUGCUAAAGGGUUUUGCCCUACCUGUUCAACAUGCAAUAUUUUUUUCUUUCACAUUUGUUUGCUGCGCAAACAAGGAAUUUGUGCAUGAUCUGAGUCAUCUGACAAGGAAAGUUAGUGAAAGUGGAACUUUCCGGGCAACGGUGGUCUACGAUGAAGACAAUAAAUUUGAUAAUGACUUCAUUGUAAUUUUUCAGUAGCUAAUACAUAUGAAAUAAAAAAUUUAUUCUUGAGAAACGUUAAACGUUUUUUCUUAAGAAACUACAAUCCAAACAAGACCGUACGACUGCUGACAAUCAUUUGAGAUAGUGAGUUAUUUAAGAUAUUUUUACUGUAGCACUUUUUGUGAUGUGAUGUAUGUGAAAUAAAAAGAUACUUAGAAAGAUAAAAAGCUGUAUUGAAAAUUGUAAUAAUGAUGUAAGCAAAUAUAUUUGAGGAAAUAACCCACUAUCCAAACAAAUCCAUUUGUGUCGAAGGUCGAAACCUUAUCACCUCCUAUCCUCAACCUUCUCCUCCUCAUUCAAUAAAUGUCAUAUUAAGGCAAAAAGAAAAUUGAGUAUUUCCCUUUCGUUAUGUUCUUGGACUUGGUAUGGUUCACUGAUAAGCUUGAUCAUAACAUCGAGGUUGACUUUACAGGCUGAGUUGAACAUCAAUGAGGUUAAAAAUAAAGCAUGCAACGCUAUUGAUAGAGAAAGAAUUUAAUUCCCCACUGGCCUUUAUUUUCUUUUCCCCUUUUCCCACCAAAUUCCUUUUUGUGCCAAAUAAAGAAGAUUGACAAUUAGAUUCUUUAGUGGUGGGUGCUAGUGGAUUACAUGUAGAGCUGUUAAACGAACCGAGCUGUUCGGUAGCUCGGUUCGUUUCGGCUCGUUCGUGUUCGUGAAAGGCUCGUUCGAAAUUUUAAACGAAUCGAGUUCGAACGAAUUUUUUUGUUCGAUUAAUAAUCGAGCGAACACGAGCAUGUUCGCGAGUUUUAACGAACAUUCGCGAACAUGCUAAACGAACGUUCGCGAACACGAACAUGUUCGCGCGUUUUAACGAACGUUCGCGAACAUAGACAUAAUUAUCAUUUAACAAAUUUUAGGGUUAAUUUUAUGGCUGGACUUUUAUAUUUAAAGGGCAAAUUUCUUUGUUUUAUUUAUUGUUUUUAUGUUAAUGUUAGUUAUAUAGUUAAUGAAUAAUAGAAUUUAGUCACUUAGUGCUUUAAUUAUUUUUUAGAAUGAUUAAUAAUUUGCAUGGCAUAUUUAAGGCAUAAAAUAAUUUGGAUUCGACCAUUUCGAACAUGUUCACGAACGGCUCGUUUAUGUUAAACGAGCCGAACUCGAACUCGAACUCGAAUAUGAAUUUUACUUAACGAACCGAACACGAACACAGGUUUGGAGUUCGAAAAUUAACGAACGAACACGAACGUUGUUCGAACUGCUUAACGAACAGAGCUCAAACAUGAGAUACUCGGUUCGAUUCGGUUCGUUUACAGCUCUAAUUACAUGGAGGAAGGAUAUUCAUUGUCCAACUACAUAUGAUAAGGAGCGAUUUGUGAUCCAUUUCAAUUUUGAUUGCUAAUGAUAUCAAGUUGUGAGUACAAUUGUAAACGCAUCAUUACUCUCAAGCUUGUGAUGUAAAACAUUUUAGAGAUUGUAUGUAGCUUGUUUAAUUUUAUGACAUCUCUUUAGGGACAAGUACAAGUCCCUAAGUGCAAAAAUUUCACAUCUAGAGAAUUACUAGUGGCUUUCUUUGAUCUGCACAUUUCUCACUUAAAACUAAAGGUGUGUUUGAUAAAACUGAAAAUUGAAAAUUGAAUCUAUUAAGUUAUUAAAUUGUUAGGUACUAAAUUUGAUAUAUUUGAGUGUAUAUCACAUUAAAUGAUAAAUGAACAGUUGAUCACUUAUUGUUUAGAUAAUGUUUUGACUAAAAAAUUCAAUGUCAUUUAAUUAAUUAAGAUGUUCUAUUUUUUUAUUAUCAAACGCAUUUGAACAUAUUAAUAUUUGAAUUUAUUAAGUUUAAGUGCUAAACUGCAUUAUCAAACAGGCCUAACACUCUUUUGCAAGGCAACCUCAAGAAUUAUUUUUUUUCUUAAAAAAAAGGGAAACUCUCUUUUGUAUGUUAUUACCAAAAUGAAAACUCUUCUGCAAGUAGGCACUGGAUGGUCCAUAUUCCAUCUUAAGUCAAAUCGUGUCAAACAUAGUAGGGUUAAUUACAACAAAUCCCCCAAGAUUUUAGAAAGGACACAUUGUACCACUUUAAAUUUCAGAAAUAUGCACUCUGUCUCCUUAACUUAAAAAUAUUUGUAUUUUCAAACAACAAGAGAUAAGCGAAUUUUGUUGAAAAUCUAACCAUUUUUUCCAAUGUCAGAAAUAAUUACUUUUUUAACCAAAUUUUCUCUUUUAAUUUCAUUUUUGUGAGUUAUCUUACUACUUGAAUAUUAUGCAUGAGCCAUAUAUAUUCCUUAUUAUGAAGUGUCUGUACUUAACUUUUUCUAAAUAUUUAAGCAUGCAAAUAAUAUAUUUGACUUACAAAAACCGAGCUAAGGAUUGUGAAUGUAAAAAUGAAAAGGAAUGUAAAUGUUUAGACAGAAUAAACAAUAACAAAGUUGGUAUAAGAUAAUAAUUGUUGUUUUCAUUUAAGUAAUUAGAACACAUACAUAAACUUUACUUAAAAUAGUAUGGUUUACACAACCUAAAACCACAUAUCAUUUGUUAAUGGCUAAAAUACUUGCAGGUUGGCCACAAAUGAUGUAAAAUCAAAGUUGCAAUAAAAAAUUUUCUGUUAAUAAUGGGUGUGUUUGGACAGCCAAUUAUUUGGCCAAAUAUAUUUGCUGACAUCACCAUUACAAUUUCCAAUACACCUUUUUAUCUUCCCAAUUACCUUUUUAUCUCACAUACAUCACAUCACAAAAAGUGCUACAGUAAAAAUAUUUCAAAUAACUUACAAUCCAAACACACUCAAUGUCUAGCUAAACUAUUUCCAAGAGUUAUUUUUCUCAUAGUGAUUUGUGGAGUACAUUUUGUAUUUGCUUAACAUAAUUUGUUCAAAUAACAUGCACAACACGCGAGUUUUUUAUCGUGACAUAGGUUACCUCCGAGCAAAUUAUUUAUGACAACUUAUCUCUUUGCUUGUAUUUGUUUUACCAAAAGUACGUUUUCAAAAAAAAAAUAUAAACACGCUUUUCAUCUACGUUUUGAUGAUUCGAUCUCACAGAAAUAACUGUUAAUAAAGAUGCUACAUGAUUUUUGUAGAAACAAGUUACAAAAUCACCAUCUAAAUGGACUCUUCACUGAUAAUUCGUAGAUACUAUUAUUGUCAUUGUUCGUCAAUCAUUAUUCAUUGCAUUGGUUCUUUUUUCUAAAAAAAAAUUUUAACUUCUUAGUAAUUUAAACAAUUUGCAGGUCUCUAAGAGUAUAUUCGUGUAAACUUGUAGAAUAAAGUGUGACUAUCUCCAAAAAUUCGAAGGUAAAGUCAAUUUUGAAAAUAGGAAAAACUGUGGCGUAAUUAUUAGUUAGUACUAUUACAGAGUGGUGGAAAAGAAAAAAAGUGGAAAACCAUUGUGAGGAGUGUAGAAUGGUUUGCAAUCUCUAAAUCUUCUGAACACCAGACCAUGACCAUGCCAGUCUUCCUACGUCAAUCCCAACAACUCUCACCCCACCAUCCCAUCACCUUGCUUCUUAACCCUUCAGGAGUCACCACCACUCCAAAUUAUUUCCUCUAGCCACUUUCUCCCCUCCCAUUAACCAAUUCAAUUAGGACUUUACCCAACCAAAAUCUGAUCUGCUAAUUGAAUAAUUCUGCCAUCCAAGAUAAAGGAAAGCCCAUCAAUCUUUGCCCACAAUCAGACAACAAUUGUUUUGUAAAUUAGAAUCUGGGUUUUGUUUAAUAAUGGGCGGGGCAGGAGGAAACGUCGGGGCAGAGCAGCCGGGGGUGGCGGAGCCGCAGUAUGCCGCGGCGAAGAUAUCGGUUUGGUGGGAUAUAGAGAAUUGUCAUGUGCCUAAAGGAUGCGAACCCCACAUGAUCGCUCAGAAUAUAAGCUCUGCCUUAGUCAAGAUGAAUUAUUGUGGGCCGGUUUCGAUAUCUGCUUAUGGUGAUACUACUAGAAUUGGAUCUUCUAUCCAGCAGGCUCUAAAUAGUACUGGGAUUGCUCUCAAUCACGUCCCUGCAGGUAUAUGGAAUUGUGGUUUUGGUGGAAAGUCUAGAUUUUGAUGAAAAUUUUGGUGGGUUUUGUUUAUUUUUAAGGGAAUUAUGGGUUUUUUGGUGGUUUGUUGCUUUGUGUGACUCUGGUAAAGUUUAUAACUUUUUUGGGAUUUUUGAAGUGGGUUUCUGUGGCUAGAUUUAGUCUCAGUCUGAUUCUUUUUUCUUGCUUGCUUGUUGAUGUCGAGUUUGGGGGACAGGACGAGGAGUCGGUGUACGGUGAUCAGUUGGAUCUGUUUUUCUGAUCUGAUUAAUUGGUCGGAAUGUGUGUUAUAAGUAAUAGUUGUGGAUAGAUCUUGCUUUUCUUACAGGAGGAAAUUUGGGAAGAGCAAAGGGGGCUGCUAAUUUUGCUGUAAUAUCGGUCAUGCUAUUUUUACAGCAUGGUUUUCGUUAAGCUUGUUACUUUGGGGUUUGUGUGGUGGAUUUGCCUUUUGCAUUGAGAUUUAAGUGUUUAAUGUCUACUUUGAUAAGUUGAUUUAUUAUUGUAGUACCUUGUACUGGUUGUCUGUUACUGAAAAAUUUGCACUAUCAUUACCUUCUCAAGUGUCAGUUCUUCAGGCAAGAUGUUUCAUUGUGCUUCGAAGUUCGAAUAGACAAGGAUACCUUUCUGGCUGUUGGAUGAUUCUCUUUUCAUACAGAAAAAAAAUUUUCUGGUCACCCUGAUCAAUACCUUUGCUGUUUCAACACAGUGUUUGCAUGAUUAGAAAACUGAAUAAGAAAAUAAGAAAAGAAAACUGAAUAAGCUGCUUGUGAAAACUUGGAAGGGAGAGAAUCUUGGGUCAUUCUUGCUGAUUGAGCACUGUUAUAUGCCUCGUGUUAGAUAUUUCCUCUUGUAUUUUGUGAUCUAGAAUGGAAUAGAUCUAAUUUCGGUUUCAUUUGAAUAGGGGUUAAAGAUGCAAGUGAUAAGAAGAUACUGGUCGACAUGUUAUUCUGGGCAGUUGACAAUCCUGCACCUGCCAAUUAUUUGUUGAUUUCUGGUGAUCGAGAUUUUUCGAACGCACUUCACCAAUUGCGCAUGCGGAGAUAUAAUAUACUUUUGGCACAACCUCAAAAAGCAUCUGUUCCUCUUCUAGCUGCAGCAAAAAGUGUAUGGCUCUGGACAAGUCUUGUGGCUGGAGGACCUCCACUUACUAGUAGUGAAGCAUCCCAAUUUGUGAAUAACAGCUUUGGGUUUUCUUCCAAUGGUGACAAAUUACAUGUUCCAGUUUCUGAUUCGAUUCAGAUAAAUCAACCCCCAGAUUCAUUUUAUGAUAGUCCCCAUUUGGGAAAUCAGAGGUUCCCAAAUAUGGGAAGGGGAACAGAUAUAAAAAACAAAGGAAGACAAAUUCGGAGAAACUUGACUCAACCAAUUAUGCCAAGAACUUCAAGCACACAAGAUGACCUUGACAAUGGAAACCCGCAAAGAUCAGGAUAUGGGCUUCCUAAACACUUUAAUGAUUUGCAUGAGUUUUCUGCUACUCAGAAUCCCAAGGUUCCAUUUAGUGGACCCUCCCCUAGUUUGAUUAAUCCAGAUCCUUUUCCAAAUAAUAUCAGUAUUCCUCAUAGCUCUCAACAAAUUCACUAUCCUAUUCCAGUUAGGCCGAACAACCUUCCUUCUCAGCUUGCAUUGCCUCCUGGUAACUUUUUACCGCCUAACUCUCAUAUCCAGUAUCCUUCACAUACAAUGCCUCCUGGUCCUCCCCGACCUGAUGCAUUGAGCUUUACCUCGGGACCCUUUACAUCUGUGCCUGAUAUUGGUAAGAUAAACAUUUCUGAAUACCCUAACAACCACAAGCCUUCUACUUGGAAUGGAGGAGAGCUUAGACAAACAUCUAUGACAGAACCUACCAACUAUGCCAAUUCAUACAGGCCUCAGAAAGGGCAAAAUUUGCAGAAGAAACCACCGGCGCCCCAUGAAUUAGUUGGAAAUAGGUAUCCAAGCCCUAGUCAACAGAUUCCACCACCACCUGCCCCAGAAGUUGGUAACACUAGUGUCUCUAUAUCUGAGAGUGGUGUUUGGGGAACUCCAGGAUGUCCUAAACCUUCUGAAUAUAUUCAAGGCCUUAUGGGGGUAGUUUUACUUGCAUUGAACACACUAAAAAAUGAGAAGCUUUUGCCUACUGAAGAGCACAUUUCCAAUUGCAUUCGUUAUGGAGAUCCCAAACAUCGCAACACUGAUGUUAAGAAGGCUCUUGAGUGUGCUGUUGAGCAGCAGCUGGUAGUUAAGCAGACCUUAGGUGCUGUGCAGCUGUAUGUUGGUAAGAAUGAGAGACUAUGGAACUGUAUAAACCUCGGGGAUACUAAUAUAAAGCAAUAUCCAAAAACAACUUGGGAUGAAAUCCAGAAAUUUCUGUCAUCAUCUUCUGGACGAACUGCAAUACUAGCUACUCAGUGCAGGUUUGCGACAGAUUUACCCUUUUUUUAAUAGUUGCUAUUAUUGUUGUUUUUAUCAUCACCAUCAUCAUAACCAUCACCAUUUUGUAAUUUAGGUUUUGAAACUUUUCUUCUUUCCUUUUCUUUUUUAUUUUCUUCAUCAAUUGUUUUAAGCUCACUGACACUUCUCGUAUCCUUUGAACCUUGUGAUGUGUUGGAUAGGUAUGAAGCAGCUACUGUCAUAAAGAGAACAUGCUUAAAAGAUCUUACAUUGGGAGAAAUUCUGCAGAUCUUAAACAUGGUAAUAUACAUGAAAAGAUGGAUUAUGCAUCAUCAAUCAGGAUGGCAACCGAUUAAGAUUGUUCUUGCAGAGACCUACCCUGAAACAGGGGUGGCCGCUGCUUCAUAAUUUCAUGUUAAACUAGUUAUGGGAGGGGAUAGAGCCUGAGGAUGGUGAUGGAUUUAUGUCUUCAAAAUGGUGGUUUGGAGUUAUAAAUAGGCUCUAUGUGGUCCACCUCCCACCUUCCUAAAGAAUACUUGGAUGUUUUGAGUAGCUGCGUUUAAGUUUAAUUAAAGGAUAGACGACUGGGUCGAUGUUUAGUUCAUAUCUGGACAUGGUUUGCGUGUUUCUGUAGAUUUUGGGACAAUGGUAGCUCUGGUUGGCCAGAGUUUAACGAAUUCACGCAGGAUGUAAAUUUGGGAAAAUUGGAAACCAGUUGUGAGCUGGGCUGGUGUCGGUGCCAGGUCCUGAUUAUGACACUUCAGUGGAUACUGUCAAGUUGUUUUUCGGAUGCUUCUUUGUUGUAUACGUUCUUUGCGGGGAUGUUUCUCAUCAACUCAUGCUCUAUUACAAAUGUACUGAAUUUUGAAGGAAGUUGCUAGAUGGGAAAGUUGUAGGAGCUCUUUGGAAAGAGAUUCUUUUGGAAAGUCAUCUGUACUUGGAACGUCUGGAAAUUACUGUUGUACAAGGCAUAAAGGCUUUUGGUUCAUUCGUCCCGGAUAAGAUAAUUAUGUCGUGGAAACUGAUAAUGAUAGGUAUGCUUGCUGAUAGUUUACGUGAAAUUAAUUAAGAGCUACAAGCUUGCGAUGUGGCCUUUUACAUCAUGCACUGGAGCUUAAGGUAAAAGGGACUUGAAUGAAGACGGUUUAGAUAAUACUUACUUUUUUGGGAAGAAUUAGAAGGUACAAUGAAGUAAGGGGACACUUUUGAGCAGCCAAAAGGAUGAGCCAGUUAUCACCUGAACUCCUAAACCUGGGAGUUAAAUUAAAGGUAAAAAAUCUACAUACAACAGAAUUUACAGAACGAAUGACAGGCAGCUGACAGCAGAUUGUUCAAGGCAUAUGCAAUUUGCAGAGUAUGAAAGAUACGGCAACUGGAUUGGAUCAAUGAAAAUUGUGGUAUGCUGGUUAUAUCUUGUAUGUAUAGUAUAAUUGAGCUAUAUUGAAGCAUGUUUAAAGCAGGUCCAACAUUGUUAUUAUGUUGAUCCUUCUUCUAGAUGCAUGUGUACACUCAAGUGGGAAAAAAUUGUGCGAGCUUCUGAUGGCAACCUGCUUCACUUGUAUCUAUUGUAAUGACAUAAAUCAUGACAUAGUUGUCAAUGACUAGCUCUUGUGAUGUCUGUGAGAAGGUUUAAUGUUUUUGAAUCUUCAGACUAGAAUUAUUAUUAUUAUUAUUAUUACUAUUAUUUUUGGCUGCCUCUGUGGAGUAGUUGGGAAUUUUCGUGAUUGUUGUACGUGGAAUUUCCACGUAUCAUGUUCACUUUUCUUGUGAAAGGGCAAAAUCUGAACCGUGUAGUUUGUCUGCAUUGAGGUUAAGGCUUGCUCUUUGGGACGGAUAAAUGCAUCUAGUUUGGUUUAGAUUCUGGAUUAAUGACUUAAACAGAAGUAGACCGGUGGACAUGGUCCUGUGCUAAUCAUUCUUCUCCUAGUCUCUGGGUUUUCAUGCUGUGUAAUUUGUAUCUUCAGGCUUCAGCUGGGAUUUUGGAUCAUUCUUGCCUAGUCUUUGUGGUGGUGUACUUUGUUUCUUUAGCUGGGAUUAUGAUGACAACAUAACCUCGUAAUGUGAGCUCUUUUAUGCAGGCGGGCACUUGUUUGCUGUAAUUGCUAUUGGAUUCUUCAGUCAUGCACAUGCACUUAGGUAUCCAAAACAUGAUCUUGUGUAGUAACAUGGGCCAUGCGGUAGAUUAAGUCUUUCUGCGUGAUUGCGUACAUUUACUAAGGUAAAAGCUUAAAGGCCAGUUUAAGAAAUCGCAGCAGUUUUCUCUGGCAAAUUGCCAUAUGCUAGGUCUUAGGUUCACAACAUUCAAAAUUAUUUUUUUCUCCAGUUUCUGCUAAUUUCUUGCAGCUAACGAGAACCGUCCUAGUUAUUCUUUUCUUGGUUUCGUCUCCAAAACCACACGGGGCCAUGCUUUUUCUUUCCCCAACCUGGUAAUGAUCCAUUGCAAUGUUAAAUUCAUAUCUGAAAAUGUACUAGCUCGAUUAUCAUGAACGACUGUCUUGUCUAGAUGAUGCUCUUUUCUGUGCGUCCAAUUCGAAGGAAGGAAGGAAGGAAGAUUCAUGCGACAGCCAACGGUCAUUGUCUGUGGUUGUUGGACGUGUUGCACGUUUGACGCAAGGUUGGUUUACUUUCCGCGAAUACUGCUGCCAUUGAAGAUCAGUCGGCAGUCUGACUUUGAUUUUUUUUUUUUUUCACUAACAACUGCUAAUCCUCCCAUGGAGGGAAAACCAUCUAACUACACUAAUUGUUGUUUGUGACCCAAUCUCGUGUGUGUCAAUUUCUUGAUUGUCAAAAGGGAUGGAACAUAAAGACUAGGACUCAAUUCCUGUUUGACACCCCCUAUGGCUUGACAGGAGGAGGGAAAAAAGCAGUGAAGGAGGCAGGCAUACAUGGUACAGGACUAAUGACUUGUCCACUGACUUUGGGCAUUGACGCUCAAGUCUCACCCAUUGGAGUCAAGAAAGCAGCAUGAGUUGCUUGGUCCAUCAAAUUGCCCGGUGGGGUGGAAAGUGGAAAGUGGGAGUUGUGUGAGUCCUACUACUUAAUAGUGCAUAAUCAUUUUGUGCUUUGUAUGGCUAUAUUCCAUUACCUAGUUGCACAAAUUGAGAUGGUAUGCAAGCCAAGCCAACUGGUGUGUCACUUAAAUGAUACCAGGUUUGGUUAUUGAAUAAAAUUUUCAUAUUGGGUUUUGAACUUUUGAUACAAAUAAAAUUCCAAAUUCACGUAUAAAUGAGUUAAGCUACUUGAGUUUGAAUUAAAGUUGGCUUGAUAAAAUAAAAAUUGGUUGGAGUUCAACGAGAAGGAUGCUAAGGUGCUCGGCUCCGGAGUAGAAGUCCAAUUCUUGAGACAGCUUACAAUAAAUUUUUUUUUUAAAAAAAAAAAGAAGAGAAGAGAGAGAGAGAAAUUGUUCUCUUCCUUGUAAGCAUUCUCCUUUAGUGAUUUUUUUUUUGCCAUAAUGAUAUUAUUUCUAUAAUCUAAUAUAUUUUCUUUUAGGAGGAGGAGAGUAUAAAGAGAAUGUAUAAGAGACUAACAGAUAUAUAGACUCAAUAAAUCAAAUGAGUGUUCUGGUAUCUCUUUUAAAUUUUUUUCAUUGCAGGUAAAAUUCAAACCCCCGACUUGCAGUUCAAAGAGAGAUUUAUUCACUUUUUGGUGGCCACUGAUGAUUUACAUCAUACUUAAUUUCUCUUUUUAUGAAAAAAUUGGUUGGACAUAUAUCUACUUAUCUAAGAGCUGCUUCUAGCAUUGAACAUCAAAAAAUUUUUCAUCUAUGAACCACCGCCAAAUCAUUAAAAUUUGAUGGGGUAGGAGAACCUUGCCUUCCAACAAUUGAUACACUGGUUAAAAAAAUUCAAACGGGUGUAUAGUGCAUCCGCCUGGUCUGGUAUAGUUAUCGUUUUGAAAAAAAAAAAAAAAAGAACACCCAAUAGAAAGAGAAAAAGAAAAAGAAAAAUGAAAAAAUGUAAGGAGGAGAAGAAAACAAAUUACUCUUUUUAACUUUUUGUUAGCGACUAACUAAUGAACUACCCAUCCAUCCAAAUGUUCUUGCACAAACGUCACCUAAGCAUAAGCUUCUUUUUUUUUUUUUUUUUGGGAGAAAAACCUGAGCCCUAAUUUCGAAACUUGUACUAUAUGCUAAAAAAGUUGCACUAAAAAUGUUAAAAUGCCGGUUGAGAAAUUAAUGUCUCGAGAAACAGGAGAGCAAUGGCAAUCACGGAAUCCCAGUCUCCCAUUCCUUAUUUGGUGUUAAAUUACUUCCUGAAUCAAUUUAUAGCUUUUACUUCUUCCUCUUCCACAGGGAGCGAUUCCCAGGCAAAUCAUUAAAAAGCGAAAAUCCCAGGUUAGAGUUUGAUCAUUCCCGCUGUUUACUACUUUUCUUUGCUGCAAACCUUUCAUAUGGAACUUCAAUGGCCGUAAAGCUUGCAUCUUUAGCAUUUUUAAAGAGAAUUCCCAAAAGGGUCAAUUUAAAUGCCACUUUUUCUUCACUUUCAUGUGCAAAUGUUGUUCAUAUCAAUUCAGAAACUGAUCAUACUCCGUCAAAAUCUUCUGAUUUUGAGUCAAAGAUCCAAUUUUUAAAGAAUAAGCUUCAUCCAGAUAUCUUGGUCCAUGUCUUGGAUUCCACAACUGAUGUAAAUUCUUCGUUGAAAUUGUUCAAAUGGGCUUCACUUCAGAAAACGUUUAAGCAUAAUGUGGAUACUUAUUAUUUGAUGAUUUUGAAGUUGGGUUUGGCUGGAAAUAUUGAGGAAAUGGAGGGAUUUUGUAAUGAGAUGUUAAAGGAGAAAUGUCCUGGUUUUGAUGAAGCUUUCUUGGGAUUGAUUGAAUGUCUUGUUAGAAAUGAUAGGCUUGACGAGGCUUUAAGGGUUCUUUCUUGUAUGAAUUCAAGUAGUUUUAAGCCUUCAAUAGGUGUUUUUAAUAUAGUAAUGGGUGCACUUUUGGUGGCAAAGAGGGAUUUCAAGGAUGUAUUAUUUGUGUAUAAAGAAAUGGUGAAAGUAGGAAUUGUUCCCAACGUGGAGACUUUGAAUUACUUGUUGGAAGCGUUGUUAGAGGAUGAUAGGGUGGGUACAGCUUUGGAACAAUAUAGAAGGAUGAAUAAGAAAGGGUGUAGUCCUAAUAGUAGGACCUUCGAGGUUCUCAUUAGUGGACUUAUUGCCAGGGAAAGGAUCGAUGAAUCUUUGCUUCUUUUAGAUGAAAUUUUUGAACUUAGGUGUGAGGUGGAUUUGAGCUUUUACACUCGGAUAGUACCGCUGCUUUGUCAGAUUAAUAAAUGUGAGGCAGGGAUGAUGUUACUUGUGAAGAUGAAAGCUUCAAAAAUUUCUCCAGAUUCUUCAACUUAUGGAGCUAUGAUAAUAUGUUUAUGCCAGAAUCUUUAUGUGGAUGAAGCUGUCAACCUUUUUGAAGAGAUGGUGGACAGCGGAAUAACUCCAGAGGAUGAUCUAUAUGUGGAUAUUGUGAAGGGAUUUUGUACAUUAUGUAAAUUUAGUGAAGCAAAGAAGUUUUUAGUAGAUAAUGAUGUUGAUAUAACUUGUCCUUACAAUGCACUUCUUGGAGCUUAUUGCAGUUAUGGUAAUCUUGCGGCAGCAAAAGAUCUGUUUGAUGAUAUGUUUGAGAGGAGUUUAACUGAUAGCUUGUCUUGGAAUUUCUAUAUUCGGUGCCUAUGUGAGAUUGGCGAUAUCAAGAAAGCCUUGGAAGUUCUUUGUAGAAUGAUUGUUUUUUCAUUUCUUCCUGACUCUAUCACUUACUCCGCUCUUAUCAUUGGCAGAUGCAAGCAGGAUGAACUUGAUGAUGCUAUACUGUUGUUCAAUCAGGUCCAGCAGAAGUGUGAUGUUUUGGAUUCUGUAUCCUAUGCUGAACUUGUUAGAUGCCUUUCUUAUAAUGAAAAGAUUCAAGAGGCUGCUGAAGUUUAUUGUUAUAUGUCAGGAAAGCAAGUAGCUUUGCAGUCAACCUCUUUUGAUUUGUUCAUUAAGGGGCUUUGUGCAAUAAGAGAAGUCGAGAGUGCAAUCAGGUUUCUAUCUCUUGCUCAUUGUUCUGGUACAUCGUACUCGUCUGUAGCUUACUACAGCAUAAUGCGAGUUUUAUCCAAGUUAGAAAAGGCAGAUGACCUUUUAGUGGUAUUAUCACGAAUGAUUGUAGAUGGUUGUCCUGUUGAGGAAGAAACUUAUUUUAUCCUCAUAGAAAGUAUGAGUCUAGCUGAUAAUCCAGACCAUUGUGCUCGGUUUUUCAAUGUGAUGCUCAGCAAGGGUUUAUUACCCAACUCCGAAACACUAACUACUGCACUGUCUUGUUUAGACAAGCAUUCUCAAAUGCACAUGAUUUUGAGUGCUAUGGAUCAGCUUAUCCCUUGUUCUAAUAUUCUUGGUUCCAGUACCUAUAACAUGCUCAUCAGGGGCCUUUUGAAAGAAGGAUAUAGGAGUGCAGCUGGUCGCUUGCUAGAUGUAAUGUUGGGGAAGGGUUGGAUUCCUAGUACUGAAACUCAUCAAUUACUGGUUGGUUCUGUUGUAAAAGAGGAAUCAGAAGUAAGAGCAUAUAUGAGCGAAAAUUUUGGUCCGCAGGAUGAGGUUAGCAGCAUACUUGAAAAUGCAUUGGCUCAAACAUAACCUGAUUCCAUAUAUCAACACUAUCAUUGGCCGUUGUUGAAUGUCUCCAUUAAGUGCGAUUGUGAAAGCCUCUGUAAGACUUGUAGAUUUCAUCUCAGACUUCAGUGCUAUAAAAGGUAUGCUAUGUUCACACAGCACAUAACUUUGCUUCACGUGGCAUGGGUACUUAACAAAUUGUUCUUCUGACAGUCUUACAUGCACUUAAUAUGUUGGUACAUACUCCACCAAAUUUUUAAAAAUUUUUUUUUUUUGUGUUUUUAAUUUCUUUAGUGGUAGGAAAUGCAUUUACUGAUCUAUAAAGUUUUGGUUUGACUAGAUUAACAGAAGAUGGGAAUAGUUGAGGAUGGUCUGAGAGCUAGUCUAAUAGCAGAUGACUUCUCAUGCCUGUGCAUGGACUCGUACUUUACCUCUCGAAGUAAAUUUUAAAACAUAAAACUAUAAAUUCAUUCUUCCUGUCACUUAGUUAUUCCUGACAAAACAUAACCUUGAUCAUUUUGGUAUAGUUAUAUUUAUCCAGACUAGCAUAGUAGUCAUCAGGAUCACGAUGCUUGAACUGUCUUCCUAGUAACCACUUUUUAGUUGUAUAUGAUGGUCUUGAUGAACUGACUUGGGUUGAGGGAAUGGAUUUUGACUUUAAUAUCAUGCCUUUGACGAAGUUUAUUGGAUAAUCUCAGUCCCCCCCCCCUCCUUUUCCACCAGGAGGGUAUCUUUCUCAGGGAUCUGAUUUUGACAAACUUCAUUGAAAUUCAGUGUCGUGCAUAAAUUGAGGGAUUGAUGCUGACGGAAAUGCCAUGAAGAUGGCCUUUAAAUGAUGAUCCCGUGCAUAAACUUUCUGGGAAAUUUUUUGGAAGGAAUUAUCCUGGUCGGCGGUCAUCCAGCCCUACUGAAAGUCUUGAAAUGUUUGUCAAUUUGAUUAACCCUGAAGGACUCUGGAAGCAACAUCCGUAGCUCUGAAGGGGUUGCGAGGCUGCUAACAUGAGCUUUCAGUGGCCAAAUACCAUGAACAGAAACUUAAAGAGUAAUGCCCCCUUCUGAAAGCAGAGCAAUGUAUUUAUGUUCUCCCGUGUCCAAAUUUCCGCAUGGAAUGUCCAUGCAAAUUCUGAUGCAUCCGCUUCAAUGCUCGACCCUAGCUAGAGGGUGGCAUGGUAACUAGAAUAUUGUCUACAAAUGGAAGAUAAAGGACUGGCUGCAGGUGUUUGCAUGGUUUCAGGCAUGACAAAGGCAUCAGUUUUGCGGAUUGUGUUCUAAACACGGUAAUGCUACAGGUUUUCAAGAGAAAUAGGAAUUACCUGUAUCAAAACCCUAUAAUCAAUAAACGUAUGUUCCUAGUAAGUUAUACUGUGAAUAAAAUAUCGUAGUAAUUUUUAAAGCGUGGAAGAUUGACAGUUAUAUUUCCCUUCGAGGCAAUCCCAAUGAGAUAUGGUCUACGAGUCAUUACAAUUAUGAAUUAUCCGAUUAUUAAUUUCUGCAUUGUGAUUAUUUUUCUUCCUCGAUCAUAUUUGCUGAAUUCUGAAUGUAGCUGCCGAAUACCUGCUCUUUUGUAAGAUUGGAAUGAAGAGAACACAGAAAUCUGUCUGGUUAGUAGCUACUGCUCUCCAUUCCUGGUUCUCCUGUAGCUGGAUUCUCUGGAAUCACAAGAAUCCUUAGUUAGAAUGAGACUCCAAGCCCAAGCUUUAGCAUGUUGAUGAUUUUACACUCAUGACGAUUUCACAAGUACUUUUACAAGCAGAGCUCGAUACUAGAAUCACAUUUCCAAGUCCCAAAACUGUCGCGAGCAGAAUACGUAUCUAUCCCGCUCCAGUCUUUCAAGUCUUAUUUUCCAUGCAACCAACAGGCCAACAAUACCAUCCUCUCCUUUCCCCACCCACUACAUCCCCUCCCCCCCGCCCCCCUUAUUCCCAAAAAAAAACUCCAGAGACUUCAAUCCAGAAAAUAUGGAAGAUGGAUAAUUCAAGAAAUUUUCAUUCAACACACAUCAAUAAAGGCACCUGCAAAAACCCAACCGAAGAAUUUGUUUGAUUCAACUGGAGAAACAACCACCAACUUGGAAGUCUUAAACUGAGGCAACACCCACCUGUCCUAUUUCUGAAAACCCGUCAUCCACCACAAGUUAAUGUCCAUGAAAAGCAUGGUUAAAACCUAGCAUCCUGCCACUGCUGUGCUUAUAAGAUGCUUUUACAAAGCCUUAACCCAUCCAUGGGAUAGGUUGUGUGACUCUUAAAACCUGAGCUCCCAAAAACUGAAAAAACCUGAGUGCUACACAAGGCUAUGCAUAGAAAGCUCUUGAUUAGCCCAUAAGAGCCUUUAACAAACCAAAAUAAGUUCCCUUAAACAAACCCAGGUGCACGAGUACCAGGACUAAAAACACGUAUCUGAAACAGGGAAGCGACUACAAAUUUUUUCUACUUAAGCUACUAAAGGCAUUUGUACCAGAAGAACAGAAAGAGAAAAAUCAUCAACCACAGUAUAUACACUGCAACCAAUUAUAGAAUCCAGCUUUAAAUAACAAGAUUUACUGCAUAAUAAGCUCUAAAAUUCCCUACAAAGAACUAGGCUCAACCUACAGAUUAUGCUAUGUGCCAACACAGUUCUACUUGAUCUUACAAACUCUAUUCCCGUGUUACAUUCCAUCAAAAGUUCCUGAACUAGGCUUUACACAUUCCAGAAACCUGAAAUUCGACAUUAUGAUGAUAAGCAAAGAGAAGCUACAAGACAAAACUUCAUUAUAAAAGGACAGCAUGAGAUCAUAGAAUCCCACCUCAGACUUCUCAAAUUAUUGGCACAAGUCUCUGGACAUCAUGAACUAAUGUCCUAGUCAGUUAUGAUUCUGUUGCAAAGACAGACUCUUUUCCGCAUGCCGCACCUGAUCCUCCGCAGGCAAAACUACAGCGUCCCCAUUACUAACGUUCUCCAUUACUCCAUUGGGAUCCUUCACAUGAUCUAUAUUUCCAGAUUUCUUAGCAGUCAAUUGCACUGUCCCAUUCUCCUCAACGUCCAUUGGCACAACAUCAAUCACAUUGUCCACCUUCACGUCUCCAUUUUUCUCUCCUUCUCUCAAUUCCACCGCAUUCAAGGCCGCUAAAACAUCAUUAGACCCAUCCACUCUCUCCACAUUACCAGCCCUUCUCCCUUCCCUCCCUACUCCCACCACGCCUACAUUAACACUACUGACAUUGCUAUUGACGUUAUUUCCACUAACAUUAGUCACUUUAACACCGCUGCUACGCCCGGCAACCCCUAAUACCUCCACAGCCGUAGCUGCAGCGGCAGACUCUUUUUUCUUCAAUUUCUCCUUUGCAACUAAAUAAGCGACAUGCUCCAACGCCUCCCUAGCACGUUUCCUCGUAAACGCUGCCUCUUUUGCCCGCCUCUCCGCCUCUGCUCUAGCGGCUACGGCAGCUUUACUCAUCGAAACGGCGGCAAUCCUCGCCGCAGCCAACAAAACCUUAGCAGCCUUCUUAUCAAUAACCCUAUACUCCCCAUUAUUCCCAUUGGCAGCCUCCGAGCCCUCAAUUCCCAAAUCUUUUGCUUUCUUCAGCGUAAAGAUCGGCGAAUUAGGGUUCACACAAUUAGGACAAACGUAAGGGUUCGGGUAAUUGGGCCCCACGCAAUGAAUGUGAGAAGAGGAGUAACAUUUAAAGCAGGUGACGGCGUCGUUUGGGCCGGAUGGAGGCGGGGAAGGAUGAUAGACGGCGAAGCAAGUAGGGCAGAAGGAUUGAGGGUGGAGACGGAGGACGCAGGUAGUGCACAGACGGCGGAAGAUCCCGCGGUGGCGGACGUGGUGGAGGAGGCGGCGCUCCUCGACGCCGCAGUUUCCGCAGGUGGUUGGGGCGGUGGAGGAGGCAGAAGAAGAAGAUGGAUCGGGUUUGACUAACAUCGUUGAUUUCAUUCAAAAUCAAAUCAAUACAACAUUUGAAGGAAAAGAAACCCAAAAAAAAAGGGUUAUGUUCUAGCUUGGUGUGCGAGAAACAGAGGGGAUUCUUUGUUUGGGGCUUGCGAAGUAGGGUUUGUGAAGGAGCACGAGGAAGAAGAAGAAACAGAAUUGGGAGGGAUAGGCGUAGUGUUUGACCUGGUAGACGGUGUCGUUCCGCAUAGCUUUAUUGGAUUUUGCAAACGUCCUCCAAUUUUUUGCUGCUUUACCGGGAAACAGUGGCGCCGUUGGUACUUGGGAGUAGUAUCACGUUCCACCUUGAACUCGAUCAUUAUCACACUUACUUGGGCUCCAGCUCGUGCUAAAUUUUAAUUCGAAUACGACUCGACAUAAUGAACCUGUUUGGAUUGUCAUAUUCAUAUUUUUUUAUUAACUUUUUCCCUCACAUAUAUCAAAUCGUUACAGUAAUUUUUUCAUGAAAAAUGUAAUCCAAACGAGGCAUAGCUCAAACUUGAUUCAUUUGAACUUCAUUAAAAAUGCAAGCCUUAUCAAGAUUUAACUAUUCAAGUUCGAGCUCGAUUUUUUCUUUUCUUGUUUUUAAUUUUUUAUAUUUUAGAUUUAUCAAAUUACCAUUUUAUCAUCCAUCAAUUUUUUACUGAACAUUAUUUCAUGUAAAAUUAUUAAAAGAUGAACUCAUAAUAUUCAUUCCAUAAUUAGAAUAUAUAAUAUAUAAAUAAUAUAAAUACUCGAUUAAACUCGUCGAGUAGUUAUUGCUGAUAUUCGAACUCAAUUCGUUACAUGAAAUGAGUAGCUCAAGUUUGAGCCAAACUUUUGACCUAGCGGUUUGGCUUGCCCACAUUCGUAGUUGUUGAUCAAUGGAAAAUCAUUCAAAGUUUGGUCCUUCAUUUUUAAAAUAGUAAAUUUACAUCUCUUAGAAAAUCAAAUCGGUAAAACUUAGUUUUAAUACAAAUUUUUUAUUAGUUUUUACUCUAAAUCCAUCACAUGACUCCACAAUCAUUUGUUUAACUAAAAAAAAGGUUAGAUUUUAUUUAUAAUUAAACAAAUAACUCAAUCUAUAUUCAUUUUUAGUCUUAAAAAAGUAGAAUUUGACUCCAAUCAUAUUCUUUUUUUUUCUAAAAAAGUGAAAUAUGAUCCAAUCUGUAUUUAUUUUUGCCAUUAAAGAAGUGGAAUAUGAUAUUUUUGUACAUAAAAAAAAGAUUGCAUGUAGAUUAUGUAGCGAUUUCAAGUUAAAAUGUGAUUGAAAACUUAAGUUAGGACUAAGUUUUGAUAAUUUAAAUUUAUGAGCGAUAUAAAUUUACUAUUUUAAAAGUGAAUGGCGAAAAAAUUCGUUUAACGUGUUAAACUAUUUUCUAAUCAAUUCCUCAUGAUUUGGGCUUUCAAAAAUCAAUUCCUCUUUUGCAAGUGAAACCUUUGGAGUUCGCAAUUAGGCUUGGCCCAAACUAAUGGGGCUAAAUAAUGCAGGCUGAACACGAUGUACGACGCUGGGUUGGUAUGGAGUGUGGACCUCCAUUUCCUAAUUAACUUCACGCCACUCAAACUAGCGGUGAGUUAGGCAAACAAUGAUGUAGUUUUUCUGAAUAUACCAUAAAAAUUGAGUGGAGGAGCCUCCUUUGCACUUUAAAUCACAUUUUGGUAAAAUCUACGGUUGGAUUCGUGCCAACAAAUCACUGAAUUCAAUUGUAAUAUCAAAAGUACAUGGCUUCAAUUCUUUUACAUUUAAACUUGAAGUAAGGUAUCAUAUAAUAUAUAUAUAUAUAUAAAUAUAUGUAUAUAUAUAUGUAUGUAUGUAUGUAUUUUUUGAUAACAAGUAAGAUAUAAUAUUAAUAGCUAGUUUAUUUCUUACGAAUCCGUAUUGCGUAUGGAAGAUCUAAUCCAAUGUACACACAUAUAUUUUGUUCGGAAAAGAAGGUUUAAUCCAAUAUUGAGUAGAUGGAAAUAGAAGUUUAAUCCUAUAUUGAUCAAAUCCCCUGUUUAUAGAAAAUAGUGUUGAGGGUACACUCGAUGUACGUGCAAUUUUAGAACAAAUUAAUUUUUUUAUAUGAAAGAAUUUAGUAUAAAAUUUUCAUAAUAAAGAAAAUUUUAUUUCUAAUAUUUUUUUGAAUGGGCUUUUAAAGAGUUUAGAUAAUUAGGUUGAAAUUUAGGUAAUUAGGUUUAGAUAAUUUGCACCGGGCCUACGAGUAUUACUUAUUGGGACCUGAUUUGAAAUUGGUCUUAGCUCAACGGGAUGGUUCUGCUGCUGGACUAUCUGACCAUGCUGGAGCAGGAGGAAUAAUCCGACACUCUUCUGGUCAAUGGGUUUUUGGAUUCUCUAGGAACUUGGGCUCCCGCUCAGUCCCACUAACUGAAUGCUGGGUGUGCGAACGAGGUUUGGGUUGUAGAUAUAUAACUUGGGCCGAGACCUGCAACAUUACACAAGAUCACAGAGCGAGGCUAUCCCCUCGGCGUAACUCACGAUGCCUAAGUCAGUAAAAAUGACGAGGUUGAGGUGUUCAGAGAGGCGGAAGCAGUAGUAGUUACCUCCUUCGUCGAGAGCGAGAAUCAUGGAAAAUCGGGUCAGUAGGCUGACCUCACUGUUAGAAGUAGUUCGCCGUGUCAGUUAGAAGCCUAUCACACUACAAUGUCAGACGGUGCAAGUCACAUCAAUCAAAUCAACAGAGCAUUCUUUCCGGACAAUGGGCCGGAACGGUUAUCAAGAAAAUCGUUCGGGGCACAAAAUUGUGCAAAGUGCAUACAAAAUGCAUACGGCGUAACUCUGUCUCACACGGCAUAAUUCACUUUCAACAACGUGUAACUAUAAAACAAAAUUUUGUGGGUCUCACACAUGAUGUGCAAAACGAGACGCAAGAUAAAAUCUGAAUCUUUUUUUUUUUUGCCAAAUCUUGGCCAUGAACUUUCAGAAACUGCAGCCGUUCCUGUCCCUCGUCCAUUCCUUCCCAAGGUCUGUCCCAACUAUCUAAUCAGGAAGUUGGUUGACCUUGGGGGAAUCAUCUGGUGAUGUCGAGUUUCGGAGAACGCAGGUUCAGCCGAGGAGAGGUUCCCUCACCGGGCAAUACGGGAUGGCUUGGAGUUAGCAAGCAGACCUCUAACAUUUCUUUUGUGGAAGUGGAGCUAGAUUCCACACAGUUUACUUCCUUUCAAAAAUAUUUUAUCCAUCUACUCAUGAGCUUUCUCCCGUCUUGAAUGAUUGCAGGAGCUGUUGACUACAUUUCACCAAGCACAUUUCUACCAUAACUUCCGAGAGACAAAACAGAUGUGCACAUGCAUUAGCAAAAGCAUGAAUCAUGUCCAGGCUUGUUUUCACAUUUUAUUUGGACGAUUUGAAGGGAGUUACCCUCCCAAGAUUAUUGAAGUACAUCUAUCUGGGUCUAAAUUAUGCAUACAAGCACCUUUUGAAUUACAAUAUGACAUUUGUUGUCCAUUUAAUACCAACCAAAAUCCUAAAAUUCUAGUUUUGAAUAAUAAUCUCUAGACAUUUAGGAUCCUAAUCCAGUGGGAAAUUACAUAGAAGCAACCGGCCUUGAGUACAUCAGGAAAAUAAGCAAAAGAAAUGUUAUACCUUGUUCCUCAUUAAAUAUAGUGAUUAAUUUUGGUUCACACAAAGAGAAUGAAAACAAAAACAUCUCCAGGUUACAAUCUUAUCUAGAUCAAAUGAUGUUAGUUUCAAAUCCGAACUCAAUCCAUGAAGUUCAGAAGUUGUGCCACAAAUUGAAAUUAUCGUUUGAGUUGAGGGAAACUAAAAUGAUAGUGAAAGAAGACAGAGACCACAAUAGUUCUGAAUUUUAUGAUACAAAAGAAAAUGAAUUUUAACCUGAAGGCGGUUGGGGAUGGUCAUCCUGGCUCGGCCCCUUUUUUUUUUUUUUUCUGCCACUAGUUAUUUAUAAUGGCCAUCUGACCAAGCCGAUCCCGUCACCACUUAGGGCGACCCCCAUCCGUUCUGGUCACCACGGCCACACAUCGCAUACGGAUAACAGAGGUGACUCUCACAUCUACUGUUAUCUCGGAUUGGCGCCGUGCCUGGCAUGACAACCAAGGUCCUGUCGAAGACCCUGACACCUGCAGGAUGGACAGGACAUCUGCUGAGACCUAUCCACUGCACAGACCUGUCAAAUCAGACUGACAUGCUCAGUCUCAAUCAGAUCCUAGGAAAUUGGAGUCCAAUAUCCUUCCCUCCAAGUUGUCUCAUAUAAAUACAAGGACCCUCACUCAGAAACAGACAGGCAAAAUAUUCCGUAAGAAUUACUUUCAAAAACUUCUUCAACCCUCUCUUAUCCAAGCUAACUAGAUCGUCAGAGGAAACCCGAGGGAUACAGUCCUGUCUCUUAUAAUUUGAACAGGUGACUUUUGUGCGGUUACACUUCACUUAGGAGAGCACUUCGGCAACUUGGCAUAGCUUGUCAAACCAGAAAUCGCCUCUUCAGUGGUAGAACCAAGGAAAAUUAAAUGGCAGUGAAAGAAGACAGAAAGCACAAUGGUUUAGAAUUUUAUGAUACUAAAGUAAUGAUAUUUAACCUAAAGGAGUUAAAAAAGGAAGAAACAAAUUUUACACACUAGAAGAAUGGAAUCUUCCUCUGUGCUAUUUGGGUUAUGAAGUGACACCAAAAUGGGGGAAAAAUUAACGGGCACAAGCACAUAGUUAGAAAAAAAAGAAAAAAGAAACACUAAUCCCAUGUAGAACAAAAUUGACAUCGAAGUCACUGACAUAUAACUUCGGGUUCGUUCAUCACCACGAGUUAGAGCAUUCUCCUGGACUUUAGGUUAUUUACAGAGUCUUUUACAAUUCACUCACUCAUUAAUACGGUCCUCGUAUCGACGGCAGCAGCAUUCGGAUAUAUGACCUUUAUUUAGGAAGUAGUAUGAUCUUACCAAUUGAGUUGAGCUAACUUUUGUUGGCAAACAGCCAAACAUACAUCGUGUGUUAUCGAACUUAUCGUGAUUCAACUAAUCAAAUUAUGGGUAAAGGACAAAAAUUGAGAUGGAAGAGAGGAGCACUAGAACUGUAGAACUGGGAUGUGAGAGGAAUAAGUCCCUUGUUUUGCUAAUAAUAAACCUUUUGAAUGAGUGAUGAACGUGCCAAACUAAAUCCAUCAAUUACUUGAAAGAAAAAUUCAAAUGAUAUUGAGAUGCCAAAGGUGAUGAUAAGAUGACAGGACAGCCAGGGAAGAGGCAGUGCACGGAAAGGCCAUCAACACCAAAAAUCAAAAUAACCAGAGGGUGUUGAAAUGCACCCUUUUCAUGCGCUGCCUCGUCCCCGUCUGUCCUUACCAAUCUUGUUUACCUUGUAGCCGAAUUAUGCAGAUGAUUAGCACCCCAUGAUGUGCUAAUGAAUACCUGACUGCAGCCGUAACUGCCCAUCUCCAUGAUUGGUGGAAUGAGCAUAGGGAAGAGAGAAUUGGCAGAAAGCAUAUGAGGGUUAGGCUCGAGAAAGCAUGUUUGAGUUAGAAAUUGAUGUCCCGUUUAAAUAUGAAGAAUGAGAAAAGCAUUCUACCAAGAAUUCUAACUCUUUGCUCGAAAAAGAUGGUUUCGAAAUGUCUGCCCUGAUGGACACGAAUUGGCAGAACAGAACGGCUGACUUAAAUACAAGGAGAAGGAAAAAGCAAUAGUCGCAGUACAAAUGUUAGUACUACUAGAAUAGUAGGAGCUAAGGGCCUAAUAAUGCUGUACUUCCUAUCAAAGAUGUACUACCACCAAAUUGUUGGAGCUUUGAAGAUACACAAUGAUUGUAGCAGCAACACAAGGUUAUUGAAAAAGUGUUCUGACGAAGUUGGUCACCCAUUUGAUAAUUCUGAUGUCGCAUGUAACAACGGCUUCUGAUGACCAAUCCUAAAAGACCCACCUGGCUCAAGAAAAUGGCACAUUUAUCAUCAAGUGUGUCCACAAUUCAUUCCAAACUCCAACGAAGCCAUUUUUGCCUUGGAGAUUGGUGUAAAGUAUAACUCAAAUCACUUGGGGGUUCUCGAGAAGCAGGCUGAAAGGGGAGGAGCAGGUAAGAGAGGCGCUAAAUGGUGGGGGAAUGCCAUAUGAUGCUGUGAAGGAUUAAAAUACGCAAAAAGAAAAAUAAAAUGACAAAAACUUCCGAGGAUGGAAAACAGGAAACUUUGGUUGUACUGGUUGUACGACUUUUUCUGUGGAAAGAUAAGUGUACUUAUUGUUUGAGACUUGCAAAUUUUAGCAGUUGCGUCAACCUUGAUACUAGAAACGACAGGGACAUUUACACUAAAUUGGACCACAUUCAAGCAUGUUCAGCAAUUUCCCUGUACAAUUUUGUCUAAAACUAAUUCUCACUAUCCACAACCUCCUUGAAAGGGAAACUCCGACUACAAGAUCCACCGUGUAUCUUUUCCAUGAGAACCUGGGACUUAAAUAUGAAAAGGAUUAAAAAACAAAAAACCAAGGAACCUCUAGUACCAUUACCUAAAGCUUUCUGAUCUAAUUUGAUAUAUCUUUACAUUGAUAGCCUUCUAAGGGUGGAAUUCUUUUUAGGAUCACAACUUUCUGAAAUGUUAACCAGUUAACCUGCCCACCACAAUGCAAAGGCACACGAUCCAAAGGCUAUCGUCCAAUUAGCUGUGUUACUGCCCCCUGUAAAAUCUGCAACAGUAUAUUCUCCCAUGGUGAUACAGCAGCAAAAGACUUCAAUUGGGUUCCAGUUCCUCCAGCUUAAAAGGGGAGUACUAAAUAAAGUAGCGGGACCUUUCAUGCUAAAAGAAAAAAAAAUGAAUAAAAUUGCUAAUUGCUAGUAGUACAGAUCCACAUCUCACCAAUGGGAAUGUACUACCAUCCCUAAUCUCUUGGUACAAUACCAAGAGAAUCCACAAAAGACACAUCCAGAGGAAGCUUUUGACAUGAAACAAGUGAACUGCGCAACUGAUAUUUACACCACAAGGUGAGCUGAUCUCAGUUAAGAAAGCUGUCUAAUGAUUCUAAACAUCUAAUCUAACUUAUUAAGGCUAAAAAAUAUCUAAAGUUAGAAAAACCAAAUAAAAGAAAAUGAUAAAAAAAAUGAAGAAAAGAAAACUGCCUAGAAGGUACGUCAGCAACUAUCGAUGUGUUUGAUGGCACAACAGUUCCAUUUGUCCAAAAAUCCUGAAAACAGAAAGCAAACAGAUUCAAUUCGACUGGCACUGUUAACAGCAAGUUGUCAUACCAAUGCACUGAAACUAAAACCAAAAAAUGUUAUUCCAUCACCCAGGCAAACCUCCCCAGCAUACAUGAUCAAAACCACUUGCAAAAAAGAAAGCAACAAGAAGCUUAAUUUAACACUAGAAAAUAUGCUGCAUAGUAGCAAUAACAUAGGCUGCACUCCUAUGCAAUACAGAUUUAAAACACUAGAAAAUGAUAUGGGGGAAUCUGUACUACGGUCCAAAUAAUUAACUAAUUUAUUUGGCUAAUUGUCCUAUGGUUUAAGAUGUCAACACGCAAACAGAUAAAAGAUAAUACUGUACUGAGAGGACGUCAUAUCGUUAGUACUUACAUAGUCUAGAACUCCAAUGCAAACUCUUUGCAUGUUGACUUAUUGUGCCCAGUACCCUUGCAUCUACUACAUUGGAGCUGACGUUUCAUAGACUCCUGUGAAGCAUUUUUCUUAGUGGUAGGUCUGCCAGGAGGGCGACGAGUUGGAGGAGGGGUUACAGUUACAGCACCCUGAGAAAUAUCCUUUCUCCCAGGCCUUUCUAUACUUGGAAUAGGAUUUAAGGACUCUGAAUAUGUUAAUCUGUAACUAUUGGUGGUGAAGUAUCUAGCACAAUAAUCAUAUGGAUCUCGGCCCAAGCAACCAAUGACAGUCAAGGCAUGGCAGCAAGGCAAUCCAGAAAGUUGCCAUCCCUUACAUGUACAAUUGCAGUUCGCAAUGUCAACAAGUUCAAUGGACUCUCCACGCACCUCAUAUGUGCUCCCAGAAGCUGUUAAUACUUGAUGGGGGCGAACUUUAAGGCUUUCCUUUUCAAAUUUUUCCUCCAUAGACGGGGUUAACCGUGUGAUCCAUUGAUUGGAUUCAGUCCGCCGGGUGUAAAUCAACUCCAUUAUCUUUCCUCUUAUUGCAUCAACCAUCUGUGUUAUUGGCAAUUCAUUGGCAUCUGACACCCAACUGUAAAAGAGCUCUCCGAAGUUUGAUGUCAUAUGGUUAUAUCUUGCACCAGGAAAAAAUGCAUUAGCCCAGUGCUCAGGCUCACUUUGCAUGAUCCAGUUAUAGGCUUCAACUGAAAUACUUUUAAUACUCUCAAUGCACCUUUGGAAGCCUUCUGGCCUCGUUGCAUAAGCUGUUGCAAACAAGUCUUCAACCAUUAGACGCUUAACUUCAUGAGAAAACUGACCCUUCAAAUCUCUAAUUAGUUGCUCAGAAAGAUAUCGCAGACAAUAAGCAUGGUAGAUCUCAUCAUCCUUAAAAAUUUCAGCUAUUGAUUCUCUUAAUCCUUUGUCUCUAUCUGCCACAAUUGUCAUACUGCGACUUGCUGACAACGUGUUGAUGGCAAUUGCCUCUCUGUCAACUCCAGCAGUCAUAUCACGACAUCUUGAAAGUGCAGUUUUAAGUUGUAGCAAAAACCAACGCCAAUUAUCAUCAGAUUCUGAAUCUACCACAGCAAAAGCAACAGGGAAAACAUCAUCAUUGCCAUCAGCAGCUGUUGCUGCCAGAAGCGUACCUUGGUAUUUUGAGCGCAAAAGUAAGCUAUCAAGGAAAAGCAAAGGACGACAUCCAUGUUCAAAGCCAUAUAAUGAUGCAUGGAAUGCUAUGAAAAGCCGAUGAAAACUCGAAUUUUCUUUGGUAGUGAAAGUAGCGAGACUACCAGGAUUUGUCUCCAUUAUCUUUUCACAGAAGUACGGUAACUGUCUAUAUGCCUCUUUAUAUGAGCCUUGAAUUUGUUCCUUGGCAAUCUCUUUCCCACGCCAGGCCUGAAAGUAAUUUAAUUGUAUUCCAUAAUCCUGUUUGAUGUCUUGCACAAUGUCCUUUGGCUUAUAGUUAGGGAAAGCUUUCAACUUCUCCUUUAUGAUACUUGCAACCCAACUUCUCGUUGCCUGAUACCCAUUCUUUAGAGUAGCACCUUCACACGUAUGCGUUGGAUUCAUUUUCUUAAUGCAUAUCAAUUGGGUUGUUGACAACCUUGAUGCAUGAAUUCUCCACGGACAGCCCUCUUCUUUGCAUUUUACUGUCACACGAUGACUGUCAUUCUUCUUGUACUUGAAAGCAAACUGAUGUGCAAUAGCAUAUUUGCGCAAUGCCUCACGAAAUUCAUGUACACUGUUGAACCGUUGGCCAACACCAGUAAUGUUGUUUUGCCACAUUUCAGUGGCUUUAGCAUGCUUUUCAUUAUAGGAACCAACAGCAUUUAUAGGAGCAGCAAUUUCAGCUGGAAUAUCAAUAUCAACAUCACCAUGGUUGGUAUCACCUACAAUAUCAAAGUUGGCAUCAAGUAAAAGACCAGCCUGGUUUGAAUCAUCAGCAACAUCUUCCUCCAUGACAUUUGGAGGGGCAUCAACUGGAACUCCCGCUUCUGACAAAGUUGUCCUGCUUGACCUGCAAAAUAAAAUGUCCCCAAAUGUUUCAUUCGUAAAAGGCAGACACUUGACACACUAUUAGACAGCAAGAGAACUACCUACUGCCAGGCAUGUGCGAAGCUUCAGGAACAAUGACCUCAGUCAUUACAAAAAUCUCAGCAGUCUCAGCAUCGCCGUGAAACUUGAUCAUGCGUUUAAGGUCUUUAUCAUUGGAGAUAGUAAUAAGUGUCUUCUUGUUGCUUGGGAGAAAAUAUUUGACAGUCAUUGUAUUAAGGUUGGAAUUAAACAUCUCUGCAACCUCCGUCUUGAAAUCCUUAUACUUCAUCUUAUCAUCAAUUUCCAUAGCAUGAGCAUCUCCACCCUUAUAAGAUAGAAAACCAUCUUUAUCCGUCUCAAAUUCACCUCCUGACUGGCAAAUAGCUAUCACUCUUUUCCCAGCCAUGACCUGAAGCCAAGUCCAAAAUACAAAACUGCAUAAGCCAGUAAACGACCUCCAUUUACACCAACAGGUGAAAAUUCGUUCGAAUUAAAUCAACGUCAUCUACCUCCUUACGAACGAACACUAAGGAUGUUCAAUAAUUUAAAAAAAAACACAUGACCGAAAGAACGUUCAACAAAAGUUAAAUUUAAUCAAAUACACAAUCAUUCCGGACUCUGCCCUGUCAAUAUCUAUUUACCAGCAACUUAAAAACCUUAAACCAUCUCUCCAUCGGGAUAUACAAUUUUCAUAUCCCAAACUACAUAUAAAGUAAACUAUAUCAAUAUGUAAACGCUUAAAACAUUAACUGAACACUCCCAAAUUAGGGCAAGCGAAAAAGGGCAGACUAAAGAACAAGAAAGUAGACAUACAAACAUGUUAAUUAGGCAAAACCCAGAUGAAACAUACAUAUUUCUAGCAAAAACCCAUAUAAAGAUUGAGUCUUGGACCAAUGAAAUUCAAUUAAAAAAAAAACUUAAAGACAAUAAGAUGAAAAAAGAAACAAAAAGCCCAUAAAAAUCGUACCUUUAAGCCAGGGUGCAAAAUUGGGAGAAGGGUUUGUAGUAGGAAUUGACGAAUGGGGGGGAAAUAGAGGAAAGGUGAAGGGGGAGGGAGUCUGAUGAAGAUCUACAUUAAAAGGCGAUAGAUACGCUUCCAAAUAAAACUAUACCUAUAUAUAUGUAUAUAUAUGUAUGUAUCUAAUAGAGGCUGGAGGCCUUGGAAAGGGGCGAGUAAUUUUGUCACAGGUCUAGUGAUGGAAAUACGGAGUACCAAUUUAAAAAAAAAAAAGAAAAAGAAAAAAACACACGCAAAUACACACACAAUAAAAAGCUUGUAAGAGGGGCUUACGUGGCUAUUGGCCACUGACCAAUCAGAUGUUGCCGCUUCUCGCAUAUUAGGCAUUCCCAUCAUCGUGUCUUGUUAAAUCUUGAAAACAACCUUGGAAGGCCACGGGGGAAUGCUUACUAGACGAGGAUUAGGAUUAGGAAGUGGACAAAAAGUGCCCUUCUUGUUAUUAUUUUUUUUUAAUAAGAAAAAGAGGGUUUUAACCAUUUGUGAUCAAUGUGUUUGGAAAGGAGAUUAUUUGCCUAAAUAUUAUUUGCUUACAUCAUUAUUAUAAUUUUCAAUAUAUUUUUUAUUUUUUUAAUUACCUUUUUAUCUCACAUACAUCACAUCACAAAAAAAUGCUACACUAAAAAUUAUCUCAAAUAAUUUAUAAUCCAAACACAGUUAUUUUUAUUUGAAAGAUUCUAGUAUUAUAUGGUUUCUUUGAAAGAUAAAAUCCGGGCACUUUUUUUAACGUGUUUAAGAGGCCUUGAUUUUCUAAGGUAAUUUAUUUGCAUUUUGAAUAUAAAUACAAUCUAAAAAUUGAUAUUUUGCCAUUGAUAUAACCUUUAAAAUUCCUAGAUAGGCGGAUCCUUCAAUCUCAAUAAGACUCUAUUUGGGGUUACAAUACUUUUCGUAAAAAAGUACUUUUAAAUGUUAUAAGUACUUUUAAAGCGUUUGGUGAAUAUCAUCCUAUUGAAUUUGAAAUUGAGUCUUCGGUGUUAAAAACAUGUCAACAAAAGUUCAAAUUUGGUACUUUUAGAAUAGCUUUUCCGAUUUAGAAAUAAAAUAUUAAAUUUAAUCAUUUUAUCCUAUAUUAUGAAUUAACUAAAGAGAUAAAUACAUUUAAAAAUUAUUAAAUUACACAUUAUUCAAUACAAUGAGUACUUAUUCAAUUAUGUCUCCAAAUAAUAUAUUUAAAAGCAAUUAAGUACUUAGUAAGUACUUUUGUUAAAAAUCUCUAUUAAAGAAGUGCUUUUCAAUAAACUAUCGCAAUUCUAAACAAGCCUUUAGACAAAAUUAUGAAAGAUAAUGUAGACCAAAAAGUAAAUGUUGAGCAAUUAAUUACCUCACACAAUGCUCAUAUUCUCCGUCGUGUUUGGAUUCGUAGUUACAAAGUCACCAUCGGGCUUGAUAUUUGUGUAUAAUUUUCCUUCCCGCAUGCUUCCCAAAAAUGGGAAAGUUGAUGUUAUUUACUGCUUGUUAGUAGUUGAAGUACUGGUGAGCCUUUGGCAAGAGUCUUGGUGUUUCCCCUCCCCCAUUCUCUCUAUCCCAUAUCGAUUGUGAGUGGUAGUGUGUGUACUAUUUAAGGUCCUCAAUGUAACCUGAAAGUCAGCAUGCCUUUUGGGUUGGGCUGUGGGUUUCCCUUAGGUAGUGGGUGUGCGUGUGUGUGUUAUUUGCGGUUGUUUGGAUAAGUAGUUGAAGUACUUGGAGAACUCGAGAAGGGUGGGAGGAGGGUUGAACUAUAUGGUACGAGAGAGAAGGUGUAAGUGAGAGGUUUAAAAUUCGAGACUUCCUACUUAUAUAUAUAAAAAAAAAAAAACUUAAGGAAGAGUUAGAUUAGCUAGUAAUGUGGAAAGGGUUGGAUUGAGCGGUAAGAUGAAAGAGAUUGUAAGUAGGAAAUUUUGAAACUUUAAAAAAAAAAAAAAAAAACUUAUGGGCUUGUUUGGCAUUUAGGUGAUUUGGCGAGGAAUUUCGAAAAACUCUUCAAAAAUUUUAAAAUAUACAUUUCAAAAUACUUAAAAACACACAAAAAAAUUUUCCUUCUUCCUUCCCCUCUUGGCCCACUACCACCAUUGCCGGUGCCCGUUGUCACCGUCAUUGGGCGCUUCUCUACUUUUUAUUUUCUUUCUUUUCUCUCUGUCAUUCUUUCUCCUUUUCCGUCUUUCCCUUAUUCUUCUUCUCCUGCCACCCCAUCUUCUCUCAUCUCUUUUGACCUCUCUGGUUCGUGAGGGAGAGAGGAAAAGGGAUGAGGUAAAGGGGGAGAGAAAAUGAGGAGAAAGGGAAAGAAGGAGGAAGAGAGAUAGGGAUUAAGACAGAGGAAGGAAAAAAAAGGAGGUGCUAGCAAAAGUGUCGCCCGACGAUGGAAGUGGAGACUGGCGGUGAUUAGAACAGUUGUGAGAAGGAAGAAGAUCAGAGGAAAGAAAAAAAGAAAGGAAUAUAGCCUUCACUACUACCACCACUACUCCAAAUUAUGAUAAAUUAAGCAUCAAUGAUAUCCUAAUUUUACUAGUUAUUAUUGUUGUUAUAGGGUUUGCUUAGGAGGGGUACUUUUUAGGAGUUUUUAACAGGUAAUUUUUUUUACAACAUUUAUCUAUAGGAAUCUUUAAAAACAUCCCACAUUUUAAAAAUGCACCUUAAAAUAUCCCAAAACACCAUCAAUGUUUUUCUCUUUUGCCUUUUUCCUCCUCUCCUACCUCAAUUCUCCAACAUGUCCGCCAGCUAGCACGUGCACUGUCAUCUACUCUAGUACCGACUCCACCCCCUCUCCUCUUUCCUUUUUUUUAUUUUUUAUUUCCCUGUCUCUUUUCCCUCCUCCUCUCUCCAUCCCUCCACCUCUUUCUUUCCCCCUUAACCUCCACCCUCUCCUCUCACUUGGCCCCCAUUCCCUUCUAUUACUUGAUCCCUAUGACUUCUAGUCAAGCUACCAAAUCUGGUCGUCUUUUCCCUCUAGUCAAGCAAUUAGAUUCAAUCGUGUGACCAAAGGUUGCUAGGGUGGGAAAAGGCGGCAAGGGAAAUGGGGGAAGGAAAGAAAGAGGAGGAGAUGGAGAGAGAGAGAAAUAGAAGGGAAAAAAAAAGAGAGAUGGCCAACGGCAAUUGAGGUGGUGGCUAUCAAUAGCGGCAAUAAGGAUGGAGGGAAAAAGAAGAACAAGCGUAGGAGGAAGGAGAAAGAGGAAAGAAUGGAAAAGAAAAAAAGGAAAAAAAUUAAGUUUUUUAAAUUUUUUAAAACCCUAAAUAGACAAAAAAUUUUAUAAUUUCUAUAGUAAAGUAGAAUAAAAUUUUAUAUAAAUCCCAAAAAAUACACCUUGUAAAAGACCCAUGGUUAUUGAUAUUAGUGUAAGUAUCUCAUGACCGUAGAGCAUUUAACAAUUUUAAUUAAUAGCUCACAAACUCAAAUCAACCCAUUAAUAAAAGGAAUAAUUUCAAAAACCUCUCCUAAGGAUAUUGAUAAUUUCAUUGACCUCCCUUGAGAUUUGGAAAAUUACACUGACCUCCCCUGACAAAAUAAGGGGCCCAUUUGCUGAUAUCACCUAGUAUAAAAUUACUCAUGUACCUCAACACAUUAUCUAAGAUUAGAAACUAAAAUAUGAGAAUUAAGUAAUUAUGGCACAAAUCAACUAAUUAAUAGAAUUAUCUAUUAACAAACAUGAAUAGUAAUGUGAAAGACACAAAAUAGUGUCAUUUUGCCAUACCAAUUGGCACCAUUUUGUGAUUGACAUGACUUGACAUGACCACAUUUCAAUUGUACAUAAGAAAGGCUCGAGUAGAACAAAAGAAGCACCAAUCAAAGAAAUAGAACAAUAAGUUUGUUCUUGAAGAUUUUUUCCCUUGGUUUAGAAACUAAAGAGAUGGCCUUUGUAUCAAAAUAAUUUUGUGAAAGUGGCUAAGAAAAAAGAUAGAAGAAAGGCAAAAUUGGAUAUUCUUUUCUAUGUAAAAUCACAAAAGGUAUACUCUAAAUCAGGUAAACAAUCUCCUUAGCUUGAUAUUUAAAAGUUGUAAACUUAGUUGAAAAUCAUGAAAUUUUUCGAGAUGAUCAUAAUUGCAGUCUGCCUUGACUGAUAAUUGUUUGCAACUGAUAAUUAUUUUUGCUAAUGCACCUUGACUGGAAUGCAUGAGGGGUAUUUGUGAAACAAAAUUUUCAUAUUUGUGAAACAAAAUUUUCAUCUCUCUCCUAAAAGUAGUUUUAUAAGUCAUACUUUUUUAGAGAUGGACUGAUUUUGUUACAAAAUCAUAAACCUUAAGGGAUGUUAGUGUAAUUUUUCAAAUCUCAGAGAAGUUUAGUGAAAUUGUUAGAAACCUCCUGACAGAUUUUUGAAAUUAUUCCUUAAUUAAAUUAAAACUCAAAAAUAGUAAGGAGCUCUAUUAACAAUUUAACAUUGUAUGAAUUUAUACAUUGAUAAUAAUUAGUUGACCAUGAACCUUAAUGAUCUGCCUUUUCCUUUUUUGGUUUUCAGCUGCUACUACCAGAAAUAAACUGAACUUGUAGACGAUUGAAUUGGAAGGAGAUAAUACAAAUAAAAUUAACAGUACAAAUGCCAUUCUUUAGCCGCAGGUGAACCAAAAGAUGGCGACAGCGGUUGGAUGGACGUGGAGUUGGAGACCGCCCACAACCACAGUUACAUGUCCCCGCCGGUCAUCGCCUCUUUCUUUACCUCUACCAUGCUUCAGGUAACCCCUCCUUCCUCUCCCUACUUUUCUGCACAAGAAACUCCAGGCGGGUUCUAACUUCAAUUGUUAAUCCCUGUACCUUCUGGGGUGGGGAUUUUAUUCCACAGGGUGGUCCAUGAAAGCAAGACUAGACCAUUCAAAGUCUGCUGCGAUUAUUCCUGCUUCGAGGUAAGCUUUCCCUUCGGUUUCCUACAUUGGGAUACAUUGACUUGAAGUUUAUGUUUUUUCUGUGUUCACUUUAUAGAUGGUUUGUCACUUGAAAAAAAUGACGACUUUUCGAACUGUGUAUUUAGGAUUGUGGAUAAAAAGCAAUAAGGUACAGAGCUGUUGAAUUUUGAACUGUAAGAGCAAAAUGAAAAUGCUGUCCAUAUUGGCAAUCGAAGUUCAAAUAAAUCUCGAAGGUUCUGAAUCAUCAAUCUUGAGAAUAGAUGAAAGAGAGCUGAACUGAACUGAACAGAAAGAAUUCAAUCAUUUGCUAAAGCUUUUGCUGAUUCUUAAUCGAAUUAUAUCCUAACAUUAUGGGAGGAAGAAGAUAAGCAUCGCUUAAUUGACUAAACUUUCUUGUUACGAAUAUCCUAAAAGAGUCUGUAACAAAUUAAGAUGCGAGAUUGUUUGGUUUUCAACUUUCAUAAAUUGCCCUUCAUCUUUUUAGCUCUUCAAGUUUUGAAUGCAACCAAGGGUGAUUAUCACAUGGUAGAGUGCACGGAUGUAAUUCAUUUAGUGCUUUAUAAAUUGCAUCCUUGGUCAAGUGGAACCAAGAGGUUGAGAUGUGAAGUGUUCUUCAUCAUCUGUUGGACCUUAUGUACAAAUAUCAACACCUGUUUUUAUGAGAUUUUCUGGUUCAGUUUCUUCAACCACAGUGACAGUACAUCUAUAUGUUUGCUAAUUGAUAUGUAAUAUUUUCUUUCUAUUUUGUCAAGAUGUGCUUUGCUACUAAGCUUUGUAGAAUCUUUACUGGACAAUACGAAGGUCAAGAGUUGCUAAAAUACUCUAAUUUCUAUUUCCUCAAAUAUGUGCUAUUGCCAGCUAAAGGAUGUCAGUUACCAACCUCCUGGAACAAAAGUCAACCUUCUAGAUGGCGUGAGUUUCUCCCUCCGUGAAAAAAGGUGGAAUUUCCUACUUAUCUUUGCAUGAUCAACUGUUGUAUUUCUAUUGCUUUCAAACAGUUUUUCAGUGUUCCCCUCAAACUGGUAACAUAAGCUACGUGAGUAAAACCAAUUUAUCUUCUUCUGUUAAUUAAUUGGUGCUUGUGGAAUAUAUGUAUUCAAAUUACAUUCUUUUUCUUUCUUUUCAAAUUUGAUUUGAAUUUCACUGAUGGUAAAUUUUUCCUUGCACCAUGUUUUAGUGGACACAUGCAUCUGUUAUGAAAUGCUUCACAUUUUAUCUUUUUGUCAUGGAUUUCUGCAGUUUUGGUUUGAUAUUUGGACGGAGUGGUAGUGGAAAAACUACUCUCUUACAGGUGCUAACUCUGUUAUUAGAAUUUGUGCUGUACAAUUAAUACAGUUAUGAUUUAUCCCUCAAGUUAAACUUGCAUCAUUGAUUUUUCUAUGCACAGCUGAUUGCAGGAUUUAGUAAGCCCACGUCAGGCUCCAUUCAUGUCCAAAGAUAUGGUAAUGAUGGCUGCCCAAAUAGGUUGCCUGAACUCUUAAAUGCAAAUAAAGUUGGGAUUGUAUUUCAAUUUCCUGAGAGGUAAUGAGAUGCUGUUUAAAUUUAAAAUGAAAGUUCUCUUUUUUUUUAUCUUUAUGUGACACAUAACUGCUUUAUUUGGUGUGAUGAACUUGUGAUUUUAUGGGAGGUAGGGUGAAUAGGGAAGGAUUUAUGAUUGGCUUGACCUUAUAUCUUUCAACACUUUUUAAGUCUCUACCUUUCUUUCACGAGAAUUUCUGAAGGGUUACAUAGAUUUUGGAUAGGUUUGAGUGGUGUAGGAUUGUUCAUCAAUCUAGAGAAUGACUUUAGAUUGAGCAAACUGGAUAUAACAAUGUUAUCUGGGAAAUAUUGUUGAUAGGUGAAGUAUUAUGGUGUGCCAUACUCCUGCCAUCCAAGUGCUUCUUUUUCUCAAUUUAUGUUUGGAGAGAAUGAAAACCAAGAGAAAAUAGAAAGAAAUUGCACACUUACAGCAAAAAAGAAUAUCAAACUAAUGAUAUAGGUAAACAAAUGUCCAACUUUAGAGCAGGCUGUCAGGCUAUGAGUUUGCUGUUAGGGUAUCUCACAGUUAGAUAUUAUUGUUUGAUAUAUGUAAAUGACACUAAAAAAAGUCUCUCCUCUAAUAUGCAAGUUUGCUUAACUGCACUAAGGAAUUUGCAAAAUAAUACGCCAUGUACUAGGUAUUUUGUGGCAGAGAAGGUUUUUGAUGAAGUCAUCUUCGGGUGGGCAAGACAAAAAGGUGGCAGUCAGUUGAAAGAGCUUCUUGCAUUAAGACUUCAAAAAGCUAUUACUUCAGUAUGUAUUGUCAUUGAAUUAAUUCAUUCGCUGCCCUUCUAAUUACCAUUAGUUCUAUAAUUUAUCUGUCUUGCAGAAUAUUUCUAUUUUGUGCAGUUCCAAAAUUUUUUCUUGUGGUUGUUGCAGGUUGGUCUAACUGGAAUUGCUUUGGAUCAAGAUCCACAAUCACUAAGUGGUGGUUACAAACGUCGUCUUGCUUUAGCAAUUCAGUUAGUGAGAAUCUGUAUCUUCUGAUGUUUUUUUCCUACUUUGACAUUCAUAAUAUGUCUGCACCAGCAAAAUGGUACACAUAUUUACAUGUCAUUAUUGCACUCUGGUGCUAAUUUGACUGAAAAAUUUUGUUUACUUCACUCAGGUACAAGCUCCAGAUUUGUUGUUAUUGGAUGAGCCUCUUGCUGGUCUUGGUAUGCGGAUGCCCUAUGCUAAAUUGCUUGUAACUUGUUAUGCUUCAUGUUGCAAAUUUCCUUUCUACCUUUCAUGUUCUAAGUAAAUAUGAUGAAAAACAUGUCAGUAAAACAGUUAUGUUAGAUUUAUUCUUACAAAUGUGUAGCAUGGGACACACUCAGAAAGUCCUACAGGAUAGUUUAAUUGUAACAGUAGCAUAUAUUACAGUUAUUUGUAGAGAAAGAAAAGGGAUGUGCGUAUGUGCAAUUCACUUUGUUAGUCGAUGGUAUAGAUUCAUUCUUCUGUUGAUCCUUUUGCCAAUACAAAUAAAUGCUUGGAUGGAGAGGAAGUAAGGUAACAAUUGCAUACAGAUAGAAUGAGAUUUAAACAUAAAAGGCAGAUAUAGUUCCUUUUUAAGAUACCACUUUCUUUCCAGGAAAUGAUCGAGGAUAGUGGGAGGUGGUAGGUAUUCAUGAGGAUAUACACCAUUUCCAAGUUAUUGGUUGACUGUUUAAUUUUGUUUUCGGGAUUAUAAUUUAUUUCAAAGAAUUGUGUUGUUAUGUCUUGCUACUUCUUUGAGUCUUGAAAAAUGAAGUGAGGGCAUAUCUGAUUAGGUUAUAUUGUUGAAUUAUCUUGAUCAUUCCUCUUAUUCUCCAAGUAACCACUCCUAGAUCGCUGAAUGUUUUCUGUGUUAUGAAAUUCAGAUUGGAGAGCUCGUGCAGAUGUCGUGAAACUUCUAAAGAAUCUAAAGAAGGAAUUAACUAUACUUGUCGUCAGCCAUGACCUUAAGUAAGGUCUUUUUUUCUUUUUAAUUUUUCCAAUAAUUUCUUGUCUUGGAAUAUAUAUAUAUUUUUAAAUAGAGAUUUUGCUUUCUUUGAUUAAUUUUUCUUGAUUAGCUGUUAACAACUUUGCUGCAUUAUGUAUUUGCUUCACUUAUGGACGGAGGACUUCAGUUCCCUAUUGUGCACGUGGCUAUCACCUGUAUUUCUAUGGAAAAAAUGAAAAUUUUAAACUGUUGUUAUCUUAGUCAGAAAGUAGGUCUACAGAGGAGAAGUGUACUCGUGUUUGAAUUGCAUUGAGUUAGUACUUUUGUUCCAUGUAGCUGUGUUCAAAUUCCAUUGAGUUUGUACACUUGUUCCAUGUUGAUGUUGUAAAGUAAUUUAGUUUCCAUGGGACAUUACCAAGGUCAUAUGUUCUGCUCAUGGGUGAGUUGAAAUGUACUCAGCAUCAACCAAGUGAAUUUACUGAGAGUAUAGAUUUAUAUUGGUAGGAGUUUUGGGUGGAAUUUUGCCAGGCAUAAUUCUUUGUCUUGCUUUCCUUUUUCUGAAGUAUAGUGUCCAAUUUCCUAUGAUUGAAAAUUGUCAAUCAUACAAAGUUUCUCCUCAAUGACUCUUCAUGUAGUAUGAAAGGUAGUGUCUCCAUAUGUUCUUUCAUUUUUCAGCAUAUCUUGUCGACCUAUAUCAUCCUUUUCACUUCCUUUUUAAACUAUUAUAUAGGUAGAACUGUCUCUUAUACUGAUACCAGUUAUGGGAUAUAAAAUUUUGGAUCAAGGGUGUAUUAGGUUUUUGAUGGGGCUGAGCUACCAUGUUUUUAUUCAGAAAUGUGAAUUUAUUUGUAGAGAGUUGUCAUGCCUAGUGGAUCAAUCAUGGAGGAUGGAGAUGGGUGGAAUACUUAAAGGCGAGCCACUUCCAGUUUAACAGAUGCAAUAAAUCUUUGCCUACUUGAGCUAUGCAAGAUGUAAAUACAUGAGGUAUGGCAACAGAGUAUUGUAAACUAAUUGAGUUGUUUAUGUUGCUGAAGUUCAAUGAUCAUGUUUAUUCAAAAAGAUUUAAACACAAUUAACUAAAGUACAUUCACUUCCUGCACCCCCCCCCCCCCCCCAAAAAAAAAAAAAACAGAUGGCAAAAUCCUUUGUGAAAUGCCAUGUCACUCGUACAAAGAUAAGCUCAUAUUUCUCUGGUGCACAAUUGUGGUAGUAUAAUGCAACCCCAUUGGAUACCUGCAAAACUUUGGAGUUUGCAGUUCUGCAAUUCAUCAUAUAAAGAGCCACCAUUUUGACAAAUGCUUUUGAAAUUUAGUACAAUAGCAGUACAUUCCAUUAACUUUUGCUUUGGUAUCACAUGCAGAGAGAUACGAAGAACCCCUCUUUAUUCUUGCUCUUCAUCGAGUUCAAGCACUACCACUCAUUGCUAAUGACAUACUAAUCACCAGCUCACAGUGACGAAUCACGAUACUUGAUAGAUGAACAGUGAAUACAAGAGUUGGAUUGAUGUUUCAUACUAGGGUGAAUAUGUUUGUUCUUUGUUAAAUGUAGUCAGCAUCAGUUUUGAUCCAGUGCUUCCAAAUUAACCGUUAUAGUACCAGUGUCAAUCCCUUUAGAAGAUGGCACAGAUUUGGAGGUCUCCUCCUUCAAAGUGAUCUUCUUAGGAGACCUUUAUUUUCCUGUGUCAUCCCCAUAAUGCAUGCCCGGCUUGCCAGAGAGUUUCUUGAUUUUGUUUUGUCCAGUGCUUUACAUAUAUAUGAUUAGCAUUCUUCAGAACAAUCUAAUUAUGUCUUCCAUUUUAUCUGGAUGAAUAGUUGAAAUUGGACAUCUAAUUAUGUCGACUGAAAACUGUUUUGUCAAUUUGCACUAAACAUGAUAAAACAUCUGGGCAGUGCCAAAGUGAACAAAAGUGAUUUUAUUCAACAGAAGUAAAAUGCUUAUCACCAAUUUCUUUGGAUUUCUAAGAUUCACAGCAGAUGAGAAAGAUCGUUAUGCCUUUAUACUUAGUGAAUUUUAAACUUUUGAAGUGUAGAUGGGACUCAUGUGACUGCAAGCUGAAGUAUAUCCUCCAUCAAUCACAAGAUUGUGGGCUGUUAUGAAUCCAGAUUCAUCGCUAGCUAAGAACAAUGCUGCUUUUGCGACAUCUUCCAUACUUCCGCCUCUGCCUCUCAGGAGACUGCCCCUCUCACCCACAAUCUUUGUUACGUCCUCAGCCUGUAGAUCAUCCCUCCCAAGGCAUGUUCUGUAGGCACUCAAGAGCAUCUCUGAGGCUACACCAUGAGGUGAAAUGCAAUUCACACGAAUCCCAUAUACUCCCAACUCACAAGCAGUAGUCUUGGCCAGUCCAAGAAUUGCAUUUUUUGAUGCUGUGUAGGCAUGUGAGGCAAGGCCUCCCAUGAUGGCUGCCGAGCUUGAUGAACAGAUAAUGCUGCCUCCAUUUUUACCUGCGAUCAUUGCUCUCGAAGCAUGCUUAAUGCCGUGUAUAAUGCCAAACAGAUUGAUGGAGAGGAGGGCUCUCACAUCCUCCAUGUUAAGACUGGAGAUGCUCCCUCCAGGGCCACUGACGCCGGCAUUGUUAAACAUGAUGUCUAGUUUGCCUUUCCAUGCCAACGCAAAUUCUACUGCUGAUUCAACAUCUUCUUCUUUAGAUACAUCACAAUGUAUGUAGCGCCCUCCAAUUGAAUCAGCUAAUUUUGAUCCUAAUUCGUCUAGUAUAUCAGCAAUAACAACGUAGGCUCCAUUCUUGGCAAAUAGCUUUGCUGUUGCACCUCCAAUUCCUCUUGCACUACCUGUUAUGAGUGCAACUUUGCCCUCAAGCCUGGACCAGAAAAAGGAGAAAGAAAAGUGAAAAACAUAACUAGGAAGAUCAAUUACUAGGAAAUAUUAGCACAAGGUUUAUGUAUUGACUAACCUCUUUGAUGGACUCUGUCGAUCUUCUGCGCAAGGAUCCAUUUCAUUAUGAAGAAUGUCAAGAGAGCAAAGGCACUAGCUGCAUAUAUAGGGGCCUAUGUUUGUUUUCUCUCUUCACACGUGUAUAUUUUAAGAAGCAGCUCUCUUUAGGCUUUUAUGUUUGUUUUCUCUCUUCACAACUUUUCUCAUGUAAAACUACUUUGUAACUAAAAAGAAUCUGUCUCCUAAAGUGGAGUUGAAAACUCUUGACAGGAGAUAAUCCCAAUUUACAAGGGAGAGGCAAAGAAUGCCCGUCAUCUUCUAAGUUUUUUUAUGGCUAAUGAGUUGAAGAGAAUUCUCUAAUUUGCUUUGCCUCGAAGGGCAACUUUCAGCCCAAUAAUUCUGUUAAAAGAGAAACGAAACUCAACCUAAAACAAGAAAUCUCCCUAAUAAUUGAAAACAACAAUUGCUAAAAUUUUAAAUGUAUUAUGGACAUCAUGUCCUUGGAGAAUCAGAUUUCAGAAAGAGCUCUUCCAUUUUCAUUGACGACAUGGAUUGUGAUCUUCCAUAAUUAGAUGGGGAGGAAAAUCAAUUUUAAAAAUCUAACCAGGAUGGUUUUCACGAUAAAUAAAACUACAGAUAUGGUAAUGGUAUUAGCUUUGUGAACUUUCCAUUUUUCAAGGUAUAACAGCUUUUGCUUAUUCUGAUCAACCUGAACAUUAAGUAGAUUUUUGGAAACAAAAUCAAUAAAAAAGGUACAUGUUUCCUCAAACCAUGACCAUUGCCAAUGCAACAGUGACUACAUUGUAACUGAAAUCUACACCUGAAAAAAAAAAUAAAAAUGUAUGUAUAACUUCAGCUUAAAAGAAGCAGCAGUCCUUCCACCCAACGAGCUAGAAUGCUGAUGCAGCCCAUUCAAAUAAAAUACUGAAACUGAUGUUAGGAAAGACAUCUAGACAAUGACCUAACAACUCCAGUGUCCAAGGAAUUCGAGUAGGACAAUGUGCCAGCUCUUCAAACGAUCCCCGUUAAUAUGUCCCCUUUACAAGUUAAAUGGACAUAGCUAUAUCAUCCAGGAUAGUACAACAGAGCUUUUAGUGGAUGAGUUUCUGGCUUAACACUUCACAGCAAACUUCCAUUUGCAUUUGAAGGUGUCAAGUCCAUCAAGUGAAAUCAAUUAAGUCACAUAAUUCUUGUUGAGGCACUUUAUUAGCCAAUAGCUCCAACAGCAUGAAUGGCAAGUAUCAGAGGUAUUUUAGUAGCUGAAGCAUCAACGGCCAUGAAGGCAAGCUUUUGAGUGCAGGUAAGCACUUCAAUUUACAGGUCUUUGUCUUCAACCUCUUGAAGCUAUGGUGGUCAGCACCAAAUUAAACUGAUGAAGAGGAACCAAGAAGUAUUUCUUAUUUGAAAAACAAUCAUUCAUCAGCCAGUGAUCUACAAGAGAAGAAAAGGCAUGUUAGGAACAACUAAAGCAUAUUGGGCAGGGUAAUUUACAGGUAGAAAAACUCAAAAAAGCGGUUUUUCCUUUACAGUAAUAUGCUUUGAUGGGCAUUUCUGAGCAACCAAACACAAAAAAUGCUUGUGUCAAGACCAAACUUUAUAUACGUUAUGGAUCAUCAACCACAAGAAAUUUAAAAUUCAUGAACUUAUAUGGAAAGAAGCUCUAAUUCAAAGAAAACAUAUCUUGAAAGUUGUAGGUAGUUGUCAGCAGCAAUAUUUAUGAUGUCCAGCAGAAGAAUCAAGUUAGUCCAAUCACAAUAUGUAGCAUAAAUAUGAUCCGUACUUUCAUUGCAGAGUUGGGAAAUUCAUAUCACAAUUGUUUCUCUUAGUGACUAUCUGUCACAAAUUAAAUGAAAAUUGGAAGUUUUUCUUAGUUCUUUCGCAUCAUUAGGAAGUGGUGUAUCUGGGAAAUUAAGACCUCAUUACUCUUCAGAAGUGGGAGUAAAGGUUGAGUUUUUCUCCAAUAAGAUACUAAAUGUGCCCUUUUAGCCAAAGUGGGGUAGACCCUUUUACAAAAUGGUAAAGCCCACCAAUUUUAGGUUUUCCAAAGGAAACCUUUACACUGCAAAUACACCAUAUAAUUGAAGCAUAAGAAAUCCUCACCUAGAAAGAAUUUUCGUAACGAAAACGGACUUUUGCACAAGAAAAAAUUUUACGACCUAUGCUCUGUUUUUCUGAAAAUGAAGGAGCUCCUUUUGAUGCAGACACGUUCUAUACUUUUGAUCUGGAACCAUCAAAUGAUUCUAUCAAACCAAGACCUUUAUUUUCUUUACCCAUACAUAGCUGCAAAAGGCAAGUAGUAUACAAAGCAAGAGCAGAAGGACCAAGCUUCAGACGGUAGAUAUAGAUAUAAAGAAAGAGAUCCACAAAACGUUUAAAAGAGUCAACUUGACCUAGAAAUCAAGUAACUCAAUUUCCAAAGUUCCUGUUGGUAGCAAAUUCUACAAAACCCAAUCCGUGAGAAAAGCAACCGUAAUAUGGCAUGACUAACUCCUUCGAUCAUCAGCUUCUCAUUAUUUUGAUACAUAUUGUUACCUCACGAGUUAGUAAUUUGACAUGCAAAUGUAGGAAAGAGCAAAAAUUCAGAAGUAGCUUCCAAGAAAGAUGUAUAACCUUCUCAAUCUGAGAGAAAAGCACAAGUAACACCAUCGUUAACGAGCUUGUUAACAGCAUCCCUGAACUUAUAAUAAUCCUCAACUGUGUUAUACACUUGAUGGGAAAUCCUUGCAUACCCUGUUAUAGGACUAUCCUCCCCUUUUUCUGGUUCUCUAUGGUAUAUUGGCACUUCAACUUUAAAACAAUCCCUUAAAUAAGCCCUCAACUUCAAGCCAUCAGAGUGACUAAAAAUCCCCAAACAAGCAGGCAAUCCCACCAUAGCCAUGCUGGAACACAUAUGUGGAGGCACACCUAGAUGCGUCCCCCACGCCUUAGCCAACAUAAUUGCCAUUUCCACAACCUUCUCGUGAUUCCUCUUCUUAAUUCCAUCAAUCCCACCAUCAAACCUAUUCACAAAGUCCAUCACCUCUGGAACUACCAACUGAGCACUAUAGUCCCUGGUACCGAUCCAAGAACUCUCGAUCGCCAAUCCAUUCCCGUAUUCAUGUGAAACAACAGGAUGAUGCAAUUGAUUCAAAAUAUCCGAUUUUUUACAGUACAAAAACGCCACAGCUGGCGGGCAAAAAAACCACUUAUGCAGAUUACUAGUGUAGUAAUCAGCCCCAAUAUCUUUCACAUCAAUAUCCACACACCCAAUGGAGUGUGCCCCAUCAACAAAUAUCUGAUCCACAUCUUCCUCUCUACACAUCUUAACCAAUUCUUUGACAGGAAUAACAACGCUAGGCAUUGAAGUAAUAUGAUCAAUCAAAGCUAGCCUGAUUUUCCUACCAUUCAUCCUCCCCAAUUCAAGGGCCUUUCUGAAUUCUUGAAUAAUUUCUUCAUCCGAAUUCACGGGGAACGGAAGCUUCACCUCAAUAAUUUGGCCGCCGGCGCGGGCAACAUAGGCCUGGAGGGAUUUCUUGACGGCCCCAUAAGCAUAGUGGAGAAUGAUUGCCGCGUCGCCGGGCUGAAACUGGGAGGACAAAAAGGACCAGGUAACAUGCUGCAGGACAAUGGCUGCGGCCGUGGUGGCGUUAUCGACGAUGGAGAUUUCCUCCACGUGGUCGGCGUUGAUGAGGUCCCGGAUGAUUAAACGGGCUUUUAAGAUGGAGGGCUUGAGGGUGUUGAAGUAGAAAUCAUCGGGUUGUUGAAGCCAUUUGAGCUGCCAAUCUUGCUGGGCGGAGAUUACGGAGGAUGGGCAGGAACCGAAGCUGCCGUUGUUGAUGCGGGCUAUUGCGGGGUCGUGGUGGGCGAAUUCGAAUUGAAUGUCAGGUGGGGUGGUGGUGGAGCCGUUGGGAAUGUGGUGGUCGUCGGAGGCCAUGGCAGGAGGAGAGUUAAGAUGGAGGAAGAUGGAAUGGGCGAGGUGUCAUAUUCUUGGAGAGGUUUUAGUGCUCAGAGAGGGUGGAGCUGCCCAUCAGGUCAGAGCAAGCCUCUGUGUGUGUGUGUGUGAGAGAGAGAGAGAGAGAGAGAGGGAGUCUGUUUGUGAAAAUGUUCACUCAAGGUGUUAAUUAAAUAUUGCUUCAUGACAGAUGAUGAUGUUGCUUAUCAGAAAAUUUGUUUUGAUGAUUAGUGAUGAGUCAUCCACUAAGGAAGGAAGAAAUCAAGCAAUUGAUCUUGGCCAUUCCUUAAAUUUCUUUCGGUGUCUUGAUGCCAUUGAGUGGUUCCUGGUGUGAUUGGGGUAUGGUUUUUUUAUCAAACACUAAAUCAGUUUUCAGUCCGUUUGAACUGCAGAAAUGGUUCAAUUUCACGGCCAUUUUGUGGAAAGUAGAUGUUUAUACUGUACGAGGAAUUACCUAUAAGUCGCAAUUUUGUCAUUUAUUUUAUAAUUAAUUUUCUCCUAUUAUAUUAUCUUUUUUUUUUUUUUUUAUCAACACAGGGCUGUCCGGGUCAAGACCCGAAGGCGGCCCGACUAAUCCCCUGCGCCCAAGUACACCGCCACCCCAAGCGCACCGGGAGUUAAGUGGGAUUCGACCACUUGACUUUGGAGUUUCGGAAGAAGCUCAAGACCAGAUGGUCUAGCCCCGGGGGGCUCCUAUUAUAUUAUCAAGUGUGUAUUAAUCGACGGAUUCUACUCACUUUUGAAAAUUUGUAUUUAUUGCAUGGAGUUGAAAUAAAAUAUGGUAAAAGGGCACAAAUUCUUCGCUACAUCUGCUAAUUUAUGCAAUUGCUGGCCAUAUAUCCUUGUUGAACAGGAGGUGCGCAGAAUUAAUUCCUGUGACAACAAGUAAAGGCGUUGUGUAGCAGUCAAUAAGGUGGAGACUACUUCAAUUCUGUUUCCUUAUCCAAUGGAAAAUAUGCGGCAGAGGCAGACGUGGAGUCAAAUUAGAACACUUCCUUUUUCUUCUUUUGAUAGUUUCCAAAGAGAAUGGAGAUCAACAAAAAUUAGGACUCUUUUCCUUUGCUUUUAGGGGAGCGGGGUAGCCGUAUAGGAGUAGGGAAUUAGGUAGGGAAUAGAGAGGAGAAGAAUAGCAGACCAUCUUGAUUACUCUUUCGCUUCUGACUUUUUCGUAUUAUUCAUUGUUCUUUCAAUUAUUCAUUCGGAUUGAUCAUCUCAAUCGAGCGAUGAUGUAUGCAACAAUUAAUUCUACAGUUAUGCGUGAAAUUUUCUCCAUAGAGAUGAACUAAAUAUCUUUUUUUAGUCAAGAAACAACGGAGGCUUUAGUUCAUCUAAAAAUUGUGAGAUCGAAUUAAUUUUAUUUAUUCCUCUUAUUUACUGAUAUUUGUAUAUUCUCUGAUUAUAAUGCUUAUACUUGUUUUAUUAAUUGAGUAUACUGAACCCAAACGUUGAAUUAAUUAGCAACCUAAAUGUCAAUUAGAGCGUUAAAUUCGUAAUUGUUUAAUUACUCUAAAAUAGUGGCAACUGACAUGAUUGGAUUUGUAUCAGGGGAAUACGCAAGCGAAUCUAAAAUAACCCUGGUAGCGUAUUAUUUGGUUAGAAUAAGACUCCUCUAAUAUGUAAGGUAAUUGGAAAAUUAAAUCUUACGGGCAUACUUUGGAUUAUUUCUCGAUUAGAAUAAUGAUUAACGGGUGUGCCUUAGUCACUGACAUAGUAAGGAGGAGUUGACUGUCAUUCGCUUGUUUGGCAGUUAUAACUUAUUUAUUAGUUAAUAAUUGAAAUUACUUUUGCAUCGAUGAUCAAUUAGGUGAACCAUUGCCUAAAUUAUUUCUUGGUUAGAGUUUAGUCAUUAUUAAUUUGAUUUUAAUAGUUUGUCAUUUAAUUCUUAGUCGGUUAUCUAUUUUUUAUUCGAACCGUUUAAUUAUUACCACUGCUAUAAAAAAACCCUCAUUGUCAAUUUAAAUUUCAAAAGAGACAAAUAUCCCCAAUCCCUAUGGAUUCGAGCUUACUUAUCACUAUCUACAAAAAUUAUAUUUUAUUUGAACAAUAUUUAUUAUUACACAGGUUCGACAACCUGCCAAUUACUCUCUAAGACUAAUUAGAACAAUUGUAGUAGUAGUAUUAUGAUUUCAUCUUAAGUAGUAAAAAGAAGAAGAAAAUUCACAAAGAAAGCUAAUCGAGGUGAUGUUUCUUGAAUUUUGACCAUUAAUGCUUGAUAUGUGUUUUCUCGAUAUCUUGACAAUAGGAGGAUAGAGUGAUAGCAUUAUCAGGAAUUGAUGUUUGUUUGGUAUUCUCAUGUUUGAGAACAAGCAUAGUCUAGGUGUGGGGGAAAUUGAUAAGUCACAAUUUUGUCAUUUAUUUUAUAAUUAAUUCCCUCCUAUUAUAUUAUCAAGUGUGCAUUAAUCGGCAGAUUCUACUCACUUUUGAAAAUUUGUAUUUAUUGCAGGGAGUUGGAAUAAAAUAUGGUAAAAGGGUACAAAUUCCUCACUACAUCUACUAAUUGAUGCAAUUGCUAGCCAUAUAUCCUCGGUGAACAGGAGGUGCGCAUAAUUAAUUCCUGUGACAAAAAGUAAAAGCGUUGUGUAGCAGUCAACAAGGUGGAGACUACUUCAAUUCUGUUUCCUUAUCCAGUGGAAAAUAUGUGACAGACGUGGAGUCAAAUUAGGACGCUUCCUUUUUCUUCUUUUGGUAGUUUCCAAAGAGAACGGAGAUCAACAAAAACUAGGACUCUUUUUCUUUGCUUUUGGGGGAGGGGGUAGCCGUAUAGGAGUAGGGAAUUAGGUAGGGAAUAGAGAGGAGAAGAAUAGAAGACCAUCUUGAUUACUCUUUAGCUUUUGAUUUUUUCGUAUUAUACAUUGUUCUUUCAAUUAUUCAUUCGGAUUGAUCAUCUCAAUCGAGAUAUGAUGUAUGUAACAAUUAAUUUUACAGUUGUGCGUGGGAUUUUCUCCAUACAGAUGAAUUAAAUCUCUUUUUCUAGGUAAGGAACAAUAAAGGUUUUAGUUUGUCUAAAAAUUGUGAGAUCGAAUUAAUUUUAUUUAUUCCUCUUAUUUACUGGUAUUUGCAUAUUCUCUGAUUGUAGUGCUUAUACUUGUUUUAUUAAUUGAGUAUCCUGGACCAAACGUUGAAUUAAUUUAGCAACCUAAAUGUCAAUUAGAGCGUUAAAUUCAUAAUUGUUUAAUUGCUCUAAAAUAGUGGCAACUGACAUGAUUGAAUUUGUGUCAGAGGAAUAUGCAAGUUAAUCUAAAAUAACCCUGGUAGCGUGUUAUUUGGUUAGAAUAGGGCUCUUCUAAUAUGUAAGGUAAUUGAAAAAUUAAAUCUUACGGGCGUACCUAAAAUUAUUUCUCGAUUAGAGUAGUGAUUAACGGGCUUGCCUUAAUCACUAAGGAAGAGUUGACUAUCAUCGCUUGUUUGGCAGUUAUAAUUUAUUUAUUAGUUAAUAAUUGAAAUUACUUUUGCAUCGAUGAUCAAUUAGAUGAACUAAUUAUUUCUUGGUUAGAGUUUAGUCAUUAUUAAUUUGAUUUUAAUAGUUUGUCAUUUAAUUCUUAGUCGAUUAUCUAUUUUUUAUUCUAACCGUUUAAUUAUUACCACUGCUAUAAAAAACCCAUAUUGUCAAUUUGAAUUUCAAAAGAGACAAAUAUCCCCAAUCCCUGUGGAUUCGAGUCUACUUAUCACUAUCUACAGAAAUUAUAUUUUGUUUGAGCAUUAUUUAUUAUUGCACAGGCUCGACAACCUGUCAAUUACUCUCUGAGACUAAUUAUAACAAUUGUAGUAGUAGUAUUAUGAUUUCAUCUUAAGCAGCAAAAAGAAGAAGAAAAUUCACAUAGAAAGCUAAUCGAGGUGAUGUUUCUUGGAUUUUGACCAUUGAUACUUGAUAUAUUUUUUCUCGGUAUCUUGACAAUAAGAGGAUAGAGUGAUAGCCAUUAUCAAGAAUUGAUGUUUGUUUGCUAUUCUCAUGCUUGAGAACAAACAUGGUAUACGUGUGGGGGGAAUUGAUAAGUCGCAAUUUUGUCAUUUAUUUUAUAAUUAAUUUCCUCCUACUAUAUUAUCAAGUGUGCAUUAAUCAACGGAUUCUACUUACUUUUGAAAAUUUAUAUUUAUUGCAGGGAGUUGGAAUAAAAUAUGAUAAAAGGGCGCAAAUUUCUCGCUACAUCUGCUAAUUGAUACAAUUGCUGGCCAUAUAUACUCGGUGAACAGGAGGUGCGCAGAAUUAAUUCCUGUGACAACAAGUAAAGGCGUUGUGUAGCAGUUAACAAGGUGGAGACUACUUCAAUUCUAUUUCCUUAUCCAGUGGAAAAGAUACGGCAGACGCGGAGUCAAAUUAGAACACUUCCUUUUUCUUCUUUUGAUAGUUUUCAAAGAGAACAGAAAUCAACAAAAACUAUGACUCCUUUCCUUUGCUUUUUGGGAGAGGGGGGUAGCCGUAUAGGAGUAGGGAAUUAGGUAGGGAAUAGAGAGGAGAAGAAUAGAAGACCAUCUUGAUUAUUCUGUAGCUUUUGACUUUUUAGUAUUAUUCAUUGCUCUUUCAAUUAUUCAUUCGGAUUGAGUUAUGAUGUAUGCAACAAUUAAUUAUACAGUUGUGCGUGGGAUUUUCUCCAUAGAGAUGAACUAAAUCUCUUUUUCUAAUCAAGGAACAACGAAGGUUUUGGUUUAUCUAAAAAUUGUGAGAUCGAAUUAAUUUUAUUUAUUGCUCUUAUAGCAUAUUCUCUGAUUGUAGUGCUUAUGGCAGUUUUAUUAAUUGAGUAUCUUGGACCCGAACGUUGAAUUAAUGUAGCAACCUAAAUGUCAAUUAAAGCGUUAAAUCCGUAAUUAUUUAAUUGCUCUAAAAUAGUGGCAACUGAUAUGAUUGAAUUUGUGUUAGGGGAAUACGCAGGCUAAUCUAAAAUAAUCCUGAUAGCGUGUUAUUUGGUUAGAAUAGAGAUUUUCUAAUACGUGUGGUAAUUGAGAAAUUAAAAUCUUACGGGCAUACUUAGAAUUAUUUCUCGAUUAGAGCAGUGAUUAACGGACGUACCUUAGACACCGACACAGUAAGGAGGUGUUGACUGUCAUUACUUGUUUAUCAGUUAUAACUUAUUUAUUAGUUAAUAAUUGAAAUUACCUUUGCAUCGAUGAUCAAUUAGAUGAACCAUUAUCGAAAUUAUUUUUUGGCUAGAGUUUAGUCAUUAUUAAUUUGAUUUUAAUAGUUAAUCAUUUAAUUUUUAAUCGGUUAUCUAUUUUUUAUUCGAACCGUUUAAUUAUUGUUAUUGCUAUAAAAAAAACCCCAUUGUCAAUUUGAACUUCAAAAGAGACAAAUAUCCCAAACCCCUGUAAAUUCGACGUUGCUUAUCACUAUCUACAAAAAUUAUAUUUUAUUUAAGUAGUAUUUAUUAUUGCACAAACUCGAUAACCUGUCAAUUACUCUCUGAGACUAAUUAGAACAAUUGUAGUAGUAGUAUUAUGAUUUCAUCUCAAGCAGCAAAAAGAAGAAGAAAAUUCACAAAGAAAGGACAGUAAUAACCGAACAGGGCAUUUACGAAAUGAGAAGCCCACCAGCCGCUGCCGGCCACUCUUGUUGGAGAUUGUGGUUUCAUCGAACUUCAUUCCAAAAACCGAAUCAGAAAAAGAACCAGCCAAACAGGAUAGCAAUACUUGAUACGACAUAUUAACAGAAUCUUUUUUUUUUUGGUGCAAAGGCCAAACAGGAACUUCUUUUGUAAUUCUAAAACAUAUAUAUUUGGAUAGGGUAUUAUUUGAAAUAAUUACUAUAACACUUUUUGUGAUAUGAUGUAUGUGAGAUAAAAAGGUAAUUAGAAAGAUAAAAAACUGUAUUGAAAAUUGUAAUAGUGAUGUCAGCAAAUAUAUUUGACCAAAUAAUCAACUAUCCAAACAAACCCAUUAUAUUGUCUUUAAACAACAGCAUUUUUUUUCAUCAUAAUUAAAUAUUUGAGAAGAAUCAGAUGAAGGGAAAUUCAACAAGCCAACACCAGUAUAGUGCAUAGUGUUCGCUGCGAUGGAAAAAGAAUUAUGUGCCCAUCACUUGAAUAUGCUUGAGAACUAGUGGCAACUCCAGAGGGCAAAUGAAACUACUUGGCUAGACAAUAAAUAAAACUGUCAUUUCGUAAGUUGACAAACGACACAACCACCCUUCCAUUUUUUUAUUUUUAUUUUUGGUUGGAUAAAACGGCGAAAUGUAUUAAAAGCAACCACCCUUCCAUGCUUACAACCAACCUUCCACCUUUUUUGAUAAAACUUUUGAUUGCUUACAAUACAACCACCCUUCCCCAUGCAGAAUAGUUUAUAAAACAUGCAAAUGCCCACUUUUAGGAGAGAAACUCACAGGAGACACUGUAGUUUUACAAAUAUCAAAACUUGAAUGUGUUAAUUACUACUUUUUCUUGUCAAAAGCAGCUAUAUUUUGUGGCUCACAUUCAGGACUAAACAGCCGGACAAGCAAAGCUGUAGAUGAGCUUGCAGUGAUUGCUCCACAGGCAGCCCACCUAAGACUUCGAGGAAUUGUAAUUCUGGGACCUGAACCACCAUCAAAGUCAUUUGGAUAAUUACUACAUGGAAAUUGAAACGAUACUAAUUCCAGGCUGCAAAAUGAUGGGCACUAAAACAAACUCAUAAUAUGCCAAACGAGUAAUAUAUACUUGGAAGUAGGACUGUUUUGAAAUUGAUCAUGUAAAAUAUAAGCAGAAGGACCAUCUUCAACAAACCAGUAUCAACAGGUAGAGAUUGCAAAGACAACAAAAUCUGGGAUAUCAAGCUCAUUCUAAGAAUGUAAAUAUGUACCAGAAACAAAAGAGACGGUUCUACAAUAAAAUUCUUUCUUCCACUUUAAAAUUUUAUUUUUCCCUGUGUAUUUCUUCUUCCAUUUUCUUUAUCAGUUUCUUUCAUUUUUGGUUGGACAGGAGGGGAAGUGGGACAGGGAGAGAGGAUCGCAAGGGACAAGGUCUGCAAGUUGUAUUGCAAUUCCUUGGCAUUGGUAAAGGGGAACUUGGAAGCACUUGCUUAGUUGUAUUACUGGUUUGUUGAAGUGGGACAGGGAGAGAGGAUCGCAAGGGACAAGGUCUGCAAGUUGUAUUGCAAUUCCUUGGCAUUGGUAAAGGGGAACUUGGAAGUAGGACUGUUUUGAAAUUGAUCAUGUAAAAUAUAAGCAGAAGGACCAUCUUCAACAAACCAGUAUCAACAGGUAGAGAUUGCAAAGACAACAAAAUCUGGGAUAUCAAGCUCAUUCUAAGAAUGUAAAUAUGUACCAGAAACAAAAGAGACGGUUCUACAAUAAAAUUCUUUCUUCCACUUUAAAAUUUUAUUUUUCCCUGUGUAUUUCUUCUUCCAUUUUCUUUAUCAGUUUCUUUCAUUUUUGGUUGGACAGGAGGGGCAGUGGGACAGGGAGAGAGGAUCGCAAGGGACAAGGUCUGCAAGUUGUAUUGCAAUUCCUUGGCAUUGGUAAAGGGGAACUUGGAAGCACUUGCUUACAUGUUCAAGUUGUUUGAAGAAAUGAAAAAAUAAAAUUAAUUUCAAGAGUAGCAUGAAUCACCAAAAGCAAAUUGCAGGUCUCCACAGAGCAAAGAAUCAAGAUAUAAAAUCCAUUCUGGAUUAGGUAUUUUUUGGAUUUUUUUUUAACAAAACUACAGUGUAGAUGUGUUUUCCAGAUUAAUUAACUUCAGAGAAUAGUAAGAAGAUCUUCAACAUAGAAAGACGAACAGGGCACAUGGGGAGGAAACGUCACAAUUAAUCAGCGCAUACCAUAAUGCAGGCGACAGAGAACCCAAAAUCCUAAUGCUCCACCAACAGAGAAAAUCCCAGCCGUUUGUCUCAUCAACCGGGAACAGGGUUUAGCAUCUGAUCUCAUUAACUCCCCAUCAGAAAACCCCAAAAAGCGCCUCAAUGCCAUAGGCUGGCUAGUUUUUGGCCCAAAAUUCCAGUUUUCACCUCUAAACCAAAAGUACCAAAAGAUUCAGUGCAAUACAACUGCAAUAACCUUAAGAAAAAUGGGGAGAAAGGUCAAAUAGUGUGAAUGAGAGAGAAGCAAAAUCAGCAAGAACAAAACUUUGACGACUCAAAAGAGAAAUUUCCAUGUAUUCAAGAAAUAUGACUUCACUCUGUUAACACUAACUGCAUUUUAUUUAUAGAACUCUCAUUAGGACAAAUAUUUCAUGGGAGCAUGGGUUUGUUUAAUUUGCAGUGAAUUGCAUUCCUACUCAUAUACAGAAGUAACCUCGCAUCAGGAAAAACCAAGAAACCAUCAAACAAAUAAACGGAUAAAUUUUUUUGUAAAGUUUCAAACUUUGGAUAAGCAAUGCCAUUACAAGCAAAAAUUUGACUGGGACAUUUUGUCGAACAAAUGCAUAGCAAAACCAAUAAAAGAACUACUAACUACCGGCAGCUUCAUAUUUCCCUACCACCUCCAGAAACCCCCCCAGAACAAUUAAGGGACACAAAAGGGUUCAGAUUUUACCUGUUGAAGCUUCUAGCAGAAGGGUUUGUGGAGGGUUUUAAGCUAGCGUUGCUCGAACUUUGCUCAGUAUUUUUGCGUAGUUGCACUUGGGCUAAUUACUUAGAAUAUGGCUGAGGAAAAGAAAAUUCGGACAUCUACGGCUUUGACAGGGAUAUGUUGCAUACUUAUGGGUGCCGGGCUGAUACAGCCCGGUACCCAAAAGCGAGUCCAAUUUUUUUUUUUCACUCUGAUACGCUGCCGGGCUGACAAGGCCCGGUAGCCGACAACCUCUGCACAAAGCAAUCUUACUAAGCAUUUAGCGCUAAAGCUGUAAUAGCACAAACAUGCUUAGGUGGAAUAGGUCAUUUCAUUUUGUGAGCCAUCAUAUCCAUACUCAAGAAGAAUAAAAUACGUAAUUGUCUGGCCUGUGAAGUCAAGCUUUGUAAAUUAGCAUGCACAAUGAAAAAAAUCAGUUGCAAGCUCAUUAAAUCCCUGUACACCAAUUAGAGUUUAAACAAAGCCACAAUGCCCAGCCCACCUCCAAUCCUGUCCCUGUCCUCUGUAUCAAAAGCAAAGAAACAAAAAGAGGAGCAGAAGUAUCUGCAGUUUACCAUACCACAAUAUGUCCAAAAACUGUGAAAAAAGGGGAGAGAGAGGGAAAAAAAUUUUAAAAGGAAAAAAAAAUUUUAAAAAGGGCUACUGGAAAGAAGUAUGCUUACAUUAGCAAGAAUAAUAGAAGAAAAUUUAAAAAAAUCACAUAAAAAUGAAGCUUUCACGACAUUGUUACCUGAAUGUAAAUUAGAGUGUAAUGCAGUGGGUAAAGUCGAGCUAAUUUACCAAUUGAAUCCAAAAAUACAAGAAGGUUGAGACAAGAACUCUUGAUUCAAUGGACUAAAGAGUUAGCAGUCUCUACAUUAUACCCCAAUAGCAGAGUUCACAGUGGCAAGACAAAUCUAGAAAAAUAAAUUAUGCCAUAUUAGUCAAAAGUGCUCAGACAGGAGCACCUUCUGUUUAAUCCCUUUCUUCUGCUUUCUCUGAUGGUGGGUAAAUACUCGAGUGAACAGGAACUAAUAUUAGAAAUUUAGCAAAUUUGACAGAUACGAUAAGAAUAAAUGUUGAAAAAAAGGAACCAAUUUGCUUGACAAGAGAACAAAAGAAAAUUUCCCAACAGUACUUCAAGCUAACACUCAAAAAAUGUCCCAUUACGCAGGUUCAAGAGGAGGAAGAAAUGAUGCCCCAAGAAAAAAAAAAUCACAUUAAGCAAAGGGGAUUAAGUACGGUAAAGCUUACGCAAAUGCAGAGCUUUAUAGAUACUAAAAACAGAAAAUAACGCCAGAAAACAGAGCGGAAGCACAAAAUUUCCACCAUGUUUUUUUUUGUUUUGUCAAUAAAAGAAAAAGAAGAAAAAAAGGCCUCUACAAAAUUUUACCUCAAAAGAUGGAGGAGGAGAGACAGAGCGGGUAGUGACCAGUGAAAGACGACAACUGUAAACGAGGUCCAAAUGUAUGUGGCUCCACCGUCAGUAACUACGGCGGCGACAACGAGAAUCUCCGGCAGCAAUCGCAGGGUUUUUGGAGAGCUGAAAAUGCUUCCUCAAAACCCUAAGAAGCAGUAAGAAAAAUGGUCAGCAAGAAAAAUGGGUUUUGGUUUAGUAGCUUCUUUGGUGGGGCGCUGAAAAAGUGAAAAAGCUGUAGAGUCACUUCCUCCACUCCACCUUGGAUCUCUCAUGCAGUUCUAUCAUUAUAAUUUCCUUGUAUUCCUAAAGCUUAUUGUAGUGGGGAUAAUCCACGCAUGACACGUGUUAGCCCGGCACAUUGCACGCAUCAGGUCGGCGCAGGGGAUAUCAAAUCCUGCCCGGGCCAGCUCGGCAUAAGGGGGCCAGCUCGGCCGUGUCAAGGGCCUCCUAUGAUGGGCUUGAUGGGCCGCCGCCUCCGAACAUGUAGGGGCCGCCGCAUAAAAUCCUAGGAAGACUCCGAACCCUAAGGGGACUUUGACUCCCAUAAGGAAACUACAACUCAUCCGGUCCUAUAUAUACUACGCUACCAAGACUACACAAGGUACGCUGACACAAGUAUUCUCUACUACUACUAUACUCUCCGGCCAAACUGACUUGAUCGUCGGAGCUAUUCCAGGGACUUUCGUCCCGCCUCCGGUUUUCUCUUUUCAGGACCCCCAGCUCGACUCGCCCUUGCAGGUCGGCAGCACCUGAACAACCCGGCCGUCUUAACUCAGCUCGGAUACGAUUUUUGGCAGUCGCAUCAAUUGGCGCCGUCUGUGGGAACGAGUAUUCUCUUUUUUCGCGAAAAACAUGCCAAAGACUAGGUCGCAGAGGAAUGCUGGCGGAUCCAAGGGGACCGAGCGAGGUGGCCCUCAAAACCCCUCUCGGGGUCCCACACCCGGAGAAGGAGGGGCAGGGCCCUCACGAAUCCCGCCUGAACAACUGGUUCAGACGGUGGCAGAAAACCUGCCCACCUUCGAGGCAAUCAUGGACUACCUCAAGGGGCAGUCGGAAGGUCAUCAGGACAAGGAGACAAAGGUUCAGGGAGCAGAUCAGUCCGAGUCCCGAACUGGAAGUCCUACCAAAACUGGGGCCAAGCGGGCACGCCGGGAGGUCACGCGCGAGCAAGUCGAGGUCAUGGAGCCUUCUCACAAGAACUCCCGAACUGAACACCCGGAGCCCGUCCGGAGGCUCCCCAGGGGAGACCUCUCCCCCCGGAAAGAACGACAGCAGGUGCAGGACGAACUGGACCUACUUCUGGACCCGGAAGCGGACAGGUACAUUGCUUCCCCCUUUGUGCUCGAUAUCGAGGAAUACCAACUACCUGCGAAGUUCAAAAUUCCAAACAUGAAACCUUACGACGCGACCACGGAUCCGGAGGACCACCUGUUCGUGUUCAUGACGCAGAUGCGUUUACAAACCGCCGCGGAUGCAGUCAGGUGCAAAACCUUCCCAAUGUUCCUAGAAGGAAGGGCCCGGCAGUGGUUCCAGGGACUCCCCCCUAGGUCGAUCAGUUCUUUCCCUCAGCUCGCACGGCAGUUCUCAGCACAGUUCGUUUCUUCGCGAGCCUACUCUAAAAGCACCGCUCACCUCAUGACUAUCCAACAGAAGCCCGAGGAGUCCUUGCGCGAGUACAUGGUGCGCUUCAAUAAUGAGUCCCUCCAAGUUCGAGAUCGCGACGACAAGGUGGUCAUGGCCGCCUUCAUCAAUGGGCUGCGCAAGCAAAAGCUGUACACCGAGCUUGUGGAGAGACCUCCCAAGUCAGUUCGGGAGAUGCUGGACCGAGCCCAUGAGAAGGCCAACGCGGAGGAGGCCAAUCGCCUUAAGAGUGCACAGGAAAAAUUGAGGGAUGACAAGCGCAGGAGGGGCGCCGACCAGGUGAGGGCGCGGCCUGACCAGGGAAGGAAGAUUGCUUAUGACCGUCUCCCCAGGAACCGCCCAAUGGGAGAGGACAAAUCUUGGACUGGCCUCACGGCACCUAGAGCUCGAGUACUCGCAGUGAUGGAGCAGGAGGGGCUAUCCAGACCUCCUCGGCCCUUGGCCGGGGACAGAAGCAGACGGGAUCAAGGUCUGUAUUGCGCCUAUCACCGGGAUGUGGGGCAUGAUACGGAGGAUUGCCGUCACCUCAAGAAAGAUAUUGAAAAGCUGAUCAAACGAGGCCAUCUGGGGCAAUUCGUACGGGAGGAACGAGCUGACCAACAACGGGGAAGGCCCAGGUCGGAACGUCCGAGUUACUUCCAGGACCGACCUCAGUUGCCCCGUGGCCGAACUCCCGAGCAAGAAAUACAGAACCUGGCAGGGGUGAUUAAUACUAUUGCCGGGGGACCUGCUGGCGGAGAUAGCCAUGCAGCUCGGCGGCACAAUCGCCCACCUCCCACGGGGGAGAGCUCGGCCAAGCGAUUGAAGAUGUAUGAGGAAAUAAUCUAUGGACCUGAGGACGCAGUCCCUUUGGCCUCUAAUAAUCAUGAAGCCAUUGUAAUAGAAGUCAUCACCUGUAACUUCAAGGUGAGGAAGGUGUAUAUAGACAACGGGAGUGCCAUAGACGUGCUUUAUUAUAAGACCUUCAAGGAGCUGCAGCUGGAGGAUAGACAGCUCGUACCGGUUCGAACUCCGUUGAUCGGCUUUGCUGGUCCUCCUGUGAGGCCGGAAGGGAUGAUCACUCUCCAGGUCACGGUGGGGGUGGCCCCGAGGUGCCGGACGAUCCCAGUAAACUUCGCGGUGGUUAAGGAGCCGUCAUCCUACAACAUGAUCCUGGGACGUCCCACGUUGAAUGCCCUCCGGGCUGUUUGCUCUACCUUGCACCUCAGCAUGAAAUUUCCUACUUCUGCGGGGGUGGCUGAGGUGCUGGGAGAUCCAGAGGUGGCAAGGGCGUGUUAUAUUGCCACCCUCAAGGGUAAAGAAAAACUGGUAGCUCAGACCAUUUGUCUGGAAUCCUGGGAACCCCUGGAGAAGGGAGAAAGAUUGGAGACAGACGAGGGAUUGGCCGAGCUGCCCGUCCAGCCCGACCGACCUGAGCGCACGGUAAAGGUCGGCGCCGGCCUGGGUGAGCUGAUCAGAAGUUCUUUGGAACCUCUCUUGGAGGAGUACGCUGAGAUUUUUGCUUGGAGUGCUGAUGACAUGCCAGGAAUCCCCACCGAGCUGGCAGUCCACAGGCUACAUGUGGAUCCCAACGUCCGGCCAGUAAAGCAGAAGAAGAGGAACUUCGCUUCUGAGCGAAAGGAGGUCGUCAAGAGCGAGGUGGGAAAGUUGCUGGAGGCUAAGAUCGUUAAGGAAGUCUACUUUCCGACCUGGCUGGCCAAUCCGGUGCUGGUCAAGAAAGAAGAGAAAGCUUGGCGGAUGUGUGUGGAUUUCACUGACUUGAAUAAGGCUUGCCCAAAGGACUGUUACCCACUCCCACGGAUUGAUCAGCUCGUGGACUCGACAGCGGGCUAUGAGAUCUUCUGUUUUUUGGACGCCUUUAAGGGGUACCAUCAGAUAGCCCUAGACGAGCAGGAUCAAGAGAAGACCUCGUUCAUCACCGAGGACGGGACAUAUUGUUACGUUACCAUGCCGUUUGGGCUAAAGAACGCAGGUGCGACCUAUCAGAGGUUGGUGAACAAGCUGUUUAGAAAUCAGAUCGGUCGGAACCUGGAAGUCUACGUGGAUGAUAUGCUGGUAAAAAGUCGAACCCAGGAGCAGUUCAUCUCCGACCUGAGGGAAAUUUUCGAGGUCCUUCGGAGCUCACGAAUGCGGCUAAAUCCCAAAAAAUGUACUUUUGGGGUCAGGUCGGGAAAGUUCCUGGGCUACAUGAUUUCUAAGGAAGGGGUGAGAGCUAACCCAGAUAAGAUCAAGGCUAUCAUGGACAUGGCUCCACCCCGGAAUAUUAAGGAUGUGCAACGCCUAACGGGGAGGAUGGCAGCCUUGAACAGGUUCCUGUCCAAGUCGGCAGUUCGGGGGUCGCCUUUCUUCAAAGCCCUGAAAGGAGGUCGGCAGUUCGAGUGGAAUCUGGAAUGCCAGAGGGCGUUCGAUGAGCUGAAAAUCCACCUCGCUCGGUUGCCAGCCCUAACAUCCCCCGAGUUGGGAGAGACCCUGUUCAUCUACUUGGCUGUGGGUGAGGGAGCUGUUAGCGCGGUGCUGGUGCGAGAGGAGAACAAGGUACAGAAGCCCGUAUAUUAUGUUAGCCACGCCCUGCAGGGGGCCGAGGCCAGGUACUCGGCGGUGGAGCGAUAUGUUUUGGCAUUAGUACACGCAGCUCGGAAACUCAGGACGAACUUUCAAGCUCACCCCGUAGUAGUCAUGACGGACCAGCCCCUGAAGCAGAUCCUUUCCAAACCCGAGUCCUCGGGUCGAAUGGUGAAAUGGGCUGUGGAGUUGUCCGAAUACGACCUGGGAUAUCAGCCCAGGACGGCCAUCAAAGCCCAAGCCCUGGCGGACUUCAUAGCGGAUGGUGUUUCCUUUGGAUUGCCCGAAGCGGAGGUCGGUCAGGUCAGGAAUGUACAGGCCGGGAACGAUGGAAAAGAUGCUAAAAAGGCACAUAACGGACAAGCAGCAAAGCCCUUACAGACCCCAAAGACUACCAAGGCCACUCAGGCCCGAGAAGCAGUAGAGGUCUUACAGGCCGGAGACGCUGCUGAGAUCAUCCAGGCCAUACAGGUAGCGGAGGAUGGACCGUCCGAAGAAGCAGCUGAGGCCCAGCAGGCCGAAGAAGCUGCCAAGGACAGGCAGGCCGGAGAAGCGGCUGAGGUCGAACGGACCCAAGGAACUGCCCAGGUCGGAAAGACCAAGGGGGCAGCUAAGGUCGGGCGGGCCGAAGAUGCCGUUGAGGCCACGCAUCCAGAAAAAGCGGCAAAGGCAGACCUGUCUGGGAAGGCUGCCCGGGCUGGAAAGGACACAGAAGCUGCAGAUCCCACCUGGACAUUAUACGUGGAUGGCGCAUCAAGUAAGGAAGGAUGUGGUGCAGGGCUCUUCUUAAUUAGCCCCACUGGGGAGGAGCUGCCCUACGCCCUGAGGUUCGAUUUUAGAGCCUCUAACAACGAGUCAGAGUACGAGACUCUGAUUGCGGGGAUGGAGAUGGCCCGAAGGUUGGGGGCCAGAUCGAUAAAAGUCUACAGUGAUUCACAGCUGAUAGUGAACCAAGUAGGGGGGAGCUAUGAGGUCAAAGAAGGCUCACUAAGAAAGUACGUGGCUAAAACAUGUGAACUGAAGGGUCAGUUCGAGCAGUUCACGCUCGAGCAGAUUCCGCGGAGCCAGAACAAGCGAGCCGACGCCCUGUCUAAACUAGCCUCCACCUCGACUGGCUUCUCAGGUCGGGAAAUACUGGUAGAGGUCGUCAGAAGUCGGGCCUAUGAACAGGUAAGCGCUGCAGUCAUUCAGGUAGUGAGCUCCUGGAUGGAUCCUAUCAUUCAGUAUCUGGUUCGGGGGGAGCUUCCACCAAGCAGGACGGAGGCUCGCAAAAUCCUCAUCAAGUCACAGAAGUACGCACUCACACAUGGAAUUUUGUACAGGAAAUCUUACUUGCAGCCCUGGUUGAGGUGCAUAACGCCUGAGGAGGGCAACUACGUCUUACGCGAGCUGCAUGAAGGCAUCUGCGGCAACCACGUCGGCCCGAGAGUAUUAGCCAAAAAGGGAAUGUUGGCUGGAUACUAUUGGCCAACCAUCUUUAGGGAUUCAGCUGAGCUGGUAUCCAGGUGUAGGUCUUGCCAGCUGCACGCCCCCGUACAUCACACCCCCACUCAGGAAAUGAUUCCUCUCAGCAGCCCGUGGCCAUUCUUCCAAUGGGGUAUUGACCUGUUAGGACCGUUUCCCCGAGCCCUCGGGGGCUGUGAGCACUUGGUAAUAGCCAUUGAUUAUUUCACCAAAUGGGUAGAGGCCGAACCCCUCAACACGAUCAGCAGCAGAUCGAUCCAGAAGUUCCUUUGGAAGAGCAUAGUCUGCCGAUUUGGCAUACCGAAGGUUCUUGUCUCGGACAAUGGCAGACAGUUCGCUGACCAAUCUCUUCAAGAGUGGUGCACGGAGCUCGGCAUCCAGCAGCACUUCUCCUCAGUAGGGCAUCCCCAGGCCAAUGGGCAGGUCGAAAAUGUCAACAGAACCAUCCUGCAUGGCCUAAGGACGAGGUUAGAGUCCGCCCGAACUAGUUGGCUAGAGGAGCUACCUACCAUACUAUGGGCUUACCGGACAACACCUCGAACAGUCACCCAGGAGACUCCAUUCGUCUUGACGUAUGGGGUCGAGGCGGUAAUACCCGCAGAGGUCGGAAUACCCUCAGGUAGGGUGCAACACUUUGUGGCUCAAGAUAAUGAGGAGGAGAUGCGGCUUAACUUGGACCUGAUCGAACACCGAAGGGAAGAGGCGGCUAUACGGAUGGCUAAGUACAAGGGCCAGGUCGCACGCUACUACAAUGCUAGGGUAAGACACCUUUCUUUCAAGCCAGGAGACUUGGUGUUACGCAAGAACUCCGUCAGCCGAGCUGUGGGCACGGGAAAACUAGACCCAAAUUGGGAAGGUCCCUACGUGGUGAAAGAGGUCGGCCGGGCAGGUUAUUCCAAGCUGGCUCGCCUGGAUGGAAGCGAAGUCCCGCGUACCUGGCACAACUCAAACCUGAGACUUUUUCUUUAGUACCCUGCCCGAGCUGAGGUGACCAGCUGGACAGGUCUGCUCUUUGCUUAUCUAGCUCACUUUACUAGUCCACUUUAUUAGUUAGCUCGGCCUGGACGGGCGUCUCUCAAUCUAGAAGUUUUUCCUUUAGUAGUUUGCCUGAGUCUGAGGUAGUCGGCUGGACAGACUUAUUCUUCAUUAGUUCAGUACUAAGAAUUAUAAAUGUACUCGAAAACAUGGAAUAAAAGAAAAUUUUUACAAGUGUUGGGUAAGAAAAGAGGCUGUUCAUUCCAUUUCAAAAGGACAUACAUAAGGGGGGCCAUACAAAAGCGAGCUGGCCGAGCUCGGAUCUAAGCCUAGCCUAAUAGACCUGCCUAAGGCACUACCUCUCUAGUUCUCCCCUUGUUGUUCUUGCUCCGGCUCGGGGGAGGUCGCGGGCAGAGCAGGGUCGGCGACCAAGGCGGCCAGGUCGCGCCCGUUGGAAUAGCCCGUGACAAGUCUGUCAAUCUGAUCGGCGGCCUGGGGAUUGUAGUCAGGCCAUUUGCUCAGGUCAAAGCCCGGUAAGUUCAAGGACUGAACAUCCACCAUGGCUUUGGUGUAGCCGAGCUGCAAGACGGGGCCAUUCAAGAUGGCCAGAUCAUUCAUGAAGACAUCGGACUUUUUGAAGUCCUGAACGCCUAGCUGGCGCCCUUCCGCUCUCGCCGUCUCAGUCAGUUCGGCUGCUUUCUUCUGCUCAGCCUCGAGCUGGGUAGUUAGUUCGGCGGUCUUUUUCUUUUCCAGCUCGCAGGCAGCCUGGGAGUCAGCGAGCUGCUUCUUCGUAGCCUCCAGCUUUGCCUCGGCCGCCUCAAGCUGACUGGACAGCCUGUUCUUGGCUGCAUCAGCCUGGGAGAGAUUCUCUCCCAUGUUUUCAUAUCGCUGAGCCAGCUCGGCACCGGCGACGUUGAGCUGCAGGUCCAACUGUGAGAAGUCUACGGAUUAAAGAUACUAAUAAAGUACCAAGUGAAGAAGCUACCUGGGCUGCGCUCAGGUAGUAGUGCGACAGCAACUCGGAGUUGGAUGCGAGCUGGAUAAAGUGAUGGUCGCGUGGGAGCACCGAACCUUUGACGAGCUCUCGAGCAGCCUCUGGAAACUGAGCUCGGUCAUUCAUCGACAACCCCCACUUCGGGCAGAAAUGGAGGGGGUGGGGGUGUGUGCUCAGCUCGGUGGGGGGCUUGAGAGGAAUGAUGUUCCUCGUCCGCCACAUCGAAGGGGGCGACUCAGAUGAGGCCUGCAGCUCGGCAGUGUUGACCCCAUAGUGCUCCGUGGAAGCGCCAGUAGGAGAUGGUUGGGGCGUAGGUGUAGCCGAGGUGGUCACCUCGGUCCUGGCUUUCUUGGCGGUGGUCUUCCUCCUCUUCUUUUUGGGUUCCUCCAAGGGGGUAGACUGAGCUGCGGGAAUAGGCUCUGGUGGGGGAGGAGCCACAUCACCAGGAGCUGAGGAGGGUACCGAGGUAGCCGCGCGCGAGCUGCCUGUCCCUCCUAUGUUCAGAAGCUGGGAGAACCUCUUCACUGAGAGCAAAGAAAGGGGUCAGUUCGUGCGGCAAAGGAAAAGAAAGGAAAGCAAGGAAAAGAAUAUCAAAGGGAUUACAAGCUGUAAGCUCCUCGGGUGUGAGAGGUCGGAGGUCAGGCGCAGGGUCGUUCACCUCUGCUCGAAUCAGCCCCGCCGACCGGAGCUGGGCGUUGCUAAAUUCCUUCACCGAUAAUCGAGCAUCCGAGCUAACCAGGAGGUCCAGCUCGGCCGCAGGAAGAGGUGAAGGAAUGGGGUCGGACACCUGGGUCUCCUCCCUCCAGGUCAAGGGAGGAAAGCCCGUGUUCUUCACAUAGAAGAACUGAGCUUUCCAGCCCUUAAUGGAAGAAGGAGUGUGCGUGAACAGUUCGCGGGUGGGGAGUUCUCCCCCGCUCCUGCGAGCAAAAUAAAACCAGCCAUGAACUGGCCCGCUCACCUUCAUUUGGAAGAAUGACCUGAAAAGGUCUAGGGAAUAGGGAAUUUCGAGGACUCGGCACAUCAUAAAGAAGCCGAAGAUCGAUCUGAUGGCGUUUGGAACGAGCUGGGUUAUUCGAAUUCCCCAAAAGGUUAGAAUUUGGUAAAGGAAUUGGGGAAUGGGAAGACGGAGACCAGCUAUGAGCUGAUCCCUGUAGAUGGCCACAAACUCAGAAGGAGGUCAGCAAGCAUACUCCCCUGGUCGGGCAGCCUUAGCCUCGAACUGGAGGGGGAUAUCAUACCUCCCCACCAGCUCGUCCACACUUCCCUGGUCUAGGAUAGGGGGGAUAAGCUCGACUUCCCCGAAGUCGAUAUCCGGCCCCCUGGAAGGUCCCGCCCUAGUCCGAGCUGGAGUUACCUCUAGGGGAAUCCCUAGGUCGGCAGCCCCAACGUCAGGUCGGGCAGGCUGGUUGGGUUGGUCCAUCUCUAAAGUGGGAGAGUGUAUGGGGGAAGGUAGGUAUUCCGACGAGCUGGAAGAAGAAGAGCUAGAGGAGGAGGAGAUUAUCUCUAUAGGUGCAGGUCGGGCUACUCUACGCCUAGGUACCGAGCUAGUGAUAUCUGAGUGCGUGGACGAAGAAGACAUAAAAGGGAAAAGAAGACUUACUAGUGGAUGAGGAGCUGUUGUGUGCUUAGGGGGAAGCGCUACUCUGGAGUUCUCUAGGCAGGAGGCGAGCUGAUGGGAUUUGUGAAAGAAGAGAAAUGAGAAGGGAGGUGUGAAAGUGACGUCUUGUAGGGCCUAUUUAUAAGCCCCCUGGGCGGGAAGCCGAAAGGUCCCGAGUUGGAAAUUUGAAUUUAUUGCUAAAAGACGGUUGACCUGGAGAAACGCUUGAGCUGACAACCGCCAUCAUGGGGGACGUGACUCUUGAAGUGACGGUUAUGACAGCAAACGUGGCAGUUACUCGGACAAGGCGCGCUGUCGUGGGAUUGUGGGCCCUACUGCAGGCUGACCUGACGCUUCGAAAUUUGGUCCAGACUCACAUGACCUAUCAGUGACUCUAGACUCAAGGGGGGCUAGUGUAGUGGGGAUAAUCCACGCAUGACACGUGUUAGCCCGGCACAUUGCACGCAUCAGGUCGGCGCAGGGGAUAUCAAAUCCUGCCCGGGCCAGCUCGGCAUAAGGGGGCCAGCUCGGCCGUGUCAAGGGCCUCCUAUGAUGGGCUUGAUGGGCCGCCGCCUCCGAACAUGUAGGGGCCGCCGCAUAAAAUCAUAGGAAGACUCCGAACCCUAAGGGGACUUUGACUCCCAUAAGGAAACUACAACUCAUCCGGUCCUAUAUAUACUACGCUACCAAGACUACACAAGGUACGCUGACACAAGUAUUCUCUACUACUACUAUACUCUCCGGCCAAACUGACUUGAUCGUCGGAGCUAUUCCAGGGACUUUCGUCCCGCCUCCGGUUUUCUCUUUUCAGGACCCCCAACUCGACUCGCCCUUGCAGGUCGGCAGCACCUGAACAACCCGGCCGUCUUAACUCAGCUCGGAUACGGUUUUUGGCAGUCGCAUCACUUAUAUUCAUUUAAGCUUUGAUUCUUCAGGCCAGUGUUUUGUGGUUUUAUUGGUUGCUUCACUUUAUGCAAUUUAAUUAUAUGUACAACUUUUGCUAAUGAUGUCAACAUAUUAAGGUCUAUUCUUCAGGCCCAUUUUUUUCUUUGUCCAUAAGCCCUGCCGAGCGCUUUGGAAUUUUGUUUUAAAGAAAUUGGACUGCCGACCACAGCUUUGUGCAGAGGUUGCCGGCUACCGGGUCUUGUCAGCCCGGGAGCCGAUAAUUUUAUAAAAUAAAAAAAAAAUUUCGUUGCCGAGCUGUGUCAGAGUGAAAAAAAAAAAUUUGGACUCAGUCCGGUACCCAUAAGUAUGCAACAUAUCCCUGCCAGAGUGGUAGAUGUCCGAAUUUUCUUUUCUUCAGCCAUAUUCUAAGUAAUUAGCCUUGCACUUGUUCUCUAGACCCUGGCUUGGCAUUGCAGAUAGAGAUAAAACUGGAGAUUGGACCUGUUAGCCCGAGUCCAAACGGAGGAAACAGGGUUGCUUCUGUUUUUUUUUUUUUUACAAACGAGGUUGCUUCUGUUGGAUCCAAGGAAAAGUCCAAAACGUCCUUUAGAAUCUUGGACAAGAAAAAGAACACCCAUCUCAUGACUUGUUUUUUGUUCAUUAGAGGGUUGAUCAGCUGCCCUAUGAAGCUUCAAGGAAAUUUCAAAAAAGAGAAUGCUUGAUGCUUUUUUCCCCUUUUCGUGAUGCUUCAACAGAUUUUAAAGUACUCGAACUUUGGGUCUGUUUGGAACCUGAGUUUUUUGGGAAUUUGUCUAAAAAUUUACUGUAGUGUACUGCAGAAGUUUUUGAAAAAAUUUUGUAGAAAUUUUUGUAAGGUGAAAAACAUUUUUUUCCUUUUCUUUUUCUUUUUCUCUUUCUUUUUCUUUCUUUCCUCUAUUCUUCUUCUUCUUCCUUCCCCCUCCCCCUUCCCCGUUACUCUCUGCCUCCCACCUCCAGCACCUCCGCCAGCACCACUUCUCUUCUUUUUUUUUUUUUUUGCUUUUCUGCUCUCCCUCUCCCUCUCCUUCCCCGCCACUCCCAAACUUUUCCACCAUCCCUUUCCUCUCUACUCUGCCCGCCACCCCUCUCUCUCCCUCCCUCGCCACCCCCUCUGCUCGCCACCCCUCUCUCUCCCUCCCCCGCCACCCCCUCUACCCACCAUCCCUUUCCUCCCCUCUCCCCCGCUAACCCCCUCUACCUACCACCCCUCCCUCUCCCUCCACCGCCACCCCUUUCCUCCCCUCCCCCUCGCACUCCGAUGAUAGAGGAAGGCCGGCCAUGGACCAUUAAUUUUUUUUAGCUUUUUUUCUCAGAACCACCACCCCUCCCCUCUUCCCCUCUCCCUCCUCCGCCACCCUCCCCCUCUCCCUUUGUGAUUUGGUCGAGCGACCAGAUCGUACCUAGCAGGAGGGGGAGGGUGGCGGGGGAGGGAAAGGGGAGGAGAGGGGGUGAGGGAAAGGGGAGGAGAGGGGGUGAGGGUGAGGGACAGAAAAUUUUUUUUUGAGGUGACCGGUGUCGGGAGAGGUGGUGGAGGUGGUGGCUGGCGUGGUGGAUGAGGGAGGAAAAAGAAGAAAAGUUUUUGGAAAAUUUUUUGUGUAUUAUAUUUUUUGGAGCGUGUAGGUAAAAAAUUUUGAAAAGUUUUUUGGGGUUCUUGUAGCAAAAGUUAUUAAAAAACUAGUAGUUAAAAAACUUGGGUAAAAAACUCAGUUCCAAACAGGGCCUUUCAUUCCAACAUAUUUCAUUUGCUUGUUGGUUUUGAGCACAUAACCCUACAUAGAUGAUGGACGAAUCAAACCAGCCUAAUAAUGACUCCAAGUUAAUUUUGAAUAGUGGAAGAGACUCUUUUAGGACAGAAAAAGGCUCUAGUGGAAAAAUUGGACCAUUGUUGCUCGCUCGCAGGUAGUCCAACUGAUUUCGUAGCGUACUAAUAGUUAUCAGUAAGUUCCAUGAUUAAUUCCGUGUAUUAUUUUACUGUAUAUUCUUGGAGUAAUACUCUAUAGAAUCUUAGGAGAUUAGUCCGGUCAAAAGACUAAAACACCUCCAAGUAAAAAAAAAGAAAGGAAAAAAAGAAAAUUGGACCAUUGGAUAACCAAUUUGGUAGAAAAAUAGCACGCCCAUAUUAGAACCGCAUGAAGAUUGAAGCCUUUAAUAAAGCUCCAAGCUCCAAGCAUUUAAUAGUUGUAUUGUAGGUAGAAUUUCUUUUUUGCUUCUAAAUCCCAAAUAAGCUCAAGAAUUUAACUAGGACAAAUCACAGUUUUAGGCUGUCAUCUACUCUAUCACUAAAAUUUAGGCCCUUUAAGAUUUUGCAAACCAUGGCUGAUCUUAUUUCUCAAGUGGAUCUAGAAUGAGCUUAGUCCCAUUACAUCAUCAAUCAUGUUUGAGAGAGUCAUGGGUCAUUUUCUACAGCAAGUUGCUCUUUUGUGCAAUGCUGUGGUAAUGUACUUUGAGAUUCGGGUUGAUAAAGUAAUUAAUUCAACGGCUGGAAAGUGAUGUUUGGGGUGCCAAAAUUGACAAGCAAGAGGAGCCCUUGCCCCGUAUUUAAUACUCUUUUACAGAUGGAAAUAUAUAUAUAUAUAUAUAUAUAUAUUGUGGGAAAAGAUAAACAUUGCGUUUGUUUGGAUAGUGUAUUAUUUGAAAUAUUAUUUGGAAUAAUUACUGUAGCACUUUUUGUGAUGUGAUGUAUGUGAGAUAAAAAGGUGGUUGGGAAUAUAAAAAGGUGUGUUGGAAAAUGUAUCUAUGAUGCAAGCGAAAUAUUAUUUGGCCAAAUUGGGGUAUCCAAACAAAAUAACUAUGCCAAUUUGAGCCAGAACAAAGUGCAUACUGCAUACUUCAUUGCUUGUUGUUCCAAAUUGAAAUCCUCAUCCUUCAAAAAAAACAAAAAAAUUGAAAUCCUCAUCCGGUAACUACAAUAAUGGAUCUUGUCGACUUUAAUAUUGUGAUUGGGUUUAGAUUAAAAAAAAAGUAUAUGUUUUAGUUAGGUAUAAUUGAUCUCGAAUUAGAUGCUAGUCGUAGUAUUCUUGCAUUACAAUUCAUCAGAAACAAAAUGGUUCUUUUUUUUUUUUUUCCAGAUAUGUGAAAGUGGGGAAAGACUUUCGAACCUAACACCACCUACCAUCAACCAUCAAUUUAGAGUAUUAUUGGCAGAAUUUUGUGAAAUUCAAUUCGGCCCUGAUUGGAUUGCCAUUUUCUGCCAGAAAUUGCGUCAUUUUUCAUAAUCACAUUUCCCUAUUACCUUUUUCCCUCACAUACAUCAAAUCAUUACAGUAAUUUUUUCAUGAAAAUUGACGGAAAAUGCAAUCCAAACGGAUUAGAAUUUGGUGGUUCAGGUUAAAACUACAGCCAUUUUGGUAUCAAUCUUUGAUAGACACAAAACAUGCUCCUAUUUUUUUUGCUUUCAACCCCCGGUAUUCUUAUUCUCAGUAAAAUUAAUCUGAAUUCGAUUUAGGGAGCGUCUGCAGAAUUCGACUCUUAUUCGAAGGUCUUAAUUAAAGUUUUUCAAAGCGCCAUACGCAAAAGUUAAAUUUGCGACCUUCGGUUGACAAACAUGCUCUUAUUAUGGUACCUAACUCUCUGCCAAAUUCAAAUGUAACAUAAUAAUUUCUCUCUUUGUCAUUUUUUUCCUUUGGUAAGCUCCCCCUUUUGUCUUAUUAGUAAGAUUCUGUUCGCAUCUGCUUAGAUUGAGUUAGCUUAAUUUUUUAAUUUAAGCUUCUCCCUUUUGUCUCAUUAGUUUGUUUUUCAGUGACAAGGAGAGCCCCUUCAGCCUUUUUGUAAAACAAAAUAAGUUUUUACAUGCAAAAUUUCUUGAAGAUUUUUUAAAAAAAUUUUUCACAUUUAACUUGAGGAAUCUUAAACAGCUUUAGGAAUGCUGUGAGCCCAAAAAAAAAAGAAAAAAGGUCAACAACAACAACAAAAGAAAAAAAAAUGAAGACGAAGAAGAAGUGCUGUGUGACGGAGCAUUCAACAAGGCCUUAAUUUUUGCUAACUUUGGAUCAUUUCCCACUGGUGAAUUAAUUACUAUGUCAGCUCUAAUCACAAAGUAAAUUACCAAUACCGGCAUUGCACAAAAGAGCAACGUGGUCAGAAACUGGCAGUAGAACUAUAAUUAACGAUUACGCGUUUGUUUGGAUAGUAAUUUUUCACUUAAAACAUUUACGUUUUUCAUAAACACAUUUUUCAAUUACAUUUUUACGUCAUAUAUAUAAAAUACUAUAACAUAUUUUUUGUUAUAAAAAUUUUUUAAAAAUAACAAUCCAAACGGUGAUAUGUACCCAUUUCACCAACAAUAUAGUAGUAGUAACUAGUAAAACAUCUCUCAUAAGUAUGUUUCACCAUCAAGAAGUCGACAAGAAAUUUUUUGUGUUCGUGGAGCAACCUCACAUGUUUGCUGCUAAAGUCAAAAAACUAGUAGAAAGAGUUGAAUGUUUGUUAAAAUCUCAAAAAAGUUUUGGACUGUUAUGUUAAAAAAUUUGUUUGGGUCUAAUAUAUCGUAGUAGUGAGUUGACAAAGUAACCCGAUGAUGCUUUGCUUAAUCCAUAAGCUUUCGUAGCAGUAAUAGUCGUAGUGCAUCGUUUAGUGGCAUCUUCCGAGACACGUAUGCCCAUGGACCUCCACAAAAUCAACUCAUCUAGCCUUGAAUCCUUUUGUGAAGAAGUUUCUGGGCACUUUCCUCAUGCCUCAUGCUGCUCGAUUGCUUGUGGGCUUGUUCAAACAAAAUGCUCACUUCUUCUCUAAUGCCUUCGCUCCACGCGCCUCCGGUUAAUCAGUCCGAUUCUCAACCACCACCUUCCCCAAAAAGAUAAAUAGACUUAUCAGCGAGUUGGGUACAGAUUAAAAUUAAAUAUUUUAUAUUCGAGCACGUUUAUUUAUAUUUGUUUUGAAUUCGACUAGUAUACUUGACGGAUUUUAUACUCGAUCUCUCGAAUUGAAAUUUGAUCGAAUUUAGACACGAGUCAUAUAUAAUCAUAUCCAAAAUUAUGUAUUAAUAUGUGUAUAUAUAUAUUUUAUAACUAUCAAUUCAUUUAAACGGAUUUAGGUAAGAUAUUUGCAUUUAAAAAAAAAAAAAGCACAGUGGAAUUGGGUUUGGGUCUAGACCCGAACAUUGACAGGCCUGGCUGUAAACUCGCUACGUGUCCCACAAAACUCACGCUCCUUAAAUGCGAGUGGGAUACUGUAGAUAGGAUAUUGGACAUUGUAGAUAGGAUAUUGGACAACGUAGCAUUUGCGCUAUCUAUGUCCAGUUUUCGUUUUGUUUUGUUACUUUUUCCUUUUGUUUUAGAAUGAAUUAGCGGUAAUUUUUGUUUUUAUUUUAUUUUUCAAUAAGUGAGGAGUGGAAUUUAAAAAAUAAAAAGAAAACAUAAAAUUCGAACCUAGAUCUCGAUUUCAACUUUAAUCACUCAAUCAUAAAUGUUUCAUCAAUAUGGUAGUUUUUGUUUGUCGAAAUUUUUUUCCCCAUUUACCCCCUUGCAUUUGUUUGCUGAGUUUAUCUCACUUUGUGCUGCUUAAUGAGCAAUUCGCAUUGGUUAAGAGUAGGGUUGCAUAUUAAUAUCUUUGAUAAAAAAAAAGCAUGAACCUAAAUUUUGGAAGUAUUAGUUGGAGCCAAGAUAAUAGUAUAAAAUUAUAUUUUUAAAUGGAAAAUUGAAUAUGAAAUAAGGAAGUGCUUGCUUCACACUCUAGAAUCCGAAUCGGAAUCAGAAUCAAAAUAAUAAAAACUCUAAUAUGAGUUUGGUUUGCAGUUUAGUUUGAAAGUAGAAUGAGUUUUAUUCUAUUAAAGUGUUAAUCAAUUUGAAACUUAAAAUAAACUUGGAAAAUAAUAGGAGACAACAUUUAGCAUUUUCAUUCUCAAUAAUUAAAAGCACUUGUUUCUUAUUUACAAGUCAAGUAACUCCAAAUGUUGAUGCCAUCUUCGGAUUUUCCUUGGGAAAUAUUUUAUUAUUAUUAUUAAUUGUUUUUAAUGUAGUUUUCUUAAGAAUCCAUCCAAGAGUAGUAUUAAAAGCUGCUCCUCCACUCUUUUCCUUUCUGAAGUAUCUAAGCCACUCUCUUUACCAGUGGACCGUCCUUCCGUCCAACAAAAUACAAGUCUACUCUCAAGUGAGUAUUUCAAAGCUUCUUCUUUCACUUUACUGUCACUGGUAUUAUUCAAUCUAUCUUUUGAGUUUUGCAAGAGCCCAUCAAGCAUCAAGGUUUGACCUUUAAUCUUUCUGACUAAUUUUGUUCUUAGAGUAUGUGCUGAUCAUCAUCGGCCGCUGGUUCUGCAGAUUAUUGGUAGUUUUAAGUACUCGUGACUGAUGAGACCAUCUCGAUUUUAGUUGCUUGCGACUAAUUAGCUUACCCUUUUCCGAUUCUUGGUUGAAUGUUUGGUAUUAGCUUUCUUGAUCUGUAGUCUGUGUUCUUGUUCCACCCCAGAUCGUGUUUUCCUGUUUCUUGUUUGGGAUGCAGCAAAAGGUCUUUAACCCUUAGUCCUUUUUUUUUUUUGGGUUUUCAUCAGUUAAUCGUGGUUUCACAAUAUGGAGCAUAUAGGAAAAAUAUCUUGUUGGUCUUAUACACUAGUGAAAGAGGCUAAAAAAUGGAAAGGGGGAAAACACAAACACAGAGCCAUAAAAUAAAAGUUAUAUAGGGAAAGGUCUGAUACAGGUAGUGCUUACUUAUUUGUGAUCAAAUAAUAGUUACUAUUUGGUAUGCAGCUGUAUAGCGAACUUAAGUUCAGCUGAGUAUUUUAUUUCUUAGGGAGAAAAAGCUAUAUCUUUCCAAAAUGGGUUACGUGAAUAAUACGUUAAAGAACUGAAAAAGUGACACCUUUGAGAUAUAUGGCGUCUUUGUCGGUUGAAUGAAAGUUGAAGUGAUUUCUUAUUAUCUGUUAAAAUUGUAAAAGAAGAUACACUGGCUACUUUCACAUGUGGUUUCUAUGCUUAAAUAUAAAAUUUUCAACUUGAUCAGUAAAAGAAUAGAUAAAGAUAGGAAGAAAUCUUACCGGCAACGUGUUAUCAGCAAGGUGAAUUUUUUUGUCAUAUUCCUGAAUAGGCAUCAAUCUUUGCCCUUUUUUCCUUUUAAAUUCAUAUGGAUGCAGUGUCACGAUUUCAUGUUUCCACUGAUGAUAAUCAUCUCUAGUGCUAGCAGAUAUCAUAUAUUAUUUAGUUGAAUAGCCAUUUGACAAUUUGGAAAUUAUACAUAUUUCGACCUAAGUAGGUCUAUUGAGAUAUUUGUAGUACUUUCCUUCUUUUCCCCCUUGACAUGCUUUCUGUUGCUGUAUUUUGACGGUUAGACUCUCUAGAACUUCUUUUGGAUGUUGUUAAUUGGUUUUCUUUUUUAGGAUGUGAGUUACCUCUUUAUGUAAUCCCGCUUUGGUUCCAGUUAUGAUAAGUGCAUCAUUGAUAAUAUUUCUUCCAUUUACUAUGUAUUAAACCUUCUAACAGUGGCGUCAGAGUGCAUAUUCACUGAGAUGGUGAACAAGAUUGUACUAAAGUUCCCUACGCUAGCUUGCUUCAGCUGAGCUAACUGUUUUUCUUUCUUGAAACAGGCAUAACCAACGAUGGAGAGAAGGUACCUUUGGGCAGCAUUUGUAUUAGGGGCAAUUGUGUGUUCUCUAUUUCCUCUUCCUUCUGAAGGAUUAAAGCGAAUUAGCCUGAAAAAAAAACCCUUAGAUCUUCAAAGCAUAAGAGCUGCCAAAUUAGCUCAUCUGGAGAGCACACAUGGCACUGGUAGGAAAGAGAUGGACAACAAUUUAGGCAGUUCCAAUGAGGACAUAUUGCCUUUAAAGAAUUACCUGGAUGCCCAGUACUAUGGAGAGAUUGGAAUUGGCACUCCACCUCAGAAGUUCACAGUUAUAUUUGAUACAGGCAGUUCCAACCUCUGGGUUCCCUCGUCAAAAUGUUACUUCUCUGUGAGUAUCUGUUGAUGUACUACUAACUAAUUUUUUGCCAUUUAACUAGAUUGUCCAUUGUCAACAAAAAGAAAUUUUUUGUUGCAGAUUGCCUGCUGGCUCCACUCCAAGUACAAGGCAAAGAAGUCAAGUACUUAUACAGCCAUAGGUAAAGACCAAUUUUCUUGCUUUGAAUUCUUAAUUUUCUAAUUGAAUUCCUAAAGGGCUUUAGACAAAAUAGCGAAAGAAAUUCUUCUAAGAAAUGAGUUUGUGUCACUUUUUAGACGUUGAUCAAGUGCUUAGGCACAUGGGAAGAAUUUCCCUAUUUGGCAACUGCAGACUUGCAUUCCUUUUGCGUUAAAUUUCCCACUCAUGAUUUUGUGGAGGUUCUUGAGUGAAGAAUGCUUCUUGUUUUUCGCACUCUUGUUUUACUUCUACAGCAAUUCACAAUCACUCAGAAAUUUUUAGUCUGUGUAUGCCUUACCAUACUUUCUGCAGUGGCAGCCUUGACCAUUUUGCUUGCCCUUGAAGUUUUCUUGAUAUGAGAAAGCUUCAAGGGAUGUGAGAUUAUUGUAAUUACUGCUAAAGUGUUACCUGUGGUUAGGGAAAUCUUGUUCAAUUCGUUAUGGUUCUGGAUCAAUCUCUGGAUUCUCCAGUCAAGAUAACGUUGAAGUUGGUGAUCUUGUUGUCAAAGAUCAAGUGAGUUUUUAUGUGGCUUUAGUCAUCUUAUGAAGAAUUGUUUUCCUGUGUGUUAAUUCUGCUUGAUAAUUUAUUUAUCUUUUUCCCAGGUUUUUAUUGAAGCUUCACGAGAAGGAAGUCUUACAUUUGUAAUUGCCAAGUUUGACGGGAUACUUGGCCUUGGAUUCCAGGAAAUCGCUGUUGAUAACAUGGUGCCAGUCUGGUAUUGCCACAAUUAACCUGUUUUAACAGUGUUGAGAUAUCUGUGCAUGUUUUUCCUGUUCUAAACUCAAAAGAGUAAGCAAUAUGCUAAUCCGCUAUUCAAGUACAGGUAUAAUAUGGUGGACCAAGGUCUCGUGGAUGAGCCAGUAUUCUCUUUCUGGCUUAACCGCGAUCCAAAUGCUGAAGACGGAGGUGAGCUUGUCUUUGGUGGUGUAGAUACAAAUCACUUCAAGGGAAAGCAUACAUAUGUUCCUGUAACUCAGAAGGGAUACUGGCAAGUAAGUGAAGGUUUCAUGUCCAUUGGCCUGUUUUUUUGUCUUUAAUGGGAAGCAGAGGAAAUAUUCACCUUUUGUGCAUCUUUAUAAUCUGUUUUUUUCUUCUCUUCACCAGUUUAAAAUGGGAGAUUUUCUCAUUGGGAACGUCUCAACAGGUUAGGAGCAUUAUGUAUUGUUCUGUUUCUGAAAACAAUGGCUAAAUGUCUCCCUGGAUGAUAAUUGCUUUACUGUUUGUUUUCUCCUUUCAUAUAUUUCAACUACUGUUUGUUCUUCAGAUUUUUAGCAUUAGACUUGUACAUCAUGGACAUUAAGUUCCUUUAUCUAGAAGGUACAUGGUUUAAGAGCUCCACAAGUUUAAAUUCCCUUUUCAUUUUUGUAUAUUCCCUCUUGCAGGCUUUUGUGAAGGAGGUUGUGCUGCUAUUGUGGACUCUGGAACAUCGUUGCUCGCUGGUCCAACUGUAUGUUUAUGUUGAUCAUGACAUUAAACCAGAUUCCAGUUUUUGAAUAUUUAAGAUCUCUUGGAUGUAAAUCUAAAAUUUGUGAGAACAUCUAUUGCAGACUGUUGUGACUCAAAUUAAUCAUGCCAUUGGAGCUGAAGGAGUAGUUAGCACUGAAUGUAAAGAAAUUGUUUCACAGUAUGGUGAACUGAUUUGGGAUCUCCUCGUAUCAGGGGUAAUUUUUUCCUUCUCAUUCUUCUUUAUAUUUCAAAUCUUUUUCCAUAUGCAUAAUUACUAGUUUCAGAUCUGAAAUGCUGUAUCAAAAUUAUGAUGGGCCACAGGUACUACCCGACAGAGUUUGUCAACAAGCUGGUUUAUGUCCCCUUCGCGGAGCUCAGCGUGAGAAGUAAGUCUAAAAUUUUGCUUUACAUAUCACUGAACCAGGUGGACAUAAACUACAAAACCGUCUUCCAGGAAAUGGAAGGCUGCUUUCUGGGUCCCUCAAAUUACACUGGCUUCUAUGGAUAUUUUCAAAUAACAACUGUUAAUUUUCAUAAAGUUUAGAAUUUAUGCAAUAUUUUGGUGCCAAAUCUGAUCUAUACAGCUAUGCUAUGUGCUGACCUUUAAAAAUAGAACUAGUCACAUGAUUCUGGAGCUGAAAGAAAUUAUAUGUGCUAAAUAACUCAGCUCUUCAACAAUAUCUCCGAGAGGUUCUGCUUAUUCUAGUAUAAUGAUCUAGAAAAGCUCGGAUCCUUUUGAUUAUAAUAUGACACAAGUUCCACAGCGCGAUUUCUUCAACACACCGUUUGAGUUGGAUGAUAUACUGACUUCUUGAUCCCUUUUACUUGAUUAUUGCAGUGCUUAUAUCAAGUCAGUCGUUGAUGAGGAGAACAAGGAGGAAGCUUCUGUUGGUGAAUCCCCGAUGUGUACUGCUUGUGAAAUGGCUGUUGUUUGGAUGCAAAACCAGCUGAAACAGCAGGGAACUAAGGAGAAAGUGCUCGCAUAUGUGAAUCAGGUGAUUUUCCAUGAACUUAAUAUGCUACUAUUUAGAGGUAACAUAUGGUGCAUAAUGGUUGAUUGGAUUACCAAAUUUUUGUGCGGCAGCUUUGUGAAAGCAUACCAAGUCCCAUGGGAGAAUCCAUCAUUGACUGCAACAGUUUAUCCACCCUGCCAAAUGUUUCAUUCACCAUCGGAGGGAAAAGUUUUGAGCUAACCCCUAAGCAGGUUUGUUUUUGAUAUGCCAUUCUUACACAUGCACUUGCUAAUUAUUCUGUUUGUUCUACAUCAAUUUCAUGUUUUUCAUUCAUGUUCUGCCGGUUAUAACUUCCUCAGUGGGUAUAGAAGGUUUACACACAGAUCAUGUUUGUUGAUCGAAAUGGUUUCGAUCAGCAAAUAGUAAUUCUUUUAUCACAAUCUCAGGCUAAAGUCUUGAAAUUUUGUAUUUUGCACCCUUGUGCCAAGCUCUGGAAUAUCUUAUGAUGUUCUUGAAGAAAUGUCUUGGGAAAAUAUGAAAUGAAAAUUGCGACUGGAAUAAGAUUUCAUUGCACUGGGGGAGAGGACUAAAUUGUAGGAACAAGCGAGGUCAGUUAUUUGUGAUUAUGCACCUAUCUCUUUUGGAAAGUACUAUAUAUAUAUAUGACUGGAGGGGGCUUGGGGAAAGUUGAUACGUACUUGCUGACUUGCGUUGCUGCUCCUAGAUUUGGUGGCAGUAUUUGCUUUUUGUGUAAAGUAGCGGGGUUGGUUUUUUGGCAUGAUGGUGGAUAUAUUAGGUCAUUAUUAGCAAGUCAAGUCAUUUUGAAGCUAAUAUAUACUGAAAGCUGAUUUAAGUUGGCCAAAGUCUGCAAUUCCUCCGGUUGGAAUUAUUCGGGUCACUGAUGUGGAAGCUUGGAUUCUACCUCCUCCUCCUCCGUAUAUUUCUCAUUUCCUUUUCUGAACAUUUUUUGCUUGUAGGCCAACUGUUUCUAAAACUGGCUUUUGUUUCUUGCAGUAUGUUCUUCAAACUGGAGAAGGCUUUGCUGAAGUCUGCAUCAGUGGAUUCAUGGCUAUGGAUGUGCCGCCGCCUCGUGGUCCCAUCUGGUAUGUCAACAUUGUUAGCAUCAACACUAGUUUUUACGAUGAUUUUUCUCCCUGAAAUGUUGAAUCACUGCACAAGAAGGGGAGGAGGAUGAAACAUGAUUAUUACACGAACUCUCGGCCAUAUAUAUAGAUAUAAUAGAACUGCUACCUGUAAGAUUACACAUAAAAUGCUGAUGCAUAAAACAGAUGUAUUGGUCCAAACUAUAAUGCGUACAAUAUGUUGGUGGUUGUAGGGUUCUGGGAGAUGUGUUCAUGGGAGUGUACCACACCGUGUUUGAUUAUGGUAAUCUCCGGAUGGGUUUCGCAAAAGCUGCUUAGACAAGACUAUUUAUUUCGUCUACUGUUUGACGGUCCUAAGAGAAGCUAUGAAGACGUGUAGUAGCUUGUAAAUUAGGAUUUUUAAUGAUGCUUGGCUGGCUUAUUUAAGGGUGGUUGUGCUUUUAAUAUUGGAUUUUUAUAUGUAAUGUAAAUAUCUAUGCGGAUAUGCUACCUUUGUUCUAGAGUUUCAAGGAAACUGCAGUAUCUACUUUGGUCAAGAAAUGGUGCCACUAUCUAUUACUCCUCCUUCGGUUUCAAUUAUUUAGUCAC